GCAAUCCAUGCUGCGCAACCAGCACCUCAACUUUACUGGAACUCCGUCCUGCCAAACACACAGAUGCCAAGAUCUAUCAGUGAACUUCUGCAUCCUGGUUUGUGUUAAGCCAUUUAGAAUCUUAGAUAUUUUUUCUACCUGCCAUUUUACUGAAAUGUGUUCCAACCACAUAUUUAUCGGUUAAGUACUGUUUUCCAAUUUAUUAUUAACCUCGGCAAAAGUUAUUACAUGAGUAAUUAUAGUGUGGUACUAGAGUACGUACGGCUACAUAUUCACAAAUGUGUCACUCACUCUUCAAUCGGCUGACCACUUAUUUUCCAUUAUGGCGUGGAUAUAUAAUUUGCAGACUCCAAAAAUGAAGAAAAGAGCACAAAUGACGUUGGCAAACCUGAAACUUUCCCAUUGGGCAAUAAACGUUACUACAGUCAAAAAAGGUAUGGAAGAGGCAAUAAAAGUUACCGCAGUCAAAAAAGGUAUGGAAGAGGCAAUAAAAGUUACUCCGUUCAAAAAAACUAUGGAAGAGGUGCUUCUCCAUCUGACAAUCAACUACUCCAUUAUAAAGACUUGGCUAUUUUCUUCUUGGAGAAGGACAUGAGCCCUGGCACAACAAUGAAGUUCCAAUUCCCUAGAAAUUCAAACACGGCUACUUUCUUGCCGCGAGAAAGCGCUCAAUCGAUCCCCUUCUCCUCUAACAAACUACCAGAAAUUUUCAACCAUUUUUCAGUGAAGCCAACAUCUGAGGAAGCCAAAACAAUUAAGCAAACAAUCGAAGAGUGUGAAGCUCCAGGCCUUAAGGGAGAGGAAAUAUAUUGCGCCACAUCUUUAGAAUCAAUGGUUGAUUUUAGCACUUCGAAGCUUGGAACAAGAAACGUUGAAGCAAUCUCGACGGAGGUAUUGGAAAAAGGAGGCACCAUGUCCAUCCAAAACUAUACAACAAUGCCGGGACUGAAGAAGUUGGCAGGUGACAAAGUCGUUGUGUGUCAUAAGCAGAACUAUCCCUAUGCUGUGUUUUUCUGCCAUGCAAUAAAACAUACAGCAGCUUAUGCUCUCUCCCUGAAAGGCGAUGAUGGGGAGAAGGUUAAAGCAGUAACCAUCUGCCAUCUAGACACAUCAGAAUGGGACCCAGAGCAUAUGUCCUUCCAAAUCGUCAACGUUAAGCCCGGAACCAUUCCCAUCUGCCAUUUCAUUUCCACUGAUGCUAUUGCCUGGGUUCCGAACCACAAAUCUGCAUGAUCAUCACUUAGCACUGUACGUAUAAUUAUCUCCUUACUUAUUUCUGCCUCUUCAUCAUGUGGUGUAAGAUAUAUGAUGAGAUGAAGUUUUUGGGAUUAGUGGUUGGGUUGCCUGAAAAACACAGAUUACAGAAACUGCUUGAAAUUAACCCGAUCAUGUUUUCUCUUGUAACUAUAUAGACUUCAACUUGUACUCAUAAUAAAGCAUGCUAUAUUUAUGAAGAGAUAUUAAUCUAUAUAUAUUUUUUAUAUAUGCUUUGGCUUUGUGGUUCUACCCAAUGUUUGAGUGUUGAAUUGUUACGUUGGAAUAGGCUGCUAAUGCAUGUAGUUAGAGAAGCCUUCAUUUAUAUCAAAGUCCUCAAACUAUCAAGAACUAAUGUAUCCAGAAACAUAUACCAAGACGCAAAACAACAUAUUUUCCAUGCUCUGUCUGUAACACCAAAGCAAACUUCCUUGAUCACAAAAGGAUCAAAUUCCAGUACUAAUCUAAUCCAUCAUGUAAAGCAUACAAGUGCCUCCCUAAAUACUAUACUCUUUUUGUUAUUUCCUACUAUACUAUUUAAGUUUGCAUACUCAUAUAGCAUAUGCAAACACAAUUAGAAAUUCUACAAGAUACAAACAACCCCCUCAACUUUGACCAGUGUGUCAAUUUAGUUCUUGAAAUUUAGAUUACAAAGCAAAAUCAAAUCAUACCAUGAAACACAAGCGACUUAAACCUCCAGGCAAAUAGAUAUUAUGAACAUAUAUAGCAAUUUAUAGAACAAUACAUUAAUCCAGAAGAAAUAUUAUGAAAUGAAAAGAAUAAAAAGUAGAAAAACACAAGGAAAGGAAUUUGCACCUGCUCACUUGCAGAUUGCUUUCUCCGGCCGUAGAUGUAACAGAAAUUUUCUCUUAAUAAUACCACAAUGAUCGGGUAAUUGUAAGAACAAGUUGAUUUAAAAUUCCUUGACCCAAAAAAAAAAAAAGUUGAUUUAAAAUUCAGGUCAACCCAUAGAUUUCUCCCCUUUUUCUUCUUCAUCUCGUGGGGCUUGUCUUCUUCUUGAGGAUUGUAUAGGCCAAGGAAAUGCUUUGAGUUAGUUUUUACGCUUUUGCGUUUUGGGCCUUGGAAGUUGGGACCCAAACCAACUUCACAAAAAGAAAACGCUCAGACUAUAAUGAAUGGAAAGUUAUAAGGGGUAAGUUAUAAGGGGUUCACUUUAUAGCCAUCAGAUCAAUCCAAGGGCUGGGGAGAAUUGAGAUAAAGUUUUAAAAUCGGGUAGGUGAGGAACCCAAACCCGAAUUGAAUAUCCAGCACGUCCGAAAAAGAAGAAGAAGAGGCAAGCACGUCCGAAAAAGAAGAAGAAGAGGCAAGUUCGAAGUUUGAACAGAAAAAACUCAUCUCUUUAAAACCCAUAGCUCUGAGAAACGGUUGAAGGCAACGGUUAACGACGGUUAAAGGCAACGGUUGAAGCCACUCCGUUCUCCAGACCCUGAAAAAGUAUUUAUUUUGAGUAGAAGGGGCAAAGGUGUGGAUUCCGAAACAGUGAAGGGGCGAAGCAGUGGAAGGGGGAGGAGAGAAGCCGUAUUCGUUGGAAGUGGUAGGUUCCAUUUGUGGAGCAAAGCAACACAAAGACCCCGCACAGACACCUUGCGAUUGUUCAAUAACCAGCAUUUGGUGAGUAAUUUAUGGAAUUUGAGUUUAGGGUUAGAGUAAUGGUUUUCCCCAAUUUGUACCAUCAAUUUUGUUGGAUUUGGCAUCUCUUCUUUGUGCUUCAGUUGCAUGUUAAUUUUUGCUUGGGUAUAUGUUAAAAAAAGAAUGAAAAUCAAGUCAAUAACAAGUGAAUAACAUGUCAAUAAUGAUAUGAAUAAGAUAAUGGUGUUGAAUUGGAGGAGGCCCUCAAAACAUUCCACAUUUGAAGCAGUGCAUAGUGCAGAUUAUCUCUCUGGCGCUAGAAUAUAUAUAUAUUUUGAAAUAAAUAUGAUUUCCUUUGUUACUAAAUUUGCCUGAGAAACAUGAGAACAGAUAAUAAUAAACUCAUGAAUAGAAGUGCAAAGCAUUUGAUGAGUAAUUUAUGGAAUUUGAGUUUAGGGUUAGAGUAACGGUUUUUCCCAAUUUGUACCAUCAAUGUUGUUGGAUUUGGCAUCUCUUCUUUGUGCUUCAAUUGCAUGUUAAUUUUUACUUGGGUAUAUGUUAAAAAACAAAUAAAAAUCAAGUCAAUCACAUGUCAAUAACAUCUCAAUAACAUGUUAGUAAUGAUAUGAAUAAGAUAUAAUGGUGUUGAAUUGGAGGAGGCCCUCAAAACCUUCCACAUUUGAAGCAGUGCAGAGUACCUCUCUGGCACUAGAAUUUAUAUAUUUUUUUAAAUAAAUAUUAUUUCAUUUGUUACUAAAUUUGCCUAUGAGAAAUGAGAACAGAUAAUAAUAAACUCAUGAAUAAAAGUGCAAAGCAUUUGAAAUAAAGGUUGAUCUAUGACAAUUGUGGCUGACAGAAGAAAAAGCUAGAAAGAAAGAAGGAUGUGGCAAUUGCUUAGCAAGCAGAUAGCAGAGUAGAUGCUUUGCUUUGCUUCCUUCCACUAUAUUAUUUAUUUAUUUAUUUUGUGUUGUGUAUGAGAUGACAAUAAUUGUCAUGUGUGUGAAGUGCAGAACUUGCCUAGAUUGCACUCACACUCACUCAUGCAUCAACCAUUGAUUCGAAUUUGGAUCCAUGAAUAAAACACAUGAAAUUGUUUGUAAUUCACAUAAUCAUUGCAUUAACAGGUAUUUGCACAAAAUUUUUCAUAUUGCUUUGAUGAUGUUAAAGCCUGUGAUCAGUAAUCCCUAUGCUUAUGUACUUUGUAAAAUUUGUAAUGUGCCUGGUUGACUAGUUGUGUAAAUACCAAUGUGAUUGUGCAAAUACGUGGUAGUAUAUGUGUUCAUGUUAUUUCAUCUUGUAUUUCAGGAAAUGGGAUCCAAUGUGGAGCUGGUAUGGCCAGAGUCAGAGGCAUAUUCGUCACGGGUGAACAACUGCUCACAUGCAAAUUCAUCUCUAGCUGCAAUUCGAGCGAAGUUGAGUGCGGAACAAUUAGAACAAUUCAAGACAUCAUGCUUUGGCCAUCUUCUGAAUAUAGAUAAGAUUCAGUUUAGCGGGCAGAUUGUGCAUGGGGUUGUGUUGCGUAGAGUAGCGGGGCAGGGUGUGAAAGACUUGGAUGGACUGAGUUUCUUAAUAGGGUGUGACGUUGCUCAGUUCACUCGUCAAGAUUUCUGUUUGAUCACAGGGCUUCGUUUUGGGGAAGUGCCUGAAGUUUCCAGUGGAGAGAGUGAUGAAAUUAGACUUCAGAAAAGAUAUUUUAUAGACGAAUGAAUUACAUGCAAUGCUUUAGAAUAAACAUUUUUGAGGUGCACAGAGGAAGAUGACAUCUACAAGCUAGCUCUUGUUUACUUUGCUGAGUUAGUGGUUUUGGGAAGGGACAAACAUUUGAACAUCAAUCUAAAUUACCUGACCCUUGUAGAGGACUUAGAUGCGUUCAACAGGUAUCCGUGGGGUUCGGUGUCCUUUGACAAAACCAAAGACAGUCUAUUUUCUGCACCAACAAAGUAUGUGAAAAGCUUUGAAAAUGAAGAGGGAAGAGGGAAGGGGAAAAGUAAGGUAACAGGAACAAGCCGGAGAAAUGAAAAGGGCAAGAAGGAUAAGCAUGGUGAAGUGCAAAGGGGUGGUUGGAGUUUUAAAGGUUUCACGUAUGCUUUCCAGGUACAUGGUAAUAAUGUUCAUGUCAGUUAUGUCUUGUUUUUCUUUAAAACUUAAAUAAUGACUUUUGUCCUGUGAAUUGUGUAGAUUUGGGUAUAUGAAUUAAUUGCUAGAAUGGCAGACCUGAAUUACUGCAAGGUUGUUGAUCCGACAGCUGUCCCGCGUAUUUUGCGAUGGAGAACUACUACGUCUGUUCCUGAGAUGAGAAAGUUGAACAAUUAUUUUUUCCAGAGCAAAGAGGUUUGGUUUGCAGCCCUUAGAACUAUUUAUAAGAUUUAAUGAAAUUAUGAAGUAGAAUGAUUGAAUAUGACUCUUGUCUGUAUUCUGAAACAGUCAGUUCAGUUGCGGGCGCUAUGUCCGAGUGAAGAGGAAAUGAGACAACCAUAUUGGAGUUGGCCACAGGAUCGCCCUGCUGUUGUCUCGGCAGAGUCAAUUCCUUCUUCAUGUGCUGACCUUGAUGAGUUGAACAAGGUGGUAAGCUUGUUGAGGUCCGAGUUGUUUCAAGUAAAGUUGGAAAAAGACGUCCUUGAGUUAAAGGUCAUACGGAUGGAAAAACUUUUGGACCACUGUUUAGGUCCUCAAUUUGAGCAGGAAGUAAGGAGGGACCUAGCUUUACUGAAAGAGAGGACGAAUCUUUGUGUCAUCUCACAUCUAUUUAAGGGAAGUGAGGAAAUGGAUGACAUUCAAUGGGAUGAAGGGCCAAGUAACAGAAAUGAGGGAGAGGAAAAGGAAGAUGAAGGGAUUGAAGGGGGUGAAGGGCCAAGUAAUAGAAUUGAGGGAGAGGAAAAGGAAGAGGAGGGGAUUGAAGGGGGUGAAGUGCAAGGAAAACCAAGUGAGGUAGAGGAAGCUCAAAGGAAAAGAAGUGAAGGAGAGCAAGUGAAAAUAAAAAGCAGUAAGGGAGAGAAAACGCAAAGAAAGAGCAGUGAGGGAGAGGAAGUGAAAAGAAAAAGCAGUAAGGGAGAGGAACUGCAAAGGAAAAGCAGUGAGGGAGAUGAUCCGCAAAGAAAAAGAAGGGAGGGCAAGGAAGUGAAAAGACAAAGAAGUGAGGAAAAGGAAGUGUAAAGAAACCAAUGUGAGAAAGAAGAUAAUGAAGUUAUGUUGCUUGGCGAUGACAUUGGCGAGAGCACAGAGGGGACAAAGGUUGAGUUUAGUCUCGGGGACAUUGAUUUGGAUCAACCUACAGCUGUGCUAUCUCAGUUGAAUGUUUGGUUGAAUGAUAAAGGUAAAGCUGUGGAACAAGGGGUCCAAUUACGGAAGAGGAAGAUGAUCAUUCCUAUGUGGAAGAUCAUUGAAGGUAGUGAAUUGGUUUCAAAAACUUUGGCAGAGACAACCGGACUUCAGAUGUUAGACCCAACGAAGGCGAUUCUGUAUGAUGAUCUGGUGAAAUUGCUGAAACUUUGUUGGGAAUGGCGCCAUAACCCAAAGUAAGUCCCUUGUUUUUUGAGAUAAAAGGCAUGAGUGUAUAUAUUUUUUAAUUGUUGUGUUCUAAAACUUUUUUAUAUUCAUAGUUUGGUGAUGCAAUUUGGCAACAUGGAAGCUGAGAUUGAAUUCUUCGCUUCCCUCAUCAAAGCUGAUGGUUGGCUGAAAGGAGAUGUAAGUUUAAUUGAUUAUGCAUUUGUUUUAAUGUACAUAGAUUAUGAGAUUGACAAGAAAAACAUGUUGCAGCACAUUGAUUUGGGGUUGUAUCUCAUCCGGAAGCGACAACAAGAGUUGGAGGAAGUAGAAAUAUCGGACUGGACAAUGACCGAUGUAUUUUUUAUGGUAUGUCAUGGGCCUUGACCAAGUGCUGUUAAUAAUUACAAAUUAUCCAUACUUGUUUUGUGGAGGUGUUUAACCAUUGAUUGUUUUCUAUUUCACAGAAUCACAUUCGUACUUGCUUUGCGGAUAAUAAAAGAAAAAAAGAGCAGGUUUGGUGGAAAAUUAGAAACAGUUUACUGAACGUUGUAAAUGGCAAGGUUCCGGCGUGUGAGAUGGAUUGGCAGAACAUAUAUAAGGUGUAUGCCCCUUGUAUGUUGACGAAGUACAAGCAUUGGGUGGCUGUAAUGAUUGAUCUAGUUUUGUGUGAAAUCCAAGUGUACGAUUCAAAGGUUUCACUUAUUCCAGAUGAGAUCUUAAAGGAAGAACUCGCCCCGCUUUCAAUUACGAUUCCAAAUCUUCUCAACACCAUCGACUUUUAUGAAGAAGGUGUUUACGUAAACAAUUGCAGCCGAGAUUGGUGGUGUCCGUGGCCAAUAGAGCGUGUGGAUGUUCCACAACAGUCUAAUCAGUAAGCACAACUUUUUAUUUAAUUUUAUUACUUUAAAUUGUCAAUUACGUUAGAAUGUCAUUAGUUGAAUUGAUCGAGUUCUUGUUUUGCUUCAGAGGCGAUUGUGGCAUGUUCGUGUUGAAGUACAUUGAGCUUUUGGGCGCUGAGAUUCCGUUAGCUACUUGCACCUCGGAGAACAUGCCCUUUUUUCGGUUGAAAUUGGCUGCAAAGAUAACACGGGGAGAUGCUUACAUGCCAUGAUAUUGGUUGAACUUGGUUUAGGUACAUGAUGAUUAAAUAGGUUUUGGGAAUGUCCAAUUUCAAACUCAUGUAAAUACACAAUAGAGACCUACGGGUCCUUUUCGAAUUCUACCUCUGCUCCUCUAUUCUUCUUCGUCUUUCUCAAUCUUAGUGUAUUUUUGUACAUAAUUUGAGGUUUAAGUUAUUGGACGAUAACAAUUAGAACCAAAAUAGUGGCAAAUAUUAUAGCGGAUGCAUGCUUUCAUUUUGAUUAGUGUGAUACUACGCUACAUUUAUUCUCAUAUUGUGCUAAAUGUAUAUGGAGUUGGAUGCAGAGCAUAGACAGAAAAAUGAAGAAACUGAAAUGGAGAUGCUGAGGCUUGGUGAGGAGAAAAGUAAAUGGAUCUGUAAAUCUAUUGCACGUAGGCAAUCUAAAUGGAUAGGCAGAUGAGUUUUUGAAGUUAGACACUUGUCAUUCCCAUACAUAGAAUGUGCCUAUGGAGUGUAAAGUAUUUUUGGAUUUAAUGAAACAAACUUCUGUGUAAUAUUAGCCUAACUCCUUCACGACAUUUACAUAACCUUAACCAACUGCAUUGAAUUGGGAUUUAAAGACUGCAUAUGUGAAUUGGGAUUUGAAGAUGGCUUUUUAAGUGUAUUACAUCAUUGCAAAGUGAUAUGUCAUCGUUUAUGCAAGCCACCAUUAAUCGCAAUAGGUUGCAUCUUAAUAAGGUAAUUCUGUAAGGGGAAUAAGCGGCUAUGGCCUCGCCUCUAAUGUUUUAUUCAACCAUGCCCUCUUUAUAGAAACACAUGAAAAAAUGUCCCCAGGUGCAAUGCUAUAAAAACUUCCAGUUGGUUCUGUACCGCCCCUCGGGUUUGAAUCCCUCUCUCCUUUAUAAUCGGUUAAUAAAUUCAUUGAUUUUCUUUUUUUUAUUGGUUUUGGGCAGCUCAGUAGCAUAAAAGUAAUGUAUAUUGGUGCGUCUAUAUUGCAUGUCUGUUGCGUCUAUAUUGCUUCUCUAUUGUGUGUAUAUCUUACAUUUAUUGUAUGUGUAUUGAUUGUUUAUUGCUUACGAAGGAAAUAAACAACAAUACACAGGCAACAGACAAACAAUAUAUACACAACAGACAAACAAUAUACACACAAUAGAUACGCAAUAUACAUACAAUAGACAUGCAAUAUACACACAAUAGACAUGCAAUAUACAUCCGUCCCCAAUUACACAAACCAUAAGGAAGUCGUAUUGAAUAGGAAAUUAAACUUAACAGUUGUUCUUCCUACUAAAAGAAAGAAUAAGGUCCGUUUUCCCCCUUAAAUCUUACUUGAGUGGUACUUGUGCCCCCAAUAAACAUCCAAUAUUGGAGCAAUAACAUUCGAUAUACAUGCAGCAAACAAUCAAUAAACCUUUAAUAAACAUUCAAUAUCGGUUCAAUAACAUGCGAAAUACAUGCAGUUAAUAAUCAAUAAACCUUCAAUAAACAUGUAAACAAUCAAUAAACUUUCAAUAAACAUUCAAUAUCGGAGCAAUAACAUGCGAAAUACAUACAGUAAACAAUCAAUAAACCUUCAAUAAACAUUCAAUAUCAUGCGAUUUAUAUGCAGUAAACAAUCAAUAAACUUUAAGUAUACGCAAAUAAACAAUCUAUAUACACUAAAUAAUUAUGCAAUUUUCAAAAAAAAAAAUGUAUUGUCUUGUUAUUGCAUCGUAUUGGCCCUGUAUUGUGAUUUUAUCGUCUUCGUAUGAUUUUAUUUUUUUAAAGUAAGUCUUGGAAAGUUUUUGCUGGGUUUCAAACAAAUAAAUGCUUUUGUUUAAAUUCAAUGCCAAUCCACUUAUUUCAAGAACAAAAAUUACAAAAUGGGUUUGAAAACUCAUUGGUGGUGCGUGCAACAUGUCUUUUUGGGGAGAAAUUUCACAAUCCUUGAAACCGUGCACUUAAUUGAUCAUUAAAAGAACAAAUAAUAUGACAAUUGAUACAACUAAUAAAACUAAUACCAAGUCCUUAAUGGACUUCAGCAUAUUCAGCACUGUAGCAUCAUACGUGUCAUCUUGAUGUUCUGCUUCAGCGGAGGUUACAUCAACCCAUUCGAAUCCAUUGCAACUGGUGGAUCCCUAAUUGCAGGCAUCAUAUAUGCAAAAUAAUUCUGUCAGAGUUAGACAUAGGUUUUUUUUCCCCCACACACAUAUUCUUGAAAUGAAAACUUACAUAGGAGGUUAGACACUUCCAAAAUGGCUUCCCUCGAUUUUUAUCUGAUUUUGAAACCCGAACCACCAUUGUAGCUCCACAAUACUGACACCUUUUUGUUUGAGCAGGAGAUGAAGACGAAGACAUGUUGAAUCUUCUCACUUGUACCUCUUCUCACUCAGAUCUUCUCACUGAAACCUCUUCGGACUCAUACCUUCUCACUCAUAGUUCUCAGUCAUACCCCUUCACUCAUAACCCUAAAUUUCUCACUCAGCUCUCUCUCAUCUCUGCCCAAAUCAAAUUAUAUCCUUCUUUGCUGUGUGUGGGUGGGUUGGUCACGAUCUGGACACCUGUACCGUCAGAAUUGUGACAUCUUUUACCCCGAAAAGCAAUAUAAUAUUUCACUACCAAAUAUUAAUCUGAAAAUUGAGGGGACACUGCUUGAAAUAUAUUAUUUUAUUUAUAUUUCAUUAAGACAACUAGUUGGAUAAGAAUCCAUCAUCAUUGGUUUCAUUUUAAUAACAUUACUAGUGGUAGUUUGGUGUGGGAAAAUGAAAAAGUAUAUGAUGGGACCUUCUGUGACUAGUCAGUAAUCCAUCACAUUUGUAUCAAUGAAUUUGAUGGUGGGAAAAUCCUAAAAAUGGCUAUGCAAAUAGGUUAUUAAUUGAAUUUUUGACUGUCUGACUCUCUAUGCAAUUUUAUGACGUUUUCCCUUCUUUUGUCUCGAGUUUUAGGGUGUCGGGUUCAGUUUCUUUAAAAACGGUCAACUUGGAAAAACCCCAAGUGGAAACACCUUUUAAAAACACUAUAAACAGAGGCUAAAACAAAACCAAAACCCCAUAUAUUCUCAUUUCUGCCCUCUUCCACUCCUCAAAUCGUUCCAUUCCAAAAACAUUUCAAUGAAUUCGAAACAUUUCACUACACUCGGAGGAAAGAGAAGGAAGCAUCUCCAUUUGGAUAUGCCCCAAGCCUUCAUCCCGGAGUUAGCUUGGUUUAAAGUGAUGUUAUACGUGGCAACCCAAUCAUCGGAAGAUCUCUUCCGUAUGGCAUCUGUGUGCCCAUUGUUCCAUACUUUGGCAAACACUCCACAAGUGUGGAACACCAUUUCAGUGGCAAAGUACCCAAACCAUCCUAGCUGGUACCGUGCCAAUCCUGCGGUCCAGCAUUUCUUGCAACAAUGCAGGGCUUGCGAUAACCCUAAGUCGAUAUUUAGAGAAGCAUUCGAAGUGUUUUUUAAGCAGGGUAACGUGGAAGCAUUGUAUGGGAUGCGCAUUACAGCCACGGCAGGCCAUAUAGAAGCGGCAUAUCUAGUUGGACUACUUGACAUGUCCGGAAUUGGUCAGUCAAAAGAGGAUGCAUUAGAAUUCUUGUGUUCUUUGAAUCAAUGUAACAACAUUGAUAUGAAAGGAACCAGGGAUGCUUUGAGACAAAGAUUAAGCCGACCAACAGUUGCAAGACAUAUCCUAGAUAUGUUUGACUAUGGGAAGAUUAAGUUCAAUCACUGCAGCCCUUGUAACAACAAUGAAUGGUGUUUUGUUAUUCAAGGCUGGCCUACUGAAGAAAAGAUAAAUCCUGCCUUCUGGACUUGUUGCAAUCGAUGCAAAUGGCACCGUGAGAGUAUUUUUUGGUUCAAGGUGAUGCGUGUGUAUGUUGUGCGAGGGAAUCCAUACCCUUAUAAUUAGUUGUAGUAUGUUUUUACGGUUUUUAUGCAUUGUGGACUUGCUUCUCUUCAGUUCUAGGUUCGCUGGCUACGUUGUACAAAUGUUGUUUAAAUGUGGGGUUUUAAUCUAUUUUGUCUGGUAUUUGUGCUGUCAUAAACCGUUUUAUAUAUAAAUGUAUAAUAUAUAUUAUAUAGCGGAAUUAUUACUGACAUCAUAGACGGCUACGAAUGACAUUUUACUGACACAGAUAUUUUGCACAACUGCAAUCUUAAUAUUUGGUAAACGAAAAGGCAUGCAUGGAGUAAAUAGGUGUCUUUUCACCAGUGCUUGGGAAUGACAUUUUCCCACUGAGCAUAUCCCAAAUGAUUUGGUUACAAGUUUCUUAAGCAAAACUUGAAUAGUGAAUGACGUUGAAUAAUUUUUUCCUAAUGUUGUAGAAUAGAUGACUUGUAUAUUUCCAUUUUAUUUUUCAAAACAUCCCUUAAACCUAAAAAAUAAAAAAAUUAACAAAUUGAAGAAGAGAGAAACCGAUUAGCACCAGAAAUGGCCUAUUCGCACGGAAAAUAAAAAUUAAAAAAAAAAGUUGGAGUAAAUAUAAUUAACAAAUGGACAGGCUAAAAAGUAAUAUAAUAAUAAUAAAAAUAAUUUAGGAUAAUAAUAAAAUACUAAUGUAACAUAACCAUGAAACAGGGAAUUCAGUAGGAAGAUGAAAUCUCAAUAAGUUCGUAGCAAUUUUCGAAACAUUAUUGGGAUUUUUGUGUAUUUAGUUAUGAAUUUUCCAAGAAAAAGUAAUAAAAUAAUAAUUUAGGGUAAAAUGCAAGGAUGUGGCCAUGUUGACUGACGUACACUUGUGCAAGUGAUGAAAGUUGACGGGCUGAGAUCGUGCCAGGUGUCCUCUUGCAAUUAUUUUGGCUUUUUUAGUGCAAAAAUCUUUGAAAAAAGGUAAUAAAUAGUAGGUCUUGUGACGUUAUAAAACUAGGGGAACCUAUAAAUCAUCCGUCUCGCAAUGAAAAAAUCCAAAUUAUUUUAGAUAACUCACUUUCCUCUUAACCCUAAGUAUUUAUGUUUGUUAACUUUAACUUCAAUAACCUACUUGAACAAUCAUCUCCCGUUAAUGUUCGGAAUUAUUUUUUUAAAAUGUGUAACCAUGUAUCGGGGAAUUCAACAAGGGAGAUUGAGUGUCAAUGAGUUCGUAGCAAUUUUCGGAUCAUUUUUCUAAUUUUUGUGUAUUUAGUUAUGAAUUUUCUAAGAAAAAGUAAUAAAAUAAUAAUUUAGGGUAAAAGGCAAGGAUGUGGCCAUGUUGACUGACGUACACUAGUGCAAGUGGUGAAAGGUGAUGGGCUGAGAUCGCGCCAGGUGUCCUCUUGCAAUUAUUUUGACUUUUUUAGUGCAAAAAUCUUUGAAAAAAGGUAAUAAAUAGUAGGAAAAUCCUAAAAAUGCCCCGAAAAUUACUCGGACCUCCUUGUGAUGUUAUAAAACUAGAGGAACCUAUAAAUCAUCCGUUUCGCAAUGAAAAAAUCCAAAUUAUUUUUACAUAACUCACUUUCCUCUUAACCCUAAGUAUAUAUUUUUGUUCACUUUAACAAUUAUAUUUCCUUAAUAUUCGUUAUAUAAUUUGUAAUAAUACAAGAAUUAGUUUCCUUUCAUAUAUAAGGAUGUAAAAUAAUUUGUUUUGUUAUAAUAAUGUACAUAUAUAAUAAUUGCACAUGCUUUGAAGCCAUCAUUGCAACUACGCCUAGAGCUUUGAACACGUCAGAGGUAUUCAAUAAGUUGUCCAUAUGACGCCGCAUUGGGAAUCAGUAAUAUAUUUUCUAUCAUGUCCAAUCACAUAAAAUAAUGCCAUACUUUUUCUGAAAAACCUCACACAAGUCAAGCAAUUUUAAAAUAUUAGUGAAUAUUUGUCCUAGUCUAUAUGAGUGAUUAUAUAUUCAGUCUGCAUUUUUUCACAGUAUAUGUUAACUUUCAGAGGGAUUCCACAAACAUAUAAUAUAAAGAAAGAAAGAAAUAGUAGGAGAUGAACCAGUACAAAAAACAAUAUAUAAAUGGUACAUAAUAAUUCCAUAACCUUGUCACAAACGCACUCACAAAUGCUUUUCCAUAAACCUUGUCCUAACAUAUAAUAAAUAAAGGCAACAUUGCAUAUGAUGCAACCAUGUCCAAAUCUGAUACGUGAUCACAAAAAAAUGGACAUGGCAGCAACAUAUGACUGAAGUAGAUGAGCUCUUUGCAUCUUGUGUUAUCGUAAUUAAAGACAUCAAAAGAUUAAGGUUGAAAUCUUCCAUAGUAGUAAGCAUCAAAAUAGGUUUGAAGCAGAGUUUAACGAAAAUUCCAAUUCCACUUAUUGGCCUCUGCUCAAACACGAGAACCAAAAUGGUUACUUCCCUUGCUGAGUAUAUUUGUUAACGUCGGAAACAGUAACAGAUGACCAAUCAAACCCGGGUACGACGAGUUUUGCAUAGGAUCGGAAGUAGUCGAAUCCAGCUUGCAUCACACGCUUCUUUGACUCCACUGCAUUAGAUGAGUUCUUGUAUUUUUGAACAGCUACACUCCGAAGUCGUUUGUGUCUACGCUUCAUGCACUGCAAAUUCGCCCUAUCCAGAUUGGCCUGCCUUUUGUCAUCUUCAAUUUGGCCUUCAACAAAUUCCAAACGUGCCCUUGGCCUUUGGAUUUCAUCACCAAGUUGAAGAUGCCUCUCCUUCCAAAAAGCAAGAACUCUUUCAGAUUCAAAACUUCCAACAAAAUGGUCAUUCUGUCUAGGAAUGUGACAUUGCUUGUCUAGUGACUCACUUGCGUUUCGAAGGCAGUCUUUGUUUGGAGGGGUGUUUAUUAUGCUCACAUCAAACUUGGUUAGUAAAUCCAUUUUAUGGGGGGAGUGAGUUUCUAUGGAGGAGAGAGUUUUAGUAGAUGGAGACAGAUUCGGUGAAGGAGUGAGUUUUGUGUGGAGGGAGAAUUUCUAUGAAAGGAGUGAUAGUAAUAGCAAUAAAAGGGUUCCCGCCAAAAAAUAUUUGGUUGACAAUGUAUAAAUUAAUUUUUGGUCUGAUACAAUCUAAGUUUAAUCCUAACUAGUUUGGUUGAGUUCACUAACUAGAUGUCACUUCCAUUGAGUUUCUUUCAACCACUAUCAGUGGUGUAAGGAGAGUGUGAGGUUGACAUGCUUGAAAAGCAAAACCUGACACCUCUUUUUUUAAAAAUUGAAAGAAAGUACAUAUGUUGACUACACACAACCUUUGGUAUGUUGGUCUAUAAACCUAUGUUCCCUUUCUCAAAUGAAAUUGCAUAUGCAAUCCUCAUCCUCCCAAAACAAAUAGGAUUAUUCAAGCAUGUCAACCUCUUCAGGCGCCAACAACACAAUCGAAGAUGACAAAUUGGAGUCGCAGGUUCUAUUUCCACAUUGUACUCACCGACCCCUUCCUUUUUCAACAUCAUUUGGGAGUGAGGGGGACUCCGAUGAUCCAUUAGAGGCAAUACAUGCAGUCAGUAGCAAGCUGGAUUAUAAUUCCAAACUGAUCAAUUCAUGGCACGAGAAAUGUGUUGAAGACGAGGCCAUUUUGGCUGAUCUUAACAUUAGAGUGAACAAAGGGUUCUCCCAAAAGAACAAGUACUUGAAGCUGAGUCAUAAAAGGAAGCUGAAAGCUGAGGAGUUGGAUACAGUAAUAAAUGAUGAAAUUAAAGGUUGUUUGAUGAACCAUAUGCGAUGCAAAGAGCAUCAUAGUGAACUGGAGUUGGCAUUCAACGAAGGAUUUUUAAAAUUUCAAGCAUUUGCGGCAACUACUCAUACAAGUUAUAAUUGGGACUAUGUGUCCCCUGAUGCUGUGAGAGAGAUACUAGACGAUGAUGGUGACAUGAAUGAGCAUAAGCACGUCAAAGCUGCUCGGAAGAAGCCGACCGAUACGACUAAGUGAUUGCGGCUACCGUUGUUCAGUUGGUUGAGGGUGAUCAUGGUAUUGCACAAAUUAGAAGUAUAUUCCCUUAAUGUCAUUAUCUAAUUUAAAAUAACACAAAUAUCAGUUUCAUUUGCUUCAUAUAUAAUUAUUGGGACUAUGUAUUGCAAGUCAUCAUGUGUUCCUUCUGUCUAACAUUAUAUUUUGCAAAUAUCGAAAUAUUAUUCAAUAAGCAGUCAAUAUCACAGCAAGUUGGGAAUCAGUAAACCCCCAUUAUCAUGUACAUUCACAUUAAAGAGCUGGUGUACUUUUUCUCAAAAAACUGACACGUGAGUCAUAAGUAACAUAACAUGUGCUAUACAUUGUUUAGUGAAUGGUUUAUGAUUUAUUUAUAUAUAAUAAAAUUCCAAAUAUUGCUGAAUAUUUAUUUCGUCUAUAUCACUGGGGACAUGAGUGAACAUACGCAUGUGAGACCUGCUAAGAAGAAGCUGACCAAUACGACCGAGGGAUUGUGGCUACCAUUGUUCCGUUGGUUGGGGAGAUCGUGGUAUUGCUAAGAGGGAGCACAUAAUAUGUUUUGCAAUCAAAUUUUCUUUUGUGUGUGGAAUUUUCUUUUAUGUGUGGAAUUAUGAGUAGUUCAAAUGUUAGUGUACCCUUUAAUAUUCUCCAACAGUUCAAAAUGUGAUUAGCUGAAUGUACUUUUUUACACGCUGCUUUCUAAUCACUCUGUUCCAACAAAAGGCUUUAAGUAUCCUUCAGUUACAAAUGUUUACAAAAUCGUGCCCCUAAUAACCAGUCGAGCUUAGAUCUUAAUAACCAGUAAAACACUAGAACAUAACAUUCGGAAAAAGUGAGUACUGUUGGAAAUCAUUACUGGUAAUGGAAACAACAGCUGGCUGCUGGAAAUGCUGCAUUAGCAUGUGAUAUAAUCAAUGAAUCUCUGUUAAAACAUAAUUCACCAUAAACUACCCAUUUUACAUGGUAAAAGUCAUUGCUUCUUCACAUAACUCAAAAUUUGAUACUUUAUCAAAUGUCUAUGAAAAUUUCUAAAUAGGGAGAAGACGUAAAAUUAACAUGUGUCCAAAUUUCAUGCAAGAAUGAAACCAAGCAAAUUUUCAUUUCAAUUACCAGUGGACAUAGUAAGAGCUCAUGGGUGGACAUGAACAAAAUAAUAAUAAUAAUAAAAACUGAAUCUAGAAAACUUCACCUGAUCAUUAGUCUUCAUAACAACCGGAUUUCGUCUAAUAGAAACAUAAAUCAUUCAGUUGGUCCGUGCAUCCUGUCAAAUUCGUCGAAUAAUGGGUCACUACGAUCUAUUGGAGUUGAUUCGUCAUUGUUCGAUGGUGAUGUCCUGCAUAAACAUCAAACAAAAGCACAUAAAAAAUUUACCUAUUCAAAUUUUAGGUGUUAUUAUAAAUAGUGUUAGCAUCUUACGGUGUGUUCAAAUUUCUUGAGCAUUGUCUUCUAUCAUGGCCAAUGUGUCCACACUCCCGACAGUGUCUAAUCCUUCGCUUCAUUGCCUUUUCCUUUGCUCCCGUUACUCGUUUCGACCUUCCUUUGCACCUCACUCUCUUAGGGUCUUUCAUAUAUUGUGUUUGAGAGCUGGACUCUCCAACUUCGUUAUUACUUGGUCCAUCCUUCAACAACUUCAACUUCACCUACAAACUUUUUAGAGUCUCUGACAGUAGCUCACAUCCUUCUUCACUCAUUAAUGCAUCCUCAACCACAUCUGAAGCAAGUCGAGACAUUGUACUCCGCUUUAUUAAAAGACCAGGAUUUGCAGAGUCUUUAAUUUCGUUGCCAUUUGCAUCUGACACCAAUCCAGAUUUCGCAGUUUUCUUCCACCUCUUCAAAAUAUAUUUAUCGGGCAUAUAUUCAAUCUGGUCCCUUCUGAACAAUGCUAAGAUGUGCUUGCAAAUAAUUCCAACAAAUUCAAAUCUUUUGCAGCUACACGAUGCGUGGUCAGAAUCUUUGACAUAUACAACUUCUGCCACUCUUGUUUCCCAAUUUUUCCUUUCGCUCACGUUAAAGACAACUUUAGAAGCAUCCUCUGUUUUGAGCUCUAGGAAACAUGCUGUACUUUGUAUUAGUUCUUGCUCAAACUUUUGAAACAUUGUCCUUGUGUACAAGGUAGCCAUUUGUUUGUUUAUUGGCAUCGGUAGAAUACAUUGAGCCACUUCAAAUGCAUCUAUGUGAUCAGCAACUAACUCUUUUUGACGUUGAUGAGAAAGUGCCCUCUCAAAUCGUAUUAUGAAAUCCAUCAACGAAUUUCUCUUUGAUAUGUAUUGCUUGAAAAAACCAUGAGAACCUUCCGCUAUUUGGCUGCUUGAUAUUCCAGCGGCAAAAAAUUGUCGUGCGUAGGCUGGAACCCAAGAUUCCCUUAAAUCAAACAUUGAACUUAGCCAUGGAUGGUCAGUCAAACCAGCCUUUGUAACCACAAUAUUCCAUUUUGCAUCAAACUCAUCCUUAUUGUCAGUAUCCCAUAUGACUUUCUGAAAUUCACUCCAAUACUCCUUAUAAGCAGAAUGUGGUAACUUAACAGAGAACUUUGAUGUGAUGUGCCAUAUGCAAAGUCGAUGAAAUGUAGUCGGGAAGGCUAUUGAAAUCACUCUGGUCAUUGCCGCAUCUUGAUCUGUAAUGAUCAUUUUAGGUUCGCCACCUGGCAUGGGUUUCUUAAACUCCUCAAACAUCCAAAUAAACGACUCAGUCGUUUCCUUGCUAAAAAAUGCACAUGCUAAGACAAUUGUCUGACCAUGGUUAUUAACUCCCAACAUUGGUGCAAAUGUCAAGUCGUAUCGAUUCGUGUUGAAUGUGGUAUCGAAUACAACAACAUCUCCAUAAAACCCGUACGCCCGUCUAGAAGUUGCAUCUGCCCAAAAAAAUCGACUAAACUUGUCAUGGCCAUCUCCCUCAAUCUUGAAAUAAAAAGCCUCAUUUUUUUCUGUUCAGCCAUAAAAUACUCGGUCACUAGUUCAACAUCGUGGUUCCUCAGCUUCCCAUUCACACUACAUUCAAGAUUGUAGAUAUCUUUUUUGAUAAAUCUGAUUUUAUCCAUUCCUCCGGAUUGCACCUCGAAAAUACUUACCUUCUGAUGAAUGAGAAUAUUAACUGAACCCAACUGUUUUGUGAGUACUUUUGUAGAAUCUGAAAUACGACGGUGUGAUCUUAAUAAAUGCAUUCUUUCUGAGGGUGUCAUCUUAUGAUUGUGUCCCUCUGCAAAAAGAGAGAUGGUAUACUUCUUGCUCCCAUUUGCCUUCACAACUACAAUCUUAGCUUUGCAAUUGCAUCUACUUAUUCCCCGUUGUCUUUUUCUCUCUCAAGUUUCAUCUCUCAUGUAUGCACCUUGUUUGCAACAUACAAAUUCUUUCCUCAAAAUCUCUUUCUUAUUUUUCCCCCAAAAGCUGGAAUGAAGUCGAAUACCAAAGCCAGCCAAGAAUGCAUAUCUAUUAUAGAAAUUGUAAACGAGGUCAAGCGAGUCGAACUUCAUCCCAACUGCUGGUGUUUCCUCAUUUCUUACUUCAGGAAUAUAAACCCUCCCAUUAGCUGUUACACAGUCAUCACUCUCUGAGCCCCCAGACAUUUUAUCUACAUAUAUUAUUGAUCCACUUCUAUAUUACUGCAUAGCAAAUAUUAAUUCAUUAAUCAGUCAUUACUGCAUCACAACAUAUCAAUGCAUUCCACUUACACAAAACAUUGCCCAAAUUGACACAAAACACACAUAGCCUAACUUGUUGGAUUCCGAUUACACAAAACGCAAGCAAAAUUUAAUAAUAGUUACGUCAUCUCUUGUGAAAUAAUCUGGAAAAAAUAACAUUAGAACCAACAUGUUCAACUAAGAACACAAAUGUAAUUCAAACCACCAAUUACAGAACUUCACCCAAUAUCCUCUCCAAAUGCUUACUCCUAAUGUCAUUAAGCCUAAAUUUAGGAUCUUUUACCUACAUUUCAUAAUUUUCCACCCCCACCAAAAACAAUCAACUAAGUAUAUUGAAUAUUCAUAAAGAAAGGACACAUUAUUGACUCCACCAAUGACGCAUUAUUGAUGCCACAAAUGACGAAUUUCCCACCCUCACAAAAAAUAAACCAAAGCCAAUAAAAUCAAUCCAGCAAGUGAACUUACCUCUCAAAAUCAAUCGGGAGCUCCGAAGUCAGUCAGCUUGAGAGAAUGUGGUGGACAUUAGAGAAGACUCUUUGGUAUUUGAGACUCCAUCUCUACCAAAAUUGAGGAACAACUGCUGCUGCGGCAUCUAGCUACAAAAAGAGAUAUGCUACUUUACUUUCAUCUGGAAUCUUGUCUGCUGAAUGAAAAAGAGAAGGGGUUUUCACUUGAGCCAUAAAAUCAAAACAGGGCAACAGCUAGGUAAGAGCCAUUAAUCGCAAUACCGAGGAUACCAUAGAUCGCAGGCCUCCCAAGAAGCUGAUGACAAUGGAGUGACUAUAGGGUUUGGGAGCUUUGGAUCCUUCUAAUUGUGGGUUUUCUUUACAUUCAAAAAGAGAGGAUUAUGUUCUUGAGUUUUUCACAAAGAGGGAAAGAGGGAAAGAUGAGACUGAAGUUGGGUUUCUAACGGGUUAGAUUUCAACCCGAUUCUACAUGCACCCUUUUUAAAAACUCACCGUUGGAUGAAAUCCAACGGCUCUUACAUACCCCUCAAAAACACCCCUUAUAACUUUCCACUCACUAUAGAAGCUCCCAAAAGAAAACAGAUUUGCCAAAAAUCAAAUUUUAAGUCUCUCCUACGAUCGAAAUUUGGAUUUGAUGAACUAAAGUGGUUUUACUUUCUCCAUCAGUGUUUGAUGACUUAAUUUGUUAUUUACUUUUUUUAAAAAAACUUUAUCUUAUAUAUAUUAGUUUUCUUUUUUCCUUCAUAUUCACCACCUUUAUGUUGCUUAAGUAUUUCAGUCUUAACGGGUUUCCAUCUACCACUCAUCUUUGCUCUUCUCAGUGUAAGCCUUUUUUUUAAGCAUAAGAUUAGAGGGGAGGGGGGGGAGGGGGAUUUCUUAAUGUAAGCUUUGCAGUUUCAUAAUUAAUAUUUCCAAUAUCUCACUGUUAGUAAAAUACAAAACAUGAAAAGUAUGAAUAAAAUACGCACAUGUUACUAAUUUAUUGAGAUAAAAUACCAUUUUGCCCCUAGAAUAUUUUAUUAGGUUUAAAGUUGACUUUUUGACCAGGAAGGAAUUUGGGUAUUUCGACUAUAUCGUUGCAUAGAGCACGACGAGGUGAUUCCAUAGACACGUGGUAGGCUCGAAUCGGAGUUGUAAUGAGAGACAUACGAUCAAAAUACCUUCAGUGGCAUAAUCGUAAUUUUGGCUUAAAGGGUUUGAUAAAAUAUGAUUUUUCUUUCUUUCUCUCUCUCUCUCUCCCCGCCCAGUCUCUCUCUCGUGACGGCAGUGAUAGCCGGCCACAUUUUGGCCAGCCGUGCUCUCGUCCGGCCACCAAAGCUGAUGGGGCCGGUACCAAAAUGAUCAGGCCACCAUCCUUUUCCAACCUCAGCCAGGCCCCGCCGCCAGCAGUCGUGGUUUUGCCGGAAAAUGGAGAAGAAGCGGCCGGUUUUGUUCGAACUUCUCCGACUUCGUUCUCCCUCCUCUGGCCACCGAUUCCGAUGAAUGAGGUAUGGUUUCUCACCUACUUUUCAUGCUCUAGCUGCCUGUUGGGUAGGAUUCGAUCAAUCCCUAGUGUAGGUGGCUUGAUUUUCGAAUUGGGUUUCAGCCGAUUUUGGGAUCUCGAUUCCAGCCCCUUUCGAUCAGUUUUUAGGGUAGGUCCCAGAACAAAAGUGGUUCCAAAUAGGGUGUUAUACCUAGGUAGGAACCUUGAGCCGUGAUUUUGAGAAUUUUCUACGAUGCCUAAUCGCUUUGGACACCCACGCGCUACCGGCACGUGGGCACUGUAGAAAAAGGGCAUUGUGUCCCGAUGCGAUCCCCUUGUUGUCUUGAGUGCAUAGGUGUGCUCGGAUUUCAAUUGAAUACCGUUUGAGUCUCGAACGAAUAUCACAUAUUGUGCGUUAUCCGGAGUCGAUAGGUUUGAACCGUUGGAUAGUCUUAGAUUUAUAAUAUGUUAAUCUAGAUAUUCUUAGGAUCAAAAAGGAUUUGACGGAUCGUAAAAUGGAGUCCCGGAUACUCCGAAAAUGCCAACCCUAGGGCUAGGUUCCUAGUAACCGUCCGAUCGUGCAAUCAUGAGCAAUCCGACAGUCCGAUCCGGACCAAACUUGCAGGACGUGUAUCCUAAACCUUGUAGAACCCAUAGGAACUUUCAGAUUAGAAUUUGGAGGUCGUGGGCCCCUUGGGCCCGUUUGACUAAGUUUGGGUAGUUUGACCAUUGGCUGAUCGUGAGUCUUCAAAGGUAGUUUUACCUUCCUAGGAGGAUUAUAAAGACCCUAGUGACAGGUCUUGAGCGUUGUUGAGCUAUGUUGACUAGGUUUAGACUUUUAGAGUGUUUAUUAUUAUCGUAGGAAACUCUUGGAUAUUAUUUUAAUAAUUGAAAUUAUGAAAUUUAUGUUUAUGUGCAUGAUCGUUGGUCUAAAAAUAGCAUUAUUUUCCUGAUAAAAUUACGUUGCAGUAUACUAUAGAAUGGUAUCACUAAAUGGGGAUUACCUCUAUUAUUAGUUUAGAUAAUUAUGAGUAUGUCAGUUUGAAGUGCUAUACGCACUACCCUAAGUACCACCCUGUGAUUGUUAGGUCCCAUGUGGUGUAGGUUAUCCAGUGUAAGGACAGACCCCAUACGUGGCUUCAGAUGUUCUGAAGUAUUGGGGAGAUUAUGUGAUGGUUUUGUCACACGUGGCGUAGGUUAUCCGGCGUGUUGACAGACCAUAUACAUGGAGUUGGAUGUUCCGGCAUAUGGAGAGAUUUUGUGAUUGUUAGGUCCCACGUGGCGUAGGUUAUUCGGCGCGAGGACAAACCCUAUAUGUGGCUUUAGAAGUUCCGGCGUAUGAGGGAGAUUAUGUGAUGGUUAGGUCACACGUGGCGUAGGUUAUCCGGCGUGUUGACAAACCUCAUACGUGGUGUUGGAUGUUCCAGCGUAUGAGGAGAUUUUGUGAUUGUUAGGUCCCACGUGGCGUGGGUUAUCCGGCGUAAGGACAGACCCCAUACGUGGCUUUGGAUGUUCCGGCGUAUGGGGGAGAUCAUGUGAUGGUUAGGUCACACAUGGUGUAGGUUAUCCGGCGUGCUGACAGACCCCAUACGUGGCGUUGGAUGUAACGACCCGGUCCUAAAUAAAUUAGUAAAUAUUAAUUUAUUCAAAGAAAAUACCAUUUUGCCCAUAGAAUAUCUUAUUAGGUUUAAAGUUGAUUUUGUGAUCGGAAAGGAAUUUCAGAAUUUCGACUAUACCGUUGCGUAGAGCACGACGAGAUGAGUCCGUAGACACAUAGUGGGCUCGAAUCGGAGUUGUAACAAGAGAGAUACGAUCAAAAUACCCUCAGUGGCAUAACCGUAAUUUUGGCGAAAAGGGUUGAUAAAAUCAUAUUUCUCUCUCUCGGCCGGAAAUCCCAGUUGACAAAAUCCCGGCCGGAAACCUUGAAUUUCAGCCACAGCUUCGACUGGUUUGAACAGGGUUUUUCCCGGCUUUGCCCCAUCGCCUCCGCCGCCCAAUUCUGGUGAAACAGGUAUGGUUCCUCACCUAUUUUCCGAGAUCUAGCUGCUGUUGUGUAGGAAUUGGACAAUUUUCGUGUUUAGGAACUCGAUUUAGAAUUUUGGUUUUGCCCGAAUUUUCAAAGUGAAAUUUCGGCCACUUCUGCUAGUUUUUGGGGUAUGUCCAAGAACAAAAGUGGUUCCAAAUAGGGUGUUAUACCUAGAGUAGGAACCUUGAGCCAUGAUUUUGAGAAUUUUCGGCGAUGCGUAAUCGCUUUGGAAGCGCGUGGGCACUGUUGAAAAGGGGCAUUGUGUCCCGAUGAGAUUCCCCUGUUGUCUUUAGCGCGUAGGUGUGCUCGGAUUUCAAUUUGGAUACCGUUUGUGUCUUGAACGGAUAUCACAUAGUGUGCGUUAUCCGGGUUCGAUAGGUUUGAACCGUUGGAUAGUUUUGAAUUUGAUAUAUGUUAAUCUAGGCAUUUCUAAGAUCGUGUAGGAAUUCACGGAUCUUGAAUCGGAGCCCUGGAUGUUCCGAUUUAAUAACUUAAAGUUUAUGUUUAUAAUAACCGUCAGAUCGUGCAAUUGUGAGCGAUCCGACCGCCCGAUCCAGACCAAACUUGUUGGACGUAUAUCCUAAACCUUGUGGAACCUAUAGAAAUUUUCGGAUUAGAAUUUGGAGGUCGUGUGCCCCAUGGGCCCGUUUUACCAAGUAUGGGUAGUUUGACCCUUAGUUGACCAUGAGUCUUCCGAGGUAGUUUUACCUUCCUAGGAGGAUUAUAAUGACCCUAGUGACAGGUCUUAACCGUUGUUGAGCUAUGUUGACUAGGUUGAGACUUCUAGAGUGUUUAUUAUUAUUGUAGGAAAUUCUUAGAUAUUAUUUUAAUAAUUGAAAUUAUGAAAUUUAUGUUUAUGUGCAUGAUCGUUGGUCUAAAAAUAAUAUUAUUUUCCUGAUUAAAUUACGUUACAGUCUACUAUAGACUGGUAUCACUGAAGUGGGAAUACCUCUAUUAUUAGUUUAGAUAAUUGAGAGUAUGUCAGUUUGAAAUGCUAUACGCACUACCCUAAGUACCACCCUAUGAUUGUCAGGUCACCCGUAGCGUAGGAUUUUCUGGCGAGAUGACAUACCCCAAUUGUGGCGUUGGAAUUUCCGGCGUAUGGAGAGAUUAUAUGAUUGUCAGGUUACGCGUGGCGUAAGAGUUUUCGGCAUUAUGACAGACCUCAUACGUUGCGUUGGAAUUUCCGGCGUAUAAGGAGAUUAUUUGAUUGUCAAGUCACCCGUGGCGUAGGAUUUUUCGGCGGGAUGACAGACCUCAUACGUGGUGUUGGAAUUUUUGGCGUAUGGGGAGAUGAUAUGAUUGUUACGUCACAUGUGGCGUAAGUUAUUCGACGUGCUGACAGACCCCAUAGGUGGCGUUGAAAUUUCCGGCAUAUGGGGAGAUGAUAUGAUUGUUAGGUCACACGUGGCGUAAGUUAUCCGGCGUGCUGACAGACCCCAUACGUGGCGUUGGAAUUUCCGGCGUAUGAGGAGAUUAUGUGAUUGACAGGGAGAUGAAUAAAGGUAUUGUAUGUGUUUGGAAUGGGGAUUUAGUAGGAAGAACUACGUGUGGCUUGAUCCCUCAGUGAGGGUAUGUAGGUAGCCUAAGGUUAUUAGGUGCAGCCGCGGACAUAGAUGUGAUUGUGUUAGGAGGUUAAAACCUCGUAUGUUGGAAUUGGAAAAGUUAGAUGAUGUAUGUUGUAUUUAGUAUUCAUAAUUCAUAUUUGAGUUUAUUAUUUGCCUUGCUGAAAGCAAUAUGUGACUCAAGAGCUUUGUGGGUAGUUUGGGAUAUUAAAUGUGUUUUAUGCAGGUUGAAAAAUUUGGGGAAUGAUCAAUUUACAGGGGAGACUUUGCCGAAAUUUCGACAGAAAGUCCCGGUCUUUAGUAAGUGGGCCCGGCAUCGGGGUGAUGUCGAGAAUUCCAUAGGAUUCGUAUCGGGUUUCGGGAAAUCUGGGGCUAGUCUUGUCAUUGGAUGUUCCGGCGUAUGGGGAGAUUUUGUGAUUGUUAGGUCCCACGUGACGUAGGUUAUACGACGUGAGGACAGACCCCAUACGUGGCUUUGGAUGUUCCGGUGUUUGGGGAGAUUAUGUGAUUACUAGUGAGAUGAAUAAAGGAUUGUUUAUAUUGGGAAAAAUGUGUUUGUAGAAAGAAUUACGUGUGGCUUGAUCCCUCAGUAAGGGUACGUAGGCAGCCUAGGGUAGUGGUUAGGUGCAGCCGCUGACUAAACGUUAUAAUGUUGUUUUUAGGUUUGAUUAUAUGGUAUUAUGGGCCGAGGCCCCUGGGACUAUUGGUUAUAAUUCAUAGAUGGUAGUUGAUGCAUGCUAGAAAUUUGUAGGAAGUUAUUUCAUGUGGAUUGCAGUGGUACUCGUAAAAUUUAUUUGAGUUCCUGAAUUGCAUUGUUAGUAUAUUAAUUGACUUAAGAGUACUGCUAGUAGUUCUGCCUUGAUUUAUUUGAAGGUUGGAGGCCUUGUCUGUAAACUGUGUGCAAUUACAUUGUGUGUGCUGGCAGUUGGCUUUUUAAAUUGUGAAUUUUGUGCAUGUUGAAAUUUGGGAAAUGUUCAAUUUACAAGGGAGACUCUGUCAAAAUUUCGAUAGAAAGUCUUGUGCCCUUAUUCCUUUUUCGGAAAAAGGAUAUAUAGCUUUAGAAGUGGGCCCGACAUCGGGAUGAUGUCGGGAAUUUCGACAGAAUUCGUCUUAGGUUUCGGAAAAUUCGGGGCGGGUCCGAAAAAGUUGCUUCAGUUUUGGCAAGUAUCGGAAAAGACCAAAAUUUUCCGACUUUAUUAUUACUAGAAACAAAGUCGAAGUAUUCACCAAUCAUGUGGCCUUCCAAGUGCUCAAGGUUAAGCCAGGAACCGUUCCUAUCUGCCGUUUCCUUCCCAACUAUGAUCAUGUUGUCUAGGUUCCAACCCACAAAUCUACAUUGGGCUAUGUAUUUGAAUUUGUACUAAAGCGUGAUCUAUAGUAUGCAUUUAUUAGAUAAGUUUGAGAUGGCAGUGGCUUGGGUGUCCGCCGAGCUUGAACAAGUUUGGGUGUGCUGAGUGUUUCCAUGGGUGCGUUGAUGAUCAUGGUUAUUAGAUUUGUGAUAGUUUGGGCUCAAUUUCAACAGAACUUAUCUCAAGCCUAGUUAGUUGAUUCAUAAGUUUAUCAGGAAAAAAAAAUGAAAAAUGAAAAAUGAAAAAUGAAAAAAUCUUAAGUUAAGCCCAAGGACUUCUCACCAAAGUGUGCAUAAAUUGAAAUAUUUAAUAGAAGCCCAAGAUUUCUGAAGCACAUAAUAUCUACUAAAUUCUACAAAGUGUUAUACUUUACAAACUUCCUAUGUGUACCAAUUUUUACUAAAAUUAAUUUCUCUGCGGUGUUGAGAUUCAUCAUAAUUUUAGUAGAAAUUGGAAGUUUUCAUCAUUUUUGCUUUAAGUCUCUCCUCCACUCACUAAUAAAGAUUACUCAAGUGAGUUUACAAAACAUUUUUUUCUACUCUCUCCUGAAAACUACACUUCUUCUCAAAAGAUUAGAUCACUUCACAUCUUGCAUAUGUGAAAACUAAUGUAAAAAGUUGAAACUUUAUCAUAAAACCUCGACAAAAAUUAGCUCUACUUAAAACGUUAAAUUUGGAUUCGUUGAUUUAAAUGGCAAUUUGACACUUCAUAGAAAUUUUUACAUACAUGUGUUAGUGUUUGAUCACUUCACUUGUUACUUACUAUAUUUAUUCCAUGAUUCUCCCUCAAGUUAGGUAAAUAUUAUUAUCAAACAUUUCAAUUCAUUUGUGAUCUUUCUUGUCCAUCUUUUAAUGUACCCUGAAAUCCAUUAGCCACAUAUGAUGACCAAAAUCCAUACGUUCCUAUUUUUAAUGUAUGUUUACUCCCUAUAAUGUUCCAGUCUAGGGUAAUAACACUGCUAGUUUCAUAUGACAUCCUAUUUCUAAUGUGUAUCUACCCUUGUAAUGUUCCAGUUUAGGGUAAUAACACUGCUAGUUUACUAUCAUGUUGAUUAAUGCUUGUCAUGUUGCUAUUUCUAAUACAUGUCCAACAAAGAAAAGAUGAAGAAAGAACAAACCAGACCAACUCAAAAUAAGUUGAGUCCAAAUAGUUAAUACUAUUAUGUCGUAGAAGUACGUUGUUAAUACUCUGUAAUAGAAGUACAUGGUUAAUACUCUGUCAUAGAAUUACAUUGUUAAACAAAAAUAAGAUCCAUAACUGAAAUAGUAAUAAAAGAUAAGUCGAUCAUCAAAUCUUAAAAUACAUUUCGAAAAUCAACUAAAAUCCGAAGAGAAACACAUAAUUGAAGCAAAAGAUCAAAAAUCUCAAGUCCAAACCAAACAACGACGACGACGACAAUGAUGACGACAAUGACGUGGCGAAGAGGAGUAGAGCUCGAAGAUGAGGAGUAGAGCUAAGAGCAUUUGAUCAAGGUUCGUUUGAGGUCUCGAACAAUCCGAAAAAAAAAAAUCAAUAGAAGCAAGAUUUUAAAACAAGAAUCGAAUGUGAAAUAUUGAAAAUUGUAGAUUAAAGAUGAAGAAUAUAGUUGGACCUGAGACUGAGCUCCAAUGGAAGCUCCUCUUGCUCCAACACCAGAGAAAGCACCAACAAGAAAAGAGAAAAUAAAUAUGAUUUGGAUUUUUGGCAGAUUUGAAUUUUUGGCAGAUCUGGUUUUUUUGGCAAAUUUGAAUUUUUGGCAGAUCUGUGCAGAUUUGUUUUUUUGGCAGAUCUGAUUUUUCUCUCUCAAAUCCAUAUUGCAAGGGCAAUAUAGGUAUUUAACACACACAAAUAAACUAAAAAACAGCUAUUAAAUUGAAAAAUUUGACAGCUAUCAAUUUUGGGUGUGUUUGUAGUUUUUAAAUAGUAUAGGGUUUCUUUAUUAGACUAUGUCUACGAUUGGGUAUAUAAUUAAAUUUCUAUUAUUAAAAAAAAAGGACCCUAGUAAAGCCAUGGGACGAUACUCCUUUUAUAUAUAUUAUAUGAUAUAAAUAUUAUAAUAUAUUAUCUAAUAUUUGGAAUAUUUACUCUAAAAUAAACAAUAUAUUAGGUUCUUUUUGUCUACAAAUUGACCAUUAAACUUCUUAAUCACUCUUAUACUUUUAAUUAAAUCUACUAGGCUAGGUUACGAUAUUUGCACUAAAAACUCCUAAUUGUUUUUUCUUCUCUUUCUCUUGCUCUUUUUUUAACUUAAGCUGAAGUUUUGUAAUUUUUUUUCCCUCCCUUUUUACAUGUAUGAGUAGGGUACUUUAAUAUUGGGAUUUAUGAACUUUUUUUGUAUUUCUUCUCUAUGUUGGAAUAUAAAUUAGAGAUAUUUAGUCAUAUACCCAUUCUUAGCACUAAUAUUAUAAAUAAACCUUACAUCAUUCAAUUCCUAUAAACAAACCCAAAAAAUAAUAGCUGGCCCUAUUGAAUUUAAUUUUGACUAUUAAAUUACUUUGAUGCCCUAUUGAGUGUUUUGGGCUUUUUUUUAUGAGAUUUUGGAGUUGAGUUUGUUUUAAGAAAUCAAUGGCAAUUUUGUAAUUUAAAAAAAAUUAAAAGGCUUUUUGUUAUGUUGUAAAUAGGUUUCGAGUGUGUUUCUAAAGUCCAUUUCAUAUAGGUUUUUUAUAUAUAAUAAUUUGAACUCCUAUAUUGGGUAUAAUAGUGAAUCUCCAUUUAUUAACUUUUGAGUCUUUAAUAGUGUAGAUGAUGAGAUUAAUAUUCAACCAUUUUAUAAUAUGAAAUUAAGGACAAUCAUGAUUGUAAUGAAUGGAUUAUUAAUCAAUAUGAAAUGAUAUUAUGAAGUAGGCUAAAUGGAGUAGUUAGUAUCGUAUUAACUUAUUAACCGGUUAGCGCUUGAGCCCUCUAAUUCAAAUUAUUUUAUAAAAUUUUGUGAAGGGCCCCUUCUAAUGCAAAUUCCUGGCUGCGCCACUGCCUAUAGCAACUUGGUAAUGUGUGUGAAACAUCCCCUCCUUUUGUCGUUUAAACUAUCGGUUCGCUUGUAUUAAUAAAACAAAAAAUAAAAUAAAAGAUAAAAUUAUAAAUAAAACAAAACACAUAUUAAAGCCUAACUGUUAAUAAUGGAUCCAACAUAAGAUCCAGCCCAAGCCCAUGAAUAAAGCCCCCGAAAACGGUUGGUCCCUCAAUUAAAUUAUUCGUUCAAAUGGUCCAUCAACUCUAUAUUAUUCGCUCCAUUGGUCCUACCGUUAUAUUUUGUCAAUAUUUCUGUUAAAUAUGAGGGCAAAUUGGUCAUUAUUUAUCCUAAAAUUAGGUUAAAUCUAACAUAAAAUUAGACGGUAGGAAUUCGGGGCAGGUCAUGUCAAAAAGCUAAUUAGAGGGGCGAAAUUGACAAAUAAAUUUAAUACAAUAGCUAAAUUGGUUGAAAGAUUAAUUCAAGAUGUAGAUUUCAACAAGUGUGAUAAUUCAUGGGGUAUUCGGUAAUUUACUCCUUUUUUUCCCCUUGAUCUUCUAUAUUCAAGUAAUGGAAAUGUGUUCCACAUUUUCCAUUUAGUUGAUUAUAGAAAAGGAAGAGCAAACAUGAGUUAAGCCCAAGGCACCGAACUUAGGGUCAGUUUGGCAUUGUUAUGCUGUGAAAAUAAUCGUUGUCAGAUUUGCUGUGAGAGAAAAUAGUUUGGCGUUUGGUAAAAUUUUUGUUAAAAGUAUUAUUAGUAUUUAUUUUACGCAUAAUCAGAAAAUGAUUGCUGCAUAAUCAUUAAAUCCAGCGCCUUUUCGAAACUGAUUUUUGCAUAAUCAGAAAAUGAAAGCACAUCAUUAGCUGCUUUCCUUUAUAGCUUUCUCUCACAUCAAUUUUUAACAAUAAGUGAUUUUCUCACAGUUUACCAAAUGGAUUGGGCUUCUCAAAAUUUUAAAAAAAUCACUUAUCACCCCAAAUAAGUAAUGCCAAACGGGCACUUAGACUUCUCACCAACGUGAGGAAGAAAAAUAUGACAAAUUGAUAUAUUUAAUACAAGCUCAAACUGUGCACAAAUUAAUAUAUGCAACGGAAGCCCAAGAUUAUUUCUGAAGCACAUAAUUUCCGCAAAAUCUACAAAGUGGUGGGAGGCAGACCAACAAAAAAAAGUAGCGAAGGCUUAUAACUCUGGUAAAACAAGAGUGACUUGGACAGAAUAAUGUUAUGUCGUACUGAAGAUUUUUGGGUUUCUUUAAUUGGUUAAGUUUAUAUACCUUCAUUUGAAGAUUCUUUAUUUGGGUUGCUUUCAAGAUGAAAACCAUAUCCACAACCACAACCACAACUGGCAGACAAUCUUUGGCUGUUCAUCACAAUUGGGCGACAAUGAAGAAGACAGAAAUUGGAGUAAUGUAUGUUACCAGCAAUCCACGAGAAACUGACAUCUGCAAGCUUUCGUAAUAUAAGGAGGAUGGGGAGGCCGUGCAAUACUUAUCACCUUAGCCACCACCUACACCACAAGACCAAUAUGUUGUAGGCCAGGAGGCUUUCCAAUUUUAAUAUAUAUAUAUAUAUAUAUAUAAAAGUAAAGUGACAAAGAAAUUAAUGUAGGGUAAAGGUAGAAUAGAAAAGAGAAUGAACAAAAUUAAUAAAAAAAAGUUUUAAAAAGUAAAAGGGAGUGUAGAUGGAGAAAAGAGGAAUGGGGAAAUUAGCUCCCUAUAUAUAUAUAGAUUGAAAAAUUAAAAUUAAAAUCAAUCUAUUAUCUUAUAUAUUAUAAAAUAAAGAUUAUUGCUCCAAGGAAAUGAGAUCUUUUGUUUUCUGGGAAUUUUCUGAACCAAGAAGAAUCAAGUAAAAUUAAUAAAGCAUAAAUUGGAAAGGGAAAAGAUCCAGAGGAUGCAUUGUAAGAUUGCUGAUGCCAAUAAUUGUACCCUCUAAUUUUAUACAUGGACGGGCAUUCAAAUCGGCAAAUCAGAAAUCCAAGCCAAAUCGCACAGGAAAAAAUCGAGUUGACCAAAUAGUCAACAACCAAUCAAAAACCAUACCGGACCAGUUUGGACCGGUUUUGGAUCCAAUUCUAUGUCUUCAAAAACUGAACCAAGCGGAACCGAACCAGUCAAAUUAAAAAAUAUAUAAUUUCAAUAUAUAUUUAUAUUCAAUGCUAUAUUUUUAGUCUCAUAACUAAUAUUUAUGCAAGUUCAAUUUCAAAACAUCUCUCUUUUCUGGCUUUAAUAUUUAUUUUUAUAUAAAAUUAAAUAAUUUAUUAAUUUUCAAGUCAAAAAAAUAAAAUUUUAGUUGAAAUUUGUAUUAAAAAAUUAUUUGAAAAAAAUUAAUUUUAAUAAUCCAGUUCAAAACCAAAUCGGACCGGAACCUAAUCAAAAUCGGUUCAACCUGAACCGGACAGUUUUUGAAUUUUUUUUGUUAAAACCGAACCAAACCAAACCGGACAAAUAGUAUCGGAUUCGGUUCUAAUUUGAGACAAAAACCAGUCCAAACCGGACCGUGCCCACCCUAUUUUUUUUGUUUUCAAGUCUUAGAUGACAUGUCGACCUAAAAUUAUUGUUCCUAGCGGGCUCUCCACCCCCACUCAACCUAUUGUGUAUUAUUAUUUUCAAUAUUAUCUUAAAUUUAACUACUUAUGUCCAUUAUGAUUAGUCAUGUAUUUUAUGGACCAUCCAGCUGUGAGGCUUUAUCUCAAAAACAUUCAGUACCUUUUUCCCGCUUGCAACAAUUGUAUUUGAUUCAGAAUUAUGUCCUAUAUUGGUGGGUGGAGUGUUACUUCUGGGUACCCCUCAUCAUUCGUCUAUAAAAUGGUGAAGCCAGUUGCUACUGUUACCAUAAGAGCCAUCUCCGACUUUCUUUAAUUUCUUGCUUCAUAUCCACUAGCUACAUCUGUUGCCAAGUUAAUUUCAGUCCUAAUGGGGUUUCAUCUCCCACUCAUCUUUGCUCUUCUCAGUGUAAGCUCUGCAAUUUGAUUAACAUUUCCAUUAUCUCUCAUUGUACUCUAUAUAAACGAAAGUUUUGCAUUCCUAUAAUCCUCUCUGAUUUUAUUUACCACAUAAGUGUCGUCCACUAAUUAAUUACACUUUGUGAUUUGAUUUUAAUUAGAGUUCGAAUUAAUGUUGCAGCUAGCAGCGGUGGCACUGGCAAACCAUGCUGCUCAACCAGCAGCUCAACUUUACUGGAACUCCGUCCUGCCGAACACACAGAUGCCAAGAACUAUCAGUGAACUUCUGCAUCUUGGUUUGUGUUAAUCACUUUAGAAUCUUAGAUAUUUUUUCUACCUGCCAUUUUACUAAAAUUUGUUUGACCACAUAUUUAUCGGUUAACUACUGUUUUCCAAUUUAUUAUUAACCUCUACAUGAGUAAUUAUAGUAUGGUACUAGAGUACGUACGGCAACAUAUUCACAAAUGUCUCACUGAAUCUUCAAUCGGCUGAUCACUUAUUUUCCAUUAUGACGUUGAUAUAUAAUUUGCCGACUCCACAAAUGAAGAAAAGAGCACAAAUAUCAUGAAUGCUGUUGGGAAUGGAAAGCCAACUGACCACAAGGGAAAACCUGAAAUAAACGCAUUGUUUAGCGGAUACACAAUUCAAGUACAGUAUGCAGGAGUUCCUAAUUCUGACAAUCAACUCCAGUAUUAUAAAAACAUAACUAUUUUCUUCUUGGGGAAGGACAUGCGCCUUGGCGCAACAAUGAACUUCCAAUUCCCUAGAAAUUCAAACACGGCUACUUUCCUGCCACGCGAAAGUGCUCAAUCAAUCCCCUUCUCCUCUAACAAACUAUCAGAAAUUUUCAAACAUUUUUCAGUGAAGCCAACAUCUGUGGAAGCCAAAACAAUUAAGAAAACAAUCGAAGAGUGUGAAGCUCCAGGCAUUAAGGGAGGGGAAAGAUAUUGCGCCACAUCUUUAGAAUCAAUGGUUGAUUUUAGCACUUCCAAGCUUAGAACAAGAAACGUUCAAGCAAUCUCGACUGAGGUAUUGGAAAAAGGAACUGCCAUGUCCAUGCACAAGUAUACAACAAUGCCGGGACUGAAGAAGUUGGCAGGUGACAAAGUCGUUGUGUGUCAUAAGGAGAACUAUCCCUAUGCUGUGUUUUUCUGCCAUGCAAUAAAACAAACAGCAGCUUAUGUUCUCUCCCUGAAAGGCGAUGAUGGGGUGAAGGUUAAAGCAGUAACCAUCUGCCAUCUAGACACAUCAGAAUGGAACCCAAAGCAUUUGGCCUUCCAAAUCCUCAAAGUUAAGCCCGGAACCAUUCCCAUCUGCCAUUUCCUUUCCACAGAUGCUAUUGCAUGAACAUCACUUAGCACUGUACGUAUAAUAAGCUUGCACCCCUGUAUAAUUAUCUCCCUACUCUACUUAUUUCUGCCUCUUCUGUUGAGAUUUCAAUCAGAACUUGCACACACAAUGCAUCAGCUCACACAAAACCAGAUGAAUUUAAGAAAACAGAAAAAUGCAGAGAAAGAAUGGAUUGGCUACUCAGUAAUGCUCAAAGGUUCGUUGCUAUGCACAAAACAUGGCAGUGCACAAUACUCUCAUUUCUAACGGAACCAUUCCUUUUUACAAUGCUGAGAAUGUGAUCUCAGCCUUACAAUUGAUCCAGCAAUGUAAGCUGGACACUUGUCUUAAAUCUGAGUCAUAUAAGUUUCAUCCAACCAAAAUAUUACAUCUGUGAAAUAAAACUUAAACCAGCAGGAAUUUAUAAUUCGACAUUCCCUUCUAAAUUGUUGACUGGUUUAACACCAAGUAGACCUCUUAAGUAAUUGAAUCGAUCCUUAGACAAAGCUUUAGUGAAUAUGUCAGCUGCUUGCUCUUCGGACUUGCAGUAUCUUAGAUCCACCACACCUUCUUGCAAAGCAUCUCGAAUGAAAUGGUAUAUGCGGUUAAUGUGUUUGGUCUUUUGAUGGAAAACUGGAUUCCUUGUCAUUGCAAUGGCAGAGGUGUUAUCUACCAUUAAUGGAGUUGCCUCUGUUUGCUAUUCUCCAAAGUCUUCAAGCACAAACUUCAACCAUAUAGCUUGAGUAGUAGCUUCACUUACACUAACAUAUUCAACUUCAGUUGUGGAGAGAGCAACACUGGGUUGCUUGACAGAUGCCCAAGAUGACACGCCACUUCCAAAUGAGAAAGCAUAUCUAGAAGUGCUCUUCAUGUCAUCUUGACUCCCACUCCAGUCACUGUCACAGUAUCCAAUUAAUACAACUUCUUUUCCCUUCUGGUAUUCAAUACCAUAAUCAAUUGUGCCUUUGAUAUACCUCAACACCCUCUUAGUUGUUCCAUAGUGUUUCUUUUAGGACAAUGCAUGAAUCUAGCUAAUAAGCUAGCUGCAAACAUUAUGCCAGGCCUUGUAGCUGUUAAGUACAACAAACUUCCCACAAUCUGCCUAUAUUCAUUCUCAUCUGCUGGAUCACUUCCAUCUGCUUUGCAUAAUUUCUCACUUGCCACCAGAGGAGUGCUAACAGGUUUACAUUGUUUUAAGCCAAACUUGCUUAACAGAGUCAAAGCAUAUUUCUUUUGACUUAUGAAAAUACUCUUUUCAGUUUGAAUCACAGCCAUACCAAGAAAAUGAUACAAAAGACCUAAGUUAGUCAUUUCAUACCUUCUCAUCAUCUUAGACUAAAAAUCUGCAAUCAAUUCUUCACUGCUUCCUGUAUACACUAUAUCAUCAACAUAUAUCGAUACAAUGAGUGUUCUAGAGUUUUCCUUGGUCUUGCAAUACAGAGUUGCUUCACUAGAGCUCCUUGUAUAACCGCAGUCAAUAAGAUACGAGUUUAUUUCCUCAUCCCAUGCUCUUGGCGCCUGUUUUAGACCAUACAGAGCUUUCUUUAGUUUGUACACUUUGUCUUUAGAGUUCUUAAUCACAAAACCAUCUGGCUGGUCCACAUAUACUUCUUCCUUAAGCACACCAUUCAGAAAAGCAGACUUGACAUCCAAUUGAUACAACUUCCACCCCUUUUGAGCUGCCAAUGCAAUAAAAGUUCUAAUGGUGUCUAAUCGGACUCUGCACCCCUCUCGAUUGAAAACCUAUUGUGUAAAUCUUCAAUCCUAAACGAUGCACCUAAAACACAUGUUGCAAUACACAUCCACCCAUUCUCAGGCCAAUUAUUGCUCAUAGUGGGCUCCCGACCCCCUCUCAAAUUUAAGUGGUCCAUUAUUCUUAACCACAUAUUUUAUGGACCAUCCAGCUGUGAGGUUUUGUCUCAAAAACCUUCGGUACAUUUCUCCCACAUGCCACAAUUGUAUAUUCACAAUUACGUCUGAUACAUCACAUCAUGCCACUUGCCUCAAAUGAAUUUAAGUGAGUGAGGCAGUUGGAAGUAAUUAAGCUCUAUAUUGGUGGGUGGAGUGUUACUUCUGGGUACCCCUCAUCAUUUGUCUAUAAAAUGGUGAAGUCAGUUGCUACUGUUACCAUAAGAGCCAGCUCCGACUUUCUUUAAUUUCUUGCUUCAUAUCCACUAGCUACAUCUGUUGCCAAGUUAAUUUCAGUCCUAAUGGGGUUUCAUCCCCCACUCAUCUUUGCUAUUCUCAGUGUAAGCUCUGCAAUUUGAUUAACUUUUCCAUGCUCUCUCAUUGUACUCUAUAUAAACGAAAGUUUUGUGGUCCUAUAAUUCUCUCUCGAUUUUAUUUAGUACGUACUUAAGUGUUGUCCACUAAUUAAUUACACUUUGUGAGAUUUGAUUUUAAUUAGAGUUCGAAUUAAUGUUGCAGCUAGCAGCGGUUGCACAGGCAAACAAUGCUGCUCAACCAGCACCUCAACUUUACUGGAACUCCGUCCUGCCAAACACACAGAUGCCAAGAUCUAUCAGUGAACUUCUGCAUCCUGGUUUGUGUUGAGCUCUUUAGAAUCUUAGAUAUCUCUUCUACCUGCCAUUUUACUUAAAUAUGUUCGACCACAUAUUUAUCAGUUAACUACUGUCAUUACAUGAGUGACACAUAUUCACAAAUCGGCUGAUCACUUAUUUUCCAUUAUGACGUUGAUAUAUAAUUUGCAGACUCCACAAAUGAAGAAAAGAGCACAAAUGACGUUGGCAAACCUGAAACUUUCCCAUUGGGCAAUCAAAAUUACUCCAGUCAAAAAAAUUAUGGAACAGGCAAUAAACGUUACUGCAGUCAAAAAAGGUAUGGAAGAGGCAAGAAACGUUACUGCGAUCAAAAAAAGUAUGGAAGAGGUGCUUCUCCAUCUGACAAUCAACUACUCCAUUAUAAAGACUUAGCUAUUUUCUUCUUGGAGAAGGACAUGCGCCCUGGCACAACAAUGAAGUUCCAAUUCUCUAGAAAUUCAAACACGGCUACUUUCUUGCCACGAGAAAGCGCUCAAUCGAUCCCCUUCUCCUCUAACAAACUACCAGAAAUUUUCAACCAUUUUUCAGUGAAGCCAACAUCUGAGGAAGCCAAAACAAUUAAGCAAACAAUCGAAGAGUGUGAAGCUCCCGGCCUUAAGGGAGAGGAAAUAUAUUGCGCCACAUCUUUAGAAUCAAUGGUUGAUUUUAGCACUUCGAAGCUUGGAACAAGAAACGUUGAAGCAAUCUCGACGGAGGUAUUGGAAAAAGGAGCCACCAUGUCCAUGCACAACUAUACAACAAUGCCGGGACUGAAGAAGUUGGCCAGUGACAAAGUCGUUGUGUGUCAUAAGCAGAACUAUCCCUAUGCUGUGUUUUUCUGCCAUGCAAUAAAACAUACAGCAGCUUAUGUUCUCUUCCUGAAAGGCGAUGAUGGGGAGAAGGUUAAAGCAGUAACCAUCUGUCAUCUAGACACAUCAGAAUGGAACCCAGAGCAUAUGUCCUUCCAAAUCGUCAACGUUAAGCCCGGAACCAUUCCCAUCUGCCAUUUCAUUUCCACUGAUGCUAUUGCCUGGGUUCCGAACCACAAAUCUGCAUGAUCAUCACUUAGCACUGUACGUAUAAUUAUCUCCUUACUUAUUUCUGCCUCUUCAUCAUGUGGUGUAAGAUAUAUGAUGAGAUGAAGUUUUUGGGAUUAGUGGUUGGGUUGCCUGAAAAACACAGAUUACAGAAACUGCUUGAAAUUAACCCGAUCAUGUUUUCUCUUGUAACUAUAUAGACUUCAACUUGUACUCAUAAUAAAGCAUGCUAUAUUUAUGAAGAGAUAUUAAUCUAUAUAUAUUUUUUAUAUAUGCUUUGGCUUUGUGGUUCUACCCAAUGUUUGAGUGUUGAAUUGUUACGUUGGAAUAGGCUGCUAAUGCAUGUAGUUAGAGAAGCCUUCAUUUAUAUCAAAGUCCUCAAACUAUCAAGAACUAAUGUAUCCAGAAACAUAUACCAAGACGCAAAACAACAUAUUUUCCAUGCUCUGUCUGUAACACCAAAGCAAACUUCCUUGAUCACAAAAGGAUCAAAUUCCAGUACUAAUCUAAUCCAUCAUGUAAAGCAUACAAGUGCCUCCCUAAAUACUAUACUCUUUUUGUUAUUUCCUACUAUACUAUUUAAGAUUUAAAAUUCAGGUCAACCCAUAGAUUUCUCGCCUUUUUCUUCUUCAUCUCGUCGGGCUUGUCUUCUUCUUGAGGAUUGUAUAGGCCAAGGAAAUGCUUUGAGUUAGUUUUUGCGCUUUUGCGUUUUGGGCCUUGGAAGUUGGGACCCAAACCAACUUCACAAAAAGAAAACGCUCAGACUAUAAUGAGUGGAAAGUUAUAAGGGGUAAGUUAUAAGGAGUUCACUUUAUAGCCAUCAGAUCAAUCUAAGGGCUGGGGAGAAUUGAGAUAAAGUUUUAAAAUCGGGUAGGUGAGGAACCCAAACCCGAAUUGAAUAUCCAGCACGUCCGAAAAAGAAGAAGAAGAGGCAAGCACGUCCGAAAAAGAAGAAGAAGAGGCAAGGUCGAAGUUUGAACAGAAAAAACUCAUCUCUUUAAAACCCAUAGCUCUGAGAAACGGUUGAAGGCAACGGUUAACGACGGUUGUUGAAGCCACUCCGUUCUCCAGACCCUGAAAAAGUAUUUAUUUUGAGUAGAAGGGGCAAAUGUGUGGAUUCCGAAACAGUGAAGGGGCGAAGCAGUGGAAGGGGAAGGAGAGAAGCCGUAUUCGUUGGAAGUGGUAGGUUCCAUUUGUGGAGCAAAGCAACACAAAGACCCCGCACAGACACCUUGCGAUUGUUCAAUAACCAGCAUUUGGUGAGUAAUUUAUGGAAUUUGAGUUUAGGGUUAGAGUAAUGGUUUUCCCCAAUUUGUACCAUCAAUUUUGUUGGAUUUGGCAUCUCUUCUUUGUGCUUCAGUUGCAUGUUAAUUUUUGCUUGGGUAUAUGUUAAAAAAAGAAUGAAAAUCAAGUCAAUAACAAGUGAAUAACAUGUCAAUAAUGAUAUGAAUAAGAUAAUGGUGUUGAAUUGGAGGAGGCCCUCAAAACAUUCCACAUUUGAAGCAGUGCAUAGUGCAGAUUAUCUCUCUGGCGCUAGAAUAUAUAUAUAUUUUGAAAUAAAUAUGAUUUCCUUUGUUACUAAAUUUGCCUGAGAAACAUGAGAACAGAUAAUAAUAAACUCAUGAAUAGAAGUGCAAAGCAUUUGAUGAGUAAUUUAUGGAAUUUGAGUUUAGGCCCAGGAAAUUCCUUGACCCCAAAAAAAAAAAAAAAGUUGAUUUAAAAUUCAGGUCAACCCAUAGAUUUCUCGCCUUUUUCUUCUUCAUCUCGUCGGGCUUGUCUUCUUCUUGAGGAUUGUAUAGGCCCAGGAAAUGCUUUGAGUUAAUUUUUGCAUUUUUGCGUUUUGGGCCUUGGAAGUUGGGACCCAACCCAACUUCACAAAAAGAAAACAGAUUUGCCAAAAAUCAAAUUUCAAGUCUCUCCUCCGAUCGAAAUUUGGAUUUGAUGAACUAAAGUGGUUUUACUUUCUCCAUCAGUGUUUGAUAACUUAAUUUGUUAUUUACUUUUUUUUUAAAAAACUUUGGCUUAUAUAUAUUAGUUUUCUUUUUUCCUUCAUAUUCACCACCUUUAUGUUGCAUAAGUAUUUCAGUCUUAAUGGGUUUCCAUCUACCACUCAUCUUUGCUCUUCUCAGUGUAAGCCUUUUUUUUUUUUUAAAGCACAAGAUUAGAGGGGAGGGGGAUUUCUCAAUGUAAGCUUUGCAGUUUCAUAAUUAAUAUUUCCAAUAUCUCACUGUUAGUAAAAUACAGAAAAAGUACUAAUAACAUAUGCACAUGUUACUAAUUUAUUGAGAUAAAACACCAUUUUGCCCCUAGAAUAUUUUAUUAGGUUUAAAGUUGACUUUUUGACCAGGAAGGAAUUUGGGUAUUUAGACUAUAUCGUUGCGUAGAGCAUGGCGAGAUGAGUCCGUAGACACAUGAUUGGCUCGAAUCAGAGUUAUAAUGAGAGAGAUACGAUCAAAAUACCCUCAGUGGUAUAACCGUAAUUUUGGCUUAAAGGGUUUGAUAAAAUAUAAUUUUUCUUUCUUUCUUUCUCUCUCUCUCUCUCUCUCUCUCUCUCUCCUCUCUCUCACGACGGCAGUGAUAGCCGGCCACUUUUUGGCCAGCCAUGCUCUCGUCCGGCCACUAAAGUUGACGGGGCCGGUACCAAAAUGACCGGGCCACCAUCCUUUUCCAACCCCAGCCAGGCCCCACUGCCAGCAGUCGUGAUUUUGCUGAAAAAUGGAGAAGAAGCGGCCGAUUUCGUUCGAACUUCUCCGACUUCGUUCUCUCUCCUCCGGCCACCGAUUUCGAUGAAUGAGGUAUGGUUUCUCACCUACUUUUUAUGCUCUAGCUGCCUGUUGGGUAGGAUUCGAUCAAUUCCUUGCGUAGGUAGCUUGAUUUUCGAAUUGGAUUUCGGCCGGUUUUGGGAUCUCGAUUCCGGCCACUUCCGGUCAGUUUUUGGGGUACAUCCCAAAACAAAAGUGGUUCUAAAUAGGGUGUUAUACCUAGGGUAGGAACCUUGAACCGUAAUUUUGAGAAUUUUCGGUGAUGCCUAAUCGCUUUGGACACCUACGCUAUGCCUGCGUGUGGGCACUAUAGAAAAAGGGCAUUGUGUCCCGAUGCAAUCCCCUUGUUGUCUUGAGCGCGUAGGUGUGCUCGGAUUUCAAUUUGGAUACCGUUUGAAUCUCGAACGAAUAUCGCAUAUUGUGCGUUAUUCGGGGUCGAUAGGUUUGAACUGUUGGAUAGUCUUAGAUUUAUAAUAUGUUAAUCUAGACAUUCUUAGGAUCGAAUGGGAUUAAACGGAUCGUAAAACGGAGUCCCGGAUACUCCAAAAAUGCCAACCCUAGGGCUAGGUUCCUAGUAACCGUCCGAUCGUGCGAUCGUGAGCGAUCCGACCGUUUGAUCCGAACCAAACUUGCAGGACGUGUAUCCUAAACCUUGUAGAACCCAUAGGAACUUUCGGAUUAGAAUUUGGAGGUCGUGGGCCCCUUGGGCCGUUUGACUAAGUUUGGGUAGUUUGACCCUUGGCUGAUCGUGAGUCUUCAGAGGUCUUGAGCGUUGUUGAGCUAUGUUGACUAGGUUUAGACUUUUAGAGUGUUUAUUAUUAUCAUAGGAAACUAUUAGAUAUUAUUUUAAUAAUUGAAAUUAUCAAAUUUAUGUUUAUGUGCAUGAUUGUUGGUCUAAAAAUAACAUUGUUUUCUUGAUAAAAUUACGUUGCAGUCUACUAUAGACUGGUAUCACUAAAUGGAGAUUACCUCUAUUAUUAGUUUAGAUAAUUAAGAGUAUGUCAGUUUGAAGUGCUAUAUGCACUACCCUAAGUACCACCCUGUGAUUGUUAGGUCCCAUGUGGUGUAGAUUAUACAGCGUCAGGACAGACCCCAUACGUGGCUUUGGAUGUUCUGGCGCAUGGGGGAGAUUAUGUAAUGGUUAGGUCAUACGUGGCGUAGGUUAUUCAGCGUGUUGACAGACCCUAUACGUGGCGUUGGAUGUUCCAGUAUGGAAAGAUUUUGUGAUUGUUAGGUCCCACGUGGCGUAGAUUAUCCGGCGUGAGGACAAACCCCAUUCGUGGCUUUGGAUGUUCCUGCGUAUGGGGGAGAUUAUGUGAUGGUUAGGUCACACGUGGCGUAGGUUAUUCGGCGUGUUGGCUAACCCCAUAAGUGCCGUUGGAUGUAACGACCGGUCCUAAAUAAAUUAGUGAAUAUUAAUUUAUUCAGAGAAAAUACCAUUUUGCCCAUAGAGUAUUUUAUUAGGUUCAAAGUUGACUUUUUGAUCAGAAAGGAAUUUGAGAAUUUCGAUUAUACCGUUGCAUAGAGCACGGCGAGAUGAGUCCGUAGACACGUGGUAUGCUCGAAUCGAAGUUGUAACGAGAGAGAUACGAUCAAAAUACCCUCAGUGGCAUAACCGUAAUUUUGGCAAAAAGGGUCGAUAAAAUCAUAUAUAUAUAUUUUCUCUCUCUCUCUCUCUCUCUCUCUCUCUCUCUCUGCGAUAUUGUCCCUCUCUCUCUUUGAUUCACUGCCAUCUGCCCACGGCAGGACUUGAGACUGGUCACGUUUGAACCGGCUCGAUGUCCCGAUCACGUCGCACCCAAAAUGCAAAUGGAAACCUUGAAUUCCAGCCACGGCUUCGACUGGUUUGAACUGGGUUUUUCCCGGCGUUGCGCCACCGCCUCCGCCGCCCAAUUCCGGUGAAACAGGUAUAAUUCCUCACCUAUUUUUCGAGAUCCAGCUGUUGUUGUGUAGGAAUUAGACGAUUUUCAUGUUUAGGAACUCGAUUUAGAAUUUAGGUUUUGGUCGAAUUUUCAAAGUGAAAUUUCGGCCACUUCCGCUGGUUUUUCGGGGUAUGUCUAAGAACAAAAGUGGUUCCAAAUAGGGUGUUAUACCUAGGGUAGGAACCUUGAGCUGUGAUUUUGAGAAUUUCCGGCGAUGCGUAUUCGCUUUGGACACCCACGCGCCGACAGCGCGUGGGCACUGUAGAAAAGGGGCAUUGUGUCUCAAUGCGAUCUGCUUGUUGUCUUGAGCUCGUAGGUAUGCUCGAAUUUCAAUUUGGAUACUGUUUGAGUCUCGAACGGAUAUCGCAUAGUGUACGUUAUCCGGGUUUGAUAGGUUUGAACCAUUGGAUAGUUUUGAAUUUGAUAUAUGUUAAUCUAGGCAUUUCUAGGAUCAUGUAGGAAUUCAGGGAUCAUGAAUCAGAGCCCCGGAUGUUCCGAUUUAAUAACUUAAAGUUUAUGUUUAUAAUAACUAUCAGAUCGUGCGAUCGUGAGCGAUCCGACUGUCUGAUCUGGACCAAACUUGCAGCACGUAUAUCCUAAACCUUGUGGAACAUAAAAAAAUUUCGGAUUAGAAUUUGGAGGUCGUGGGCCCCGUGGGCCCAUUUAACCAAUUAUGGGUAGUUUGAUCCUUGGUUGACCGUGAGUCUUCCGAGAUAGUUUUACCUUCCUAGGAGGAUUAUAAUGACCCUAGUGAUAGGUCUUGACCGUUGUUCAGCUAUGUUGACUAGGUUGAGACUUCUAGAGUGUUUAUUAUAUUAUUGUAGGAAACUCUUAGAUAUUAUUUUAAUAAUUGAAAUUAUGAAAUUUAUGUUUAUGUGCAUGAUCGUUGGUCUAAAAAUAAUAUUAUUUUCCUGAUAAAAUUACGUUGCAGUCUACUAUAGACUAGUAUCACUAAAGUGGGAAUACCUCUAUUAUUAGUUGAGAUAAUUGGGAGUAUGUCAGUUUGAAAUGUUAUACCCUAAGUACUACUCUAUGAUUGUCAGGUCACCCGUGGCGUAGGAUUUUCCGGUGAGAUGACAGACCCCAUACGUGGCGUUGGAAUUUCCAACGUAUGGAGAGAUUAUAUGAUUGUUAGGUUUCACGUGGCGUAGGAUUUUUCAGCGGGAUGACAAACCCCAUACGUGGCAUUGGAAGUUUCAGCGUAUGGGGAGAUGAUAUGAUUGUUAAGUCACACGUGGCGUAGGUUAUUUGGAGUGCUGACAGACCCCAUACGUGGCGUUGAAAUUUCUGGCGUAUGGAGAGAUGAUAUGAUUGUUAGGUCACUUUGGAUGUUCUAGCGUAUUGGGAGAUUAUGUGAUUACCAGUGAGAUGAAUAAAGGAUUGUUAUGUUAUAUUGGGAAAAACAUGUUUGUAGAAAGAAUUACGUGUGGCUUGAUCCCUCAGUAAGGGUACGUAGGCAGCCUAGGGUAGUGCCUUGGUGCAGUCGCUGACUAAACAUUAUAAUGUUGUUUUUAGGUUUGAUUAUAUGGUAUUAUGGGGCAAGGCCCCUAGGACUAUUGGUGAUAAUUCAUAGAUGGUAGUGGAUGCAUGCUAGAAAUUUGUAGGAAGUUAUUUCAUGUGGAUUGCAGUGGUACUCGUAAAAUUUAUUUGAGUUCCUUAAUUGCAUUGUUAAUAUAUUAAUUUACUUAAGAGUACUGCUAGUAGUUCUGCCUUGAUUUAUUUGAAGGCUGGAGGCCUUGUCUGGAAACUGUGUGCAAUUAGAUUGUGUGUGCUGGCAGUUGACUUUUUAAAUUGUGAAUUUUGUGCAGGUUGAAAUUUGGGAAAUGUUCAAUUUACAGGGGAGACUCUGCUGAAAUUUCGGUAGAAAGUCUUGUGCCCUUAUUCCUUUUUGGGGAAAAGGAUAUAGUUUUAGAAGUGGCGAUGUCGGGAAUUUCCACAGGAUUCGUCUCGGGUUUCGGGAAAUUCGGGGCGGGUCUGAAAAAGUUGUUUCAGUUUUGGCAAGUAUCGGAAAAGACCAAAAUUUUCCGACUUUAUUAUUACUAGAAACAAGGUCGAAGUAUUUACCAAUCAUGUGGCCUUCCAAGUGCUCUAGGUUAAGCCAGGAACCGUUCCUAUCUGCCGUUUCCUUCCCAACUAUGAUCAUGUUGUCUGGGUUCCAACCCACAAAUCUACAUUGGGCUACGUAUUUGAAUUUGUACUAAAGCGUGAUCUAUAGUAUGCAUAUAUUGGAUAAGUUUGAGAUCAGUGGCUUGGGUGUCCGCUGAGCUUGAACAAGUUUGGGUGUGCUGAGUGUUUCCAUGGGUGUGUUGAUGAUCAUGGUUAUUAGAUUUGUGAUAGUUUGGGCUCAAUUUCAACAGAACUCAUCUCAAGCCUAGAUAGUUGAUUCUUAAGUUUAUCAGGAAAAAAAAUUAAAAAUUAAAAAAUCUAAAGUUAAGCCCAAGGCGCCGAACUUGGACUUCUCACCAAACUGUGCAUAAAUUGAAAUAUUUAAUAGAAGCCCAAGAUUUUUGAAGCACAUAAUAUCUACAAAAAUCUACAAAGUGUAAUACUUUACAAACUUCUUAUGUGUACCAAUUUCUGCUCAAAUUAAUUUCUCUGUGGUGCUGAGAUUCAUCAUAAUUUUAGUAGAAAUUGGAAGUUUUCAUCAUUUUUGCUUUAAGUCUCUCCUCCACUCACUAAUAAAGAUUACUCAAGUGAGUUUACAAAACAUUUUUUUUCUACUCUCUCCUGAAGACUACACAUCUUCUCAAAAGAUUAGAUCACUUCACAUCUUGUAUAUGUGAAAACUAAUGCAAAAAGUUGAAACUUUAUCAUAAAACCUCGACAAAAAUUAGCUCUACUUAGAACAUUAAAUUUGGAUUCGUUGAUUUAAAUGGCAAUUUGACACUUCAUAGAAAUUUUUACAUACAUGUGUUAGUGUUUGAUCACUUCACUUAUUACUUACUAUAUUUAUUCCAUGAUUCUCCCUCAAGUUAUGUAAAUAUUAUUAUCAAACAUUUCAAUUCAUUUGUGAUAUUUCUUGUCCAUCUUUCAAUGUACCCUGAAAUCCAUUAGCCACAUAUGAUGACCAAAAUCCACACUCUGUUGUUUGCAAACGUUCAAUAUACGACUUGCAUCCACAGUCCUGACCCAAAUGAAAUGCGGAAACUGUCAAGCUAACUGUAGGGAGGACUAUAUUUGAUUUUACCUUAAAGACUGAUCCGAAACCACCUUCUCCAAGUUUAUUGUUGUUUGAAUAGUUUUUGGUUGCACAAACAACAGCGGCCAAGUCAAAUAAUGGCAAUUCCAGAUCUUCCUUUUGGCCGGGCUUCAGUUCUCCUGUGAAGUACGUAGUGAAGUAAAUAAUGUAGCAUGGAACCUUAGCUUAGAAACCAGAGAGGCAACAGCAAAAAUUUUCUAUAGAACUGAACCUACCUAUCUUAGAAAAUGAAGGGGCAGAAGAGUAGAAAAUCAAAUAGCUUACCAUAUUUUUGUUGCUGGUUCUUCCUCACAUAUAAUAGCAGGGUAAGGCCCAGGGUCAGCAGUCCAGUAGACAACACAGUACUGGUUACUAUGAUCUUUGUAUUGUGUCCUUGAUCUAGGAAUGAAGUAUUUGAAAGCAGAAGAUUGAGGAGUCAGAAAUUCAUAAAGAAAAAAUCUCUACUUUUUAUCAUCCAACGAACAAUUAAUGCUAGUUUCUGAGACAGUUCUAAAGAAAUAUUUUUCUAACAAUGUCAAAAGUUUUCUGGCUCUAUCUUGUUUCUAAUCAUGUCACUGUUGGAAGAUUUCUUUCUUCUUUUUUCCUUGGUGGCUUUUAUUUUUCUUUCAAACUUUGUUUUAAACAGCAAGAUGAUUCCAUACCUAGUUCUGACGAAGCCAUUCUUAUGUAAAUAUCUUGCCCAUUUAUAUUGGAAUAUCUUAUAUCAACCAGAUCGCUGAACCACAGCAAGGACCCCCUUCCUCCAUCUCGGAUAUCCAAAUUUGAAAAAGCGGCGCAGGAGCAGUUGUUCAUGCACAUCAUCUCACAUUCCUUGAGGUUCAUAAUUGUGUUAUACUAGGAUUGUUCUGUACUUUAUUUCACCCCAGUGUACUUCUUAAAGAUGUCUCCACUGCAAUUCAGUUGGCUCUUUCUCACAGAUCUAUAUGACCAAUCCACCAAGUCCCAGUCUUGUUGAAAGUCGGUAUAAAUCCUUUCAAGCAGCUACGUACUGGGGACUUGUCAAUACAACAUGCACCAUUCGGACCACAUAUUCCAUAUUUGUCGCAGAUAUCAGUCGUUGCUCUUAGAUAAACAACCCAACCUUGGUUUCCAUCACUCCCGAUGUAGCUCAGCCCAAAUCCAUCUUGAGUUAACGCCAGCCUGAAAAGAGUUGAGCUGUUGAGAAGCUUAUAACCAUAAUAUACUUCAUCAUCAUUAUCCAACACAAAAUCAUAUGUUGGAUUUAAAUUAUGCAUCCCACUAAAUUGGAUUCCAUUCCAUGGUGCAGUCCGAUAUUUUAUAACAGAACCCUCCCUCAGAAUUAAUUCAUGGUACCCAUAAGGACCAAGUUGAUAUGGGUAAUGUCCUUGAGAAGGAUCCUGGGGGCUUUUCCAGGGUGUAAGAUGCCAAUUAAAACCUGUGAUUUUGUUCCUAACAAGCUUCAUACCUGGUAUUAAUGUAUCUCCUGGGUAAUCAAAACUCUGCCAUAAAAUAUUAUCAGAGUCAUUACGACCAUUGCCAUCUAUCACAACAAGAUUUCCGGAAUCCAAAAUCUGUGCCACUGGAUUCUAUGAAGAACUUGAUGUGUUGGAAGACCUGUAGUGUUCUUUGUUGAAUAUUUGGAUUGCAAAGGGAGCAAGAAAUGUACUGAGAGAGAAAGAGAGAGAGAGAGAGAGAGAGAGAGAGAGAGAGAGAGCAGUGAGCCUUAGAUUGUUCUAACAGUUUUCUUACUCUGCAUGAACAUAGCAGCAGAGCUUAUAUUCCUUCAUGACUGUUACAUGUUCUCUCUUACAUCAGUAGAUUCAAAUCUAACGGUUUGUAAUAGUAAGCCAAUGUGAGUAUGACACAUGGCAAUACACAGCUGUCCUAACAGCUGGGAAUUCAAAACAGACUCUAGCAUUGCACCUGGCAUAUAAGCACAAGGCACUCAGCUAACACAAAGAUUAAAAACAGAUUGAAUAUAAACUGACAUAGAACUUACUAACUAAUCUGAAAUUAGCUAGACAGUUUACAUUUUAACACUCCCUUCUAAAGUGCUAGCUGAUUUCACUCCAAGCAUUCUCCUCAAAUAGUCAAACCUGUCUUUGGGAAGAGCUUUGGUGAAGAUAUCAGCAAUCUGCUCUUCUCCUUUGCAGUAGAGCAGUUCAAUCACUUCUUCUUGUAUUGCAUCUCUAAUAAAAUGAAACUUCCUUUUAAUAUGCUUGCUCCGUUGAUGAAAAACAGGAUUUUUAGCCAUUGCUAUGGCUGAAGUGUUGUCACAAAACACAGUUGUUGCAGUGGUCUGUUCUUCCCCAAAAUCUUCAAGAACAAACCUGAGCCAAAUGGCUUGUGAUGUAGCUUCUGCUGCACUCACAUACUCUGCCUCUGCAGUAGAGAGAGCCACACUGUGUUGUUUGACUGAUGCCCAUGAAAAAGCACCACUUCCAAAUGAAAAUGCAUAUCCAGAAGUGCUUUUCAUAUCUUCCUCAGAUCCACUCCAGUCACUGUCACAGUAACCAACUAAGAGUGCAGAUUUUCCUGUCACAUACUCAAUUCCAUAGUCAAUUGUGCCUUGUAUGUACCUUAGAACCCUUUUAGCUGCCCCAUAGUGCAUCUUAGAAGGGUUAUGCAUGAAUCUUGCAAGCAGGCAGGCAGAGAACAUGAUAUCUGGCCUGGUUGCAGUAAGGUACAGCAGGCUGCCUACAAUUUUUCUGAACAAACUUUCAUCUGCAGCAUCACUUCCAUCCUCUCUUUUCAAUUUAUCAGUAGCCACUAAUGGAGUGCUUACUGACUUGCAGUCUUUGAGUCCAAACUUAUCCAAGAGAGUGAGAGCAUACUUCUUUUGAUGAAUGAAGAUGCUCCCUUCAGUUUGUGUUACUCCCAUACCAAGAAAAUGGUGGAGUAAACCCAAAUCAGACAUCUCAUACUUGCACAUCAUUUCAGCUUUGAAUUCUUUCAUCAUUUCAUCUCUACUUCCUGUGUACACUACGUCAUCUACAUAGAUUGACACUAUUAGUGUUCCCACCUUCCUUUGUUCUCACAUAGAGAGUGGCUUCACUUGGACUUCUGUGAAAACCACACUGAUUCGAGUAGGUGUCAAUUUCACUAUACCAGGCCCUUGGAGCCUGCUUCAACCCAUAGAGGGCUUUUCUUAACCUAUACACCUUAUCCUCAUCAUCUUUAACCACAAAACCAUCCGGUUGAUCAAUAUAAACUUCUUCUUCAAGGACACCAUUUAGGAAGGCUGACUUGACAUCCAAUUGCCAUAGUUUCCAGCCUUUCUGAGCAGCAAGAGCUAUGAGAGUUCUAAUGGUGUCUAACCUUGCUACAGGAGCAAAGGUUUCAUUGAAAUCAAUCCCUGGUUUUUGUGUGUAUCCCUUGGCAACAAGUCUUGCUUUAUGUUUUUGAAUGGAGCCAUCAAGAUUAAGCUUAAUUUUGAAUAUCCACUUCACUCCCACAAUUGGUUUACUACUUGGCCUGUCAACCAAUUCCCAACUGGAGUUUUUCUCUAUCAUAAGUAUCUCCUCAGUCAUAGCCUUCCCCCAAGCUUCAUCUUUGACUGCUUCUUCAAAAUUUUCAGGUUCAAUGAUGCUCAUCUUGCAUUGAGCAUACACUUCACUCAAACUCUUCCAUUUCUUUGGGGUGUUAUCAUAAGUUUCUAAUGGAGCAGAGUCUUGAGUAGCAUGCACAUCAUUACUUGUUUGUGUUUCCAUAGGAGACUGUACAAUCUGUUGCUGUAACAGAUUUGGUUAUGAAUCCAAAUCUGAUACAAUUGAACUUACUCCAUCACCCCAAGACAUAGGGAUUUGCAAUGCCUCAUUGGUUUCCCAAUUCCACAUUGCUUCUUCAUCAAAAAUAACACUCCUAGACAGCUCAAUCUUUUGAGUUCUCAAGUUGAGCACUCUAUACCCCUUUUCACAUACACCAUAUCUUACAAAUACUCCCUUCUCACCUGUGUCUUCCAGCUUGUGCCUUUUCUGUGUGGGGAUGUGAAUAUAGCAUAGAGAACCAAAUAUUCUCAAAUGCUUGACACCUGGUUUUCUUCCACCGAACUUUUCAAAUGGAGUGGAAUUGUCCAGUGCACUUGUAGGACAUCUGUUCUGCAAAUAUACAGCUGUAUUGACAGCUUCUGCCCAAAACUUCAAAGGGAUUUUCUUCUCAUACAUCAUGGCUCUUGCCAUUUCCAUCACAGUACGAUUCUUUCUCUCUGUAACUCCAUUCUGUUGUGGAGAGUAGCCUACUGNNNNNNNNNNNNNNNNNNNNNNNNNNNNNNNNNNNNNNNNNNNNNNNNNNNNNNNNNNNNNNNNNNNNNNNNNNNNNNNNNNNNNNNNNNNNNNNNNNNNNNNNNNNNNNNNNNNNNNNNNNNNNNNNNNNNNNNNNNNNNNNNNNNNNNNNNNNNNNNNNNNNNNNNNNNNNNNNNNNNNNNNNNNGGUGUGGUCAUCAAUGAAGGUGAGGAAAUAUCUGUUCCCUCCAAGAGUGAUGGUCUGCAUUGGACCACAAAUGUCUGAGUGAAUCAGUUCUAGAGGUUGAGUGGCUCUCCAAGCUCCUUCCUUAUCAAAAGAGCUUCUGUGAUUCUUGCUUUCAGCACAACCUGAGCAGACCUUCUCAUGUUCUUGUAAAUUAGGCAUUCCCUGAACCAUAUCUCUCUCUUGUAACAACUUCAAACUAAUAUAGUUUAGGUGCCCAAAUCUUCUGUGCCACAGCCAGGAUGUUUCUCCAACUGUUGCUCUGUUUGCCAUAGGAGGAUUAACAUAGUCAAGAUUUAAAGGAAAACAUUUGUUUCCCUUCAUUGGCACUCUUGCAAUGCAAUCUUCCAACUGCCUAUCUCCAUAGAUAUCAACUGCAUUAUCACCAAAUACAAGCCAAUGCCCAUGUUCUAUCAUUUGACCUACACUUAGCAAAUUUUCAUCUAAACUUGGUACAAUCAUGAUUUCUUUGAUAUAUCUAGUCACACCCUUCAUUUCUAUAGCCAAAGUCCCUUUGCCUAUUAACUGCACUAGAUCACCAGUCCCCAUUUUGACUUUACUCUUCAUACUUUUAUCAACAUUUACAAGUAAUGACUCAUGGGAAGUCAUGUGAUUGCUGCAUGCACUAUCAACAUACCACAUAUUCACAUUCUUUCCAAUUGUUGCAGCAUGACAUGCAUAGAACAUAAUGGCAGGUUCAGUUACCUGAUUUGCAAUGUUAGCAAGUUUCCCUGCCUUGUUUGCUUGGUCACAGUCCUUAACAAAAUGACCAAAUCGAUUGCAGCCAUGACACUUUGGUUUUCCUUUAAACCAACACUCACCAUAGUGUAACUUCUCACAAUGUUUGCAUUUUCCAGAUUUGUCUCCUUGACUUGGUUUUCCCCCUUGAUUGGCACUGUUUUGGGGUUUAGAAUCCCAUUUCUUAUCCUUGGACUUCCAAUUCUUCUUUGAUUUAUUAGAGCCAGAACUAGAACUUGAUUGAGAUCCUUUUGAGUUUAUGCUCAUGCUGCUGAAAGCUUUCUCAGUGGUGCUUUCUGCAUGUCUGUCAAGGCGCUGAGCAAAACCUCUUAAUGCUGCAAUUACCUCCUGCACUUCAAUGGUUUCAAUGUCUCUAGUUUGCUCAAUCACAUAGCAGACUGGAUCAAAUUCCUUGGUUAAGCUUAUUAGCAGUUUUUGAACUAUCCUCCCUUUGGUCAGAUCUUCCCCAUAUCCCUUCAUCUGAUUUACAAGCUCAAGUAACCGAGUGAUGUAUCCAGACAAGAUCUCAUCAUCCUUCAUCCUGGUGUACUCAAAAUCUCGACGCAGACCCUGCAACAUGAUGGAUCUGACUUGCUUAUCACCAUGAAACUCCUGAUGCAAGAUAUCCCAAACACCUUUUGAGGUUUCUUCAUUUGAGAUUCUGGGAAAGAUGUCAUCUGAAACAGCACCUUGGAUAAUACCAAGAGCCUUAGCAUCUUUCAUCAACAAGGACACCAUCUCUGAAUCUGAUGACCCUUCUUUAUCAGCUUUUGAAUCUGGAACUUGAAGGCCUUUCUCAACCAAAUUCCAGAUUCCAUGAGAUUUGAAAAUUGUUCUCAUUCGAAUCUUCCAAAACUCAUAGUUCUCCCCAUUGAAUAUUGGAGCUCUAAGAUCACUCCCUCCUGACCCAGCCAUCUGAGACCAGACUCAAUGAGUUGAGAGUAGGAAAUUUCCCGUUGGAUUUCCAGACUCAGCUCCCACAGCUUCAACGCCCUCUAUCCAGAUCCAACCUGCGCACCUGAUACCAUGUUGAAUAUUUGGAUUGCAAAGGGAGCAAGAAAUGUACUGAGAGAGAGAGAGAGAGAGAGAGAGAGAGAGAGAGAGCAGUGAGCCUUAGAUUGUUCUAACAGUUUUCUUACUCUGCAUGAACAUAGCAGCAGAGCUUAUAUUCCUUCAUGACUGUUACAUGUUCUCUCUUACAUCAGUAGAUUCAAAUCUAACGGUUUGUAAUAGUAAGCCAAUGUGAGUAUGACACAUGGCAAUACACAGCUGUCCUAACAGCUGGGAAUUCAAAACAGACUCUAGCAUUGCACCUGGCAUAUAAGCACAAGGCACUCAGCUAACACAAAGAUUAAAAACAGAUUGAAUAUAAACUGACAUAGAACUUACUAACUAAUCUGAAAUUAGCUAGACAGUUCACAUUUUAACAUUCUUAUGGUCGGCAGGGACAAGAAUUCCAGGGCUGCUCAACUUGAAUACACCUGAUGAACCAGUGAGGGGUGUGUUUCUUUUAGUCUGCACUAUAUAUGCAGGGUCUGACUCUAAUUAGAAGAUAAUUGUAUUAAUUUGGUAAAGCUUUGUCUGUAACUGUCUCGCACCUUAAAAAAAUUUCACAAUUAGCAGCAUUGGCAAUACUUGAUUAGAAAGCAGAAACCCUACAGUAUAUAGUUAAGUUGAGUAGCUGGGAAGACAAUUAGUAAGCUUUCAAUACUAAAGUUGAAUAUUGGGGAGACAAAUUACUAGAGCUUCAAGUUCAGAUAAAUAGGAUGAAUUUCUCUUAAGGGAUCCCCUUUCACUGUAGCUUGGAGUAGAAUUCAUUUUGACACAAUAUCAAUUAUCAAUGUAAACACGUUACUGAUGCACUAUUGACAAUAUCGAUGCACGUCAUAUCAUAUUUGUGGGAGUAAAUUUCCUCACGAGAAUAUUUGGUUCAAAAGAUUCCCCUUUUUUUUUUUUUUGCCGCCUCUUUCUCCUUGCAAAAUAGAACAAAUAAGAGGACCACACCCGGGGGGUGUUGGCCAAAGGCCCUCCGAUGCUAAAUUAGUUCAAGUAUUUGUAAGAAAAAUACUAGCUAACUAGGGUACAGAGGUGUAUUUAAGGUGUAAACCGGGCAGCCGAAGUCUUAUGUAAAAGAGAGAGAGAAAGGAGGUGGCUAGCGUUUGAGAGGAAUUUUCUGCAGAGUUUUUAGUAGAGAUUUCAGACGUACCUCAACCAUUGUGUGUGGCCAUCUUUUUAUAGUGGUCUUGGAGGCUAGGGUUUCAGAGGAAUAAUUCCGUAGAUGGAAAGGAAUUAUUCCUCCCCUAUUUGGAAUUGAUUUGAUUAAUUAGGGAUUUGAUUUAUUAGGGUAAAUCAAAUCCCUAAUUGUGGUAGGUAUCAAAUCAAAUCCUUUUUUAAUUAGGUAACUCCUCAUUUAAUUGGGAAUUGUGGUAGGAAUCAAAUCAAUUCUCAACCUAAUUAGGUAACGUUCAAUUUAAUUGGGUAAUUCCCAAUUAAAUUGAGUAACUCCCAAUUAGGUUGAUUAAUUCCCAAUUAGAUCAAAUAAUCCCCUAAUUGAAGGAAUUAUUUGACCUAGGGUCUGAUUUAAUUCGAUUCCCACAAAUGCCCCCCAGCUUCUGCAUGGUGCAUGGUGGCACGUAGGAGAUGUAAAUUAUCUGUUGGGCUGUCCAGCUGUAACUGGGCUUCCUUCGUGGACCUGGGCUCCCGAGUAGAGGAGGUGUUUGACUUGCCAAUUUUAUGAACACCCAAUUGGAAAGGGUUUGAGAUUCCUUGUAGGUCAAGGAAUUUUGCUCCUUAUAAAUGUAGGGCUCCUCCAAAUUAUUCUCGACAUCAGAAAUCUACUCCUCCAAAUUUGUUAGUGAGAGAGAGAAGACUUUGGAGAAUUUUUCAGCGUGCUUGAGACUUCAUCUUUGCAGCCCAUCCAAGGUAAUUUGAUAGGAAGAAUUUUAUUUUGAGUUGCUAUGACUUUUGGCAGCAAGCUGUGAGACUAAGGGCAUGUCUUGAGGUGCGCGCUAGGGCUUUAGGCAUGGCAAGAGACUCGGAAAGGCUAGCAGGUUCGUUUCCACCUACGCUGGGCUCAAGGAGAAGGCAACAGGGCUUCAGGCCUUGUGGAUGAAGUGGGCUUUCGCUGGGAGCAAGAGGCCUGGAGCUGAGGCAAGGAGACAAUGGGCCUGGUACGAGGUGUGGGCUGAGCAUGCCAGCUUUGGAGCAAGGGGGCCAGGACGACUGCUGGGCAGGAGGUGCGCUGGGCUGCAUGCGCGAGCUGCGCCGAGUGCUGGCUGGAGGAGCGAGCUGGGCUGCGCGCUAGGCCAUUCAUGCUGGGCUACUUCCGUUUUUUUUUUGUUUUUUUUUAAAUUUUAUUUGCUGUUGCUGCUUUUUUUUUUGUUUUUUUGUUUUUUUUUUGUUUGGUAUUCUAACUCGUAAUUUUUUUUUUCUUCUUACAGCUACUUGUUGAUCAACCAUGUCUUCCGGAGAUGGUAGCAAGGCUCCAAGCUCUUAGGUCCUUUUGUAUUUAUGGGGAGGCUCCAUAGUGCAUGGCAAGAAGUUUGUGGUCAACUUGCAUCGCGUCACGACUUAUGCUCAGUUCCAGAAGUGGCGGGCCACUUAUGCGUCUGCCAUUCCAGAUGACGUGCUGGUCAAGCUAUUGAAAUCUCAAACUGAUAACGAGCCUUUGGUGGACGUGAGUGAUCAUGAUGCUAGGAUCAUUACCUUCCGUCCUUUUUACUUCUCUUUAGGCUUCAAAUUCCCGUUGUCAAAGCUCUUCAAGAAGGUGUUCUGUGCCAUGGGGUGUGCUCCGAGCCACUGUACUCAUGUGCUUCAAGAAUUUGAGUCGUUUCUUCAUGUUGGAGCUGACGAUGCGAGAGUUCUUUUAUUUUUUUCGAAGUGAGGCACUUUGAGCGGUACGCCCAAGUUCGUAUCUACAAGGCCAAGCUGUUCCACGGUCUCAGUCAAGGAGAUCACGCUUGACAUGAAGAUGUGUUGGAGGUCAGCAGACGGUGGGAGGGUGACGUCGGUGACGGCCCACCUGUUCCCAUCACCUAUUGUGAUGGUAUGUCUCUUUACGAUUUUUGAUAUGCUCCUUUUAUUUGAAUUUCUUGAAGUGUGGCAGACUAACUUCUAUCUUCUGCUCGUAGUGAGUGACAUUAGCAAGCAAUUGGAGCUCCGACCAGACAUGGCUAAGGUCCGUCGUGCUUUGAACAUCCCUCUAAGGUUUCACGAGUGGCGCUGGCUGUUGAGUGAGUACCGGGAGGAAGACGGUGGUUUUCUCCUUGCCGAGGAUGUCGAAAGGUGGAAGCAGAACGAUCCUGACCCUGAUGAUCUGCUUGGCAGACAGGAAGAAUGUUCUGCUUAAUCGCUCUUAAAGAGAAAGGCUGCUGCCAAAUCUUUGAGAUGUGAAGCUACUUCUUCGCAUGCAAAGGAUGGGUCUCCAUCGAGGAAGAAACCAAGGCUCCCUUCUGCUGAGAAGACUCAAGUGGGGUCUGCUCCCUCAUCAUCUGCCAGGGUUAAGCAUCUCGUGGGUGCAGAUAGCAAGAAGGUUGGUGGUAUGCAUGGUACUCGGGGUGUUCUGCCCAAGCUUCCUGCUGACACGCUCGAAAACCAUGAUAUACUUCGUGAAGUGGCUCGUGCCCAACCUAGUUCUGCCAAGCGUCAAAGAGAUGUAGACAUUCCUCCUAGAAGUUCGAGUUGUCUGCAUCGGUCAAAAGAUGGAGACCGAAGCGGGAGGUCUGCUUAUGAUCCAGCAUUAUUGACUCAUUUGGAGAUGAGGUUGGCGAAGGCUAAGAAGGUGAAAGAGUCAUCUGCCCGGGUUAAGGGUUCUUCCUCGGCGUUGGUAGUUGGUCCCAAGAUGAACAAGUCUAGCUCUGUAGGGGAUGCAUGCGUAUCUGAUCUGCUCAAGAUGAACUUCCUAUCAAACCCGUCCUCUUGUGUUGAGUUGGUUGAUCACAUCCCUCAAGCGGGCGAUCUAGGCACUUUCUCGUGCCUUUCCUUAGAAAAAUGAAGGAAAAUGACAUUCCAUCUGAUUCAAAAAGGACUGGUUUUUGCUACUGAGACUAUUUGGAACUCAUCUGCUAUUGCCCCUCUUCUGUCCAACUCAGCGAGUUGGAGAAGAAGAAUGCUGAUUGGCUAGACAGCUUUCCGCCGAGCAGGCCCGUUACGAGAAGAAGAUGUCUGAUUUGAGGGCGAUGAUAUCUGAGCUGAAAAGCUCCCUUACCGAGAAGGAUUUCGAGCUCAACUCUUCUGCUGCUGAUUUGGCUAGUCGAAAAGAUACCUUCUUUCGUCUUGAGCAUAAGAAUGCUGACAUCUUCCUUAGCUAUAACAAACUCCUGGCUAGAUUUCAUGCCUACCAUAAGUCUGCUAAAGAAUCCAAGACAGAUGGAGCUGCUGAAGGCGUAGCCGGUCAGGUGGAUGCCGAAGAGGCUGCAGCUUAAAAGUCUUCUGCUGGCGUCUCAGAGUAGAUGAAGACUCUUUUUUGUUUCUUUUCAGCUUUUGUAGUUUGCUUUAUUGUUUAGAAUAACUGGUCUUAUUUGACCAUCUUCUUUUUGUUGAACUUGGCUGGUUGGUCUGUUUGUUAGGGAAAUUUCAGUUACAUUUUCCAACUUCAAUUUGCAUAUUUGACUUGUGAACUGCUUAAGUAACCAGCCUGUGUUUUGAUUGCACAUCCCCCUUUAGAGAUUUGUGAGUACCAGGGUCCCCCUUGGAGGACUCCGGCCAUGCACAGUAUAUCUCGUAGGAUGGUUCCCCUUAGGAAGUUGGCGAGUACCAGGGUCCUCUUUGAGAGACUCCGGGUGUGUUCUGCACAUCCCGUAUGAUGCCUUAAUCGUCGCCUUGCUUCUCCCGUAGGACGCUGCUUAUAGGCAACUAUAUGACUAUCCUGCCUUUCUUAGGAAACGGAUAGGAACCUGGAUAUUUCCCGCAUGAAGCAUGGAGACCUCCUUUUAAGAAAUUUUUGGUGCACCAUGCUUCUCCCUUAGGACGCUUUUUUCGCAGGCUGGGUCUCCAAAUGGACGCUUUUAGUCGUUGCCCUGCGUCUCCCUUAGGACGCUCCUUAUGGGCAACUGUGUGACUAUCCUGCCUCCCUUAGGAAAUGGAUAAGACUUGAAUAUUUCCCGCAGUAAGCAUGGCGACCCCCUUUUAAGAAACUCCUGGCGUACCCUGCAUCUCCCUUAGGAUGCUUUUUAAGAGGGCUGCUUCUCCAAACGGACGCUUUUAGUCGUUGCCUAUGUCUCCCCUAGGAUGCUCCUUAUGGGCAACUGUGUGACUAUCCUGCCUCCCUUAGGAAACAGAUAGGAAACUAGAUAUCUCCCUUAGGAAAUUCCUAGCGCACCUUGCGUCUCCCGAAGGACGCUUUUUUAGCUGGCUACGUCCCGAAACGGACACUUUUAGUCGUCGCCCUGCGUCUCCCUUAGAAUGCGCCUUAUAGGCAACUGUGUGACUAUCCUGCCUCCCUUAGGAAACGGAUAGGAACCUGGAUAUCUCUCUUAGGAAAUUCCUGGGGCACCUUGCGUCUCCCGAAGGACGCUGCUUAUGGGAAAAUAUUGUGUUUCGUGGGCAGAUGAGACAUUUUGGAAUGAGAAACUGAACUUAUAUUGAUAUUCAUAAGAUUACAGUCCUUUAUUUGAAAAUGGAAAUAACUUGGUUCAAAAACUUAGAACUUCUAGCAGCUACGAGGAAGCACUAUGGAUAAUACUUUCGGAGAUGGUGAGCAUUCCAUUGUCGUGGUAUUUCCUUCCUAUCCAUGGUGUCCAGUGUGUUGCUUCCUCUGCCCCGGACCUGCUGAUCACAUAAACGCCCUCCCAGUUAGGAUUCACUUUUUUUGACCCGUGUCUUGGUGCAGUAAUGAAAGCCUUAGCACGAGGUCGCCUGGUUGAAACUGUUUGACCUUAGCUCUUUUGUCGUAGUAAGACUUCAACUGCUAGUGAUAGGAGGCGACCCGAAUAAUGGUCUUCUCACGCCUGCCCUCAAGUAAGUUGAGGUUGAGCCUCAUCUGCUCGGAGUUCUGAUCAACACUGCCUACCUUAAGACUUAUAGAGAGGACAGUGAUGUGAGGUGGUAUGAUCACUUCUGUUCCAUAGGCGAGAGAGAAUGGGGUUUCACCAGUCGAUCUUCGCUUGGUGGUGUGAUAAACCCAUGGUACUCUGGGGAGUUCAUCCACUCAUUUCCCUUCAGCGCCUUCCAGCCUUUUCUUUAAGCAGUCCAAUAUGACUUUGUUGGAUGCCUUGGCUUGUCCAUUUCCUUGUGGAUACCUCGGGGUGGACAAGUGUUGUUUGAUCUUGUAUUUCACAAAAAAAGCGGUGAUCUGCUUGCCAAUGAACUGUGAGCCAUUGUCGGUAACCAACGACUGUGGGCAGCCAAACCGGCAUAUGAUGUUUCUCCAGAUGAAUCACUCCACAUCGGCUUCUUUAGUAAAUGAUAGAGCUUCGGCCUCGAUUCAUUUAGUAAAGUAGUCGGUGGGGACGAUCAUCAUUUCUUUCUUGGCGGGCGCUAGUGGCAAGGGAUCCACUAGGUCGAUGGCCCAUUGCAUGAACAGCCAUGGACUGUUUUGCGGAUGAUAGACUUCGGCAGGCAAGUUAGGGAUCGGCUUGUAUUGCUGACAGCGUCACAUUUCUUGGCACAUUCAGCACAGUCGUGACGUAUGGUAGGCCAGAAGUAGCCUAUGUUUAGAACUUUCUGGGCGAGUGACCUGCCCCAGAAUGGUUGCCAUACUCGUCGUCGUGAAUUUUACAGAUAAUCUCAAGUGUUUGAUGGUACUUUAUGCAGGUGAGAUGAAGGCCGGAGUAUGAUCUGUGGAUGAGCUUGUUGCCGUGCAUGUAGUAUCUCUCGGCCUUUUGCUGGACUUUUCUAGCUUCGGACUUGUCCGUUGGCAGGUUUCCAUUCGUGAAAUAGUCGAUGAUGAGGUCUUGCUAGCUGGGGUCCUCGUCAAUCUGCAUGGUAUUAAUCGGCUCUAUUUCUUCAAUGCUUGGUCGGUCAAGGUGUUCGACCUAGAUGGAGUGUUUGAACUGGGUAUCCAGCGUUGAACCUUGGCUUGCCAGUGCGUCUGCAUGCGCGUUCUUUGCCCGGGACACUUGUUGGAUAGUGAAGGUAGGAAAUGCCUUCAACAGCUCUUGGACUCUAUCAAGGUAUAAGAUCAUCCUUGGGUGCUUUGCCAUAUAUUCACCUGAGGCUUGAUUCGUGAUCAACUGUGAGUUUGAGUAGAUGGCUAGCUUUUUGAUUGCGAGCUCCUUUGCCAAGCGUAAGUCGGCGAGUAAUGCCUCGUAUUCUACCUCGUUGUUCGAGACCGAGAAGCCAAGCGUAAUAGCUUGCUCUAACAGGGUUCUAUCCAGGGUGGUGAUAACGACCCCUGCUCCAGCUCCUUUUUGGUUCGACGCUCCGUCUACACGCAACUGCCACAUGUCUCUGGGAUGGCUUGGUUCUGCGGAGGUCCUGUCUGCUUUUGAACUUCCCUCCUUUUGGUUGACUAACUUCUCUUUUUUGGCUGAUGGGGUGAAUUCUGCGACGAAGUAUGCUAAAGCCUGGGCUUUUAUUGCAGUUUUUGGCCCGUAGAGGAGGUCAUAUUGGCUUAGCUCUAUAGCCCACUUCAUGAGUCGCUGAGAAGCAUCAGGGCUGUGGAGGAUUGAUCUCAAAAGAAAGUCAGUCAUGACUAUGACUCGAUGAGCUUAGUAGUAGGGUCGCAGCUUUCUCGCAGAAACUACAAGAGCCAAAAUAAGUUUCUCCAAUUUCGGGUAACGAGUCUCUGCAUCGAGGAGAGCUUUUGACGUGUAGAAUACCGGAUAUUGGGCCCCUAUCUCUUCUCGGAUGAGAGCUGAACUGACAGCUGAGUUGGACUUACCUCACUAGGGACUGGAUUUGAGAGCAUGGAAGGUGAGGUGAGGUAAGUCUUCAGAUUAUGGAAAGCUACUUUGCAGUCCUCAUCCCAUUUCUCUCUUUGUCCUUUCUUCAAAGCUUUGAAGAGUGGUCUGCACUUGUCGGUUGAUCUCGAGAGGAAUCGGUUGAGAACCGCUGCUUUGUCCGUCAGACUUUAUAUCUCUUUCACCGUGGAAGGCGACUUCAUCUCUAGAAUGGCUUUGAUUUGACGUGGAUGUGCCUCGACACCUCGUUGCGUGGCUAGGUAUCCCAAGAAUCGGCCGGAGGAUACACCAAACAGGCAUUUACUUGGAUUCAACUUCAUGCGAUACUGGCGGAGCAAGCUGAAUGAUUGGGUAAGACUUCCGAUGUGAUCUGCACGUUUUGGGGCUUUGACCAGCAUGUCAUCCACGUAGACCUUCAUAGUUUUGCCGAUCUGCUUAUUGAAGAUUUUAUUCCCGAGCCUUUGAUAGGUUGCUUUGGCGUUCUUCAGCCCAAAGGGCAUGACCUUAUAGCAGCAGGUCCCUCUCUCGAUGAUGAAAAAAGUUUUUGCCUUGUCAUCCUCGUGCAUCAGGAUUUGUUUAUAGCUGGACUAGGCGUCCAUGAAGCUAAGCAGUUGAUUGCCAGAAGUGGAAUCCACGAGUUGGUCGAUUCUCGGCAAUGAGAAGUUGUCUUUAGGGCAUGCUUUGUUGAGGUCUGUGUAAUCGACACAAACUCUCCAUUUGCCAUUUUCUUGUUUUGCCACCAAAACAACGUUGGCAAGCCACUCUGAGUAGGAGGCCUCUUCGAUGAAGCCGACAGCUAGGAGUUUGUCAAUCUCGGCCUCGAUGAUAGCAAGUCGCUGGGGUGCGAAGUUGCGUCUCUUCUGCGCCACUGGCUUGCAGGCAGGGUUGAAGUGGAGUCAGUGACAGAUGAUGUUCUUGUCGAUGCCAGACUUGUCUGACGGCAACCAUGCGAACAUGUCUCUGUUGCUCUGGAGGAAGGUGGUAAGCUCCACAUUCUCUUCUGGCCUUAGGCGCGAACCGAUCCACUCUUUCCUAUCUGGUUGGUCAGGAUCCAAGGGUAUUAACUCGACGUCCUCCUUGGGUUUCCAUCCUUCUUCAGGAAAGACCUAUGGACGGAUUUCCUCGACUUGGUCCUGACGCUUUAAUUGCUAUAAGAUAGCAAGAUCCAGUUGCUCAACCUCCUCCAGAUCUGCCUGGCUCACAGGGAGAAACUGCGCUUGUUUACCUUUCUUUAGCCCUUGGGCGGAGCAUUUCCUCGCCAUUGCCUAAUCGUUGUUGAUUUGGCCGACACCGCCCCCAAGGAUUGGGUACCGAAUUUUCUAAUGUGUGGCGGAGGUGAUUGCAUUAAUUUUGCCAAUCGAUGGUCUGCCCAGAAUGCCGUUGUAGGGUAAGACCUUAUUAAUGACCAUGAAGGUUAUGAGCUGAUUAUAAGUGGGGAGUAGACGUCGAGGUCUAUCAUGCCCACGGUAACCGUUGUUGCACCAUUAAAAUCGCUCAGCAACCUAGCUAAUUUGUAAAUCUUUGUCUCCAAUCCCAUCUGUUGAAUGACCUCCAGUUGCAGGAUAUUGGCUGCGCUGCCCUCGUCUGUGUGGAUUCAGUCUACCAUGACCUGAGCAAUUUGAAUGCUGAUGACAAGGGCUUCGUUAUGUGGCAUGUAGAGGCCGAUCAGAUCUUUCUUUUGGAAGCCGAUUACAGGAUCGUCUUCUGCUGGUGGAAGGUCGGUCGAGAUUUGGGAGAUCACAGUGGUCUGUUUGAUCUUCCUCUUUUUUUCCUUUCUGGUCAGCCCAGACUCCUCGGAGUCAGCUAGGAUUGUGUUAAUUCUUAUGACCUUCUGAGGCGGCUCCUUGGCGAUGUCACGAUCUUCUAUCCGCUGGAUGACCUUCUUUGCAAUGAAUUCUGUGCAGUGACCUUCUCUCACGAGUUCUUCAAGAUGUGCUUUCCAAGCGAAGCAGUUGUUCAUAGUGUGUCCGUGCAUUUCAUGGACGGCACAGUAUUUGCUAGUAUUCCUUUUGUCCGGAUCUUCUUUCAAGGGUGGUGGUCUUCUUACCCAAGGUUGUUCUUCACUUGGGCUAAGAUUUGAUGUAUGGAGAUGGUGAACUUGGUGUAGUUCUCUCCUGCCGUAGCAUCCCCUUAUGGGUGCGACCUGCGCUUGUCCUUGUCCCUGUUGCUAAAUCCGUCGCUUCUUUGGCCUGCCCCCUUAGUCGGCUGAUCUUCCUGCUUAGUAGAGUUCUUUGCGGCGAUUCGAUCGUCAUCCCAAAGCGCAUAGCUUUCCGCGGUCUCGUAGACCUCUGCCAAAGUUUGGCUGGGAGUGAUGGUCAGCUCGUGGUACAAGUCGUGCUCAGUCGAAAGGUCUUUCUUGAAAGCAGAGGACGCAAUUUGGUCAUCACAUCCUACAAUGUUGGCCUUUUCUACUUUGAAUCUCUUGAUGUAAUCUCUAAAGGAUUCGUCGAACUUCUUGCGCAGGUUAUACAGGUGGUCAGGGUUCUUCUUGAUUGUUCGGUAAGAGGUGUAUUCUUUGGUGAAUAAGUAAGUCAGCUCCUUGAAGCUGCUGAUCGACCUGGAUGGCAGAGUAUGGAACGAGUCUUGGGCUUCCUCACAAGGUCAUUGCAAACACCUUGCACAUCAGCGCGUCGUCAACCUUGUGGAGGAUCAUGACACUUUUGAAGUGUUUUAGAUGGCUCUCAGGAUCGGAAUCCCCCUUGAAGUGUGUGAAUGUGGGCGUUGAGAAUCGCUUCAGGAGAGCAGCCUGCUCGAUUUUGGCAGUGAAAGGUGUAGAGUAUGCCUGGUCUACCUCAUUUCGUACAUCUUCGAAAUUUCCACCGGUCUUCAAGUCUCGAAGUUGGUCAUUCACAAGCUUCUCUACGUCUUCCGCACACAUUGCUUGUCGGCCACAUUGGCGACCUUCACGAAUUGUUCGAUGCUGACUGACUUCCUCGUUGAUUUCCGAGGAUCGACCUUCUUGUCUGCAUUGCCUAGGUGGAGUGUUGGUGGAUUGCGCCUACGAAAGAUUCUCUGUGGCUUGUCAAUGAGAAUCGGUUCUUCGAGAGUGAGUAACGAAGUGCCUUUCCUCAUGGUCCUUAUUGUGAGGGUUAUCCAGCUGACCUCCCUGGGGCCUAGCCUUUCCUGAAUGCUUCUCUGCGAGUAGACAGUUGAAUGCUUUUCUUCACGAUCCUCGUUGUGAUGGUUGUUUGGCUGACCUCCUUAGGGUCUUAGCCUUUGAUGUACAUUUCCCUGCCUGCCCAAGUAGGUGCGGACGUCGAGUCGUGGGCCCAGCCUUUCGUGCACGUCGUUCCUUAAACUCAAUCUGCUCUGAGUGUGGCUUGCAGAUGCUUGCGACAUGUCGGCAGGUCGAUCACGUUGUUGUCCCUCGACUUGUCUGCCCACUCUUGCUUGACCUGCUUGGUACUCGUUGAGCUGUCUACCGGCCCGUUCAUCCUUCCUUCUUUCCUCGCCUGGUUGUCCAAGGCCAAGGUUUUGAGCAAAGCUUAUUUGGUUGAGGAGCUGCCUCAUUAGAUUGUUUUGGUCGUCCAUUCUUUAAGCUAGCUGGUCAACUCUCAGAUUAAGGUCUGCUUGAUUUCAUGGAUCAGGAGGAGAGAAGUGUGUGGAGCUCAACUGCACAUAGGCUAGGGUUUCAUUAGAGGUGUAUGCGGGAGCGUGUGUCGAGCGUGGAGGCAAUAGAGGGAAUGCUUGGAGUUGCUCCAAGACCGGCCCUAGGUCGGCGGUGGUAACGAGUCCACCUUGAUGGGAAGUUCCACCAUGUUUGGCGGCAGUGACCGAUGCAGUGGUGAGAGGUGGUGGUGCCACCAUGUCGAUCGCGGGAUCGUUGGUGGAGUGGCUUUGGGCCGUCGCAAAUCUAGCCAUCAUGGCGGCUUUGCCUCUCGUGUUCAUGCUUCCAACCAUGGUUGUUUGGAAGGCUUAGGUGGAUUGGAAAAUUAGAGGAACGGAUUCCUUGAGCACGCAUUGAGUAUAACUCGUGCUCUCAAUGAAAGCACCAAUUUGUGGGAGCAAAUUUCCCCACGAGAAUAUUCGGUUCGAAAGAUUCCCCUUUCUUAUUCGCCGCCUCUUUCUCCUCGCAAAAUAGAACAAAUAAGAGGACCACACCCGAGGGGUGUUGGCCAAAGGCCCUCCGAUGCCUAAAUUAGUUCAAGUAUUUGUAAGAAAAACACUAGCUAACUAGGGUAUGGAGAUGUGUUUAAGGUGUAAACCGGGCGGCCGGAACCUUAUGUAAAAGAGAGAGAGAAAUGAGGUGGCUAGGGUUUGAGAGGAAUUUUCUGCAGAGUUUUUAGUAGAGAUUUCAGACGUACCUCAACCAUUGUGUGUGGCCAUCUUUUUAUAGUGGUCUUGGAGGCUAGAGUUUCAGAGAAAUAAUUUCGUAGAUGGAAAGGAAUUAUUCCUCCCCUAUUUAGAAUUGAUUUGAUUAAUUACGGAUUUGAUUUAUUAGGGUAAAUCAAAUCCCUAAUUGUGGUAAGUAUCAAAUCAAAUCCUUUUUUAAUUAGGUAACUGCUCAUUUAAUUGACAAUUGUGGUAGGAAUCAAAUCAAUUCUCAACCUAAUUGGUAACGUUCAAUUUAAUUGGGUAAUUCCCAAUUAAAUUGAGUAACUCCCAAUUAGGUUGAUUAAUUCACACUUAGAUCAAAUAAUCCCCAAAUGGAAAGAAUUAUUUGACCUAAGGUAUGAUUUAAUUCGAUUCCCACAAUAUUUAGAUGCAUAAUUGAAUGCGAAUAAACAUCACUCUCUCCAGUGUGAAAUGGCGAAAAUUCUCUUCAAUCAAAAGUGGGCUUACUUCAAAUUUAGUUGAAGAAUGAUGGUGUGUCUUGCCUGACAAUUGACAAUUAGGUUUAGGAGCGUUCCUCUAGUAGAAAAAUCUAAAUCAUUUGUGGUCAUCCACUCACUUGGUUAGUCUUCCAGAAUCAAAUACCAAAUCAACCCAAAGGAAGCUGCAAUUUUCUGAAUUGUAUACUUGUUUUAAUUCUUCCUAUCUUUUUCUCUCUUUCAUUUUUUUUGUCUCCCUCAAGUUAAUACUUAAGUGAGUUGCCAAAUGGGGGUAAAAAAGAGAGUAGAAGAGAUGAACCCCACAUUUGACUUUAAUAGACAAAUGCCCAAGAGAAGUACCAGUAAGAGCAUCUCCAAUUGGGAGGUGCUAUCCUAUAAUUUGACACACAUUUCUUUUUUCUUUUUUUUCAAUUCUAACAACAUGUCAUCUAUAUCGCAAUAGGCCGUUGUAGUUAAAUUUUCAAAUAACCAAGUUGCUCUCUAUUUUCCAAAGAAGACUAGAAAACAACUUACCAUCUAUCUGGUGCUGCUUCUUCCAAACAUUAGAAAAAACAGAGCUACACCCAGGAGGAGCCCAGGAGAUGACACAAUACUGCCUACUAUGAUUCUUACUUUCUUCACAUUCAAUGAGACUAUAAAAUAUAACCCAAGUGGUCUAACCCCCCAGGGCGGAAAUUGGGUUUAGCAAGUUUAGCACUGAUUGUUGUAUAGUCUUAAACAGUCCUGAUCUCUUGGACCCCUGUAGUCCAAGAGAUUUAUGGUCACCCACCGUUGGAUGUAAAUUCAACGGUUGACUUGAAUCGGGUAAUAAUAAUUUAUGUCAUAUUGCAUUUAUAUAUAUCAUUUUGAACCAUUGGAUUAAUAUCCAACGGUGGGUGACCACAAUCUCUUGGACUCCUGUGGUCCAAGAGAUCGGGACUGUAGUCUUAAAAUAAGUAGUUUAGCGAGUGCAAACUUCGACUUAAAAAAACUCUCAUGUAUAGCCGCGCGGCUAUACUAUUUACAUAUAAAUAUAUAAAAAAGCACCCCCUAGUCACGUGUCACAAAUAGUAUAGUCGAAAACAGUAGAGCCGCGCGGCUAUACUGUUUUUAAAAUAAAAAAAACCAUAUUCGAUUCUCCUUAUAUUUAAAAGGGGUAUAGCCGCAUGGCGAUACUAAUUUUUUUUUUUCAAAAAAAGGGACCCCAGUACUCCUUUUAUAUAUUAUAAUAUAUUGUCUAAUAUUUGGAAUAUUUACUCUAAAAUAAACAAUAUAUUAGGUUCUUUUUGUCUACAAAUUGACCAUUAAACUUCUUAAUCACUCUUAUACUUUCAAUUAAAUCUACUAGGCUAGGUUAUGAUAUUUUCACUAAAAAACUCCUCCUUUUUUUCUUCUCUUUCUCUUCCUGUUUUGUUUAACUUAAGCUUAAGUUUUGUAAUUUUUUUUCCCGCCCUUUUUACAUGUUUGAGUAGGGUACUUUAAUAUUGGGAUUUAUGAACUUUUUUUGUAUUUCUUCUUUAUAUUGGAAUAUAAAUUAUUAACUUUUGAGUCUUUAAUAGUGUAGAUGAUGAGAUUAUUAUUCAACCAUUUUAUAAUAUGAAAUGAAGGACAAUCAUGAUUGUGAUGAAUGGAUUAUUAAUCAAUAUGAAAUGAUAUUAUGAAGUGGGCUAAAUCGAGUAGUUAGUAUCGUAUUGUUGAGACCCAAAAAAUCCAAGGCUAGGCCCAAAUAUAUUAUGAAGUGGGCUAAAUCGAGUAGUUAGUAUCGUAUUGUUGAGACCCAAAAAAUUCAAGGCUAGGCCCAAAUAUAUUUCCGGUCCAAUGCGAUACCUUACCGAGAAGAAACCUUAUUUGGGCACGCGAAAGUUCGUCAUAUGCUCUUGCACACAUGCCAUGCCAAGCAAAUAAGCAACAUGCCACGCUACAAGCUUAAGUGGGCCCAAGCCACGUGAAUGCCUAGGGCCUGCUGAGUGGGUUGUGGUAUGGAUGGUUAUGAGUAUUCACGAGGCCCAUUGAUGGUCUAAGGAGUGGAAGUUUUGGGCUACUUGGGAGCACCAAAACUCAAGCCCAUUCAUUGAGCCCAAACAUAUGGGUAAGCAUGAGAUAAAACCUAGUAGCCCAUCACCUUAAGAAAUCCUAAUAGCCCAUAACAUGUGAGAAAAUCCCACAUCAACCAAAGCUUCCAGCAGUCUGACGAAAUCAAAGGGAACUCACAAGCCGUUGGAAACAAAACAACCCAACACUGUAACACCCCGACCCCAAAUUUCCCCAAAUUUAACCCUUAUUUAAUUAUUUAAGGGUAUUUUAGUCAUAUUUUUAACCGGAGAGAGUUUGGGGCAAUGACUAGUAUUUUUGGAUAGGUCGUACUGAGACGAGUUUAUGGACACGCAGUGAGCUCGAAUCGGAGUUGUAACGAGAGAGAUAUGGUCAAAAGAAGCCCAGUGGCACAAUCGUAAAUAUUUUGAAAUGAGAUUUUUUAUAAAAAUCUGGUUUUCUCUCUCUCUCUCUCUCUCUCUCUCUCUCUCUCUCUCUCUCUCUCUCUCUCGCUAGCGACCUCUCUCUCUCUCCCCCGUCGGUCUCUCCCCUCUUUCUCCUCGUAACUCCGGCCACCGGCCCCGGCUGUGGACGGGGCCGGUACCAAAAUGACCGAGGCGUCGUCCUCUUCCUACCCCAGCCACCUCCCACCGCCAGCCGUCGCGGAUUCGCCGGAAUCUGGAGAUGAAGCGGCCUACGUCGUCCAAAUUUCAAAGCUGCCGAUCUCCCUCCUCCGGCCACCAAUUCCGUCGACCCAGGUAUGGAUUUUGAACUUCUCGAGCUGCUCUAGCUGAUGGUUGGGUAGGAUUAGAUCGAUUCUUAGCUUAGACAACUCGAUUUUCAAAUUGAAAAUCGGCCGAACUUCGGCUGCCGUGAUCGGCCAUUUCCGGCCACUUUUUGGGGUAGGUCCAAGAACAAAAGUGGCUCCAAAUAGGGUGUUAUACCUAGGGUAGGAGUUUGGAGCCGUGGUUUUGAGAUUUUCCGGCGAAGCGUUAUCGCUUUGGGCACCCACGCGCUGCCGGUGCGUGCGGCGGCGCGUGGGCACUGUAGAAAAAGUAGCACUGUGUUCCGAUGAGAUCCUUAGGUUGUCACGAGUGCGUAGGAUUUUGCGGAUCUCAAUUCGGACGUCGUUUGACUAUCGAACGGAUAUUCGCAUAUUGCGCGUUAUUCGGGUUCGAUAGGUUGGGACCGUUGGAUGGACCCAAAUUUAAUAUAUGUUAAUCUAAUUAAUUCUAGGAUCGUGUAGGAAUUCACGGAUUGUGAAUCGGAGCCCCGGAUGUUCCGAAUAAUAAUUUUAAAGUUUGUAUUUUAUAUUAAUUGUCAGAUCGUGCGAUCGUGAGCAAUCUGACCGUUCGAUCUGAACCAAACUUGCAGGACAAGUGUCCUAUACCUUGUAGAACCCAUAGGGACCUUCGGAUCGGAAAUUGGAGGUCGUGGGUUCCGCAAGUCGGUUUGACCAGGGUUAGAGAAGUUUGACCCUUGGUUGACCGUGAGUCUCCCGGAGUAAUCUCACCUUUCUAGGGGAGAUUAUCGGGUACUAGAUGAUUGUGGACACAAUAUUAGAAUUAAUUUAUAUAAUUAUAAUUAUAUAUGGUUGUACAAGGGUACAACAGAGUCUAGAAUGUCAGUUUGGAGUGCUAUACGCACUACUUUAGGUACCUCCCCGGAUGUUGGGAUUUACUACAAGUACCACCAAGUGAAAUUGAGGUCCCGCGUGGCGUAGGUUAUCCAGCGUUGGGAUAGGUCUCAUACGUGGGGUUGGUUGUACCGGCGUAUGGGGAGAUUUGUGAUAUUAUGUUCAGGUCUCACGUGGCGUAGGUUAUCCGGCGUUGAGACAGGCCCCAUACGUGGUGUUGGUUGUACCAGCGUAUGGGGAGCUAUGUGAUAUUGUGUUGAGGUCGCACGUGGCGUAGGUUAUCGGGCGUGUCGACAGACCCCAUACGUGGCGUUGGUUGUACCGGCGUAUGGGGAGAUUUGUGAUAUGAAAUUGAGGUCCCACGUGGCGUAGGUUAUCCGGCGUUGGGACAGGCCCCAUACGUGGCGUUGGUUGUACCGGCGUAUGGGGAAAUAUGUGAUAUGAUGGCAUGGUCGCACGUGGCAUAGGUUAUUCGGCUUGUUGACAGGCCCCAUACGUGGCGUUGGUUGUACCGGCGUAUGGGGAGAUUAUUUGAAAUGCAGAGAAACGAAAUAUGGUAUCGCCCAAAUGUGGAAUUGGGUUUUAGGGAAGAACUACGUGUGGCUUGAUCCCUCAAGGAGGGUACGUAGGCAGCCUAAGGUUAAUAGGUGCAGCCGCAGACUAAAUGUUAGUCAUAAUUGAUAUUUGAAUUGUUUGGUAGUUGGUUAAGAAUUAUUGGAAGGCCGAAGGCCAUUUGUGUGAAUUGCAUGAAAUUAUAUUGUGCAUGCUGCCAGUUGGGAAUAUUAAAUGCGUUUUUAUGCAGGUAUAAAUUUUAGGAAAUGUCCAAUUUAUAGGGGAGACUCUGCCGAAUUUUCGGCAGGAAGUCUCAGUUUUUAGUAUCUGGGCCUGGCAUCGGGAGGAUGUCGGGAAUUCCAAAGGGUCGUCUCGAGUUCUGAAAAAUUCGGUGCGGGUCCUUUCAAACACCUUAUAAAAUAUCCAACGCCGUGCAUCUCUGUUAAAACCAGAUCACAGCCAAACCACCAAAACCAUGCAAACCCAUAUGCUGAUCACCAUUUUUACUAGCACCCUUACCCAUUCUUUCCUCUUCAAGCUUUGGUGAGAAAACAAGAAACAAAAGUGGGCGGAUCUUCACCCACAUGGAGAAAUCCAGCUGCCUGAGGGCCCUGGAACUCCAAAAAACUUCUUACCUACAUGCUCAGGCUAGGGAAGUUUCACCAAAUAAGCAAGAAUGGAAGAAAGUGAAGGAAAAGGGGAAAGGGUGGCUUGACGAAAUUAAGGUUUUCAGCACUUAUAAAAGGAAACACUUUCUAUCCAGCAAAAACAACUCACCCUGGUUGCUGCAAGCCUCCUAGCAACCAUGAGAAUUCAUUGAAGGCAAGCAUCCCCUUUGGAACCCUUCAAUUUCAUGCUUUGUUCUUCCAUCUUCCUCCUUUCUCUCUCUCUCAAAACCCACAUCCAGAGAGAGCAAGCAUCAUCUCUCAUCUUUGGAACCCUUCGAUUUGAAGCCUUGUUCUUCCAUUGCUUCCCAUUUUCUCUUCUGUCAAAUCACCUAGGAGCUUGACGAAACUUUCGUCAAGCUGCUGGAAAUAUGGUAAAGCCACCCAUGCUUCCAUCUUCUUCCUCUCUUUCCAUAAACACACAUCCAAAGAGCAAGCUUCAUCUCUCAUCCUCUAAACCUCUGCAAUUUCAAGCCUCAUUCCUCUAUCUUCUCCCAUUUUCAGCGGUAGUGAGAAUGAUUUCUGCGUGUGCAUGGGAAGGAUUGUAACUCAGAUGAGGAGGAGAUGGUUUGGAGUGGGGUGAGGCAGUUGGAUAGAGCUCUUGGCCUUUUCAAGUUUGGAUGGGAAAGAGCAGGGAUGAAAGAAGCUUUACAACUGCAAGGGCAUAUAUGGUGCGUAGGGGCUGAAGGCAGAACACUUACAUAUAGAGGAAACACAUUUUUUGUCCAUGGGAUUCAUGUUUGACAAACACUUGUCUUAGACUAUGAGUUCAAAUUUCAAAACCUUUUUUUUUUCUUUCUGAAAUCAGGACCAGUGUGGAGAACUAGCAAGGAUUGGAGAAACAGAUUUUUGGGCGUCACUUGACCACAGAUUGUUGAUUGCUCAAAUGUGUAGAAUUGGCCAUCUUAAAUGUCAAAAUGAUUUAUCAAUUGGGGUUUUUUUAGAAACGUUUAUGUUUGUCAAUAGAGACAGAAGUCAGAGAACAUAAACCUUUCUCAGCAAAUUGAAAUUCUCAGUGCAUGCUCUGUUCUUCCAUGGCUUUCAAACCUUCUCUGCCACGGUGAAAUGGAUCGAUAGAGAUAGUUUAGGCCGUUCCAUUUGUUUGAUGAAGCAUUCGUUCUAGGGAUUCUGUAUAUUCAUAACAAAAUCACUAGAAUGAUUCUUAGAAAUUCAUCACUGCUAAAGGCAAUGGGUUCAGCAUAAUAACUUCUUAGUCUUGCUUCUUGGUCCUUUAUUUUCUUUGCAUAAUACUCCAAGUUUACCUGGGUUCUACAGAGAAAAUCUCGUAGAUACCUCUUUUUGUGGUCUUCCAUGGCAUUUAAGUGCUGCUUUCCAUGGUGAAGUGGGCCUAUAGAGACUACCUGAGGUGUGUAGGCUUUGUCAUUUCCACGCCGUAAUCGCUCAGGAACUCUGUAGAUACACCUUCAAGGGGGACAAGGGAGACAAACUAUCCAAUUCCUUGCGCCUUACAAAUAGAUCGCAUGGGUUUUCUAUUUCAUCUGCAGCUUCAUCAAUUCCUUCCAUUUUUCUCCUGAUCAUCAUGCGCGGUGAUUCAAAUAUUUCAUAAUGAACAUUGAAAUGAGAUGCUACAAGCAAACUUAUGAAAAGAAACAGAAAUACCAAAAAGACAAAUCAAUGUAGAUGGUUUAGAAAAUCUAAACAUUGCAAUUAUACUCCUUUGCCCAACUUCUAGGAGCAAACGUACACAAAGACCUUAUUGCUUCCAACUUUUCCAACAGAAUUUCAUAUGAAUUGCUCCAAGUGAAAUCCGUAUGAAAAAUCGGUAGUUGGAUUUUCAUCCUGCUUUAAUAUGAUUAUUUAACUUCUAACAAAAAAACUCUUAUUACUUGAGCAAGUAAAAUACUAUUCCAGGUUUCUCCUAGUUCUAUAUGCGCUUAUAAUUGGUAUACUCUAUAAAUACCAUAAUCUGAAUUUCUCUGUUUUGAUUACUUUAAUUUAUUACUUAUGUUUUAAUUAUUGUUUACUUAGUGAAUUAUUAGUAUUUAAGAGAAGGCCUUCCAUCGAUUAGGCACCACGUGUCUAUAAUAAGUAAAGCCGUCCGGCUAUACUUAAAAAAAAAAAAAAUUGUAGUAUAGCCGACCGGUAUAGCCGCGCGGCUAUACUAUUUAAUACAUUAUAUUUAAACGGUAUAGCCGCGCGGCUAUACUAUUUAAUAAAAUAAAAAACAAAAGAAAAAGAAAAAUUACCCUCCUAUUUCAUUAGUUUGUACUUUAUAGAUACUAGCCCCUUGACACAUGCUCACGCAUGUGCCAAUUGGUUUUCUUUUUCUUUUUUAUUUUUAUUUUUAGAAUUAAGAAAAAAUAACAGGAUAGUUAUGUUCCAUAAAAGUAGGACCUAUUAUCUUAUUUUGUUUUUAAUUUUAAUUUUUUUAAUAUUAAAAAAAUAUGAAUUUACGAUAUUAUCCUCAUUUAAUUAAUAAUUUCAAUUCUUAAUGUUUGAAUUAACAAAGGGCAUUUUCUGGUAUUUUGAAUGUUUCACCAUUCUCUGCCUUUUGCUUUAUAUAUAUAGAUUAAUUUGCCAGUUUCAAGAUAUCCAAAGUACAUAUUAGACUUUCACUAUAUAAAUUUCAAUAUAUAUUUUUUAUAACAUGUGUUGUUCUUAUUCAAUAAUAUGUGAGAAUUAUUUGUAUAAUACGUGAAUUUUGUGUGUCUUACUGAAUUUUUUUAAAUACGUGUAUUAAACGUUACAAAUACGUACAUAUAUGUACAACACGACUAUUGUAAGUUUGCUAUAUAAAAAAAAGUGAGAUGUAUCUAGAACACGAAUGUAUUAUCGAAAAAUAUAUAUGUAUGUAUAUAUAUAUAUAUAUAUGUAAAAGCCUAUAGCCUCUCACCUAUACUAUUUAUUAAAGACAAUUUAAAAAUUACAACAACAAAAAAACCAGUACAGCCACAAAGCUAUACUAUUUUAAAAAAAAAAAAUAGAAAAAAUAUCAAGUACUACACAGGGCAAAGGCCCAGUGUAAAAUAGUAUAGCCGUACGGCUAUACGUUUUUAAGAAGAAUUUAAAAAACUAAGUAUAGCUCACCGACUAUACUAUUUUUUAAUAUAAAAAAACAACCCCAUCCAUUAGGCGCCACGUGUCAACAGAAGUUUAUUUUUAAAAAAAAAAAUUAAAAGACAAGGAGUAUAGCCGGGUGGUUGUACUAUUUUUUUAUUUUAAAAAGAAGACAGUCCAUCGAUUAGGCGCCACGUGUCCAUAAUAAGUACAGCCGCUCGGCUAUAUGUUGGAUAUUUUGAAACUAGCAAAUUAAUAUCAAUAGCCGGUCGUAACCUAUGCUGUCCACGUCACUCAUGUUUUACCAGAGUUAAAGCAUCCACAAUGAGCUCCCCAAACCAUCUCUUUAGACAAAUUUUAGGGAGAAAUUGGAAAAGUACAACUCCAACCAUGCUCCCUAUCCACCAACUAAAAUAGGGAGACCUCUAGGAGCUCCUAAAUCUGAGGAGAGGGAAAGGACUCUUAGUGACUCCCUAUAAUUUAAUGUUGCUUUGUUUUAUGCAUAUUUUAAACUUUUAAUUAAAUCAAAUUAUUAUUUUAUAUUAUUUUGUAUACAGAUGGACCAAUUAUAUUAAAUUAAAAAAUAAUUAAAGUAUUUGUGACUCUCUAAACUAAGGAGUAUGAUUAGAGUUCAAAUUUUAUAAAAAGCUCUUAAAAUAGCUUUUGUGUGUUUUUAGCUAAAUUUUAACUAAAAAAUUUGAAGAUUCUUUAUUUGGGUUUCUUUCAAGACGAAAACCAUAUCCACAACAGACAUCUUUGGCUGUUCAUCACAAUUGAGAGACAAUGAAGAAGACAUAAGGGAGAGGCUGCCAAAUACUUAUCACCUUAGCCACCACCAACACCACAAGACCAAUAUGUGUAGGCCAGGAGGCUUUCCAAUUUUAAUAUAUAUAUAUAUAUAUAUUAAAAAAUAAAAUAAAAAUCAAUCUAUUAUCAUAUAUAUUAUAAAAUAAAGAUUAUUGCUCCAUCCUCCAUGCACUUGCGUGCCCUCUUACAAAGUAUGAAGUAGAUUUUGUUAGCUGGAUUUAUAAGAUCUUUUGUUUUUUGGAAAUUUUCUGAAAUAAGGAAAAUCAAGUAAAAUUAAUAAAGCAUAAAUUGGAAAGGGAAAAUAUCUAGAGGAUGCAUUGUAGGAUUGCUCAAGCCAAUAAUUGUACCCUCUAAAUAUAUAGGGACAUAUUUUUUUUGUUUUCAUGACAUGUCGUCCUAAAAUUAUUGUUCUUAGCGGGCUCUCCACCCCCUCUCGAUUGAAAACCUAUUGUGUAAAUCUUCAAUCCUGAAUUAGAAAAGUACAACUCCAACCAUGCUCCCUAUCCAUCUCCUAAAAUAGGGAUACCUCUAGGAGCUCCUAAAUCUGAGGCGAGAGAAAGGACUCUUAGUGUCUCUUUAUAAUUUAAUGUUGCUUUGUUUUAUGCAUAUUUAAACUUUUAAUUAAAUCAAAUUAUUUUUUUAUAUUAUUUUGUAUACAAAUGGACCAAUUAUAUUGAAUUAAAAAUAAAUUAAAGUAUUUAUGACUCUCUAAACUAGGGAGUAUGAUUGGAGUUCAAAUUUUAUAAAGAGCUCCUAAAAUAGCUUGUGUGUGUAGGGGUCUUUUUCUUCUGGCAACUACAGAUGGGUUGGGCUACCGUAAGGAGCAAACUGAAGAAAAUAUCCCCUGUGUCUGAGUUCAAAGAUUCGGCCCCAAAAUAUUUCGAAAAGGCAGUAAAGCCUUAGGAAACACCUUAGUUACCUUCACCAACGAAAAUGACGGCUGCUUACAGGUAGAUUCUUAGUGCUUACAGAUGAAUUCUUAGCUUAGCAUGAGGAGAUCGUGGCAUGGAAGCAAAGUUAGCAUGAGUUUAGCACUAAAGAGAAAAUUAUGUGUUCUUGGGAGGAAGAAGGGGUGUCCAGGUAAAUGGGAAAAGGUUUUGCAAGUAGAUUUGGCUAAGAGAGAAGGGAGAGAGAGAAGAGGGUGGCUAGAGUGCUUCUUCCGGCAGCUUGACAGUGACUCUGUCAAAUGUUAGAGCAAUCUGCCAUAAGAGGGAAAAUGGGGAAGAAGGAUGAACAGUGCACAAAAUUGCUAGGUUUUUGCAAGUAAGAGAGGAAGCUUGCUCUCUGGAUGUGGAUGAUCCGUUGGGUAGAAGAGGCCCCAUUUUAUAGCCGCUGGAAACUAUCAUUUCUCAAGAAACCCUAAUAGUUUCUACCCAAUUUGGUCAAGCUUUUCCCUUCCUUUCUCAUCUCCUCCCUUGACUUUUCCUAUCUUGGUGAAAUUUCCUCUGUCUAUUUGCACAAAAUCAGGAGCUCAAGGCCUCCCUUUCCCGCAACUGUUCAAUGGGAGACUCCAUUCUUAGCUAUUUUUCUUCUUCUUUCCUUCCUCCUUCCCUGACCAAAUCUGAUGAAGGAAAGCAAAUAGGUGCACACAUUGGUUUGAAGGGUGCUUCUCCUUCUAGCAGCUUACAUGCCAAUAUCCCUUGGGUCCUUGCAUGUUUUUUGCUUUGAAACUUGUUUCUUCCUUCCCGUCAACUCACGUGGUCUUCCAUGCUUCUUCAUGGCUUUAUCUUUCAGCCAAAAGAUGGAGUUUUUACUGCUUGCUACUUUUAAUUGUAUGGGUCUUCUAGGAUAGGAAGUCAACCUACCAAACAAAUGGGCCACCUUUAUCAAAUAUUGGGCUGUUGGGGUUAGUUUUAGUGGGCCAUUUUGACUGGGCUUUUUGGUUGGGUUAUUUAAGUUAUUUUCCCUUUUGUGCUCACCCAUGUAUUUAGGCCUAAGAAAUGGGCUUGGGCUCCGAGUCUCCCAAGCAACCCGGAACCUCCAUUUCUUGGCCCAUUAAUGGGCCUCAUGACAACCUAUUACCAUCCAUACCACAACCCACUCAAGCAAGCCCCGGGCAUUUGAAUGGCUUUGGCCCACUUUAGGCUUGUAGUGUGAUUGGGUGUGGCAUAACGAUUUCUCGCUUGGCAUGGCAUGUUGCUUGGCAUGUUUUUUCAUUACGAUGCUUGAUGGAUUUGUAGAGCUACCUAUUUUUAUGAUCUUAAUCUUGAUUCCUAGCAUGACAAAUUUAUUUAUUUGGCAUGGCAUGCGGAGCGUGACUUGUGCGUGGCGAGUUUUGUAUGCUCCAACUUGGGCCUUUCCUAAAUAAUGUAUCAUUUUGGGUUAUGAAUUCUUUCGGGCCCAACCGUGAAUUUUUUGGGUUUCAACAGUGUGUUUUUAGCUAAAUUUUAACUAAAAAAUAGGGAGCAUGAUUGUAGAUCAUCUUAUAUACCUUAAUUUGAAGAUUCUUUAUUUGGGUUUCUUUCAAGAUGAAAACCAUAUCCACAACUGGCAGACAUCUUUGGCUGUUCAUCACAAUUGAGAGACAAUGAAGAAGACAUAAGGGAGAGGCCGCCAAAUACUUAUCACCUCAGCCACCACCAACACCACAAGACCAAUAUGUGUAGGCCAGGGGGCUUUCCAAUUUUAAUAUAUAUAUAUGGAGUGAAAAAAAUAAAAUAAAGAUUAUUGCUCAUCCUCCAUGCACUUGCAUGCCCUCUUACAAAGUGUGAAGAAGAUUUUGUGUGCUUCAAGUCAUUGACUAGAGCUGAAACAUGGUUAGCUGGAUUUAUAAGAUCUUUUGUUUUCUGGGAAUUUUCAGAACCAAGGAAAAUCAAGUAAAAUUAAUAAAGCAAAAUGGAAAGGGAAAAGAUCUAGAGGAUGCAUUGUAGGAUUGCUCAUGCCAAUAAUUGUACCCUCUAAAUAUAUAGGGACAUAUUUUUUUUGUUUUCAUGACAUGUUGUCCUAAAAUAUUUGUUCCUAGCGGGCUCUCCACCCCCUCUCGAUUGAAAACCUAUUGUGUAAAUCUUCAAUCCUGAACGAUGCUCCUAAAACUCAAGUGUCCCAGGCCAAUUAUUGCUCUCAUACCACUUGUUGCAAUACACAUCCACUCAUUCUCAGGGAAAGAAACCCAUCGAUAUUAUCUCAAAUUUAACCACUUUAGUCUAUUAUGAUUAACUAUGUAUUUUAUGGAUCAAUGCAGUUGUGAGGUUUUAUACCCAAUUAGAUCGACCAAUACAGAGAUCACAUGUGGACUGAAAAGCGCCAUCGGUAGGGGAGUGUUUGGCACCCUUUACUGCCGAGUGCAACACAAGACCCCUUACCAGGAACUUAUCUACUAGGACACGUGAAGCCACCACAAGUAAUAUCAACAGUCCCACAUCGAAGUUUAACAUAACAUGUACACUCCCCAGGACUGAUAAAAGUGGGCACAAGUCCCAAAAAUGGGGGAACUUGGACUUUCAGCAAUUCAUCCAUUAUUAUGUCCAAAUUACUAUACACUCCGUACUUAUUCUUACUUAAGCAUUGGAGAGCCUUCGGCCGGUACCACACCAGUGCCUAAGGGCUUACCGAGCGUUCUCUAUCUUGCAUAUUGAUCGCUCUACUGAAGCCCAUAAAGAGUUAAAGGUCAAGACAUCACUAAGUUGAGCCCAAAAGUGCUGAACCACAUCAAAAAUAUGUAUAGAUUGAAAAAAUAAAAUAAAAAUCAAUCUAUUAUCAUAUAUAUUAUAAAAUAAAUAUUGGAUAAAUUACUCAAAUGGUCCUCAAACUUAUACUCGAUUUACAUUUUGGUCUCUCAAUUAAAUUAUUUGUUCAAAUGGUCCAUCAACUCUAUAUUAUUUCUGCAAAAUCUACAAAGUGGUGGGAGGCAGACCAACAAAAAAAAUUAGCGAAGGCUUAUAACUCUGGUAAAACAAGAGUUACUUGGAUAGAAUAAUGUUACGUCGUACUGAAGAUUUUUGGGUUUCUUUAAUUGGUUAAGUGAAGAUUCUUUAUUUGGGUUUCUUUCAAGAUGAAAGCCAUAUCCACAACCACAACCACAACUGGCAGACAAUCUUUGGCUGUUCAUCACAAUUGGGCGACAAUGAAGAAGACAGAAAUUGGAGUACUGUAUGUUAUCACCCACACCACAAGACCAAUAUAAGGAGGAUGGGGAGGCUGCGGAAUACUUAUCACCUUAGCCACCACCUACACCACAAGACCAAUAUGUUGUAGGCCAGGAGGCUUUCCAAUUUUAAAUUAGAUAAAUCGGAAACUGUUUCGAUAUCCAAUUGUAUUCUAUAAAAUCAAUGAACACGGUGCUUCAAGAAAGUAAUAAAAUUUCAAUAAUUCAAUUGAGUGGUCAAAUUCAAGUGAUUUUUUGUAGUGAUGAUCUUUGAAUGAGUAUCUAUAAAAGAGACGGUUUGGAUUAGUGAAAUACAAUAUGGAGUGGGCCCUACCAGCAAUCCACGACAAAAUGUCUGCAAGCUUUCGUAAUAUAAGGAGGAUGGGGAGGCUGCGCAAUACUUAUCACCUUAGCCACCACCUACACCACAAGACCAAUAUGUUGUAGGCCAGGAGGCUUUCCAAUUUUAAUAUAUAUAUAUAUAUAUAUAUAUAUAUAUAUAUAGGGAUGUGAUUUCUCUACUCCCCUUUUCUCUACUUAUACUCCCUUUUGCUUUUAAAUACUUUUUAAUCAAUUUUUUUUCCGCUUUCCUAUUAAUAUUCUACCAUUUCCCUACAUUAAUUUCUUUUUACUUCACUUUUAUAUUAGUUCUUUUUCUUUAUACUUAAUUUUUCAACUUGCACUCCAUUUUCAUUAUUUUUUUCCUAAUCGAGUAAGAAAUUAAGUUUUUUUUCCCCAUUUAAUACUGAAAAUGGAGUGUAAGUUAGAAAAUUAGGUAUAAAGAAAAAGAAAUAAUAUAAAAGUAAAGUAAAAAAGAAAUUAAUGUAGGGUAAAGGUAGAAUAGAAAAGAGAAUGAACAAAAUUGAUAAAUAAAUAAAAAAGGUUUAAAAAGCAAAAAGGAGUGUAAAUGGAGAAAAGGGGAAUGAGGAAAUCAGCUCCAUAUAUAUAUAGAUUGAAAAAAUUAAAAUUAAAAUCAAUCUAUUAUCAUAUAUAUUAUAAAAUAAAGAUUAUUGCUCCAAGGAAAUGACAUCUUUUGUUUUCUGGGAAUUUUCUGAACCAAGGAAAAUCAAAUAAAAUUAAUAAAGCAUAAAUUGGAAAGGGAAAAGAUCUAAAGGAUGCAUUGUAGGAUUGCUGAUGCCAAUAAUUGUACCCUCAAAUUAUACAUGGACAUAGGGGUGGGCAUUCAAAUAGGCAAACUAGAAAUCCGAGCUGAACCGCACCUAGGAAAACCGGAAAAAAAACCGAGUUGACCAAAAAGUCAACAACUGGUCAAAAAUCGAACCGGACCGAUUUGGACUGGUUUUGGAUUCAGUUUAUAUGCAAUGCUACAUUUUUAGUCUCAUAACUAAUAUUUAUCCAAGUUCAAUUUCAAAACAUCUUUCUUUUUUAGCUUUAAUAUUUAUUUUUAUAUGAAAUUAAAUAAUUUAUUAAUUUUCAAGUAAAUAAAAUAAAAUUUCAGUUGAAAUUUAUAUUAAAAAAAUAAUUUUAAUAAUCCAGUUCAAAACCAAACCGGACCAUCCAGCUGUGAGGUACAUUUCUCCCACAUGCCACAAUUGUAUAUUCACAAUUACGUCUGAUACAUCACAUCAUGCCACUUGCCUCAAAUGAAUUUAAGUGAGUGUGGCAGUGGAAAGUAAUUAAGCUCUAUAUUGGUGGGUGGACUGUUACUUCUGGGUUCCCCUCAUCAUUCGUCUAUAAAAUGGUGAAGGCAGUUGCUAUUGUUACCAUAAGAGCCAGCUCCGACUUCCUUUAAUUUCUUGCUUCAUAUCCACUAGCUACAUCUGUUACCAAGUUAAUUUCAGUCCUAAUGGGGUUUCAUCUCCCACUCAUCUUUGCUCUUCUCAGUGUAAGCUCUGCAAUUUGAUUAACUUUUCCAUUCUCUCUCAUUGUACUCUAUAUAAACGAAAGUUUUGUGUUCCUAUAAUUCUCUCCGAUUUUAUUUAGUACGUACUUAAGUGUCGUCCACUAAUUAAUUACACUUUGUGAUUUGAUUUUAAUUUGAGUUCGAAUUAAUGUUGCAGCUAGCAGCAGUGGCACUGGCAAACCAUGCUGCUCAACCAGCACCUCAACUUUACUGGAACUCCGUCCUGCCAAACACACAGAUGCCAAGAUCUAUCAGUGAACUUCUGCAUCCUGGUUUGUGUUGAGCUCUUUAGAAUCUUAGAUAUCUCUUCUACCUGCCAUUUUACUAAAAUAUGUUCCACCACAUAUUUAUCAGUUAACCACUGUUAUUACAUGAGUGACACAUAUUCACAAAUCGGCUGAUCACUUAUUUUCCAUUAUGACGUUGAUAUAUAAUUUGCAGACUCCACAAAUGAAGAAAAGAGCACAAAUGACGUUGGCAAACCUGAAACUUUCCCAUUGGGCAAUAAACAUUACUCCAGUCAAAAACAUUAUGGAAGAGGCAAACCUGAAACUUUCCCAUUGGGCAAUAAACAUUACUCCAGUCAAAGACAUUAUGGAAGAGGCAAACCUGAAACUUUCCCAUUGGGCAAUAAACAUUACUCCAGUCAAAGACAUUAUGGAAGAGGCAAACCUGAAACUUUCCCAUUGGGCAAUAAACAUUACUCCAGUCAAAAACAUUAUGGAAGAGGCAAACCUGAAACUUUCCCAUUGGGCAAUCAGCAUUACUCCAGUCAAAAAAAGUAUGGAAGAGGUGCUUCUCCAUCCGACAAUCAACCACCAAUUCCAUAGAAAUUCAAACACGGCUACUUUCUUGCCACGAGAAAGCGCUCAAUCGAUCCCCUUCUCCUCUAACAAACUACCAGAAAUUUUCAACCAUUUUUCAGUGAAGCCAACAUCUGAGGAAGCCAAAACAAUUAAGCAAACAAUCGAAGAGUGUGAAGCUCCAGACCUUAAGGGAGAGGAAAUAUAUUGCGCCACAUCUUUAGAAUCAAUGGUUGAUUUUAGCACUUCGAAGCUUGGAACAAGAAACGUUGAAGCAAUCUCGACGGAGGUAUUGGAAAAAGGAGCCACCAUGUCCAUCCAAAACUAUACAACAAUGCCGGGACUGAAGAAGUUGGCAGGUGACAAAGUCGUUGUGUGUCAUAAGCAGAACUAUCCCUAUGCUGUGUUUUUCUGCCAUGCAAUAAAACAUACAGCAGCUUAUGCUCUCUCCCUGAAAGGCGAUGAUGGGGAGAAGGUUAAAGCAGUAACCAUCUGCCAUCUAGACACAUCAGAAUGGGACCCAGAGCAUAUGUCCUUCAAAAUCGUCAACGUUAAGCCCGGAACCAUUCCCAUCUGCCAUUUCAUUUCCACUGAUGCUAUUGCCUGGGUUCCGAACCACAAAUCUGCAUGAUCAUCACUUAGCACUAGUACUGUGCGUAUAAUAUGCCUGUAUAAUUAUCUCCCUACUUAUUUCUGCCUGUUCAUCAUGUGGUGUAAGAUAUAUGUUGAGAUGAAGUUUUUGGGAUUAGUGGUCGAAAUUAACCCGAUCAUGUUUUCUCUUGUAACUAUAUAGACUUCAACUUGUACUCAUAAUAAAGCAUGCUAUAUUUAUGAAGAGAUAUUAAUCUUCAGGCAAAUAGAUAUUAUGAAAACAUAUAUAGCAAUUUAUCCAGAAGAAAUAUUAUGAAAUGAAAAGAAUAAAAAGUAAAAAAACAGAAGGAAAGGAAUUCGCACCUGCUAUGUAUGAAAGGACCAAGAUUGUUUUCCCUUUGGUUAAUGACUAGAAAAGCUCACUUGCAGAUUGCUUUCUCUGACCGUAGAUGCAACAGAAAUUUUCUCUUAAUAAUAGCACAAUGAUCGGGUAAUUGUAAGAACAAGUUGAUUUAAAAUUCCUUGACCCAAAAAAAAAAAAAAAAUCAUUUCAAAUUCAGGUCAACCCAUAGAUUUCUUGCCUUUUUCUUCUUCAUCACGUUGGGCUUGUCUUCUUCUUGAGGAUUGUAUAGGCCCAGGAAAUGCUUUGAGGUAGUUUUUGGCCUUGGAAGUUGGGACCCAACCCAACUUCACAAAAAGAAAACAGAUUUGCCAAAAAUCAAAUUUCAAGUCUCUCCUCAGAUCACUAAUACAGAUCAAAUUUUGGAUUUGAUGAACUAAAGUGGUUUUACUUUCUCUGUCAGUGUUUGAUGACUUAAUUUGUUAUUUACUUCUUUUUUUUUUUUUACUUGAUCUUUGUAGGGGUUUUUUUCUUCCGGUAACUUAAACGGGCUGGGCUGCCGUAAAGGGUAGAUUGAUGAAAUUGUCUCCUUUGUCUGAGUUCGAAAAUCAAGCCCCAAAAGCGCUUCGAAAGGGCAGUAGAGCCUUAGGAAGCGUUCUAGUCAUCUUCACCAACUAAAACAACAGCAACUUACAGAUGAUUUCUUAAGGCUUACAGAUAAAUUUUCUAGCUUGGCAUGAGAGGCUUGUGACAUGGAAGCAAAAUCAGCAUGAGUUUAGCACCAAAGAGGAAAAUAUGGCUUCCUAGGGAGAAAUGGGAGUGUUUAAGGUGAGGAAGAAGAGGUUUGCAGGCUGAUUUGGCUGAGGAGAGAGAAAGAAAGAACAAUGUUCUUCCAGUAGCUUGACAAAGCUUCUGACAGAUGUGAAAGUCGUCUGCCAUAAGAGGAAAAUGAAGAAGAAUGGUGAAUAGUGCAUGAAAUUGCUGGGUUUUUGCAGGUAAGAGAGAAAGCUUGCUCUCUGAAUUUGAGUUGGUUUUUGGUUGGGUAGAAGAGGCCCCCUUUUAUAGCUGCGGGAAACCAUCUUUUUUCAAGAAACCCUAAUGGUUUCUAUCCAUUUUGGCCAAGCUUUUCCCUUCAUUUCUCUUCUCCUCCCUUGACUUUUCCUAUCUUGGUGAAAUUUCCUCUGCCUAUUUGCACAAAAUUAGAGAUUUUGAGGAGCUCAAGACCCCUUUCCCGCAGCUGCCUCAGUGGAGAAUCCCCAUUUUCAGUCAUCUUUCUUCCUUCUUUUCUCCCAUCUUCCAAGGUUAGGUCUGAUGAGGGAAAGAAAUGGGUAUGCACACUGGUUUGAAGGGUAUUUUUGCUUGAAACUUGUUCUCUCCCAUGUGCUGGAGCUUCCCAGCAACUUACACACAUGGAUAUUUUGGCUUUCAUCGUGGCUUUUGUUUUCAGCUAGGUGCUGGAGAUUUCGCAGAUAUUUUCAUGAGUUGCUUGGGCCUUCUAGGACAAUAGGUUGGUUUAUCAAGUGAAUGGGCUAACUUCAUCAAUUGUUGGGCUAUUUUGGUUGAGUUAAUGGACUAUUUUGGUUGAAGUAAUGGGCUAUUUUGGUUGAAUUAAUGGGCUAUUUUUCUCUCUUUGUGCUCACCCACAUAUUUGGGCCUAAGAAAUGGGCUUGAGUUCCGGGGCUCCCAAGCAACCCCGGGACUUCCAUUUCUCGGCCCAUCAAUGGGCCUCAUAUCAACUUAUUACCAUCCAUAUCACAACCCACUCAAGCAAGCCCUGGGCAUCUUGCGUGGCUUGGGCCCACUUAAGCUUGUAGCGUGACGUGUUGCUUAUUUGCUUGGCAUGGCAUGUGUGCAAGCGCAUAUGACGAACUUUAGCGUGCCCAAAUUGGGUUUAUUCUCGGUAAGGUAUCGCAUUGGGCCGAGAAUUUAAUUGGGCAGAACUGUGGAUUUUUGGGCCUCAACAAUCUUAUAUAUAUUGGUUUUCUUUUUUUCCUUAAUAUUCACCACCUUUCUGUUGCAUAAGUAUUUCAGUCUUAACGGGUUUCCAUCUACCACUCAUCUUUGCUCUUUUAAGUGUAAGCUUUUUUUUUUUUUUUUUAAGCACAAGAUUAGAGGGGAGGGGGAUUUCUCAAUGUAAGCUUUGCAGUUUCAUAAUUAAUAUUUCCAAUAUCUCACUGUUAGUAAAAUAUGGAACAGGAAAAGUAUGAAUAAAAUACACACAUGUUUUAUUUAGCAAAAUUUUGACAAGAUACAACUGAAAAGUUUGGCCACUAUAUAAUAUUUUGAUAUAAUUUCUACACUUCUUCUCAAAAGAUUAGAUCACUUCACAUCUUGUGUAUGUGAAAACUAAUGUAAAAAGUUGAAACUUUAUCGUAAAACCUCGACAAAAAUGAGCUCUACUAGAAAAUGUUCAAUUUGGAUUCGUUGAUUUAAAUGGCAAUUUGACACUUGAUAGAAAUUUUUACAUACAUGUGUUAGUGUUUGAUCACUUCACAUGUUACUUACUAUAUUUAUUCCACUCAAGUUAGGUAAAUAUUAUUAUCAAACAUUUCAAUUAAUUUGUGAUUUUUUUAUUAUUUAAUCAAUUAUGAAUUAAUGGAUUCUUCUUGUUGUUUUGAAGACCAAUAAAAAAAAAAGGGUAAGGAUGGCUUAUAACUCUGAUAAAACAACAGUGACGUGGACAGCAGAUGUUACACCGUACUGAAGAUUUUUGAAGAUUCUUUAUUUGGGUUUCUUUCAAGAUGAAAACCAUAUUAUCCACAACCACAAUGAAGAAGACAGAAAAUGGAGUAAUUCAGAUGUUACCAGCCAUCCACGACAAACUGAAGUCUGCAAAGCAUUCGUAAUCUAAAGGGAGACUUUGGAAAAGCCCAAAGGAGAGAGAAAAUUUUUAAAAGAAGCAAAAAUGGACAAAAUUGCCCUUAUUUAUUUUUUGAUUUCCUAAGAAAUCCUUUACAUUUGCAUGUCUUUGGUUUGAAAGUUGAGAGGUUAUUCUGUCUUUUUUCAAAAAGCUUUGGCUUUUUCCAAAAGUGAAAGUUUUUUUAUGGGUAAAACCUAAAUUUACUUAAUCCCUAAAAAGGAUGGGGAGGCUGCGCAAUACUUAGCCACGUGUAGGCCAGGAGGCUUUCCAAUUUUAAUAUAUAUAUAAAUUGAAAAAAUAAAAUAAAAAUCAAUCUAUUAUCCUAUAUAAAAUAAAGAUUAUUGCUUCCAUGGGCAGUGCUAUGCACAGGACAGUGCCUGCCCAGCACAAAUUUUUUUUAAAUAAAAAAAAAAAAUCUACAUAUGUUAUAAGCUCAUCCAAAAAAAUAAAAUAAAAUAAAAGUAAAUUCUACAUAUAUGUUGCCCAUCUAGGUGGUUCCAUAUCUUCUCUCUCCUUCUCUUUUGGCUAUUAGACUUCUUGUUUCUCUCUCUCUCUUUGCUACCUCACAUCAGCAAGUUUCUCCCUCUCUUUUUUUGGGGUCAAAUUCUUCCUCUAUUGACAAAAUCUUCUAUUAUCUUGGGUGGGCAACUUGGCAACAACAUCUUCUCUUCUCCUUUUGUCAACAACAAGUAUUAUUCUCAUUCUCUCAUUUGCUAUAUAUCUUUAAUUAUAGUUUUAAUUUAAAAUUGAGUAUUCUAGGGUUUAAUUAGGGAUGAAUUAUAAUUUUAGAAUUUUGUUGAAAUUAAUUAAGGCUUCGAUUAGGGGUGAAUUAUUCUACUGCUUUGGUUUGGAAUUUUGUUAAAAUUGAGUAUUAUAGGGUUUAAUUAUGGAUGAAUUAUAAUUUUUGAUUUUGGUAUUAUUGAGAUGUUAUUAUGAGAAUUUGUUUCAUUUUUUUAUUGGUAUAUUUGAUUAAAAUUCUUUCUACAUAUUAUUCAUAGGCUAUCUUUUAUUAUGUCGGAUCACAAUCGGAAUCCCAAGAGAACAAAGAAUUUGAAUAGUGUUGUUUUGUAUUGCAUUGCAUUUACUUUUGGUUUUAGUUUUGCUUUUAGUGUAAAUUACUCAAAUGGUCCUCAAAUUUGUACCCGAUUUACAUUUUGGUCCAUAAACUAAAUUAUUCAUUCAAAUGGUGCACCAACUCUUUAUUAAUCAGUGCUUUGGUCCUACCGUUAUGUUUUCUAUUAAAUUUAGUCAUGUGAGCAGCACAUGCUACAUUUGUAGGGGUAAAUAAGACUUUUGACCACUUUAUCACCUAUGUAUCACCACUUUAUAACCUAUUUGGAGAACAUAGGUCAGUUAUGGACGGUUUUACAAUUAUAUUUGACGGCAACAUUAACAUAAUGUAACAGUGGGAUCAAUGGAGCGAUUAAUAUAGAGUUGAUGGACCGUUUGAACGAAUAAUUUAAUUGAGGGACCAAAACGUAAAUUGAGUAUAAGUUUGAGGACCAUUUGAGUAAUGUACCCUUCGCUUUUAUAUUUGUUGAACUUUUAUUUAUGGAUAGAUAUGCAUUUGAGGGUAAGACCCAUUAUGUUCCCCCUGACUUGGUGUAUCUUUUUAUGUUUAUUAAUGAAAUUCACUCGAACUGUUGAGUUUAGUAUGUAAGUUUUGCCUAACCGGCUUUUGAAUCCUAGAACCGCCACUGUUGCUCCAUCCUCCAUGCACUUGCAUGUGCUCUUACAAAGUGUGAAGUAGAUUUUGUGUGCUCCAAGUCAUUGACUAGAGCUGAAACAUGGUUAGCUAGAUUUAUAAGGACCCAUCUCUCUAUUUCCUAGACAUAUACCCAUCUCUCUAUAAAUCUAUAUGUAAAACUCAAUUUCAAACUUAAAUGACCAGUAAGAUAUAAGAGGUCAUAGUAUUCCUAUGUUUUUACAUCGUUGCCACCAGACUUCUUAUUUUAUUUAUAAUUUAUUUCAAGCAUUUCAUUAACUGCCAUAAUUGUAAUUAAUACUCCAUAUUAAUAGCAUAUCAAUCACCCCAUUUCUUUUGAUUGCCAUUCCCUCUAACAUAUCGCCCCUUAAAAUUGAAAACCAAAAAAAAAAAAAAUGUAAAUUACAUAUCCAAUAAUGUACCUAUGAAAAAUAUAAAUAUAAAUAUAUACGUAUAAAAAUAUAGGUUUAUUAUUUACCAAAUAAAAAAUAUAAAAAAACUAGGUCAGUUGCUUUGUAAUUGAAAUUUCUAUACAUUUUCCACAAAUUAAAAAUAGGUACACAAUAAUUUAUAGAAAAUAUAGGUGCAUUAUUUAUCCAUAGGUAAAAAUACCUAUAAAUGCACAUAGGUAAAUUAUUUACCCAUAUAUUAUUUUUUUGCUAAGGAUUUACCUUAGUUUUUAGUAGAUUAAUUUACCUACCUAGAGGCAUAGGUAGCUUAAAAAAAUUGUAGCACCUUAGUUGGUUGCAUACUAAUUUACCUACCUAGAGGCAUAGGUUGCUAAGAAAAAAUGUAGGUAAAUUCAUGUACCUAAACACAUAGGGGUCAAAUAGAGAAUAACAUGUUAUUUCCCUUCGAACAAAUUAAUUUCAAACCAUAACAAUAAUUGAAUUCGGAAAUUGGUAUAAAUAAAAGGAAAUAAAUAAGCUAUCAAUUUGAAAAUUAAAAUAAGAAAUGAUCAAGUAGUCAUAUUUGAAAAAAAAGAAAAGAAUAUAUUCUUGGUUUUUAUAGGAACAACGUGUAUAUUCAAACCAAAUGGCAGUAACUACACCAAGCUUUAAUUACUUUUUUUUAAGGCCAAAAGUCACUUUUGGUCUCUGUAGUUUGACACUUCUAUUACUUUUGACGCUGUAGUUUCAAUUCCGUCAAUUUUGCCAUUGUAGUUUCAUAUUUGUAGCAAUUCAAGGACAUGUUAAUAUUAAUGUCAAUUUGUUUAAUGAUGCAAGGGGUAAUUUCGUCAUCCCAAAAUCCUUGAGCAUAAAAGCUUGUCUGAAAUUCUCCCCAUUUCAUAUUAGGGCUCGAAAUUCAACCACUAAUCCCAAUUUUUGAAGAACCCUAUACCCAAAUGACCAAUUUCAAGCCCUAAUAACAAAUUAGGGAAGUUUUAGAUGAGCUUUUAUGCUCAAGGAUUUUGAGUUGAAGAAAUUGCCCCUUGCACUGUCAAAGAAAUUGAUAGGAAUACUGACUUGUCCUUGAAUUGCUACAAAUACAAAAAUACAGGGUCAAAAUUAACAGAAUUUAAACUAUAUGGUCAAAAGUGGUUAAAGUGCCAAACUACAAGGACCAAAAGUGACUUUUAGCCUUUUUGUUUAAAUAAGGAAAAAACUUACCUAUUAAAUCCUUGGAAUCUAUACAAAAUUGAAACACAGUUAAUCAGCAUUGAAUUGCAGCUAAUUUCUUAAACAAGGGUAUUAUAGGAAUUUAAAAAGUAUAACAUUUAAUCCAUUGAGCUUGAUUAGGAAUCUUGAUGAGUUGGAUCCUAGUUAUAUAGUUUCUCUUAUAAAAAUCGGGUUUUAUUUAUAGACAAAUAAAACAAUGGGUUGUAGGUAAGAAAAUAUUAAUUUGAAGGGAAAGUGUCACAUCCUGGGAUCGGCUCCGCCGUAGCACGAUAUUGUCCGCUUUGGGCCCCCCUCUCUGCCCGCACGGUUUUGUUUCUGGGAGCUCACGAGCAACUUCCCAGUGGGUCACCCAUCCUGGGAUUGCUCUGGCCCCCAACUCGCUUAACUUCGGAAUUCCUAUGACUCCGAAGCCAGUGAGCUCCCAAAAGGCCUCGUGCUAGAUGGAUGCGGGUGUGUACAUAUAAGACACAUCACCCCCUCUCCGUUGGUUGAUGUGGGAUCUUACAGAAAGAGUCAAAUUUACUAAAUUAAUAAAGCAUAAAUUGGAAAGGGAAAAGAUCUAGAGGAUGCAUUGUAGGAUUGCUCAUGCCAAUAAUUGCACCCUCUCGAUAUUGAAAAACCUAUUGUGUAUUAUUAUCUUCAAUCAUGAAUGAUGCACCUAAAACCCAAGUGUCCCAAGCCAACCAUUGCGCUCAUACCACUUGUUGCAGUACACAUUCACCCGUUUUUAAAGAAAGAAAUUCUACCAAUCGAUAUUGUCUCAAAUUUAAUCACAUAGGUCUAUUAUGGUUAACCAUAUGUACUUUUAUCGGCCAUAUAGAGGUACCUUUUUCCAACGUGCAACAAUUGUAUUUGAUUCACAAUUAUGUCUGAUAUACAUCACAUCAUGCCACUUGCCUCAAAUGAAUUUAAUUGAGUGAGGCAAUGGGAAGUAAUUAAGCUCUAUAUUGGUGGGUGGAGUGUUACUUCUGGAACCCUCAUCAUUCGUCCAUACAAGGGAACAAUUCCCUUCCUUCUAUAAAAUGGUGAAGCCAGUUGCUAUUGUUUGUUAGAGUUUUAGGAUCUGAGUGUUAGAUUUUGUGAGAAGAGAGAAGAGAAUUUAGUGAAAACUUCCAAUACUGCUCUGCUAUACGUGUAGCAGAGAGAACAUUCUGUUUUGUUAUAUAUUUUCAGUACAACAACACACACUUGGUGUGAGAAGAAAAAUGACUGUUAUGCACAGUACCAGCUGGAUGCUUUCCAUCAAAGUAAUCUCAGCCAUUCACUAUCUAACCAAUCAAGCUAUGACACCUGGACUAAGUAUAAAGAAAUACAACUAAGCAGAAAACAAGACUCUUAAUCCUGAAAUCAACUUAAGCACUUAUAAUUCAACACUCCCCUUUAAGUCUUGAGGUGAUUUCACUCCAAGCAUGCCUCUGAGAUAAUUGAAUCUGUCUUUGGCCAGAGGUUUGGUAAAAAUGUCAGCCAAUUGUUCAUUUGUAGGACAAUAUUCCAGAUUGAUUACCCCUUCUUGCAAUGCAUCCUUGAUGAAGUGAUACCUCCUGUCAAUAUGCUUUGUCUUCUGGUGGAAUACAGGGUUUUUAGUGAUUGCAAUUGCUGAGAUAUUAUCACAAUGCAAUGGAGUAGCUUCAGUUUGAAGCUCUCUAAAGUCUUCUAGCACAAAACGGAGCCAAAUAGCUUGAGUAGUAGCCUCAGCUGCACUGAUGUACUCAGCUUCUGCAGUAGACAGUGCAACACAGUUCUGUUUCACUGAGGCCCAAGAAAAUACUCCACUUCCAAAACUAAACGCAUACCCUGAUGUGCUCUUGCAAUCACCAACUGAUCCUCCCCAAUCACUGUCACAGUAACCAACUAGAAUUGAUCUUUUGCCUUUCACAUAUUCAAGACCAUAGUCCAGAGUUCCUUUGAUGUAUCUCAAAACCCUUUUAGCUGUUCCAUAGUGUCUAUUUGUAGGACAGUGCAUGAAUCUAGCUAGCAAGCUUGAGGCAUACAUGAUGUCUGGUCUUGUAGCAGUUAAGUACAGCAAGCUACCAACAAUGCUUCUGUAUUGUUCUUCAUUUGCAGCUCAACUCCCAUCAUCCUUAGCUAGUUUCUCAGUGGCAACAAGGGGUGUUGUCACAGGUUUGCACUCAGUCAAACCAAACUUGCUCAACAAGGUGCUAGCAUAUUUCUUUUGAUGUAGAAAUAUACUAGACUCAGUCUGAAUAACUCCCAUGCCAAGAAAGUGAUGAAGUAAGCCCAAAUCAGUCAUCUCAUACUUAGCCAUCAUGUCUUCUUUGAAUUCAGCCAACAAUGCUUGACUGCUCCCUGUAUACACAAUAUCGUCUACAUAGAUAGACACAAUUAGAAUCUCCUUAUCUCCCCUUACUUUGGUAUAUAAGGUUGUUUCACUUAAGCUUUUCACAAAACCACAUUGAGUGAAGUAGCUGUCUAUCUCUCCAUACCAAGCCCUUGGGGCUUGCUUCAGACCAUAAAGGGCUUUAUGCAAACGAUAAACCUUGUCUUCUUUACCUUUAAUUACAAAACCUUCAGGCUGACUGACAUAAACUUCCUCUUGCAGCACACCAUUAAGGAAAGCAGACUUCACAUCAAGCUGGAACAAUUUCCAAUCCUUUUGAGCAGCUAGAGCAAUAAGUGUUCUAAUGGUGUCCAAUCUGGCUAUAGGUGCAUAAGUCUCAUUAUAAUCCAGUCCAGGCUUCUGAGCAUACCCCUUAGCCACUAAUCUUGCUUUAUUCUUUUGCACUGAGCCAUCCAAAUUCAGCUUUGUCUUGUACACCCACUUAACUCCAAUCACUGGUUUUUCAGUUAGUCUAUCUACCAAUUCCCAUGUUUCAUUCUUUUCAAUCAUCUGCAGUUCAUCUUCCAUAGCCUUAAGCCAAGAUUCAUCCUGAGCAACAUCAGCAUAUUUUUCUGGUUCCAUGAUACACAAGUUACACUGAGCUAGAACAUCAUCUAGCCUUCUCCAUUUUAGAGGGGUGUGAUCAUAAGCUUGAGUUCUCCUUUCUUCACUGCUUAUAUCACCUGGAGUUGAUGAAAUGCUCUCUUGCAUAUCCAAAGUUUGAGGUGUACCAGUAGAAUUCUCAUUAGAACUGUCAGAUUUCAAGUCCAAAUCAACUUGGUUUUCAAUUGAGUAUGUUGUCAUAACUGAACCAUUUUUGUUUGUCCAAUGCCAAGCAUUUUCUUCAUCAAAUGUCACAUCCCUUGAUAGUAAAAGCUUGUUAGAAACAGGAUCAAAAACUCUAUAUCCUUUUUCACAAGUUGCAUAUCCCACAAACACUCCCUUUGUACUCUUAGGAUCCCGCUUGUGUCUCAAUUCAGUUGGCACAUGAACAUAACACAGAGAACCAAACACUUUCAGAUGUGCAAUUCCAGGCUUCCUUCCACUAUAUGCUUCGAAUGGAGUAAUGUUGUUGAGAGCUUUGGUAGGACAUCUGUUCAGCAAAUAGAUAGCUGUAUGCACAGCUUCUGCCCAUAGGAAAUAAGGCAUUCCCUUCUCAUGUAACAUUGAUUUUGCCAUCUCAAUGACAGUUCUAUUCUUCCUCUCAACUACUCCAUUCUGCUGAGGAGUAUAGGCCAUUGUAAGCUGCCUUUGAAUGCCAUUAGCUUCACAAAACUCCAAAAAAUCAGUAGACAUAAACUCUCCACCCCUGUCACUUCUUAUGCACUGAACCUUGUGUCCAGUUUGUAAUUCAGUCAUGGACUUGAACUUCUUGAAACAAAAGAAGGCUUUUGACUUGUUUCUCAAGAAGUAUACCCAAAUCAUUCUUGUGAAAUCAUCUAUAAUCAGCAUGAAAUAUCUGUUCCUUGCAACAGACUCAUUUCUCAUGGGACCACAGAGAUCCACAUGUAUUAGCACUAGUACUUUGCUUGCUCUUUGAGCUUGAUCUUUUGGAAAAACAUUUCUGUGCUGUUUUCCAAAUUGGCACCCGUCACACACACCACUUUGUUCUUCCAAUUUUGGUAAACCAUGUACCAUUUCUUUAUCACUUAGCUGCUUCAAUCCUCCAAAAUGCAGAUGACCAAAUCUCUUGUGCCAAAUCCAUGUGGAUUGAAGAAAACUAGUCUUCAUUAGUAACUGUUUUUCAGCUAGAAAAGAGACAGGAUAGCAUCUGUUACUCUUCAUUUGCACCUUUAUGAUGAGAUAAUCCAUGGAUGGGCUAUCAAAUACCCUGCACAUCCCUUCUCCAAACACUAGACAGUACCCAUGUUCAUCCAUCUGCCCAACACUUAGCAGAUUUUCUUUCAAUCCUGGCAGAUACAUUACUUCUCUGAUGUAUUUCCUGCCCUUUGCUGUAUCAAUACUCAGUGAGCCAAUACCAGCUACACUCACUAAUGCACCAGUUGGCAUUUGUACUCUCCCAGCUACAUUAGUUCUCACAUCAACCAGCAAAUCUAAAUUUCCUGUCAUAUGAUUGCUGCAGCCACUGUCAAUGUACCAUUCAUUGGUUUUGAUCUCAGUGGUUGAGCAAUUGGCAUAAAACAGGUUUCCUGUAACCUCCAUUUGAUUUACACAAUUAGCCUUCUGCACAUUUUUGCUCACUGUACAGUCUCUAGCAAGAUGUCCAACUCUGUCACAGUUAUAGCAUUUUGGUUUUCCCUUAUACCUGCACUCACCAAAAUGAUGCUUUGAACACACCUUGCAUUGAGGCUUUGUGUUUUCCUGAUUUGAGAACUGUGUUGAAGUGUGGUUCUGUGCAGAAUAAUUAUUCUGCUGUGUCUUGUCUUUUGCCUCCCAUGACUUCCCUUUAGAGUUCCAGCUUCUCUGUGACUUAGAUGAACCAGACUGAGAAGCAUUUUUGUUCUGACCCUUUGAAUUCACAGUGAAUGAGGCAAAUGCCUUCUCAGCUGUAUCAACACUAUGCAUUUCAAGCCUUUGCUCCCGACUCUUCAAAAUGGCAGUUACUUCCUGCAAAUCCACAGUUUCUAGUGUCUUUGUGUUUUCAAUCACAAUGCAUAUAGGGUCAUACUUCUUACUUAGACUAAUUAACACCUUCUGAACCUACCUCUCAUUUGACAGAACUUCACCAAAUGUUUUCAUUUGGUUAAUCAAUUCAGUUAGUCUAGUAAGAUAUUCAGAUAAGGUUUCACUAUCACGCAUCCUACUGUAUUCAAACUCACGUCUAAGGUUUUGAAGCUUUACCGAUCUAACAUGCUCUCCACCAUGAUAUUCUGAGUACAGCAGAUUCCAAGCCAUCUUUGCAGAGUCAGCAUUGGCAAUUCUGGGAAAAAUCUGAUCAGAAACAGCAUUUUGAAUGAUACCCAAGGCCUUCGCAUCCUUCAUGAGAAUCGCAGCUGUUUUCUCAUCAACUUCUUCUUCUGAACCAUCCUCAGAUUCCUGCUUCGUCUUUGAAUCUGGGAUUAAAAACCCCUUCUCUACCAAACCCCAUAAACCAUAUGAUCUGAAUAUGGUUACCAUCUUAAUCCUCCAAAAUUCAUAGUUCUCACCUGAGAAAAUGGGGAUUCUAGCCUCUGAACUUCCAGAUCCAGCCAUUACGAAUUUCAGAUUCGCCUGGAAACAAGAUGUUUUCAGAUUUGACCCUUGAUCGAGCUCAAUCAGCUUCGUGAGCUUAGAAUGAGCUCACCUCGAUCGAUUUUCUUCACAGAACAACGCCCAGCUUCAGAUAAUCAAACUUGGCUCUGAGGCCAUGUUAGAGUUUUAGGAUCUGAGUGUUAGAUAUUGUGAGAAGAGAGAAGAGAAUUUAGUGAAAAUUUCCAAUACUGCUCUGCUAUACGUGUAGCAGAGAGAACAUUCUCUUUUGCUAUAUAUUUUCAGUACAACAACACACACUUGGUGUGAGAAGAAAAAUGACUGUUAUGCACAGUACCAGCUGGAUGCUUUCCAUCAAAGUAAUCUCAGCCAUUCACUAUCUAACCAAUCAAGCUAUGACACCUGGACUAAGUAUAAAGAAAUACAACUAAGCAGAAAACAAGACUCUUAAUCCUGAAAUCAACUUAAGCACUUAUAAUUCAACAUUGUUACCAUAAGAGCCAGCUCCGACUUUCUUUAAUUUCAGUCCUAACGGGGUUUCAUCUUCCACUCAUCUUUGCUCUUCUCAGUGUAAGCUCUGCAAUUUGAUUAACUUUCCCAUUAUCUCUCACUGUACUCUAUAUAAAGGAAUAAGUGUCGUCCACUAAUUAAUUACACUUUGUGAGAUUUGAUUUUAAUUAGAGUUCGAAUUGAUGUUGCAGCUAGCAGCGGUGGCACUGGCAAACCAUGCUGCUCAACCAGCACCUCAACUUUACUGGAACUCCGUCCUGCCAAACACACAAAUGCCAAGAGCUAUCAGUGAACUUCUGCAUCCUGGUUUGUGUUGAAUAAAUAUAGUAUGUUACUGGAGUACGUAUGGCAACAUAUUCACAAAUGUGUCACGUAUUUUCCAAUAUGACGUUGAUAUAUAAUUGCAGACUCCACAAACGAAGAAAAGAGCACAAAUGUCAUGAAUGCUGUUGGGAAUGGAAAGCCAAUUGACCACAAGGGCAACCUGAAAAUACUGUACUACCACAGCUUGCACGACGCCCAUUUUCUUACAAGAGUGAUGAUCGUCCCACUGACAAUCAACUCCAUUAUAAAAACGUAGCUAUUUUCUUCUUGGAGAAGGACAUGCGCCCUGGCACAACAAUGAGCUUCCAAUUCCCUAGAAAUUCAAACACGGCUACUUUCCUGCCACCAGAAAGAGCUCAAUCGAUCCCCUUCUCCUCUAACAAACUACCAGAAAUUUUCAACCAUUUUUCAGUGAAGCCAACAUCUGUGGAAGCCAAAACAAUUAAGCAAACAAUCGAAGAGUGUGAGGCUCCAGGCAUUAAGGGAGAGGAAAUAUAUUGCGCCACAUCUUUAGAAUCAAUGGUUGAUUUUAGCACUUCGAAUUUUCGAACAAGAAACGUUCAAGCAAUCUCGACAGAGGUAUUGGAAAAAGGUGCCACCAUGUCCAUGCACAAGCAUACAACAAUGCCGGGACUGAAGAAGUUGGCAGGUGACAAAGUCGUUGUGUGUCAUAAGCAGAACUAUCCCUAUGCUGUGUUUUACUGCCAUGUAAUAAAACCAACAGCAGCUUAUGUUCUCUCCCUGAAAGGCGAUGAUGGGGUGAAGAUUAAAGCAGUAGCCAUCUGCCAUCUAGACACAUCAGAAUGGAACCCAAAGCAUUUGGCCUUCCAAAUCCUCAAAGUUAAGCCCGGAACAAUUCCCAUCUGCCAUUUCCUUCCCACUGAUCAUAGUGUCUGGGUUCCGAACCACAAAUCUGCAUGAUCAUCACUUAGCACUGUACGUAUAAUAAGCUUGCACCCCUGUAUAAUUAUCUCCCUACUCUACUUAUUUCUGCCUCUUCAUGUGGUGUAAGAUAUAUGAUGAGAUGAAGUUUUUGGGAUUAGUGGUCGGGUUGCCUUAAAAACACAGAUUACAGAAACUGCUUGAACUUAACCCGAUCAUGUUUUCUCUUGUACUCGUAAAGCAUGCUGUUGUGGUUCUACUUAAUUUCGUUCUCCCCAAUGUUUGAGUGUUUAAUUGUUACGUUGGAUAAUGCUUGUAGUUAGAGAAGCCUUCAUUUAUAUCAAAGUCCUCAACUUGUAAAGAUAUCAAUGGUCCUAGUGCUGCCACGUGUAAGAAGAUUGAAGAAUAAAGCUGUUGAGAUAUUGUUAGACCUGUUAUGCAGUUUAGGAAAACUGUUAGUAUUGAUAAGAGAAGGUUAGAGAUGUUAGAGAGGUUAGAAAACACGUGAACAAGGCUUUAACUCAGCUGAUAUAAAGUCUGUAGUUGUGCUCAGUUGAACUUAAUGAGAAAUACAACAAGUCUCUUCUCUAUCUCUGAAAUUCUCUCUGCUCUCUCUGCUUUACUUCUUUUGUCUCUGCUCUACAUUUUUUUUCAAUCUUCCUAUCUUAACAAAACUAUCAAGAAUUAAUGCAUCCAGAAACAUAUAUACCAAGACGCAAAACAACAUAUUUUUCAUGCUCUGUCUGUAACACCAAAGCAAACUUCCUUUAUCACAAAAGGAUCAAAUUCCAGUACUAAUCUAAUCCAUCAUGUAAAGCAUACAAUCUACAAGUGCCUCCCUUAAUUUGUCCAUUGGAUAUAUAUGUCACUUUUUGGUAAUUUGGUAUAGCAGCACCACGUAGUCUUGAAAUAGUAGUGCGGCUAUACCAAAUAUACCAUUUGCCCCUGCAUUUAACAGAAAAGUAAACAAAAUUGACGGUAGAACUAUUUGUCCUAACGAAACUGCAGUUGAAAGACCAUGAGAACGAUUUUGAAAAUUGAGGGACUCAAAUGAAAAUUGGGUCUAAGUUCAAGAACCAAUAAAACGAUUAACCCAUAGAUUUUGGAUCCAGUACCACAUCCCAAAGAGAAAACCACAAGUUUGCAAGCAAGUUUGUCCAUAAUAACACUACGUACAGUAUGGGCAGUGCGCUAGACUCAUCUCACUUUCUCAACCUAUCCUAUAGUUGUCUAAAAGAGUUUCUAAUUUAAUGUACUGAGAUUUACGAAAGAAAUAUCAGAGAAACAAUUUUCAGGCAAUAAAAAAAUGUCUUGGCAAGAAAAUGUACAAUUUGUUACAUAACUUAUUAAAUAUGAACAGUUGAAAGAAAAAAGAAUCUGGAUGAGGGAUUUGCAAAUUCCUAUGGCCCAAUUACCUUUUUUUCUUUGUUGUUUUUUUUUUUUUUUUUUUGGUUCUUUUGAUCCAGUAGCAUAUUCCAAAGAAUGAAAACCACAGGCAUGCAAUGCAAGCUCUUUUCCCACGUUUUCCUCUGUUUUUCUCCUAUCAUGGAAGUGAUUAAAACACACCUCUAAGCUUGUUUUGCGUUUGGUAGCCGAGUGUAAAAGCUCAAUGCAAGAUAGUUUGAGGUAGAAUUUUCUCCUAUUUUAUUAGGACAAUGAUAAUUAAAAAAAAGUGUGAUUCAUUGAAUAUUUGCGGGGUUUUGUUCAGACCUGACAAAGUUCUAAGUCAACACAUCAAAUUCCUUUUUCCAACAUGCAACAAUUGUAUUUGAUUCCCAAUUUUUUCUGAUAUACAUCACAUCAUGCCACUUGCAUCAAAUGAAUUUAAUUGAGUGAGGCAAUGGGAAGUAAUUAAGCUCUGUAUUCGUGGGUGGAGUGUUACUUCUGGAACCCUAAUAAUUCGUCCCUACAGGACUCUAGAACUCUCAAACUUCUUACAAGGACUACUUAACUCUAUAGCUUAAUGCAUAUAGCAUAUAUAUGCAAACACAAUUAGAAAUUCUACAACAGAAGCAAGAUCAAUCUCACUAUGCCUUCUAAACAAACAAACAAAUAAAACAAGCAUAUUAAUUGCUUUAAUCACUCUACUAACAUCAACACAGCACACUUAGUUUACUAACAGAUGAUAUAGAAAGGAAAAAAAAGGACCAAUAGGGAGAAAAUGGUGAACUAAGGAGAGACUAAUACUUCUGGUCCUUAGAAGGCAUAACAGAAAUAAUAGAGCACACUGCUUGAAUGCAAGUCAGUAUUAGGAGCAAAACAGCUGCAAUGAAAGAAAUAGUUGCCCAAGGUGUAUUGAAAUAAUGUUGCCUCAAAUUUGCCUUCCAUUUGUUCCAAGGCUUUCUGCAGUAGCUAUUAAGGCGCUCAGAAAGAAUAGCAAAGUAGAAGCUUUCACGAUACACUGCAAUUCCUUUUCCGAGGUUGUUAAUCAGAGUGCACACCUCAUUGUAGUCACCAAGCAUAUUUUUGACAAUCCCAUCCUUCAGAAGGAACUCCACAUCCUUUUCGGUGUUCACAAACUCAUCCAUGAGUGAAACAUAAUCACUUAUGUAAUUCUUACGGCAAUGGCACUAUUCAAAGGCAAUGAGGUUACGGAGUGUGAGCUCUGUGUAAUCGUGUAUUUUUAGUUUUGGAAUUUCUAGAAUCCCAUCGUUGAAUUGUGUUAACGCAGCUUUCCUUUCCUAGCCUACACGGAAGUCAACUUCACAAUCUCCUCCUAGCAAUUAGUCUUUCCUGCUGUAAAUCAGAUUUCCUACUGUAAAUCGGAUUGUAUUCAUGUCUAUAUUAUUUCCUACUUUAAGUAGAUAUCUUGUACUAGUAUAAAUAGGGACUUUGUGUAAUCUGUUAAAUACAAGGAAAUAUAUACUCUGCAUGGUAUCAGCCUAACCUAGGGUUCUCUCUCUCUCCCUUAUUCGAUCCUCUUCUCCUUUAGGUCCACCUCAUGGCUUUGUCUGAAUCCACCAUCUCCCUCCCAAGCCCCAACUCUUCUAUUUUAUCAAGCUUAUUGACUCCAACUAUCUUCUUUGGCUCCGCCAACUCAAACCCUUUUUAGUCGGCCAUGACCUCUGGAAAUUUAUCGAUGGCAUUCAUAAACAACCUUCUGCCCACACCUCCACCUCUACCACCGCAACACCCACAACCACCACCACUCUUACCCAAAUCAAUCAUGCCCAUGCUCAGUGGUACCAACAAGACCAACUCAUUGUUAGCUACAUCACCAAUACACUCUCUGAGUCCAUUCUCUUUCUCACUGUUGGUUGCACCUCUGCCCGGGAUCUCUGGGAGUGUCUCCAACGCCACUUCUCUCAAUCCAGUAUGGCCAGUGAAUCUACUCUUCGUUUUAAACUCAUGGAUUUGCAAAAAGGCUCUGAACCCACUUAUGCUUACAUUCGUCAUGCUAAGUCCUUUGCCGAUUCACUGGCUGCCAUCAAUGAACCUGUCUCCCCAAAAGAACUUGUCACUACUGUGCUUUGGGGUUUAAGACCCUAUUGCAACAUCCUCGUCACAGCAAUUCUCAAUUUCCCUCUGCUUCCUAACUUUGCUAAUCUUCGUGCUCGUUUGUUAGCAUUUGACGCACAGACUCCUUGAAUCUCUCCUGAUCAAAACACAGCGCAAAUGGCCACCCAAUCCUCUCCUCACACCACCGGUCAUACUUCCUUCCCUUCUCACCGUGGUGGUGGCUCUUCCAACAACAGGCGUGGUGGCCUCGGUGGCUGGCGCAAUAGCGGCCGGGGUGGCUGGCGCAGCUUCUCAUCUUCCUGGAGCAACCCGUGGAAUGGCUUCCAGCAGCUCCAAUGACCUAAUCAACCAUGGCCUCCUUUUGCUCCAAGUUCUGGAUCUCAAAGCAACUGGCCUUCCUUUCAGCCUCCUUGGGCCUAAUCUGCCGCUUCUAUCAAACACUUUGCCCGGCCCAACUCAGCUCCUGGUGUCUUGGGACCCGCUUGGUGCACUACCUGCAAUACCAAUCACAUACUACUACAAUAUGUCCUCAUCGCUACAAUGGCCCAGAAUCCUUUCUUUGCUAGGGCUCAAUUCAUGUAGCCACCUGACUCUACUUGGUACCCUGACACAAGUACCACUCAUCAUAUGAUUGGUAGUCCUUCUAAUCUCCAAAAUCAAUCCUUCUAAUCUCCAAAAUCAACAGCCAUAUCAGGUUCAUAAUUCUGUAUUUCUUGGUAAUGGAGAUUCUCUCCCUAUCUCUCAUACUAGCUCUCUCUUUUGUCUUCCAUCUCUUCGUACUAAUCUUCUUUUUGUUGCCCAUUUUACUUGUGAUAAUUUAGUUUUCUUUGUCUUUACUCUUGACUUUUAUCAAAUCUAUGACUUAUGUACUGGUUCGUUACUCUUUCAGGGCCCUUCUAAAGAUGGUCUUUACCCACUUUCCAUCUCCUCUCACUCAUCCAUAGUCCCCCAUGCCCUUACCACCGUGCACUCUCCUGCUUGGCAUCAUUGCCUUGGCCAUCCAUUCCAUCGUGUGCUCUCUCAUUUAGCGCCAUCUCUAGGCUUUAAAGUUUCUCAUGCUUUCUGUAAGGAUUGUGCACUUAGCAAAUCCACCAAACUGUCAUUUCUUAGUAAUAAAACCUUUGCCCCAUCUCCCUUUUAUUUAAUUCACUCUGAUGUAUGGAUGUCCUCGGUCAUUUCUGUCACUGGUUAUCGCUAUUAUGUCUUGUUUACAGAUGACUUUUCUCGUUACUCCUGGAUCUAUCAUAUGCACCGUAAAAAUGAGGUCUUUUCUCACUUUCAAACCUUUCUUGCUAUGGUUAAAAAUCAAUUUCACACCACUGUACAAAUUCUUUAAAGUGACAAUGGCACUGAAUAUGUUAAUAAUGCUUUCUCUGAUCUUUGCAGUCAACUAGGCAUCCACCAACGUUUCACAUGUCCCCACACUCCCCAACAAAAUGGCCUAGCUGAACAUAAACACAGACACAUUGCCACCAUGAUCUGUCCCCGGUCAUUUAUUCAACCAUCUUGACCUUUUGCUUGAUCAUUUUCCACAAGCAACCGUCCACGUACCCCAAUAAUUUAAAAGGGCUGAUGAUCUUUAAUUUGGUGAAAGCUUCUAUCUACCUACCGUGCUAUAUAUGAGCUAUGCAAUCGUGACCGUGUUACAUGACGUCCCAAUGUCGUAGGGAUAAAAAAAUAAUAGUCAUGGUUUUCUUAUUAAUGUCAAUACAUUCAUAGCAAAGAGCUUGUAGCUCUAGUGGUUAAGAGCAAUUACCCAUGCACUUGAGAUAUUUUGUGUUUAAAUCCCCUCUUCCCCAAUAUUUCUUGUAUAAAAAUAAAAAUAACAAUAAUAAUGACAUUAAUGUUGUAUUCUAUAAAGUGUUGGACAUGUUUUAUACCCCUUUCUUGCAAAUUACAGUUUGCCACGUGUACAAAAAUAAUAGAUAAGUGUUGGACAUCAAGAGCACUUACAUAUAGGUUUAAUAGGUAAGUUUUGAAUAUUUCUGUAUUUAGCUUUAAAUAUUGAAAAUCAACCUAUUAGCAUAUUAAAGAUUUGUCCAUAUUCGACGUACAUUCUCUUAUUUUUCUCUCAUUGAAGUAAAUACAAAACUAAGCACAUAGUGGGAAAGUGCGUCACGAUUAGGGGUGGGUUUAGUCUAGGUUGGUUCAUUUUUGGGCUCAAUUUGAACACCGAACUGUAAGCUUCGGUUUGGCUAUUUUGGAAACCGAAACCAAACCAUAAUUGAUGAAAACCGACCACUUCGAUUACCUUCUGGUCUUCCAACCAGAAGAAAACUCAAAACUUUAACCAUACCAAGUGCAACAGAAUUACACCAGGCUGGAUUCAAGUUUAUGAUGGUUAAAGAUAAAAACUUAUUUGACAUACAAUUUGAGAAUGGAAUCCUCAAAAUUCCACACCUGCGAAUACGGGGUUUAACAGAAAUUUUCUUCCGCAAUCUUAUUGCCUAUGAGCAGUGUGAGCUUCAUGAUCAUUACAUCAACGACUAUGUCUUCAUCAUGGACCGCCUGGUCGACAGUGCCAGGGAUGUGGAAUUGCUUGUGAAGAGUGGAAUUCUUGAAUCUAUGCUACCGGACAGCGAGGCAGCAGGGGAAUUUAUUAAUUCUCUUGACUUGGGGCCUAUUUUAGGCAAGCUUGAAACAAGACUAUUUCAGUUCACCAUGGGCUGGCCUGUCUAUUAUUGUAGCCGCUAUACUAGUUGUGCUCACAUUUAUUCAAACAGUGUGCUCCGUAAUGGCGCUGUAGGUUCUUCAUUUCCUCAAUUUCAUGUUUAGUGGUUGCAGAUUUGUUGCUCAUGUACGUGUUUAUCUAAAGUUAAAUAAGAGUGAUUGACUGGAUUGACUGUUAGUCUGUUAGUUUGUUUUUCUGGGGUUUUUCCCCCCUGUUCGUCAAAAAAAAAAAUAAAAGAGUGAUGGCUUGUGCCUAUGAAAAUUACUUAGGAGUAUGCUCCACAGAGCCAAAAUAAAUAAACUAGGGAAGUGGAGGUUCUUCUGUUUGUAUAUAAAUGAGCAAUUCAAACUCUCAGUGCCAAGGGAGUUACCCUUGAUACAUUUGUUAAAAAUUAUAUAUUUGGUCUUACAUCAAACAAAUAAUUUGAAGGGCUUUUUUGACAACUGCUGACAGCGUUUGGCAGAAAAGUUUAGAAGCGCUUCUACGCUUCUAGAUCAUAAAAGUGCUUUACCAAAAAGCACUUAGAUUUCUUAUGAAAAUUUCAACAUUUUUAUAAUAAAAGCGCUUGCUAGAAGCACUUAUAAGCAGAAGUGCUUCAUAGAGAAGCAGUCCCAAACGAGCUUGAUUUUCAAAUGUGCUGCUUAAGAAGAAAUUUAAUACGUUUUGAAAACAAAAAAAAAUACGAAAUUUAAUACGUUUGUUUUACAAAUUGUAUUAAUUGUUAUCAAUAAUACUUGUGCACACCCACAACAUACUUCUUUCUUUCUUUAUUUUCCUUCAGUACAGUUCUGCCUUUCUUUAAUUAUUUUUAACGAAUGCAAAGAGUUUGUCACAAAAUCAAGGAUUGAAAAAAAAAGAGAGUAAAUUAUGUGCUAGAGAAACUUUCCUGCAGAAAUUGAAGAACAACUCUAGUUUCUCUCUUUCGCCUUGUACUCCCGCACUGAGGUUAGUAUUGUUAUAAUGUGCAGAUUAUACGGUCACUCUUGUAUAAUGGCGAGAAGGCUCUAAUUAUAUUUUUGAACCUCUUUGACAGGACCCGCCCCGAAUUUCCCGAAACCCAAGACGAAUUCUGUGGAAAUUCCCUACAUCACCCCGAUGUUGGGCCCACUUCUAAAACUAUAUCAUUUUUCCUAAAAAGGAAUAAGGGCACGAGACUUUCUACCGAAAUUUCGGCAGAGUCUCUCCUGUAAAUUGAACAUUUCCCAAAAUUUCAACCUGCAUAAAACACAUUUUAUAUUACCCAACUGGCAGCAUGCACAAAAUAAUAACAUGCAAUUCACAUAAACGGCCUCUGGCCCUCCGGUAAUUCAGAGCAAUGCAAACUAGCAACUCUAAACCUAAUAAAACAACAUAAGUAACAUUUAGCCAGCGGCUGCACCCAGGCACUACCCUAGGCUACCUACGUACCCUUACUAAGGGAUCAAGCCACACGUAGUUCUUUCAUACAAAAUUUCCAAAUCCAUCAACAUGCAAUCAAUUACAGAAUCCCAAACAAAAUCUUUCUCAAACAUCAUUAGUUCCCAACUCAGUAUAAUAAUCCUUAAUUCAUCUCUGUAAUAAUCACAAUAUCUCCCCAUACGCCGGAACUACCAACACCACGUAUGGAGCCUGCCUGUACGCCAGAUAACCAACGACACGUGGGACCUCAUCAUCAUAUCACAUAAUCUCCCCAUACGCCGAAACUACCAACACCACGUAUGGGGUCUGUCAACACGCCGGAUAACCUACGACGUGUGACCUCAACAUCAAAUCACAAUAUCUCCCCAUACACCGGAACUACCUACGCCACGUAUGGGGUCUGUCCACAUGCCGGAUAACCUACGACACGUGGGACCUCAUCAUCAUAUCACAUAAUAUAUUAACGAUCAAGAAAUAUCACUACGGUCAUUUAAUCCUCCUGGGAAGGUAAAACUAUCUCAGGAGACUCACGGUCAACCAAGGGUCAAACUACCUCAUACUUGGACAAACGAGCCCACGGAGCCCACAACCUCCGUUUUACUAUCCAAGAGUUCCUAUAGGUUCUACAAGGUUUAGGAUACACGGCUUGCAAGUUUGGUCAAGAUCAGACGGUCGGAUCGCUCACGAUAGGACGGUUACUGCAAACCUAGCCCUAGGGUUGGCAUUUUCGGAGUAUCCGAAACUCCGUUUUACGAUCUGUCGAAUCAUAGACGAUCCUAAGGAUUUGCAGACUAACUAUAAUAAAUUCAAGACCAUCCAACGGUCUAAACCUAUCGAACCCGGAUAACGCGCAAUAGGCAAUAUCCAAAUUGAAAUCCGAGCACACCUACGCACUCGUGAGGACUAGGAGAUUACAUCGGGACAUAGUGCCCUUUUUCUACAGUGCCCAUGAGCCGCCGCACGCACCAGCAACGCGUGGGUGCCCAAAGCGAUUAUGCAUCGCCAAAAAAUCUCAAAACCACGGCUCAAGACUCCUACCCUAGGUAUAACACCCUAUUUGGAACCACUUUUGUUCUUGGACCUACCCCAAAAACUGAUCAGAAGUGGCCGGAAUGGCUGAAAUGUAAUUCAAAAAUCAAGCUACCAACGCUCAAAAUCGAUGCAAUCCUACCCAACCAUCAACUAGAUUAUGAAGAAUGGAUAAAUUUCCAUACCUUGAUCGCCAACAAUGGCGGCCGGAGGAGAGAGAUCUGAUCCGGCGAAGUUCGAGUGAAAACGGCCAAAAAUCAUCUUUUUCAGGCGGCUGGAGGGCGACCGAUGUCAGGGAAGGGCAGGGUCGUGACGCUAAGGCUGAGCCUGUCCUUUUGGCACCGGUCCCUUCCGCAGCCGUGUCCGGUGGCUGGAGUUUCGAAGAGAGAGAGAGAGAGAGAGAGAGAGAGAGAGAGAGAAAUCUGAUUUUUAUCAAACCUUUUUGCCAAAAUUACGGUUAUGCCACUGAGGGUAUUUUGAUAGUAUCUCUCUCGUUACAACUUCGAUUCGAGCCCACCACGUGUGUACGGACUCAUCUAACUGUGUUGUACGCAACGGUAUAGUCGAAAUUCCCAAAUUAUUUCCUUGUCAAAAAGUCAACUUUAAACAUUAUAAAAUAUUUUAGGGAAAAAAUGGUAUUUUCUCUCAAUAAAUUAGUAACUAAUUUAUUUAGGACUGGGUCAUUAUACUCUUUUUCGCUUCAAUGGAUGGGAAAAAAUUUUAUGUAAUAUCCCACAUCGACCAACGAAGAGGGGGCGAUGUGUCUUAUAUGUACAUGCCCGCCUCCAUCUAGCAUAAGGCCUUUUGGAAGCUCACUGGCUUCAGAGUCAUGGGAACUCCGAAGUUAAGCGAGUUGGGGGCUAGAGCAAUCCCAGGAUGAGUAACCCACUGGGAAGUUGCUCGUGAGCUUCGAGAAACAAAACCGUGAGGGCAGAGAGAGGGGCCCAAAGCGGACAAUAAGGCCUCGUGCUAGAUGGAGGCGGGCAUGUACAUAUAAGGCACAUCACUCUCUCUCCGUUGGUCGAUGUGGAAUGUUAGAAUGGAAUUGUUACCUUUGGUGUGGAGGUGUUCUAUCAUUUGAGCAAGAAAUUCCCACAUAUUCUUCAACUAUUUUUCAAGCAUGCAUAUUCCUCCCUAUCAAUCUUUGGUUUCUUCCUUUACUGUGCAUAGUAAGGAUCCAGUCAGGGACGGACCGUCGCUAUGACUAUCCUGGGCUAUAGCCCAGGCAAAUUAUUUUUUUUUCUAGUCUAAAAUAGCAAUCCCACCGCUUGCUGUAGUACUUGUUCAGUUCGUCACAAACAUGAGCAUAAUAGAAGUUAUCAACAUCUAUAUAGGAACCCCAAUGAAAAGGCUGUUAACUAAUAAUGAAGUUAACCCGUCAAUUUUUCCGCAUAUCAGAUAUCUCUCAGAAUAUGCGAUUCCAUAUUCAAUAAGCCACUCCACAUGCCCUGAGGUUUUCAUCAAACCACCCAUUAAGGAAACAUACUGACUCAUGUAAUUAUCAUUACUCAUCGGGUAAUGCAAUUGUUCAAAGGCAAGGACAUUUCUCAUUAUUUAUGUAGCGAACCCCAAUGGAAAUGGUGGGAUCUUCAGAACCCCAUCGGUGCUACUGAAUUGUAUGUCAAAUAUGUUUUCACCUUGUCACGCCUCAAACUUGACUCCAGCGUGCUGUAAUUCUGUCAAGCUGGGUAUGGAUGAUGGGAGUUUGAUGCAGGAGCAUAGGGGUGGAUCAAGAUAGAUAUUUACUAUUUAAUUAGUUAUUUCAUGAUAUAUUGUUAUUUUCUUAUUUAGGUAGUUUUAUGAUAUCUUUUAUUAUUUAUGUGUGAUUUUAUAAUUAAUUAGUAUACUUUUGGACCAAGUAGCCUUGGUGCUCAAGUCUUGUAAAGCCUAUAAAUAAGGCUAAUGUAAUAGUUGUAGAAUAGAUGUCGAUGAUUAAUAAAAUCGUUUAUUUGUGGCAUGGAUUUGCUACGAUAUAUGUGAGUUUGCACUAGCCCUAGAUUUCAGUGCUCGUGUAUGUGGUUGGUGACCUGUGUCCGGAUCCCGAUCCCCAUCAAUUGGUAUCAGAGCUAUGGCUCAAGAUCUGCUAUAUCGGGGAGGUUUUUGGAUGGAGGGUCGUUUUAACAACUACAACGACAUGGAGGAAAUUAGGAGGAUGCUACGGCAACUUAUGGAACACAUUGCUCGCAUUGAAGCUCGAACCCAGAUAGGUAAGAGUUCUGACGGGGAGGGAUGUGUGAACCCUUAUCUGAACCGAGUAGCUCGCAUCGACACUCUAAGCCGUGAGAGUCUCGACGGGGAGUACGAGGGAGAUAGCCCUUUUCAUUAUUGUGCUCCGCUGUGUGAGUCAAGUGAAGAGGGGCACGGUUAUUCUCAUUGUGUCUUUGAAGGUAUAAAUGAAUUUAGUAAUUUUGGUGCAUCUUGUUAUUCAUCAAAGUUAUUAAAUUUGGAUUUACCUCCAUUAUUUGAUCCUUGCAAUUGUGAAAAUUGCAAUAAAAAUUGUUUGGGUGUUCAAAGCAAUUUUGAUAAGCAAUUUAUUGACCAGAACAGUGAAGAGAUGAGAAUUGAGAAAACUUUCGAAGAUAUUAUUGAUUUUAUGGGCAUUAAUAUUUUCACUUGGAAGGUUGCCAAAAAUCUGGUUGAUUUUGUCAAUCGGUUGAAGAUUCUAGAGAGAAACAUUUGCAUUGCUAGAGGGAGUAAGAAGUCAAGAAUAACGAAAUAUUCCAAAUAUCUUUUUAUUUGGAAAGGAAGGUUUCAAUUGGAUGCUAAAAGAUCCAAAAUUAAUAUGCAGCAAUUGAAGAUUCUACUCGGAUUUUCCUUAAUCAAAGGCUUGAAUUCGAGGACGAAUUCUUUCCAACUAUGGGAGUCUGAUGCAGGAGCAUAGGGGUGGAUCAAGAUAGAUAUUUACUAUUUAAUUUGUUAUUUCAUGAUAUAUUGUUAUUUUCUUAUUUAGGUAGUUUUAUGAUAUCUUUUAUUAUUUAUGUGUGAUUUUAUAAUUAAUUAGUUUACUUUUGGACCAAGUAGCCUUGGUGCUCAAGUCUUGUAAAGCCUAUAAAUAAGGCUAAUGUAAUAGUUGUAGAAUAGAUGUCGAUGAUUAAUAAAAUCGUUUAUUUGUGGCAUGGAUUUGCUACAAUAUAUGUGAGUUUGCACUAACCCUUGAUUUCGGUGCUCGUGUAUGUGGUUGGUGACCUGUGUCCGGAUCCCGAUCCCCAUCAGAGUUCCCCUCCAGCUUUUGAUUCCAACGGUUGAUAGAGUUUAAAUAUUUUCCUGAAAAGAUCAAUAAUAUGUGCCACUGAUCUAAAAGUCUCCAAAUUGUCUUCCAAUUUGUCAACAGGCAAUAGAUGUUCGAAGAAACUGAAAGAAAUACAAAUUAUUGAAAGCCCCUCAGUAAUGCUGUUAUUGUCAGCAUUAGCAGGGAGUGUAAUUUUCUGUGGGUCGAAAAGAUCCUCGAGAAUGAAGAAUGGCAACUGAUUUUCAAGCAACCACGUAUCUGUCCAUGCAUCUUGCAACAUACCUGGUUUGUCAAAUAUGCGGUCAUUUUCGUCCCAAAAUUUGAAGUAGUCCUUCAAUAAGGGCUCAAUAACGAAGGCGGCGCCCACUAGAAUGAUUGUUACAAAUUCAUCACUGCUAAACUUGAUGGGUUCUCCAUAACAACGUCUCAAUCUUGCUUCGUGGUCCUUUAUUUUCUUAAUAUAAUCCUCCAAACUCACAUUGGUCCGACCUAUAAAAUCUUGCAGGUAUCUCUGUUUGUUCUCUUCCAAUACGACAUUCAAGCCUUCCUUUCCAUGGUGAAGUGGACCUAUAGAGACCGACUGCCUGAGGUGUGCAGAGCUUUUCAUUCACACAUACGUAGAUAAAAUGUCUGGGGGCUCAGAGAGUGAUGAAUGUGCAACAGCUAAUGGGAGGGUUUAUAUUCCUGAAGUAAGAAAUGAGGAAACACCAGCAGUUGGGAUGAAGUUUGACUCGCUUGACCUCGUUUACAAUUUCUAUAAUAGAUAUGCAUUCUUGGCUGGCUUUGGUAUUCGACUUCAUUCUAGCUUUUGGGGGAAAAAUAAGAAAGAGAUUUUGAGGAAAGAAUUUGUAUGUUGCAAACAAGGUGCAUACAAGAAGGAUGAAACUCGGGAGAGAAAAAGACAACGGGGAAUAAGUAGAUGCAAUUGCAAAGCAAAGAUUGUGGUUGUGAAGACAAAUGGGAGCAAGAAGUAUACCAUUUCUCUUUUUGCAGAGGGACACAAUCAUAAGAUGACACCCUCAGAAAGAAUGCAUUUAUUGAGAUCACACCGUCAUAUUUCAGAUUCUACAAAAGUACUCACAAAACAGUUGGGUUCAGUUAAUAUUCCCAUUCAUCAGAAGGUAAGUAUAUUCGAGGUGCAAUCCGGAGGAAUGGAUAAAAUCGGUUUUAUCAAAAAAGAUAUCUACAAUCUUGAAUGUAGUGUGAAUGGGAAGCUGAGGAACCACGAUGUUGAACUAGUGACCGAGUAUUUUAUGGCUGAACAGAAAAAAAAUGAGGCUUUUUAUUUCAAGAUUGAGGGAGAUGGGCAUGACAGGUUUAGUCGAUGUUUUUGGGCAGAUGCAACUUCUAGACGGGCGUAUGGGUUUUAUGGAGAUGUUGUUGUAUUCGAUACCACAUUCAACACGAAUCGAUACGACUUGACAUUUGCACCAAUGUUGGGAGUUAAUAACCAUGGUCAGACAAUUGUCUUAGCAUGCGCAUUUUUGAGCAAGGAAACGACUGAGUCGUUUGUUUGGAUGUUUGAGGAGUUUAAGAAAGCCAUGCCAGGUGGGGAACCUAAAACGAUCAUUACAGAUCAAGAUGCGGCAAUGGCCAUAGCGAUUUCAAUAGCCUUCCCGAGUACAUUUCAUCGACUUUGCAUAUGGCACAUCACAUCAAAGUUCUCUGUUAAGUUACCACGUGACGCUUAUAAGGAGUAUUGGCCUGAAUUUCAGAAAGCCAUAUGGGAUACUGACAAUAAGGAUGAGUUUGAUGCAAAAUGGAAUAUUGUGGUUAUAAAGGCUGGUUUGACUGACCAUCCAUGGCUAAGUUCAAUGUUUGAUUUAAGGGAAUCUUGGGUUCCAGCCUACGCACGACAAUUUUUUGCCGCUGGAAUGUCAAGCAGCCAAAGAGCGGAAGGUUCUCAUGGUUUUUUCAAGCAAUACAUAUCAAGGAGAAAUUCGUUGAUGGAUUUCAUAAUACGAUUUGAGAGGGCAUUUUCUCAUCAACGUGAAAAAGAGUUAGUUGCUGAUCACGUAGAUGCAUUUGAAGUGGCUCAAUGUCUUCUACCGAUGCCAAUGAACAAACAAAUGGCUACCUUGUACACAAGGACAAUGUUUCAAAAGUUUGAGCAAGAACUAAUACAAAGUACAGCAUGUUUCCUAGAGCUCAAAACAGAGGAUGCAUGUAAAGUUGUGUUCAACGUGAGCGAAAGGAAAAAUUGGGAAACAAGAGUGGCAGAAGUCGUAUAUGUCAAAGAUUCUGACCACGCAUCGUGUAGCUGCAAAAGAUUUGAAUUUGUUGGAAUUAUUUGCAAGCACAUCCUAGCAUUGUUCAGAAGGGACCAGAUUGAAUAUAUGCCCGAUAAAUAUAUUUUGAAGAGGUGGAAGAAAACUGCGAAAUGUGGAUUGGUGUCAGAUGCAAAUGGCAACGAAAUUAAAGACUGUGCAGAUCCUGGCCUUCUAAUAAAGCGGAGUACAAUGUCUCGACUUGCUUCAAAUGUGGUUGAGGAUGCAUUAAUGAGUGAAGAAGGAUGUGAGCUACUGUCAGAGACUCUAAAAAGUUUGCAGGUGAAGUUGAAGUUGCUGAAGGAUGGACCAAGUAAUAACGAAGUUGGAGGGUCCAGCUCUCAAACACAAUAUAUGAAAGACCCUAAGAGAGUGAGGUGCAAAGGAAGGUCGAAAGGAAUAACGGGAGCAAAGGAAAAGGCAAUGAAGCGAGGGAUUAGACACUGUCGGGAGUGUGGACACAUUGGUCAUGAUAGAAGACAAUGCCCAGCCUUGAACACACCGUAAGAUGCUACCACUAUUUGUAAUAAUAUCUAAAAUAUGAAAAGGUAAAAUUUUUAUGUGCUUGUGUUUGAUGUUUAUGCAGGACAUCACCGUCGAACAAUGACAAAUCAACUCCAAUACAUCGUAGUGACCCAUUAUUCGACGAUUUUGACAAGAUGCACAGACCAACUGAAUGAUUGAUAUUUGUAUUAGACGAAAUGUGGUUGUUAUGAAGAUUAAUGAUCAAGUGAAGUUUUAUAGAUUCAGUUUUUGAAUGUUAUUGUGUUUUUGUUCAUGUCCACCGAUGAGCUCUUACUAUGUCCACUGGUAAUUGAAAUGAAAAUUUUCUUGGUUUCAUUCUUCCAAGACAUUUGGAGACAUGUUAAUUUUACGUCUUCUCCCUAUUUAUAAAUUUUCAUAGACAUUUGAUCAAGUUUGAAAUUUGUAGUUAUGUGAAGAAGCAAUGACUCUUACCAUGUAAAAUGGGCAGUUUAGGGUGAAAUUUGUUUUAACAGAGAUUCAUUUUUCAAUUCCUCAGGGUAAUGCAGCAAUUACAGCAGCCAGCUGUUGUUUCCAUUACCAGUAAUCAUUUCCAGCAGCAGCCACUUUUUCCGACUGGUUAUUAGGGGCACGAUUUUGUACACUUUUGUAAGUGAAGGAUACUCGAAGCACUUUGUUGGAACAGAGCAAAUAGAAACCAGCGGGUAAAAAAAAAACAUAACAUUGCAGCUAAUUACAUUUCGAUACAUAGGUGAAAAAUAUUAAAGGGUACACUAACUUACAUAAAUACUCAUAAUUCCACACACAAAAGAACAUUUGAUUGCAAAACAUAUUAUGUGCUUCCUCAUAGCAAUACCACGAUCUCCCCAACCAACUGAACAACGGUAGCCACAAUCACUGGGUCGUACUCGUCAGCUUCUUCUUAGCAGGUCUCACAUGCUUAUGGCCACUCAUAUCCCUAGUGAUAUACACGAAAUAAAUCUUCAGCAAUAUUUGGAAUUUUAUUAUAUAUAAAUAAACCAUAAACCAUUCAGUAAACAAUGUAUAGCACAUGUUAUGUAACUUAUGACUCACGUGUCAGUUUUUUUUUUAACACAUUAGUACUCCAGCUCUUUAAUGUAAAUGGACAUGAUAAGGAGCAUUUACUGAUUCCCGGCUUUCUAUGAUAUUGACUGCUUCUUGAAUAAUAUUUCCAUAUUUGCAAAAUAUAAUGUUAGACAUUAUAACACAUGAUGACUUGCAAUACAUAGUCCCAAUAAUUAUAUAUCAAGCAAAUGAAACUGAUAUUUGUGUUAUUUUAAGUUAGAUAAUGACAUUAAGGGAGUAUAUGUGCAAUACCACGGUCACCCUCAACCAACUGAACAGCGGUAGCCGCAAUCACUUAGUCGUAUCGGUCGGCUUCUUCCGAGCAGCUUUGACGUGCUUAUGCUCAUUCAUGUCACCCCCAUCGUCUAGUAUCUCUCUCACAGCAUCAGGGGACACAUAGUUCCAAUCAUAACUUGUAUGAGUAGUUGCCGCAAAUGCUCGGAAUUUGUCGAAUCCUUCGUUGAAUGCCAACUCCAGUUCAGUAUGGUGCUCUUCGCAUCGCAUAUGGUUCAUCAAACAACCUUUGAUUUCAUCAUUCAUUACUGUAUCCAACUCCUCAGCUUUCAGCUUCCUGCUAUGACUCAGCUUCAAGUACUUGUUCUUUUGGGAUAACGCUUUGUUCACCCUAAUGUUAAGAUCAGCCAAAAUUGCCUCGUCUUCAACACAUUUCUCGUGCCAUGAAUUGAUCAGUCUGGAAUUAUAAUCCAGCUUGCCACUGACUGCAUGUAUUGCCUGUAAUGGAUCAUCGGAGUCCCCCUCACUCCCAAAUGAUGUUGAAAAAGGAAGGGGUCGGCGAGUACAAUGUGGAAAUAGAACCUGCCACUCCAAUUUGUCAUCUUCGAUUGUGUUGUUGGCGCCUGAAGAGGUUGACAUGCUUGAAUAAUCCUCUUUGUUUUGGGAGGAUGAGGAUUGCAUAUGCAAUUUCGUUUGAGAAAGGGAACAUAGGUUUAUAGACCAACAUACCAAAGCUUGUGUGUAGUCAACAUAUGUACUUUUUGGCGGGAAUUUUUUAAAAAUAGGUGUUAGGUUUUGCUUUUCAAGCAUGUCAACCUCACACUCUCCUGACACCACUGCUAGUGGUUGAAACAAAGUCAAUGGAAGUGACAUCUACUUAGUUAACUCAACCAAACUAGUUAGGAUUAAACUUAGAUUGUAUCAGACCAAAAAAUAAUUUCUACUUUGUCAACCAAAUAUUUUUUGGCGGGAACCCUUUUCUUGGUAUUACUAUCACCCCUUUCAUAUAAAAUCUCCUUCCACACAAAACUCACUCCUCCACCGAAUCUGUCUCCAUCUACCGAUACUCUCUCAAGCAAACAAACUCAUUCCCCCCAAAGAAUGAGCAUAAGCACAACCAAGUUUGAUGUGAGCAUAAUAAACACCCCUCCAAACAAAGACCGGCUUCGACACGCAAGUGAGUCACCGGACAAGCAAUGUCACAUUGCUAGACAGAAUGACCAUUUUGUUGGAAGUUUUGAGUCUGAAAGAGUUGUUGCUUUUUGGAAGGAGAGGCAUCUUCAACUUGGUGAUGAAAUCCAAAGGGCAAGGGCACGUUUGGAAUUUGUGGAAGGCCAAAUUGAAGAUGACAAAAGGCAGGCCAAUCUGGAUAGGGCGAAGUUGUAGCGCAUGAAGCGUAGACACAAACGACUUCGGAGUGUAGCUGUUCAAAAAUACAAGAACUCAUCUAAUGUAGUGGAGUCAAAGAAGCGUGUGAUGCAAGCUGGAUUCGACUACUUCCGAUCCUAUGCAAAACUCGUCGUACCCGGGUUUGAUUGGUCAUCUAUUACCGUUUCCGACGUCACCAAAUAUACUCAGCAAGGGAAGUAACCAUUUUGGUUCUCGUGUUUUAGCAGAGGCAAAUAAGUGGAAUUGGAAUUUUGGUUACACUCUGCUUCAAAGCUAUUUUGAUGCUAACUACUAUGGAAGAUUUAAACCUUAAUAUUUUGAUGUCUUUAAUUACGAAAACAGAAGAUGCAAAGAGCUCAUCUACUUCAGCCAUAUGUUGCUGCCAUGUCCAUUUGUUUUUGAUCACUUAUCAGAUUUGGACAUGGUUGCAUCAUAUGCAAUGUUGCCUUUAUUUAUUAUAUGUUAGGACAAGGUUUAUGGAAAAGCUUUUGUGAGUGCGUUUGUGACAAGGUUAUGGAAUUAUUAUGUACACUUUAUAUAUUGUUUUUUGUACUGGUUCAUUUCCUACUAUUUCUUGCUUUCUUUAUAUUUUAUGUUUGUGGAAUCCCUCUCAAAGUUAACAUAUACUGUGAAAAAAAUAUUAUGCAACUGAUUAUAUAAUCACUCAUAUAGACUAGGACAAAUAUUCACUAAGGGUUUUAAACUUGCUUCACUUGUGUGAUGUUAUUGACAAAAAGUAUGGCAUUAUUUAUGUGAUUUGACAUGAUUGAAAAUAUAUUACUGAUUCCCAAUGCGGCGUCAUAUGGACAACGUAUUGAAUACCUGUGACGUGUUAAUAACUCAAGGUGCAGUUGCAUGUGGACAACUUCUUGAAUACCUCUGACGUGUUGAAAACUCUAGGUGCAGUUGCAUGUGGACAACUUAUUGAAUACGAACUGACGUCUUCAAAGCUCUAGGCGUAGUUGCAAUGAUGGCUUCAAAGCAUGUGCAAUUAUUUUUUAUGUACAUUAUUAUAACAAAACAUAUUAUUGUAUAUAGUGAAACUAAAUAUUGUAUUAUUAGAAAUUAUAUUUCGAAUAUUAUCCGAAAUAUACGUGUUAACGUGAAUUUGGGUUAAGAGGAAAGUGAGUUAUGUACAAAUAAUUUUCAUUUUCUCAUUUUCCGGGCAUUUUUUGGAUUUUCGUAGAAUUUAUUACCUAUGUCCACAGAUUGUUGCACUAAAAAAGCCAAAAUAAUAGCAAGAGGACACCUGGAGCGAUCUCAGCCCGUCACUGAUGACUACUUGCACAAGUGUACGUCAGUCAACAUGGCCACACCCUCCCAUUUUACCCUAAAUUAUUAUUUUAUUACUUUUCCUUACAAAAAUCAGAACUAAUUACACACAAAAUAAAAAAAUUAUCCGAAAAUUGCUACGAACUCAUUGACACUCCAUCUCCGUUGCUGAAUUCUCCGAUUCAUUGUUACGUAUUUGUAAAAUUAAUUCCCAACAUUAACGGGAGAUGCUUGUUGAAGUAGGUUAUUCAAGUUGAAGUUAACAAACAUCAAUACUUAGGGUUAAGAGGAAAGUGAGUUAUGUAACACAAUUUGGAUUAUUUCAUUGCGAGACGAAUGAUUUAUAGGUUCUCCUAGUUUUAUGACGUCACAAGUAGGCCGGAGUAAUUUUUGGGGCAUUUUUACGAUUUUCCUACUAUUUUUUACCUAGUUUCAAAGAUUUUUGAACAAAAGAAUCCAAAAUGUAAAAGAAGAUGACACCUGGCGCGAUCUCAGCCCGUCACUUUUCACUACUUGCACAAGUGUACGUCAGUCAACAUGGCCACAUCCUCUCAUUUUACCCUAAAUUAUUAUUUUAUUACGUUUUGUCUUGGAAAAUUCAUAACUAAAUACACAAAAAUUCAAAAUUAUUUCUGAAAAUUGCUACGAACUCAUUGACACUCCAUCUCCGUUGCUGAAUUCUCCGAUUCAUUGUUACGCAUUUUUAAAAUUAAUUCCCAACAUUAACGGGAGAUGCUUGUUGAAGUAGGUUAUUCAAGUUGAAGUUAACAAACAUCAAUACUUAGGGUUAAGAGGAAAGUGAGUUAUGUAACACAAUUUGGAUUAUUUCAUUGUGAGACGAAUGAUUUAUAGGUUCUCCUAGUUUUAUGACGUCACAAGUAGGCCGGAGUAAUUUUUGGGCCAUUUUUACGAUUUUCCUACUAUUUAUUACCUAGUUUCAAAGAUUUUUGAACAAAAGAAUCCAAAAUUAACAAGAAUAUGACACCUGGCGCGAUCUCAGCCAGUCACUUUUGACUACUUGCACAAGUGUACGUUACCGAACAUGGCCACAUCCUCCCAUUUUACCCUAAAUUAUUAUUUUAUUACCUUUUUUCUUGGAAAAUUCAUAACUAAAUACACAAAAAUUAGAAAAACGAUCCGAAAAUUUCUACGAACUUAUUGCGAUUUCAUCUUCCUACUGCAUUCCCUGUUUAAUGGUUAUGCUACAUUAGUAUUUUAUUAUUAUUUAUCCACAAUUAUUAUAAUUAUUAUGAUAUUACUUUUUAGGCUGUCCAUUUGUUAAUUAUACCACAUCCAACUUGUUGAAAACAAUUUUAUUUUCCGUGCGAAUAGGCCAUUUGUAGUGCUUAUCGGUUUCUCUGUUCUUCAAUUUGUUAAUUUUUUUAUUUUUUAGGUUGAAGGGAUGUUUUGAAACAUAAUAUGGAAAUAUACAAGUCAUCCAUUGUACUCCUUCCACACAAAAAAAUAGUCUACGUCAUUCACUGUUCAACACCCUAGGUUAAGACACGUGUAACCAAAUCCGUUCGGAUAUGCUAAGUGGGAAAAUGUCAUUCCCAAGCACUGGUGAAAAGACACUUAUUUACUCCAUGCAUGACUUUUGGUUUACCAAAUAUGAAGAUUGGGGUCGGUGAGCAAAAUAUCUGUGUCAGUAAAAUGUCAUUCCUAGCCAUCUAUGAUGUAAGUAAUAAUUCCGCUAUAUAAUAAAUAUUAUACAUUUAUAUAUAAAACGGUUUAUGACAAAAUACCAACAUUUGAACAACAUUUAAACUGAGAUAGGUAUAACGUAGCCAGCCAACCUAGAAGUGAAGAGAAGCAAGUCCACAAUGCAUCAAAACUGUAAAUUCGUACUAAAACUAAUGCAAAAAUACGUGAUUCCCUCGCACAACUUACUCACGCAGGAUUUUGCACCAAAAAAUACUCUCACGGUGCCAUUUGCAUCGGUUGCAGCAAGUCCAAAACGCAGGAUUUAUCUUGUCUUCACUAGGCCACCCUGGAAUAACAAAAUACCAUUCAUUGUUGUUACAAGCGCUGCACCGAUUGAACUUAAUCUUCCCAUAGUCAAACAUAUCUACGAUAUGUCUUGCAACAAAUGCUCCGCGACAUCUUCCUGUUAAAGCAUCCCUGGUUCCUUUCAUAUCAAUGUUGUUACGUUGAUUCAAAGAACACAAGAAUUGUAAUGCAUCCUCUUUUGACUGACCAAUUCCGGACAUACCAAGUAGUCCAACUACAUAUGCCGCUUCCAUAUGGCCUGCCGUGGCUGCAAUGCGCAUCCCAUACAACGCUUCCACCUUACCGUCUGUGAAAAAACCUUCGAAUGCUUCUCUAAAUAUGGACUCAGGGUUAUCGCAAGCCCUGCAUUGUUGCAAGAAAUGCUGGACUGCAGGUUUGGCACGGUAGCAGAUAGGAUGGUGUGGGUACUUUGCCAUUGAAAUGGUGUUCCACACUUGUGGACUGUUUGCCAAAAUGUUGAACAAUCGGCACACACAUGCCAUACGGAAGAGAUCUUCCGAUGAUUCGGUUGCCACGUAUAACAUCACUUGAAACCAAGCGGACUCCGGGAUAAAGGCUUCGGGCAUAUCGAAAUGGAGAUGCUUCCUUCUCUUUCCUCCGACUGUAGUGAAGUGUUUCGAAUUCAUUGAAAAGUUUUUGGAAUGGAACGAUUUGAGGAGUGGCAGAGGGGAUAAAUGAUAAUAUUUGGGGUACACGUUCUACUUCCGAGCCUCUGUUUAUAGUGUUUUGAAAAGGUGUUUCCAGUUGGGGUUUUUCCAAGUUGACCCUUUUGAAAGAAACUGAAUCCAAGUGAAUUAAAACUUAAGACAAAAGAAGGGAAAACGUCAUAACGGUGCAUACAGAGUCAGACAGUUAAAAAGUUAAUUAAAUGGCUAUUUGCAUAGCCAUUUUUGGGUUUAUCCCACUAUCAAAUUCAUUGAUACAAAUGUGAUGGAUUACUGACUAGUGACAGAAGGUCCCAUCAUAUACUUUUUCAUUUUCGCACACCCAACUAUCCCUAGUAAUGUUAUUAAAAUGGAACCAAUAAUGACGGAUUCUUAUCCAACUAGUUGCCUUAAUGAAAUAUAAAUAAAUUAAUAAAAUUGAAGCAGUGUCCCGUCAUUAGUCAGAAAAUAUAUUUGGUAGUGAAGUAGUUUCUAUUGCUUUUCGGGCUAAAAGAUGUCACAAUGCUGACGGUACAGGUGUCGACAUCGUGACCAACCCACCAAAUGAUCCCAAAAAAAAGUAAUAUAACUCGAUUUGGGCAGAGAUGAGAGAGAGCUGAGUGACAAGUUUAGGGUUAUGAGUGAAGGGGUAUGAAUGACAACUAUGAGUGAGAAGGUAUGAGUCCGAAGAGGUUUCAGUGAGAAGAUUUGAGUGAGAAGAGGUACAACUGAGAAGAUUCAACAUGUCUUCGUCUUCAUCUCCUGCUCAAACAAAGAGGUGUCAGUAUUGUGGAGCUACAAUGGUGCUUCGGGUUUCAAAAUCUGAAAAAAAAUCGAGGGAAGCCAUUCUGGAAGUGUCUAACCUCCUAUGUAAGUUUUAAUUUAAAGAAUAUGUAUGUGGGUGAAAAAAAACCUAUGUCUAACUCUGACAGAAUUAUAUUCCAUAUAUGAUGCCUGCAAUUAGGGAGCCACCAGUUGCAAUGGAUUCGAAUGGGUUGAUGUAACCUCCGCUGAAGCAGAACAUCAAGAUGACACGUAUGAUGUUAGAGUGCUGAACAUGCUGAAGUCCAUUAAGGACUUGGUAUUAGUUUUAUUAGUUGUAUUAAUUGUCAUUUUAUUUGUUCUUUUAAUGAUCAUUUAACUGCACGGUUUAAAAGAUUGUGAAAGUUCUCUCGCACAAGACAUAUUGCACGCACCACCAAUGAGACCCUAAACCCAUUUUGUAAUAUUUGGUAACUGCAUGUAUUUCGCAUGUUAUUGAAUGUUUAUUGAAGGUUUAUUGAUAGUUUGCUGCAUGUAUAUGGAAUAUCAUUGCCCCAAAAUUGGAUGUUUAUUGGGGCCACAAGUAUCACUCAAGUAAGAAUGAAGGGGAGAAACGGACCUUAUUCUUUCUUAUAGUAGGAAGAACAACUGUUAAGUUUAAUAUCCUAUUCAAUACGACUUCCCUAUGGUUGGUGUACUUGGGGACUGAAGUAUAUUGCAUCAUUAUUGUGGGCAAGGGCAUGUCUAUUGUGUGUGUUAAGGGAGUAUUGUGUGGGCAAGGGCAUGUCUACUGUGUGUAUAUUGCAUGUCUACUGUGUGUAUAUUGCAUAUCUAUUCUCUGUAUAUGGCAGGCCAAGUUUGUGUAUAUUGUUUGUCUGUUGUGUGUGUAUUGCUUGUCGGUGCGUUUGUGAAUUGUGGUUCAUUUUGUGUAUAUUGUCUUUGUUUCUACUUUUAUGCUACUGAGCUGCGGAAAACCUCGCAUGUUUAGACACCUAUUAUGAUGCAACACAUUGCGAUUAAUGGUGGCUUGCAUCAACAAUGACAUAUCACUUUGCAAUGAUGUAAUACACUUAAAAAGCCGUCUUCAAAUCCCAAUUCACAUAUGCAGUCUUAAAAUUCUAAUUCAAUGCAGUUUGGUUAACAAACAUGUAAAUGUCAUGAAGGAGUUAGCGGUAGAAUUCGAUAAGGACCCGUACGUCUCUAUUGUGUAUUUACAUUAGUUUGAGAAUGGACAUUCCCAAAACCUUCUCAUGUACCAUUUGUCAUCUUCAACCAAUAUCAUGGGAAGUAAGCAUCUCCCCUUGUUAUCUCCGCAGCCAAUUUCAACCGAAAAAAAGGCAUGUUGUGCGAGGUGCAAGUAGCUAACGGAAGCUUAGCGCUGAAAAGCUCAAUGUACUUUAACACAAACAUGCCACAAUCGCCUCUGAAGCAAAACAAGAACUCGAUCAAUUCAACUAAUGACAUUCUAAUGUAAUUGACAAUUGAAAGUAAUAAAAUUAAAUUGCAAGUUGUGCUUACUCAUUAGACUGUUGUGGAACAUCCACACGCUCUAUUGGCCACGGACACCACCAAUCUCGGCUGCAAUUGUUUGCAUAAACACCUUCUUCAUAAAAGUCGAUGGUGUUGAGAAGAUUUGGAAGCGUAAUUGAUAGCGGGCCGAGUUCUUCCUUUACGAUGUCAUCUGGAAUUAGUGAAACCUUUGAAUCGUACACUUUGAUUCACACAAUACCAGAUCAAACANNNNNNNNNNNNNNNNNNNNNNNNNNNNNNNNNNNNNNNNNNNNNNNNNNNNNNNNNNNNNNNNNNNNNNNNNNNNNNNNNNNNNNNNNNNNNNNNNNNNNNNNNNNNNNNNNNNNNNNNNNNNNNNNNNNNNNNNNNNNNNNNNNNNNNNNNNNNNNNNNNNNNNNNNNNNNNNNNNNNNNNNNNNNNNNNNNNNNNNNNNNNNNNNNNNNNNNNNNNNNNNNNNNNNNNNNNNNNNNNNNNNNNNNNNNNNNNNNNNNNNNNNNNNNNNNNNNNNNNNNNNNNNNNNNNNNNNNNNNNNNNNNNNNNNNNNNNNNNNNNNNNNNNNNNNNNNNNNNNNNNNNNNNNNNNNNNNNNNNNNNNNNNNNNNNNNNNNNNNNNNNNNNNNNNNNNNNNNNNNNNNNNNNNNNNNNNNNNNNNNNNNNNNNNNNNNNNNNNNNNNNNNNNNNNNNNNNNNNNNNNNNNNNNNNNNNNNNNNNNNNNNNNNNNNNNNNNNNNNNNNNNNNNNNNNNNNNNNNNNNNNNNNNNNNNNNNNNNNNNNNNNNNNNNNNNNNNNNNNNNNNNNNNNNNNNNNNNNNNNNNNNNNNNNNNNNNNNNNNNNNNNNNNNNNNNNNNNNNNNNNNNNNNNNNNNNNNNNNNNNNNNNNNNNNNNNNNNNNNNNNNNNNNNNNNNNNNNNNNNNNNNNNNNNNNNNNNNNNNNNNNNNNNNNNNNNNNNNNNNNNNNNNNNNNNNNNNNNNNNNNNNNNNNNNNNNNNNNNNNNNNNNNNNNNNNNNNNNNNNNNNNNNNNNNNNNNNNNNNNNNNNNNNNNNNNNNNNNNNNNNNNNNNNNNNNNNNNNNNNNNNNNNNNNNNNNNNNNNNNNNNNNNNNNNNNNNNNNNNNNNNNNNNNNNNNNNNNNNNNNNNNNNNNNNNNNNNNNNNNNNNNNNNNNNNNNNNNNNNNNNNNNNNNNNNNNNNNNNNNNNNNNNNNNNNNNNNNNNNNNNNNNNNNNNNNNNNNNNNNNNNNNNNNNNNNNNNNNNNNNNNNNNNNNNNNNNNNNNNNNNNNNNNNNNNNNNNNNNNNNNNNNNNNNNNNNNNNNNNNNNNNNNNNNNNNNNNNNNNNNNNNNNNNNNNNNNNNNNNNNNNNNNNNNNNNNNNNNNNNNNNNNNNNNNNNNNNNNNNNNNNNNNNNNNNNNNNNNNNNNNNNNNNNNNNNNNNNNUUUUCCUCUCCCUCAUCUCUAUUAUUUGGCCCUUCACCCCCUUCAAUCCCUUCAUCUUCUUUUUCCUCUCCCUCAUUUCUGUUACUUGGCCCUUCAUCCCAUUGAAUGUCAUCCAUUUCCCCAUAUCCCUUAAAUAGAUGUGAGACGACACAACGAUUCGUCCUCUGUUUCAGUAAAGCUAGGUCCCUCCUUACUUCCUGCUCAAACUGAGGACCUAAACAUUGGUCCAAUAGUUUUUCCAUCCGUAUGACCUUUAAGUGAAGGACGUCUUUUUCCCGCUUUUCUUGAAACAACUCGGACCUCAACAAGCUUACCACCUUGUUCAACUCAUCAAGAUCACCACAUGAAGAAGGAAUUGACUCUGCCGAGACAACAGCAGGGCGAUCCUGUGGCCAACUCCAAUAUGGCUGUCUCAUUUCCUCUUCACUUAGACAUAGCGCCCGCAACUGAACUGACUGUUUCAGAAUACAGACAAGAGUCAUAUUAAAUCAUUCUACUUCAUAAUUUCAUUCAAUCUUAUCAAUAGUUCUAAGGGCUGCAAACCAAACCUCUUUGCUCUGGAAAAAAUAAUUGUUCAACUUUCUCAUCUCUGGAACAGACGUAGUAGUUCUCCAUCGCAAAAUACGCGGGACAGCGGUCGGAUCAACAACCUUGCAGUAAUUCAGGUCCGCCAUUCUAGGAAUUAAUUCAUAUACCCAAAUCUACACAAUUCACAGGACAAAAGUCAUUAUUUAUGUUUUAAAGAAAAACAAAACAUAACUGACAUGAACAUUAUUACCAUGUACCUGGAAAGCAUACGUGAAACCUUUAAAACUCCAGCCACUCCUUUGCGCUUCACUAUGCUUAUCCUUCUUGCCCUUCUCAUUUCUCCGGCUUGUUCCCGUUACCUUACUUUUCCCCUUCCCUCUUCCCUCUUCAUUUUCCAAGCUUUUCACAUACUUUGUUGGUGCAGAAAAUAGACUGUCUUGGGUUUUGUCAAAGGACACCGAACCCCACGGAUACCUGUUGAACGCAUCCAAGUCCUCUACAAGGGUCAGGUAAUUUAGAUUGAUGUUCAAAUGUUUGUCCCUUCCCAAAACCACUAACUCAGCAAAGUAAACAAGAGGUAGCUUGAAGAUGUCAUCUUCCUCUGUGCACCUCACAAAUGCUUCUUCUAAAGCAUUGCAUGUAAUUCCUUCGUCUAUAAAAUAUCUUUUCUGAAGUCUGAUUUCAUUACUCUCUCCACUGGAAACUUCAGGCACUUCCCCAAAACGAAGCCCUGUGAUCAAACAGAAAUCCUGACGAGUGAACUGAGCAACGUCACACCCUAAUAAGAAACUCAGUCCAUCCAAGUCUUUCACACCCUGCCCCGCUACUCUACGCAACACAACCCCAUGCACAAUCUGUCCGCUAAACUGAAUCUUAUCUAUAUUCAGAAGAUGGCCAAAGCAUGAUGUCUUGAAUUGUUCUAAUUGUUCCGCACUCAACUUCGCUCGAAUUGCAGCUAGAGAUGAAUUUGCAUGUGAGCAGUUGUUCACCCGUGAUGAAUAUACCUCUGCCUCUGGCCAUACCAGCUCCACGUUGGAUCCCAUUUCCUCAAAUACAAUGUGAAAUAACGUGAACAUAUAUACUACCACGUAUUUGCACAAUCACAACUAGUCAACCAGGCACAUUACAACUUUUACAAAGUACAUGAGCAUAUGGAUUACUCAUCACAGGCUUUAACAUCAUCAAAGCAAUAUGACAAUUUUUGUGCAAAUACCUGUUAAUGCAAUGAUUAUGUGAAUUACAAACAAUUUCACGUGUUUUAUUUAUGGAUCCAUACUCGUGUGAGUGCAAUGUAGGCAAGUUCUGCACUUCACACACAUGACAAUUAUUGUCAUCUCAUACACAACCCAAAAUAAAUAAAUAAGAAAUAUAGUGGAAGGAAGCAAAGCAAAGCAUGUACUCUGCUAUCUGCUUGCUAAGCAAUUGCCACAUCCUUCUUUCUUUCUACCUUUUUCUUCAGUCACCCACAAUCGUCAUAGAUCAACCUUCAUUUCAAAUGCUUUGCACUUUUAUUCAUGAGUUUAUUAUUAUCUGUUCUCAUUUCUCAUAGGCAAAUUUAGUAACAAAUGAAAUAAUAUUUAUUUCACAAAAUAUAUAAAUUCUAGUGCCAGAGAGGUACUCUUCACUCUGCACUGCUUCAAAUGUGGAAGGUUUUGAGAUGUUAUUGACAUGUGAUUGACUUUAUUUUCAUUCGUUUUUUAACAUAUACCCAAGCAAAAAUUAACAUGCAAUUGAAGCACAAAUAAGAGAUGCCAAAUCCAACAACAUUGAUGGUACAAAUUGGGGAAAACCAUUACUCUAACCCUAAACUCAAAUUCCUUACAUUACUCAUCAAAUGCUUUGCAGUUCUAUUCAUGAGUUUAUUAUUAUCUGUUCAAAUGUUUCUCAGGCAAAUUUAGUAACAAAGGAAAUCAUAUUUACUUCAUAAAAUAUAUAUAUAUAUAUAUAUAUUCUAGCGCCUCUUCUUAAUCUGCACUAUGCACUGCUUCAAAUGUGGAAGGUUUUGAGGGCCUCCUCCAAUUCAACACCAUUAUCUUAUUCAUAUCAUUAUUGACAUGUUAUUCACUUGUUAUUGACUUCAUUUUCAUUCUUUUUUUAACAUAUACCUAAGCAAAAAUUAACAUGCAACUGAAGCACAACGAAGAGAUGCCAAAUCCAACAAAAUUUAUGGUACAAAUUGGGGAAAACCAUUACUCUAACCCUAAACUCAAAUUCCAUAAAUUACUCACCAAAUGCUGGUUAUUGCAAGGUGUCUGUGUGGGGUCUUUCUGUUUCUUUGCUCCACAAAUGGAACCUACCACUUCCAACGAAUACAGCUUUUCCCCUUCCCCUUCCACUGCUUCGCCUCUUCACUGAUUUGGAAUCCACACCUUUGCCCCUUCUACUCCAAAUAAAUACUUUCUCGGGGUCUGGAGAACGGAGUGGCGAAUCGUUGCCUUCAACUGUCGUUAGCCGUUGCCUUCAUUGGGUAUCUCAGACCUCUGUGUUUUAGAGAGAUGAGUUCUUUCUGUUCAAACUUCGAACUUGCCUCUUCUUCUUCUUUUUCGGACGUGUUUCCCUCUUCUUCUUCUUUUUGGACGUGCUGGAUAUUCAAUUCGGGUUUGGGUUCCUUACCUACCCAAUUGUGAAACUUUAACUCAAUUCUCCCCAGCCCUUGGAUUAAUCUGAUGGCUAUAAAGUGAACCCCUUAUAACUUACCCCUUAUAACUUUCCACUCAUUAUAGUCUUGGCCAGGUAUGGCGGCCAUGCUAGUAAGUGUUGGGUCUUUGACCCAACUUAAGCUAAAUGGGUCAUAAGAUGACCGAUCAUCUUAUCUCAUAAGGAUAUAUAAGUCAUGUUAUGAUUUAGGAUUUUAUAGGGUUUCCUUUGUAAGAGGUAAGAGAGAAACAAGCUCUCUCUCUCUCUACACAAGGAGGUCAGCCAUAGCAAGGGAAAGGCUCCUAGCACUCUCCUCUCUCUUAUUAUAUCAUCCUUCCAAGGACAGCUUUGGUAUGGUAAAGUUGGAGGUUGCACACUUUGUGCACUUUGGUAAGAACUCAUCCAAGGGAGCCAAGAUUAAAUUGGUUAGCUGUUGGAUUAAAUUGGUUAGCACGAUUCAACGGUUAAUAGAUAAAACUUCACAUAAAAGUCAUAUAUAAGGCCCUCACUAUAGAAUGACUCGUUAGUUUAGUCUCUUGUUACAUAUCAAAUGUUAGAGAUAUUUUUUAAUAAGGAUCUGCCAUACCACAUAGUUGGAUAAGACAUUAUACACGGCUUUUGUAAGAGCAUCUCCAGCGCUCCAAACUAGCCCAAGCAGCAGGGGGGCCUAAGUCUAGGAAGCAGCUCCAGCUCGCAAGAUUCAACCCAGGCAAGGUGUGGAACCCACGAGGAGAUCUAGCCCGUCACCUUGCCUUUGGGUUUCAGUCAAGCUGAUGUCAACGAAAGAAUUUCAAAUUUUUUUUACCGUUACAAUGUACGCGCCAACGAUAAAUUUUCUUUGGAUUUCUUGCAUUGAUCCACAGCUACCAAAAACCAACAGCUACAAGCCACGUGGCUUCUCCAGGAGCCUCCGAUCCAAAAAUCAUGUCAAAUCUAACGGCAGUCCAUUUUUUGGCUAAAAAUAUCAAAAAAUUAUGGAAACAUGUUCUAUAAAUUCCUACAAAUAUUAUUCACUUCCCACACCAAAUCUUCAUACAAAUUCAUAUCCUUUCAAUAUUUUUCACUUUCCAUACAAGAUUUUCUACUACUAAGUUUCGUUUGUGUAAAAAUACAAAUGACCUCUUCUAUCGAAGCCGGAGGCGCGUGUACAACCGUGGAAGAUAUUUUGUUGCGUGAGUGUUGGGUCAAAGUUGGUCAUUCCCUGAUCACGGGCAAUGAGAUGAAGUCCUCUCGUAGGAGUUUCUGACAUCGCAACGAAAGUAAGAUGUGAUAUGAAAAUGUAAGGAAUUUGAUGAGAGGAAUGGGAUUUGAGGAGUUUGAUGUAGGAAUUGAUGUAGGAAUUGAAUUUGGGAGGUAUGUAUAUAAGAUUUGAGGGUAUGUGUUUAGGGAUUUUGAUAAGAGGAUUUGAGGAAUUUAGAUUUGAAGGAUUUGGAUUUGGGGAAUUUAAAUAUGAGGAAUUUGAUUAGGGUUUGGGUUUGAAUAUGUGAAAUUUGAUAUGAGAGUUUAGAGACAACAGAUGAUCGAUUGCUCUGAUACCAUGCUAAAAUAUGAUAUGGUUUGAAUACUUUAGGUUGAGUUUUAUUCUUUUCCAUAAAAAGGUAUAUAUAGGAGUUUACAUGAGUGCUUUACAAAGAAAUAGAUACAAUAAUCAAUUAGGAUAAUAUCUCCUAAUUAUACAAUAAUUUGUCAACUAUAUAGAAUAGGAAAGUAAAUUCCUUAAUUAAUCAAGAAAAUAAAUCUCAUUGAUUAAUUAGGAGACUAACGUCAACAUUUAUAAGCCAUAAAAGAGCAGAAAAAGAGGUACUUAGGAGAUUUUAUACGUCGGACUAAGGUAAGCUUAAAGGACUAUAUCAAAAAAAUAAGGGACCAAGAAGCAAGACAGAGAAGUUGUUAUGCAAACCCAUUAAGUUUAGCAGUGAUGAAUUUGUAAAAAUCAUUCUAGUGGAUUCUGCCUUCACUAUUGAGUUCUUAUUGAGGUUCUAUCUGAAAGGAUCUGGACAUGAAGGAGACCGCUUAUUAAACAAACCGUGGAUGUUUACAGCCUGACAUGUGGUUGCUUGAAAAUCAGCUCCCAUUCUUUAUUCUUGAGGAUCUUUAUCACACAUACAUAAUAACCGACUCUUUUAGGAAUUAUUACAGUACUCAUGAUCAUGAGAGGCUUUCAAUAAUUAAUAUUUCUAAGAAUUUCUUCACAGCCGGAAUAUUGAAUUUGGAGGGGAAGGGAGACAAAUGGAACAGAAUAUCAUCUUCUUCUAGUGUUGGAAAUUUUAUAUUAUUUAAUAAUAUUUAAUUUCUAUUGUGAAUGAAAAAUAAGUUUCUUUAAGAAACGUGUGUCUUAGGCCAGUUUUUCUAACUGGUCGGCUUCCUUAGAUUUGUGCCUAUUGCUUUUCAAAGUAUAAUGAUGCAAUGGUUGUAUCUCGUUCAGGCAAAUGGAAGGUAUAUAGCAAUUUAUAGAACAAUACAGUAAUCCAGAAGAAAUAUUAUGAAAUGAAAAGAAUAAAAAGUAAAAAAAGAGAAAGAAAGGAAUUCCCACCUGCAAUGUAUAUGUAUGAAAGGAAGGACCAAGUUUGUUUUAAAAUGGUAAGAACAAGUUGAUUUUAAAUUGGGUUCAGAUCAACUCAUAGAUUUCUUGCCUUUUCUGUUCUCCUUCCUUGGACAUGAACUGUUUAAUCUUGGACUCUUCCCCAUCAUGUUGGGCCUGUCUUCUUCUUGAGGAUUGUAUAGGCCUAGGAAAUGCUUCGGGGUAGUUUUUGUGUUUUGGGCAUUGGGACCCAACUUCACAAAAAGAAAACAAAUUUGACCAAAACACAAAUUUGAAGGACAUUGAAAUUGUACCCGUAGGAUAGAUUAAAACACUAUAAGGGAGGUAAAUAGUACGUUUACAGAGUUUAAGUGUAAUAAAGGAAUAAAAACAUGCCCAGAGAAUUGAUAAGUGAUAUCAAUUCUUGAAUAUACGUGAAAAUUAUUUUAUGUGGUUAAACCCCACCUCUGGGGAAAAUCCACGGAACUUCUUAGUCCAACUUCUAUCACUUAUCCUAGACACAUUCUAGAUAAUGUUUGCCAACCUCUUCGUAACUCAACUUCUGUCACGAGAUGAUCUUUCAACACUUUAUGUCGAACGCAAUACUGGUCACGAUUUCUUCAAGCUCGCCGGAGUUCUUCCAAUUCUCCUUAUAUUGAAUCUGAUACUAGUCACGAUCGAUUCAAGCUCAUCGGAGAAAAAUCGCCACAACAAUCUUGGUGCCCUCAACCGUAUGAGUCACUGAACAUGCAAAUGAAUACAAUAUGAAUGAUAAAAGUGUUUGAUAAAUCACCAAGUUAUGGAACACUUGAUGAUUUAUCUCAAAUAAAAAUUCAGCUUUCCAAAGUUUAUGAAUUGAAAAUAUGACCGUUAAAGCUCUCUAAACAAAGAAGACGAAGGUCUUAUUUUAUAGACUUUUACUUUACAAGAAAGAAAACACGUUGAAAACCAAAUCUCCAAUUUCCAAGGCUUGACAGAAAAUCACAAAAUUAUCUUUCCUAUUCUAGAGAUUGGUCACAUGAAGUCCAACCAAUAGGAAAUGAGAUAUUUAAGAAAGGAAGAUUUUGAUCAAUAUCAAUAUCAAAUGAAUUCUUAUACGCCUAGUCAAUUGUUAUGGGUAUCUUGACUCCUUGAUAUUGUGAUAUGAUUGAAACAUGAUUUCCACGUUAGAAAAUUAAGGGGAUGUUAAAACAUGAAGGUAAUAGGAGAAUCAAAUUGAUUUGGGCCAAAAUUGCCUAAAAAGAAAACACUCCUUAAUAAACUUCAAUUUACUUUUAAAAAUAGUAAAACGUGAUUGAAUCGUUCUUUAAAACAAUUCCCUAAUAUACAUGCAUGAUAGUGAUAUCACUUACCUUUGAAUCAGAUGGCUUUCACGGGUCAAGCCACAAGUUUUUGUCUUGGGGAUUGCUGAGCUUCAUCAAUCCUGCCAAUGUCAAUUUUGCCCCUAAGCUCUCUCAAAGCACGUUUACAACCUAUGCUAACAUAUAUUAGAGUUUAUGUUAGUAUCAAGAAAAUGCCAACACUAAUUUCGUAACACGUAGAAAUUGUUAGAGAUUGAAGUUUUUAUCAUUUUUUCUUCCAGACUCUCCACCACUCACUAAUAUAGUUUACUCAUGUGAUGAGUUUACAAAACCUAUUUCUCUACUCUCACAAAGACUAUACUUAGGGGGGUGUAUUCAAUUAGGAUUCUAAAGCGUUUAAAAAGAUUUUGUUUAAGUGCCAGCUUUCAUAGAACUUGAUGGAACUUUAUAAUUCGUAUAGAACUUGAUAGACUUUCAGAAGACUUCUGUAUAAUUUUUUAAUAAAACUUUCUUAAGCUUUCAUAGAACUUGAUAGGCUUUCAUUCCAAACUUAUGUAGAUGGUAUAUUUCAUUUUAUCCCCAUCCUUGACAUUUAAAGAAAGAAACUUGAAUUUUUUCAAUCAAAUUUGUUUUUGUUACCAAAGCAGCAAAAACAAAAAGUACUUGUUUGCGAUGGAAGAACAUAUGCACAGUUCAAAAUGAAAAGAAUAAGAAGCAAAGUACCUAUUUGACCAAUGAAUGCUGUGUCAACUAGAGAAGCAAUUGGAUCGGCUGUCAAAGCCAAUGCUGCAGGCAAUGCAUCGAUGGUCCAAAUUGCAAUAAAAAAAUAUUUUGAAUAAUGGCUCUUGCAGACAAAGACCACAUAAAUUCUGAACUGGUCUAGCUUGAAUAAUAAGGUUAGAUUAGCCAAUUGAUGAGAUUAAAAGCAAAGCAAGUUGAUGAAUUUAUCAUCAACUAUUUAAUAACCACAGUCCUGAUCUCUUGGACCCCUGUAGUCCAAGAGAUUUAUGGUCACCCACCGUUGGAUGUAAAUUCAACGGUUGACUUGAAUCGGGUAAUAAUCAUUUAUGUCAUAUUGCAUUUAUAUAUAUCAUUUUGAACCAUUGGAUUAAUAUCCAACGGUGGGUGACCACAAUCUCUUGGACUCCUGUGGUCCAAGAGAUCGGGACUGUUAAUAACCAAUAGAGUAUUUAAACAUAAACAACAAUGUUUGAUCAACAAAACAAAUAGUCCAAAUAUCAUCCAAAAAACAAUAACAAAAAAUCAAUCAUUCCAAACAAACUAGUCAUUCUCAAAAACUCUCAAAAAACCCACUCAUUCCAAAUUGUAGGAUAUCCAAUUUGAGCACUCCUCAGGAGACAUUUUCAAAAAUGCAUCCUUUUUUGUGUUACUAUGCAACAAAGAGAGUGCUUUAUAACGAGCAUGUUCAUCCAAAUUUGGGGUCUCCUUAAUGGCAUCCCAUAUAUAACUCCGCUGCUCUCUCUCUUUUUCCCUUUUUGCCAAUAGGUUAUGGACCUCCCGGAAGUCGAUGACAAUUGAAUCAAUGCUAAGGCUAAUUCUUCCCAUAGCUUGCUGGGUGGUCACAUUUGAGAUAGCAUUCCCUUCCAAAUAUGUUCUAGUUCGUUUCCUCUAGUAACAAGCAUAAAUCCUAGUAACAAGCAUAAACCCUAACCCCAACCUAUAACCUAAUAACAAGAAGAAAACCCAACGAGGUAUUGAUCAAAGAAAAAUUAGGGAGCAUACCUUCACAGAUGGAGGAAGGAAGCUGUUCGUCUUCGCAGAGAGAAAAUCUAGGGAAAGAGAAAAACGUCUUAUGAAAUACUUGGGGGGGAGGUUGGAUUUAUUUUGGUCUUUUUUAUUUAUAACUCUCCCCUUAAAACCUACGUAAAUUUAUCACUUAAUGAAAUCCUUCCAAAUAUAUGACCUUUCGAAUACACCUAGAUUUGAUUCAACUUUUUUAUAAUCAUAAUUGAAUACACCCAUAUUUGAAUGGACUUUUUAAAAGUUCAUAUAGGUCCGAAAUGAAUAUACUCAAACUUGUAAAACCUCUUUUAAAGUUUGUAUAAAUCCAAAUUGAAUACACCUGGAUUUUUAAAAUCUUUUUAAACACUUUAUAAUCCUAAUUGAAUACACCCCCCUUAUUCUCAAAAGACUAUAUUACUUUACCUCUAUCUCUGUGAAAUGUAAAAAGUUGAAACUUUAAUGUCAAACCUCAACAAAAGAUGAACUUUCAUCAGUUACGUUGAAUUUGGAUUUGUUGAACUUAAGUGGUUUUAUUUUCUUUGUCAGUGUUUGAUGACUUAAUUUGGUAUUUAUUUCUUCUUUUUUUUCCUUGGAAAUGUGUUCCACCAACGUGAGGAAGAAAAAUAUGCACAAAUUAAUAUAUUUAAUAGAAGCCCAAGAUUUCGGAUGCAUAUAAUUUCUACAAAAAUCUACAAAGUUUUUUACUUUACAAACUUCUUAUGUCUACCAAUUUCUACUAAAAUUAAUUUCUCUGUGGUGCUCAAAUUCAUCAUAUGUGUGUCGUUAAUUUUAUUGAAAAUUGGAAGUUCCCAUCAUUUUUGUUUUUUGGGAAUUUUCUGAACCAAGGAAAAUCAAGUAAAAUUAAUAAAGCCUAAAUUGGAAAGGGAAAAUAUCUAGAGGAUGCAUUGUAGGAUUGCUCAUGCCAAUAAUUGUACCCUCUAAAUAUAUAGAGACAUAUUUUUUUUGUUUUCAUGACAUGUGGUCCUAAAAUUAUUGUGUAAAUCUUCAAUCCUGAACGAUGCACCUAAAACUCAUCCACCCAUUCUCAGGCCAAUUAUUGCACCUAGUGGGCUCUCGACCCCCUCUCAAAUUUAACCACAUAUUUUAUGGACCAUCCAGCUGUGAGGUACAUUCCCCCCACAUGCCACAAUUGUAUAUUCACAAUUACGUCUGAUACAUCACAUCAUGCCACUUGCCUCAAAUGAAUUUAAGUGAGUGAGGCAGUUGGAAGUAAUUAAGCUCUAUAUUGGUGGGUGGAGUGUUACUUCUCGGUUCCCCUCAUCAUUCGUCUAUAAAAUGGUGAAGGCAGUUGCUAUUGUUACCAUAAGAGCCAGCUCCGACUUCCUUUAAUUUCUUGCUUCAUAUCCACUAGCUACAUCUGUUACCAAGUUAAUUUCAGUUCUAAUGGGGUUUCAUCUCCCACUCAUCUUUGCUCUUCUCAGUGUAAGCUCUGCAAUUUGAUUAACUUUUCCAUUCUCUCUCAUUGUACUCUAUAUAAACGAAAGUUUUGUGUUCCUAUUGUUCUCUCCGAUUUUAUUUAGUACGUACUUAAGUGUCGUCCACUAAUUAAUUAUACUUUGUGAUUUGAUUUUAAUUUGAGUUUGAAUUAAUGUUGCAGCUAGCAGCAGUGGCACUGGCAAACCAUGCUGCUCAACCAGCACCUCAACUUUACUGGAGCUCCGUCCUGCCAAACACACAGAUGCCAAGAUCUAUCAGUGAACUUCUGCAUCCUGGUUUGUGUUGAGCUCUUUAGAAUCUUAGAUAUCUCUUCUACCUGCCAUUUUACUAAAAUAUGUUCCACCACAUAUUUAUCAGUUAACCAUUGUCAUUACAUGAGUGACACAUAUUCACAAAUCGGCUGAUCACUUAUUUUCCAUUAUGACUUGAUAUAUAAUUUGCAGACUCCACAAAUGAAGAAAAGAGCACAAAUGACGUUGGCAAACCUGAAACUUUCCCAUUGGGCAAUCAACAUUACUCCAGUCAAAAACAUUAUGGAGGCAUACCUGAAACUUCCCCAUUGGGCAAUAAACAUUACUCCAGUCAAAAACAUUAUGGAAGAGGCAAACCUGAAACUUUCCCAUUGGGCAAUCAGCAUUACUCCAGUCAAAGACAUUAUGGAAGAGGCAAACCUGAAACUUUCCCAUUGGGCAAUAAACAUUACUCCAGUCAAAAACAUUAUGGAAGAGGCAAACCUGAAACUUUCCCAUUGGGCAAUCAGCAUUACUCCAGUCAAAAAAAGUAUGGAAGAGGUGCUUCUCCAUCCGACAAUCAACAACUCCAUUAUAAAGACUUAGCUAUUUUCUUCUUGGAGAAGGACAUGCGCCCUGGCACAACAAUGAAGUUCCAAUUCCCUAUAAAUUCAAACACGGCUACUUUCUUGCCACGAGAAAGCGCUCAAUCGAUCCCCUUCUCCUCUAACAAACUGCCAGAAAUUUUCAACCAUUUUUCAGUGAAGCCAACAUCUGAGGAAGCCAAAACAAUUAAGCAAACAAUCGAAGAGUGUGAAGCUCCAGACCUUAAGGGAGAGGAAAUAUAUUGCGCCACAUCUUUAGAAUCAAUGGUUGAUUUUAGCACUUCGAAGCUUGGAACAAGAAACGUUGAAGCAAUCUCGACGGAGGUAUUGGAAAAAGGAGCCACCAUGUCCAUCCAAAACUAUACAACAAUGCCGGGACUGAAGAAGUUGGCAGGUGACAAAGUCGUUGUGUGUCAUAAGCAGAACUAUCCCUAUGCUGUGUUUUUCUGCCAUGCAAUAAAACAUACAGCAGCUUAUGCUCUCUCCCUGAAAGGCGAUGAUGGGGAGAAGGUUAAAGCAGUAACCAUCUGCCAUCUAGACACAUCAGAAUGGGACCCAGAGCAUAUGUCCUUCCAAAUCGUCAACGUUAAGCCCGGAACCAUUCCCAUCUGCCAUUUCAUUUCCACUGAUGCUAUUGCCUGGGUUCCGAACCACAAAUCUGCAUGAUCAUCACUUAGCACUAGUACUGUGCGUAUAAUAUGCCUGUAUAAUUAUCUCCCUACUUAUUUCUGCCUCUUCAUCAUGUGGUGUAAGAUAUAUGUUGAGAUGAAGUUUUUGGGAUUUGUGGUCGAAAUUAACCCGAUCAUGUUUUCUCUUGCAACCAUAUAGACUUCAACUUGUACUCAUAAUAAAGCAUGCUAUAUUUAUGAAGAGAUAUUAAUCUUCAGGCAAAUAGAUAUUAUGAAAACAUAUAUAGCAAUUUAUCCAGAAGAAACAUUAUGAAAUGAAAAGAAUAAAAAGUAGAAAAACAGAAGGAAAGGAAUUCGCACGUGCUAUGCUAUGUAUGAAAGGACCAAGAUUGUUUUCCCUUUGGUUAAUGACUAGAAAAGCUCACUUGCAGAGUGCUUUCUCCGACCAUAGAUGGAAGAGAAAUUUUCUCUUAAUAAUAGCACAAUGAUCGGGUAAUUGUAAGAACAAGUUGAUUUAAAAUUCCUUGACCCAAAAAAAAAAAAAAAGUUCUUUUCAAAUUCAGGUCAACCCAUAGAUUUCUUGCCUUCGUCUUCUUCAUCACGUUGGGCUUGUCUUCUUUUUGCGUUUUGGGCCUUGGAAGUUGGGACCCAACCCAACUUCACAAAAAGAAAACAGAUUUGCCAAAAAUCAAAUUUCAAGUCUCUCCUCCGAUCACUAAUACAGAUCAAAUUUUGGAUUUGAUGAACUAAAGUGGUUUUACUUUCUCUGUCAGUGUUUGAUGACUUAAUUUGUUAUUUACUUUUUUUUUUUUACUUGAUCUUUGUAGGGGCUUUUUUUUUUCCGGCAGCUUAAACGGGCUGGGCUGCCGUAAAGGGUAGAUUGAUGAAAUUGUCCCCUUUGUCUGAAUUCGAAAAUCAAGCCCCAAAAGCGCUUCGAAAGGGCAGUAGAGCCUUAGGAAGCGUUCUGGUUACCUUCACUAAUUAAAACAACAGCAACUUACAGAUGAUUUCUUGAGGCUUACAGAUAAAUUUUCUAGCUUGGCAUGACAUGGAAGCAAAAUCAGCAUGAGUUUAGCACCAAAGAGGAAAAUAUGGCUUCCUAGGGAGAAAUGAGAGUGUUUAAGGUGAGGAAGAAGAGGUUUGCAGGCUGAUUUGGCUGAGAAAAGAGAAAGAAAGAACAAUGUUCUUCCGGCAGCUUGACAAAGCUUCUGACAGAUGUGAAAGUCGUCCGCCAGAAGAGGAAAAUGGAGAAGAAGGAUGAAUAGUGCACGAAAUUGGUGGGUUCUUGCAGGUAAGAGAGAAAGCUUGCUCUCUGAAUCUGAGUUGGUUUUGGUUGGGUAGAAGAAGCCCCCUUUUAUAGCUGCGGGAAACCAUCUUUUUCCAAGAAACCCUAAUGGUUUCUAUCCUUUUUGGCCAAGCUUUUCCCUUCCUUUCUCUUCUCCUCCCUUGACUUUUCCUAUCUUGGUGAAAUUUCCUCUGCCUAUUUGCACAAAAUUAGAGAUUUUGAGGAGCUCAAGGCCCCUUUCCCGCAGCUGCCUUAGUGGAGAAUCCCCAUUUUCAGUCAUCUUUCUUCCUUCUUUUCUCCCAUCUUCCAAGGCUAGGUUUGAUGAGAGAAAGAAAUGGAUAUGCACACUGGUUUGAAGGGUGUUUUUCCUUGAAACUUGUUCUCUCCCAUGUGCUGGAGCUUCCCAGCAGCUUACACACAUAGAUAUUUUGGCUUUCAUCGUGGCUUUUGUUUUCAGCUAGGUGCUGGAGAUUUUGCAUAUAUUUUCUUGAGUUGCUUGGGCCUUCUAGGACAAUACGUUGGUUUAUCAAGUGAAUGGGCUAACUUCAUCAAUUGUUGGGCAAUUUUGGUUGAGUUAAUGGACUAUUUUGGUUCAAGUAAUGGACUAUUUUGGUUGAAAUAAUAGGCUAUUUUUCUCUCUUUGUGCUCACCCACAUAUUUGGGCCUAAAAAAUGGGCUUGAGUUUCGGGGCUCCCAAGCAACCCCGGGACUUCCAUUUCUCGGCCCAUCAAUGAGCCUCAUGUCAACUUAUUACCAUCCAUACCACAACCCACUCAAGCAAGCCUCAGGCAUCUUGCGUGGCUUGGGCCCACGUAAGCUCGUAGUGGCAAUGUUGCUUAUUUGCUUGACGUGGCAUGUGUGCAAGUGCAUAUGACGAACUUUCGCGUGCCCAAAUUGAGUUUCUUCUCGGUAGGGUAUCGCAUUGGGCCGAGAAUUUAAUUGGGUAGAACCGUGGAUUUUUUGGGCCUCAACAAUCUUAUAUAUAUUAGUUUUCUUUUUUUCCUUAAUAUUCACCACCUUUCUGUUGCAUAAGUAUUCCAGUCUUAGCGGGUUUCCAUCUACCACUCAUCUUUGCUCUUUUAAGUGCAAGCUUUUUUAUUUUUAUUUUUUUAUGCACAAGAUUAGAGGGGAGGGAGAUUUCUCAAUGUAAGCUUUGCAGUUUCAUAAUUAAUAUUUCCAAUAUCUCACUGUUAGUAAAAUAUGGAACGGGAAAAGUACGAAUAAAAUACACACAUGUUUUAUUUAGCAAAAUUUUGACAAGAUACAACUGAAAAGUUUGGCCACUAUAUAAUAUUUUGAUUUAAUUUUUUUUAUUUUUUUAAUAUAUAUUAUUUUUAUUCAAUAAUAUGUGAAAAAUAGGUGUACAAUAUAUGAAAUUUGUAUGUAUUAUUGAAAAAUUCGUAAAAAAAAAACAUGUUAUUAAAUGUGAAAAAUAUGUACGUAUAUGUAUAAAACAUGUAUUGUACAUUACUUUUUAACAAACUUGUAUUUUACCUAGUCUUUAAACCGUAUAUGGAAAACGGAAGUAUUAUUGAAAAAUACAUAUGUACGUAUAUGUAUAAAACAUGUAUUGUACAUUACUUUUUAACAAACUUGUAUUUUACCUAGUCUUUAAACCGUAUAUGGAAAACGGAAGUAUUAUUAAAAAAUACAUAUGUACGUGUAUAAUAUGAGUAUUAAACAAAAAAAUGUGCUAAGUACUUAUCUUUUAAUUUAAUAAUUCAUUUCAUUUUGUGAUCUCAUACGUAGUAAUGAGAGUUCAAAUUAAUGUUGCAGCUGACAAUGGUGGCUCUGGCAAGCCAUGCUUGAUGCAGGAGUAUAGGGGUGGAUCAAGAUAGAUAUUUACCAUGUAAUUAGUUAUUUCAUGAUAUAUUGUUAUUUUCUUAUUUAGGUAGUUUUAUGAUAUCUUUUAUUAUUUAUGUGGGAUUUUAUAAUUAAUUAGUUUACUUUUGGACCAAGUAGCCUUGGUGCUCAAGUCUUGUAAAGCUUAUAAAUAAGGCUAAUGUAAUAGUUGUAGGAAAAGAGAUGUCGAUGAUUAAUAAAAUCGUUUAUUUGUGGCAUGGAUUUGCUACGAUAUAUGUGAGUUUGCACUAGCCCUAGAUUUCGGUGCUCGUGUAUGUGGUUGGUGACCUGUGUCCGGAUCCCGAUCCCCAUCAAUGCUGUUCUCCCAGUACCUCAACUUUACUGGAACUCUUUCCUGCCAAACACAAAUGCCAAGAGCUAUCAGUCAACUUCUGCAUCCUGGUUUCUAUUAAGGGACUUUUCGUGAGCUUAUCAUCUACCCAAAUUUUACUCAUCCGACGUAAUUUUAAAAGUGAUUUGAUCCUUUGGCAAAGUAAUCUUGAACUACAAAAAAGGAGGGCACUCGAAUAGGCAUGCCAUUUGGUAUUACCCACCUCUAAUUUCUUUUAAAAUUUUAGUAAUUGAUUUUUAAGAUUAGAAAAUGGGAAAGUUCAAAACCGAAAAAGUUGUUUCAGUUUUGGCAAGUAUCGGAAAAGACUAAAAUUUUCCGACUUUAUUAUUACUAGAAACAAAGUCGAAGUAUUCACCAAUCAUGUGGCCUUCCAAGUGCUCAAGGUUAAGCCAGGAACCGUUCCUAUCAGCCAUUUCCUUCCCAAGUAUGAUCAUGUUGUCUGGGUUCCAACCCACAAAUCUACAUCAGUACCUGAACUAAUCAGUUCUACAUGAAUAUUCAUUCAUGGCAACCUUGGGCUAAGUAUUUGAAUUUAUGCUCAUAAAGCUUUAAUGCUUUUGAGGGCCAAUCGUUGUCUACAUAUGGUAUUGUAGCAUCUUUAGAUGGAAGAGGUCAGGGGUUCAAUUCUUGUUUUCCACUUCUUUAUUUGUUGGUUUAUCGAGUGUAGAGUGGAGUUGCACCUAUAUGUUCGUCUCUCACCCCAUCAUUUACCAUUGAUAUAUAUUUAAUAGAAGCCUAAGAUUUCGGAAGCACAUAAUUUCUACUUUACAAACUUCCUGUGUCUACCAAUUUCUACUAAAAUUAAUUUAUCUGCGGUGCUGAGAUUCAUCAUAAUUUUAAUAGAAAUUGGAAGUUUUCAUCAUUUUUGCUUUAAGUCUCUACUCCACUCACUAAUAAAGAUUACUCAUGUGAGUUUACAAAACAUUUUUUUUUUCUACUCUCUCCUGAAGACUACACUUCUUCUCAAAAAAUUAGAUCACUUCACAUCUUGUGUAUGUGAAAACUAAUGUAAAAAGUUGAAACUUUAUCGUAAAACCUCGACAAAAAUGAGCUCUACUACAAAAUGUUAAAUUUGGAUUCGUUGAUUUAAAUGGCAAUUUGACACUUGAUAGAAAUUUUUACAUACAUGUGUUAGUGUUUGAUCACUUCACAUGUCACUUACUAUAUUUAUUCCACUCAAGUUAGGUAAAUAUUAUUAUCAAACAUUUCAAUUAAUUUGUGAUUUUUUUAUUAUUUAAUCAAUUAUGAAUUAAUGGAUUCUUCUUGUUGUUUUGAAGACCAACAAAAAAAAAAAAAAGGGUAGUGAUGGCUUAUAAUUCUGGUAAAACAACAGUGACGUGGACAACAGAUGUUACGCUGUACUAAAGAUUUUUGAAGAUUCUUUAUUUGAGUUUCUUUCAAGAUAAAAACCAUAUUAUCCACAACCACAAGCACAUCCGGCAGACAAUCUUUGGCUAUUCAUCACAAUUGGGAGACAAUGAAGAAGACAGAAAAUGGAGUAAUUCAGAUGUUACCAGCCAUCCACGACAAACUGAAGUCUGCAAAGCAUUCGUAAUCUAAAAAGGAUGGGGAGGCUGCGCAAUACUUAGCCACGUGUAGGCCAGGAGGCUUUCCAAUUUUAAUAUAUAUAUAGAUUGAAAAAAUAAAAUAAAAAUCAAUCUAUUAUCAUAUAUAUUAUAAAAUAAAGAUUAUUGCUCCCAUGGGCGGUGCUAUGCACAGGACAGUGCCUGCCUAGUCCAAAUUUUUUUUAAAUAAAAAUAAAAAUCUACAUAUGUUAUAAGCUCAUCCAAAAAAAAAAAAAAAAAUAAAAGUGUUGUAAAUUAUAAGGUGGAGCCCACAUGUUGGAAGGCUUUGCCUACAAAAGGGUUCACACCCUCCCUUUGUAAUUAGACAUUGAGAAUACUAAGGAAGACAGAAAUGAAUAGAGAGAAAACAUUCCCUUCUCUCCAUCUCAAUUCCCUCUCCAAUUCCUCUAGAUUUAUAACACGUUAUCAGCAGCACGAAUCGCUUUCAAACAAUACCAGCUGAAUUUUAUGAUGAAACCCAGAUCUCUCAUCCAUCUCUGCUGCUCCACUACUUCAAAAUAAAUCCCACAGAAAAAGAAAAAGCCUCAAUGCUCUCUCUCUCUCUCUGUCUCGCUUGGGAGACUUGGACAAUUCCUCAUCCCCGUUACUGACAAUUUCAACAGCUUCAGGGGAAGCUAGUUUAUCUUCCUCUGCUCACGAAACCAUGACUCUUUCAGAGCCAAACAACAACACAAUAGACAACGCAUGGAGACCAGACUGGAGCUCGUCGGCUAAGGCACCGACGAUCCGACCCUACCCGUAUGGACCUUCCGGAUGUGGUUCCUGGGUCUUGUCUCAUGUGCCCUCCUCUCAUUUCUCAACCAAUUCUACAAGCAGCAGAGCUUCAAAUCAAACAGAUCAUGGCAUCGCUUUCACACCUCCCCAUCUUCCUCUUCCUCCUGUUCACCGCUUUCUAUUCUACAGCUUCGCAGUCCUUCAUCGGCGCAUCCAAAGGCGACAUACCGGCGCUCGCCUCAGAUCCGAACGCGGCGGCUCAGUGGGUGAACUCGAAUGUCCUCGCCUUCUACUCGGCCAGCAACAUCGACCUCAUCAACGUCGGCAACGAGGUCCUUUUUCUCCAACGACCAGGGCCUCAUCUCGCAGCUCCUCCCCGCCAUGCGAAAUGUCCAAUCUGCCCUCUCCGCCGCGUCCCUCGGCGGCAAGGUCCGUGUCUCCACGGUCCACUGCCUCGCCGGAUCGGGAUCCUUCCUUCAAGUGUUUCUCUGUCUUCGACUUGAAAAAGAAGGUCAUGGCAGGCCUAUGUAAAAAUUGCGAAAAGGAAGGCAAUCUUCAACCUUUUCUCCUGUCUCUCUCUUGAUCAAUUCAUGGAAGGCACAUUUGGGUCUUCCGGGGGCUCAUCAAAUGAGUCAGCAAUGUCAAAGGUGGAGGUGGUGGAGCAAGACUACGUGGGGAUGUCAUAUGAGGCAACCUCAUACCCAGCUGAGGCAGAGCUUGUGCUGGGCCUGGGCCUUGGCCUGAGCCUUCGUGGUGGUGGUGCAGGGAAGCAGCCAAAGCCAUGUGCAUGGGGUGAGCGUGGUAGAAUCUUGACUGCUAAAGUUAGGUGCUGAGUUACACUGUGUUCUCUGCUACUGACCCUAAGAGGAGUGCUAGAAACUUCCAUGUUCCGCCAUCAUUUCGCUUUCACUGUUACAAGGCACUGGAGUAUGUUUAAUUGAAAAGUGAGAUACACAGCAAGUUGAUCAGCCUAGUGGAAAGCAAAGGAUUAUUGCCAGGGAUAUGAACACCCACCGAAAUAAAGGGAUAAGUACUCUUUUUCCCUUCGACCAGUUUUUUUUUGUCCCACUGGGUUUUUACUGGCAAGGUUUUUCACGAAACAUAUUCCGUAUCAUUUGUGGUCUCUAAGAGGGAGUGUUGUAAAUUAUAAGGUGGAGCCCACAUGUUGGAAGGCUUUGCCUACAAAAGGGUUCACACCCUCCCUUUGUAAUUAGACAUUGAGAAUACUAAGGAAGACAGAAAUGAAUAGAGAGAAAACAUUCCCUUCUCUCCAUCUCAAUUCCCUCUCCAAUUCCUCUAGAUUUAUAACAAAAAGUAAAUUCUACACAUAUGUUGCCCAUCCAGGUGGUCCCAUAUCUUCUCUUUCCUUUUCUUUUGGCUAUUAGACUUCUUGUUUCUCUCUCUCUCUUUGCUACCCCACAUCAGCAAGUUUCUCCCUCUCUUUUUUUGGGAUCAAAUUCUUCUUCUAUUGACAAAAUCUUCUAUUAUAUUGGGUGGGCAACUUGGCAACAACAUCUUCUCCUCUCCUUUUGUCAACAGCAAGUAUUAUUCUCAUUCUCUCAUUUGCUAUAUAUCUUUAAUUAUAGUUUUAAUUUAAAAUUGAGUAUUCUAGGGUUUAAUUAGGGAUGAAUUAUAAUUUUGGGAUUUUGUUGAAAUUAAUUAGGGCUUCGAUUAGGGGUGAAUUAUUCUACUGCUUUGAUUUGGAAUUUUGUUAAAAUUGAGUAUUAUAGGUUUAAUUAUGGAUGAAUUACAAUUUUUGGUUUUGGUAUUGUUGAGAUGUUAUUAUGAGAAUUUGUUUGAUUUUUUGUUGGUAUAUUUGAUUAAAAUUCUUUCUACAUAUUAUUCAUAGGCUAUCUUUUAUUAUGUCGGAUCACAAUCGGAAUCCCAAGAAAACAAAAAAUUUGAAUAGUGUUGUUUUGUAUUGCAUUGCAUUUACUUUUGGUUUUAGUUUUGCUUUUAGUGUAAAUUACUCAAAUGGUCCUCAAAUUUGUACCCAAUUUACAUUUUGGUCCAUAAACUAAAUUAUUCAUUCAAAUGGUCCACCAACUCUUUAUUAAUCGGUGCUUUGGUCCUAUCGUUAUGUUUUCUAUUAAAUUUAGUCAUGUGAGCAGCACAUGCUACAUUUGUAUGGGUAAAUAAGACUUUUGACCAGUGGCGGAUCCACGUUGGGACAAGAGGGGUCGGACGACCCCUUGGAAGGCUGGAAAUUUGGCAAGGGAGUCCAUGAAAGCCCCCUUGGACAGCUGCUGGAAGCCCCCUUGUAUGCACACAAUGUGCUCGACGAAAUGCCCCAACGAAAUGUCCUGCGCAGCUGUGCUGCGCCUUGCGCGUAAUUUUUUUUUAAAACCAGCCUUGCCAAACGACGUCGUUUGGUCAAGGCUCAGUCAAAUUUUUUUUUAAUUAACCUGGCCUCAAAACGACGUCGUUUUGGGCCAGGUUUAAAAAAAAAAAAACAGAACAGUACACACGCACAGCAGCUCUGCACAGAUUCAUUUUCUCCAAACCUUUCAUUCCCAAUUCCACAGCCCCUCUUCCCAUCCUCUCAAACCCUAACCUCCCAACCUCCCAACCUUGGACAACCUCCAUCAACUCUUCACCGGUGGCCCAAUGCCGAUCACCACCACCUUCUACCGCCGUCCGCCGCCCAUUUUUUAAACUACAAGUAAGUAAGCAUGGAAAAUCUGAUAUUAAUAAUUAUAGUGAUAAUAUAUAUUGUUGAUAUUGAUAUUUUUUUUUUAUGUAAUGAAAUUUAUGGAUAUGAAUCAUAUUGAUUGAUUGAGUUUAUGCUUGAAAUUUAUGGAUAUGAAUCAUAUUGAUAUUUUUUUUUAUGUAAUUAAAUUUAUGGAUAUGAAUCAUAGUGAUAAUCAUAUUAAUGUAGAUUGAUUGAGUUUAUGCUUGAUUGAUAAUAUGAAUUGAUUGGGUAUAUUAAAUAUUGAUUGCUAUUUGAUAUGAUAAUUUGGUAUAUUGAAUAUUGAUUGAUAUGGGUUUAGGGAGUAUAUUGAAUAUUGAGAGUGGGUUAUUGAAAUUUUCAUAUUCAUAUGAUAAUUAGGAUAAAAAUUAAUGAUUGAUUGAAUUAAUUGAUUUGUAGAUUUAUGGAACGAUUCUUUAAAAGAAAAUUAUCUACGGAUAGUUCUUCUCUGUCUAAUCCGGGUAGUUCAAAUGCAAGACCAAUUGAAGUAGAUGAGAUCUUAGCUAAUCUUCAAGCAGACCCUGGACUAAGAACUCGAAUGGCGGAUUAUAGUCCUAAUAUUAGGGAUGAGAUCCGAAGAGCAUAUCUACAAAAGGGACCUUGUCAACCUAGAAGUUAUAAAUUCCCACAAACUAAUCAAUCAGGAAUUAAUAGACGCUUCAUUGCUCAUUGGUUUGAUGAUCAUGAUUGGUUGGAAUAUAGUAUUGCUAAAGAUGCUACGUUUUGUCUUCAUUGUUAUCUCUUCAAAUCUAAUUUUGAUCAAGUGGGUGGUGAUGCAUUCACUGGGGUAGGCUUCAAUAAUUGGAAGAAGGCGAAAGAAAGAUUUAACCUUCAUAUUGGACCGGUUGGUAGUGUUCACAACCAAGCUAGAGAAGUUGCUUACAAUUUGAUGCAUCAAACUACACACAUUGAAACAAUUGUGCUCAAGCAAACAAGCCAAGCUCGCACGGCUUAUCGCACUUGCUUGAAUGCAUCACUUAAGUGCACUAGGUAUUUGUUGCGGCAAGGGCUUUCUUUUCGUGGUCAUGAUGAAAGUGCACAAUCAAGUAAUAAAGGGAAUUAUUUAGAGCUCUUGCAAUUUCUUGCGGAUCAUGAUGAAAAAGUUAAGGCCGUUGUAUUGGAAAAUGCUCCGGGAAAUUUAAAGUUAAUAGCUCCUUCAAUUCAAAAAGAUCUUGUCAAUUCUUGUGCCAAAGAAACCAUUGAUCUUAUCUUGAGUGAUGUAAAAGAUAGAUAUUUUUCAAUAAUGGUGGAUGAAGCACGUGAUGUUUCAAUAAAGGAGCAAAUGGCAAUGGUGUUGCGUUAUGUGAAUGACAAAGGACAAAUAAUUGAAAGGUUUGUGGGGGUUCAACAUGUAACCGACACUACUUCAAGUGCACUAAAGGAAACAAUUGAUGAAUUCUUUUCUUCCGCGAAUUUGAGCUUUUCCAAGCUACGAGGACAAGGUUAUGAUGGAGCUAGCAAUAUGAGAGGUGAGUUCAAUGGCCUUAAGAGAAAGAUUUUGAGAGAACAACCUUGUGCAUUUUAUGUUCAUUGCUUUGCUCAUCAACUUCAACUAGCUCUUGUUGCGGUAGCAAAGAAAAACAUUGAUGUCAACUCUUUUUUCACAACGGCUAAUAGUUUGGUUAAUGUGGUUGGAGCAUCUUGUAAGCGUCGCGAUGCACUUAGAGCACAAUACCAAGAAGAGCUUGUGAGAGCUUUUGAAGAUGAUUGUCUUAUAACGGGGCGGGGCUUAAAUCAAGAAAGGACUCUCAAACGUGCCGGCAAUACACGAUGGAACUCACAUUAUGGUACGUUGAUUAGUAUCAUUUCUAUGUUCCCAUCUGUGGUGAAUGUGCUUCAAAUGAUUGUUGAUGAUAAUCUUAAUGAUAGUUCGGGUGAAGCCUAUAAGUUAAGGAGAGAAAUACAAUCUUUUGAGUUUGUGUUUCACUUAUUUGUAAUGAAAGCUAUAUUGGGAAUAACAAACACUUUGUCUCUAGCAUUGCAAAAGAAAGAUCAAGACAUUGUGAGUACAAUGAAUUUAGUGAAAACAUGCAAGGAAAACCUGCAGUUGAUGAGGGAUAAUGAGUUUGAAGAAUUGGUUGGGCAAGCAUCCUCGUUUUGUUACAAAUAUGAUAUUAUAGUUCCUACCAUGGAUGAGGAAUAUGUAAUUCCAGGGAGAUCAUGGCGUAAUGCUCCAAUGAAGACAAAUUAUCAUCGUUAUCGUGUGGAGAUCUUUAUUCAUGUAAUUGAUGGGCAACUUGCGGAAUUAAAUGAUCGCUUCAACGAGGUAAGUACUGAGUUACUUACUUGUUUGGCAUGCUUGAGUCCAAAAAAUAACUUUGUGACUUUUGACAAACGAAAGCUAGUUCGUCUUGCUCAAUUUUAUCCUUAUGAUUUUUCGGAUAGAGACUUAUUGAUGCUUGAAGAUCAACUUGGUGUUUAUGUUCAUCAUAUGCGUUCGAGUAGUGAUUUUUCUCAAUUGGAAGGGAUUAGUAGUCUUGCGGAAAAAAUGGUGGAGAAAGGAAUGCAUGAAAUAUUUCCUUUUGUAUUUGCUUCUUACAUUGGCUUUGGUUUUACCGGUUGCAACUGCAUCAGUGGAGAGGGCAUUUUCCGCUAUGAAUAUUAUUAAAAAUCCACUUCGCAACAGAAUGGGAGAUCAAUGGUUGAAUGAUAGCUUGCUUGUUUACAUUGAGAGAGAUGUUUUUGCUUGUAUUGAUAACGAAAUUAUAAUGCAAUGUUUUCAGAAUAUGAAAACUCGUCGUGGACAAUUGUAACUUGUAUUAUUGGUUUUGUUAUGAAUUAUGAAUGAAAGUACUAUCUUUCUAUCUUUUUAGCAUUAUUUUCUUUGUAGAAAAAUUUCAGAACUUUUACACUAAGCCCCCUUGGCUACAUAAUCCUGGAUCCGCCACUGCUUUUGACCACUUUAUCACCUAUGUAUCACCACUUUAUAACCUAUUUGGGGAACAUAGGUCAGUUAUGGACGGUUUUACCCUUACAUUUGACGGCAACAUUAACAUAAUGUAACAGUGGGAUCAAUGGAGUGAUUAAUAUAAAGUUGAUGGACCAUUUGAAUGAAUAAUUUAAUUGAGAGACCAAAAUGUAAAUCAAGUAUAAGUUUGAGGACCAUUUGAGUAAUUUACCCUUCGCUUUUAUAUUUGUUGAACUUUUAUUUAUGAUAGAUAUGCAUUUAAGGGUAAGACCCAUUAUGUUCCCCUGGCUAGGUGUAUCUUUUUAUGUUUAUUAAUGAAAUUCACUCGAACUGUUGAGUUUAGUAUGUAAGUUUUGCCUAACUGGCUUUUGAAUCCUAGAACCGCCACUGUUGCUCCAUCCUCCAUGCACUUGCAUGUGCUCUUACAAAGUGUGAAGUAGAUUUUGUGUGCUCCAAGUCAUUGACUAGAGCUGAAACAUGGUUAGCUAGAUUUAUAAGGACCCAUCUCUUUAUUUCCUAGACAUAUACCCAUCUCUCUAUAAAUCUAUAUGUAAAACCUAAUUUCAAACUUAAAUGACCAGUAGGAUAUAAAAGGUCAUAGUAUUCCUAUGUUUUUAUAUCGUUGCCACCAGACUUCUUAUUUUAUUUAUAAUUUAUUUCAAGCAUUUCAUUAACUGCCAUAAUUGUAAUUAAUACUCCAUAUUAAUAGCAUAUCAAUCACCCCAUUUCUUUUGGUUGCCAUUCCCUCUAACAUAUCGCCCCUUAAAUUUGAAAACCAAAAAAAAAAAAUGUAAAUUACAUAUCCAAUAAUGUACCUAUGAAAAAUAUAAAUAUAAAUAUAUACAUAUAAAAAUAUAGGUAUAUUAUUUACCAAAUAGAAAAUAUAAAAACCUAGGUCAGUUGCUUUGUAAUUGAAAUUUCUGUACAUUUUCCACAAAUUAAAAAUAGGUACAUAAUAAUUUAUAGAAAAUAUAUGUACAUUAUUUAUCCAUAGGUAAAAAUACCGAUAAAUGCACAUAGGUGAAUUAUUUACCAAUAUAUUAUUUUUUUGCUAAGGAUUUACCUUAGUUUUUAGUAGAUUAAUUUACCUACCUAGAGGCAUAGGUAGCUUAAAAAAAAUGUACCACCUUAGUUGGUUGCAUACUAAUUUACCUACCUAGAGGCAUAGGUUGCUAAGAAAAAAUGUAGGUAAAUUCAUGUACCUAAACACAUAGGGGUCAAAUAGAGAAUAACAUGUUAUUUCCCUUUGAACAAAUUAAUUUCAAACCAUAACAAUUAUUGAAUUUGGAAAUUGGUAUAAAUAAAAGGAAAUAAAUAAACUAUCAAUUUGAAAAUUAAAAUAAGAAAUGAUCAAGUAGUCAUAUUUGAAAAAAAAGGAAAGAAUAUAUUCUUGGUUUUUAUAGGAACAACGAGUAUAUUCAAACCAAACGGCGAUAACUACACCAAGCUUUAAUUACUUUUUUUUAAGGCCAAAAGUCACUUUUGGUCCCUGUAGUUCGGCAUUUCUACCACUUUUGAUGUUGUAGUUUCAAUUCCGUCAAUUUUGCCAUUGUAGUUUCGUAUUUGUAGCAAUUCAAGGACCUGUUAAUAUUAAUGUCAAUUUGUUUAAUGAUGCAAGAGGUAAUUUCGUCAUCCCAAAAUCCUUGAGCAUAAAAGAUUGUCUGAAAUUCUCCCCAUUUCAUAUUAGGGCUCGAAAUUCAACCACUAAUCCUAAUUUUUGAAGAACCCUAGACCCAAAUGACCAAUUUCAAGCCCUAAUAUGAAAUUACGGAAGUUUUAGAUGAGCUUUUAUGCUCAAGGAUUUUGAGUUGAAGAAACUGCCCCUUGCACUGUCAAAUAAAUUGACAGGAAUACUGACUUGUCCUUGAAUUGCUACAAAUACAAAACUACAGUGUCAAAAUUAACAGAAUUUAAACUAUAGGGUCAAAAGUAGUUGAAGUGUCAAACUAUAAGGACCAAAAGUGACUUUUAGCCUUUUUGUUUCAAUAAGGAAAAAACUGACCUAUUAAAUCCUUGGAAUCUAUACAAAAUUGAAACACAAUUAAUCAACAUUGAAUUGCAGCUAAUUUCUUAAACAAGGGUAUUAUAGGAAUUUAAAAAGUAUAACAUUUAAUCCAUUGAAUUUGAUUAGGAAACUUGAUGAAUUGAAUCCUAGUUAUAUAGUUUUUCUUAUAAAAAUCAGGUUUUAUUUAUAGACAAAUAAAACAAUGGGUUGUAGGUAAGAAAAUAUUAAUUUGAAGGGAAAGAGUCAAAUUUACUAAAUUAAUAAAGCAUAAAUUGGAAAGGGAAAAGAUCUAGAGGAUGCAUUGUAGGAUUGCUCAUGCCAAUAAUUGCACCCUCUCGAUAUUGAAAAACCUAUUGUUUAUUAUUAUCUUCAAUCCUGAAUGAUGCACCUAAAACCCAAGUGUCUCAGGCCAACCAUUGCGCUCAUACCACUUGUUGCAGUACACAUUCACCUGUUUUUAAAGAAAGAAAUUCUACCAAUCGAUAUUUUCUCAAAUUUAAUCACAUAGAUCUAUUAUGGUUAACCAUAUGUACUUUUAUCUGCCAUCCAGAGGUACCUUUUUCCAACGUGCAACAAUUGUAUUUGAUUCACAAUUAUGUCUGAUAUACAUCACAUCAUGCCACUUGCCUCAAAUGAAUUUAAUUGAGUGAGGCAAUGGGAAGUAAUUAAGCUCUAUAUUGGUGGGUGGAGUGUUACUUCUGGAACCCUCAUCAUUCGUCCAUACAGGGGAACAAUUCCCUUCCUUCUAUAAAAUGGGAGCAAUUCUCUCACUGUACUCUAUAUAAAGGAAUAAGUGUCGUCCACUAAUUAAUUACACUUUGUGAGAUUUGAUUUUAAUUAGAGUUCGAAUUAAUGUUGCAGCUAGCAGCGGUGGCACUGGCAAACCAUGCUGCUCAACCAGCACCUCCACUUUACUGGAAUUCCAUCCUGCCAAACACACAAAUGCCAAGAGCUAUCAGUGAACUUCUGCAUCCUGAUUUGUGUUGAAUAGAUAUAGUAUGUUACUGGAGUACGUAUGGCAACAUAUUCACAAAUGUGUCACGUAUUUUCCAUUAUGACGUUGAUAUAUAAUUGCAGACUCCACAAACGAAGAAAAGAGCACAAAUGUCAUGAAUGCUGUUGGGAAUGGAAAGCCAAUUGACCACAAGGGCAAACCUGAAAAUACUGUACUACCACAGCUUGCACGACGCCCAUUUUCUUACAAGAGUGAUGAUCGUCCCACUGACAAUCAACUCCAUUAUAAAAACGUAGCUAUUUUCUUCUUGGAGAAGGACAUGCGCCCUGGCACAACAAUGAGCUUCCAAUUCCCUAGAAAUUCAAACACGGCUACUUUCCUGCCACGAGAAAGAGCUCAAUCGAUCCCCUUCUCCUCUAACAAACUACCAGAAAUUUUCAACCAUUUUUCAGUGAAGCCAACAUCUGUGGAAGCCAAAACAAUUAAGCAAACAAUCGAAGAGUGUGAGGCUCCAGGCAUUAAGGGAGAGGAAAUAUAUUGCGCCACAUCUUUAGAAUCAAUGGUUGAUUUUAGCACUUCGAAGCUUCGAACAAGAAACGUUCAAGCAAUCUCGACGGAGGUAUUGGAAAAAGGUGCCACCAUGUCCAUGCACAAGCACACAACAAUGCCGGGACUGAAGAAGUUGGCAGGUGUCAAAGUCGUUUUGUGUCAUAAGCAGAACUAUCCCUAUGCUGUGUUUUACUGCCAUGUAAUAAAACCAACAGCAGCUUAUGUUCUCUCCCUGAAAGGCGAUGAUGGGGUGAAAGUUAAAGCAGUAGCCAUCUGCCAUCUAGACACAUCAGAAUGGAACCCAAAGCAUUUGGCCUUCCAAAUCCUCAAAGUUAAGCCCGGAACAAUUCCCAUCUGCCAUUUCCUUCCCACUGAUCAUAUUGUCUGGGUUCCGAACCACAAAUCUGCAUGAUCAUCACUUAGCACUGUACGUAUAAUAACCUUUACCCCUGUAUAAUUAUCUCCCUACUCUACUUAUUUCUGCCUCUUCAUGUGGUGUAAGAUAUAUGAUGAGAUGAAGUUUUUGGGAUUAGUGGUCGGGUUGCCUUAAAAACACAGAUUACAGAAACUGCUUGAACUUAACCCGAUCAUGUUUUCUCUUGUACUCGUAAAGCAUGCUGUUGUGGUUCUACUUAAUUUCGUCCUCCCCAAUGUUUGAGUGUUUAAUUGUUACGUUGGAAUAGGCUGCUAAUGCAUGUAGUUAGAGAAGCUUUCAUUUAUAUCAAAGUCCUCAAACUAUCAAGAAUUAAUGCAUCCAGAAACAUAUAUACCAAGACGCAAAACAACAUAUUUUCCAUGCUGUGUCGGUAACACCAAAGCAAACUUCCUUUAUCACAAAAGGACCAAAUUCCAAUACUAAUCUAAUCCAUCAUGUAAAGCAUACAAUCUACAACUGCCUCCCUAAAUUUGUCCAUUGGAUAUAUAUGUCACUUUUUGGUAAUUUGGUAUAGCAGCACCACGUAGUAUGCAUUUAACAGAAAAGUAAACAAAAUUGACAGUAGAACUAUUUGUCCUAACGAAACUGAAGUUGAAAGACCAUGAGAACGAUUUUGAAAAUUAAGGGACUCAAAUGAAAAUUGGGUCUAAGUUCAGGGACCAAUAAAACGAUUAACCCAUAGAUUUUGGAUCCAGUACCACAUCCCAAAGAGAAAACCACAAGUUUGCAAGCAAGUUUGUCCAUACUAACACUACGUACAGUAUGGGCAAUGUGCUAGACUCAUCUCACUUUCUCAACCUAUCCUAUACUUGUCUAAAAGAGUUUCUAAUUUAAUGUACUGAGAUUUACGAAAGAAAUAUCAGAGAAACAAUUUUCAGGCAAUAAAAAAAUGUCUUGGCAAGAAAAUGCACAAUUUGUUACAUAACUUAUUAAAUAUGAACAGUUGAAAGAAAAAAGAAUUUGGAUGAGGGAUUUGCAAAUUCCUAUGGCCCAAUUACCUUUUUUUCUUUGUUUUUUUUUGGUUCUUUUGAUCCAGUAGCAUAUUCCAAAGAAUGAAAACCACAGGCAUGCAAUGCAAGCUCUUUUCCCAUGUUUUCCUCUGUUUUUCUCCUAUCAUGGAAGUGAUUAAAACACACCUCUAAGCUUGUUUUGCGUUUGGUAGCCGAGUGUAAAAGCUCAAUGCAAGAUAGUUUGAGGUAGAAUUUUCUCCUGUUUUAUUAGGACAAUGAUGAGCUAUAUGUGACAACAAAUUGCUUUAAUAAUGAAAAUUAAAAAAGUGUGAUUCAUUGAAUAUUUGCGGGGUUUUGUUCAGAGCUGACAAAGUUCUAAGUCAACACAUCAAAUUCCUUUUUCCAACAAUCGUAUUUGAUUCACAAUUUUGUCUGAUAUACAUCACAUCAUGACACUUGCAUCAAAUGAAUUUAAUUGAGUGAGGCAAUGGGAAGUAAUUAAGCUCUAUAUUGGUGGGUGGAGUGUUACUUCUGGAAUCCUAAUCAUUCGUCCCUACAGGACUCUAGAACUCUCACACUUCUUACAAGGACUACUUAACUCUAUAGCUUAUUGCAUAUAGCAUAUAUAUGCAAACCCAAUUAGAAAUUCUACAACAGAAGCAAGAUCAAUCUCACUAUGCCUUCUAAACAAACAAACAAAUAAAACAAGCAUAUUAAUUGCUUUAAUCACUCUACUAACAUCAACACAGCACACUUAGUUUACUAACAGAUGAUAUAGAAAGGAAAAAAAAGGACCAAUAGGGAGAAAAUGGUGAACUAAGGAGAGACUAAUACUUCUGGUCCUUAGAAGGCAUAACAGAAAUAAUAGAGCACACUGCUUGAAUGCAAGUCAGUAUUAGGAGCAAAACAGCUGCAAUGAAAGAAAUAGUUGCCCAAGGUGUAUUGAAAUAAUGUUGCCUCAAAUUUGCCUUCCAUUUGUUCCAAGGCUUUCUGCAGUAGCUAUUAAGGCGCUCAGAAAGAGUAGCAAAGUAGAAGCUUUCACGAUACACUGCAAUUCCUUUUCCGAGGUUGUUAAUCAGAGUGCACACCUCAUUGUAGUCACCAAGCAUAUUUUUGACAAUCCCAUACUUCAGAAGGAACUCCACAUCCUUUUCGGUGUUCACAAACUCAUCCAUGAGUGAAACAUAAUCACUUAUGUAAUUCUUACGGCAAUGGCACUAUUCAAAGGCAAUGAGGUUAUGGAGUGUGAGCUCUGUGUAAUCGUUUAUUUUUAGUUUUGGAAUUUCUAGAAUCCCAUCGUUGAAUCGUGUUAACGCAGCUUUCCUUUCCUAGCCUACGCGGAAGUCAACUUCACAAUCUCCUCCUAGCAAUUAGCCUUUCCUACUGUAAAUCGGAUUGUAUUCAUGUCUAUAUUAUUUCCUACCUUAAAUAGAUAUCCUGUACUAGUAUACAUAGGGACUUUGUGUAAUCUGUUAAAUACAAGGAAAUAUAUACUCUACAUGGUAUCAACCUAACCUAGGGUUCUCUCUCUCCCCCUUAUUCGAUCCUCUUCUCCUUUAGGUCCACCUCAUGGCUUCGUUUGAAUCCACCAUCUCCCUCCCAAGCCCUAACUCUUCUCAUUUUAUCAAGCUUACUAACUCCAACUAUCUUCUUUGGCUCCGCCAACUCAAACCCUUUUAGUUGGCCAUGACCUCUGGAAAUUUAUCGAUGGCAUUCAUAAACAACCUUCUGCCCACACCUCCACCUCUACCACCACAACACCCACAACCACCACCACUCUUACCGAAAUCAAUCCUACCUAUGCUCAGUGGUACCAACAAGACCAACUCAUUGUUAGCUACAUCACCAGUACACUCUCUGAGUCCAUUUUCUCUCUCACUGUCGGUUGCAUCUCUGCCCGGGAUCUCUGGGAGUGUCUCCAAUGCCACUUCUCUUAAUCCAAUAUGGCCAGUGAAUCUGCUCUUCGUUUUCAACUCAUGGAUUUGCAAAAAGGCUCUCAACCCAUUGAUGCUUACCUUCGUCAUGCUAAGUCUCUUGCCGAUUCACUAGCUGCCAUCAAUUAACCUGUCUCCCCAAAAGAACUUGUCACUGCUGUGCUUCGGGGUUUAGGACCCGAUCACAAAAUGCUCAUCACAGCAAUUCUCAAUUUCUCUCCGCUUCCAGACUUUGCUGAUCUUCGUGCUCGUUUGUUAGCUUUUGAUGCACAGACUCCUCGAAUCUUUCCUGAUCAAAACACAACGCUAAUGGCCACCCAAUCUUCUCCUUACACCACCGGUCAUACUUCCUUCCCUUCUCACCGUGGUUGUGGCUCUUCCAGCAAUAGGCGCGGUGGCUGGUGCAGUAUUGGCCGUGGUGGCUGGCACAACUUCUCAUCUUCCUAGAGCAACCCGUGGAAUGGCUUCCAGCAGCCCUAAUGACCUAAUCAACUGUGGCCUCCUUUUGCUCUAAGUUUUGGAUCUCAAAGCAACUGGCCUUCCUUUCAACCUCUUUGGGCCCAAUCUGCCGCUUCUAGCAAACACUCUGCCCGACCCAACUCAGCUCCUGGUGUCUUGGGACCCGCUUGGUGCACCACAUGCAAUACCAAUCGACAUACUACUACAACAUGUCCUUAUUGCUACAAUGGCCCAGAAUUCUUCCUUUGCUGGGGCUCAAUUCAUGCAGCCACCUAACUCUACAUGGUACCCUGACACAAGUGCCACUCAUCAUAUGACUGGUAGUUCUUCUAAUCUCCAAAGGAAAUUAAAUGAAGGAGUCCUACGAAGGCUCAAGGCUCGAAAGCACACGAUCCGGCUCUGCUGCGGAGCUCACUCAACUACUGGCUGAGGGGGCGCAAAACAGAAAAUUGUGAGUGGACAAAAAUAAAAAUUCAGUUCAGUGUAAACCAACGUAAUAUAACCCCACCGUUUAGAAAACCAUGCAAGAAAUCCAAAUGCAUCUCAAAACCAUCAUAAUCAUCAAAUCAAAAUCAAAUACUGGAUGCCAAGUCCGAAAUCCAUAAAGAAAGCUUUACAAACCCACCAUCCAAAUCUUACAAUCCCACAACUAAACUCUCGAAAGCGUACCCAUUGGCAGUACCAGCAAGGAAGUAUCCUCACCGAGAAACAAGAACAAAAGAAUAGCUAUAUAUAUAAUUAUAUAAUAUAACCACACCUAGUUGUACCGGGAAAACAAUCCAACCGGGGGAUUGUUUGACUAGUCACCAUGGCAGAGUCAAAGUAAACAAAUUCCUCAAUUCACCAUGUGACUAGGGAACGAGCUGUCCAACUGGGGGACCAACUCUCAGCCAGCAUGUACCGUCGAUAGCCUCAAAACCCGUACGUCUGUGACCAGUCCUACGCGUGCAGACUACCCAAUCAAGGGUUUACAGCAACAUCCCAUCAAGGAUGCCCUAGGUUCCCACAAUUCCAAGUAUCUCAAGUUUGCGUAUCCAAGUUCCAAAUCCGGGGAGGUACAUAGGGUAGUGCUUAUAGCACUCCAAAUUGACAUUCUAUACUCAUCACUUUCCACAAUCUCAUCUCAACAACCUAAGUACCCCACACAUAGCCAAACAUAUAUAGAAAUUCUCAAAAUCCAUAUAUACAUACUCAAGAUACUCAAAUAUGUCAAAAUCCAAAAUAUAUUUCCAAUGCAUCAUAAAAAUAUCACUUUUAACAAUUGAAUAAAUAAUAUAUAUCCAAUAUACCAAUUAAAACAUCAUGCAUAAUAUUUCCCAUCAUAAAAUCAUGCAUAAGAUUUGAAAACAAAGUCCACUCACAAGUAGUCCCACACUGCUUGACCUUGAGAGGGUCCCGCCUACUGCGUAUGCGUGGUUGGAGUACCUAUUUCAGAAUACGUAUACGAGAUUAAUAAGAAGCGUUUCGAACGAGAACUUUGAAUUAAAUAUCCUAAUUUCCCAGGUUUCUAGUAAGUGUACUAGGAACGAGACGUUCUAAGGUUCCACUACCCAAUUCGAACCAUGGAAGAGCUUCGGGAGACACUCGGUCAACCGGCGGUCAAAUUCCCAAAUCGGGUCAACUGGCCCACGGGACCCACGACCUCCGUUUUUAAAAUCCGUAAGUUCCUAAAGGUUUCACAAUGUCUAAGAUACUACUAUCACAAGUUUGGUCCGAAACGGACUGUUAGAUCGCUUACGAUCGCACGAUCAGACGGUUAUUGUAAAACGUAAACUUUAAGUUAUUGAAUCAGAACAUCCGGGGCUCCGAUUCACGAUCCGCGAAUUCCUACACGAUCCUAGGAAGGUCUAGAGUAACAUAUAUUGGAAUGGAGUCGAUCCAAAGGUCCGAACAUAUCGAACCUAGACCGGAUAACUCCUAAUAUGUGAGAUUCGUUCGGGGUUCGAACAUCAACCAAAUUGGAAUCCUAAGGUACCUACGUGCUCGUGACAUUAAGGGGAUCAAUUGGGACAAAAAUGCCCCUCUGCUACAGUGCCCACGUGCCACCACACGCGGCGGUAGAGAGUGGGUGUCCAAAGCGAUUUCUCUUCGCCGGAAAAUCUCCAAAUUACAAGCCACUCUCCUGGCUACAGGUUCUACUCAACGAGUGGAACACUUUAUUCAACUACAGCCAAGUCCAAUUCGGACGGCAAGUGGCCGGAAACUCACGGUUUAACCCGGAACUUCAUGGCUUGGAUUGGGCGACCAUCGUCACCAUUGUCGUGGCACAACCUAGGAAAUAGCUAAAAGGAGAGGAGGGCUACCUAUUCCAAGCGAUGGCGCAGCUCGCGGUAGCCGAAAAUGUAGCCGAUGACGUUGGCAGUUUUGGCCGGUUUUUCACGUCGUUGCCAUCGCCGUUUGUCGAGUUUUCGAUUGGAGAAAAGGGGUGGGGUGAGUAGAGGAGGAAGAGAGGAAGCUUUUGCAAGAAAUGACACUUGUCAGGGAGGGGGGGGUUGGGGGAAGAGAGAGAGAGAGAGAGAGAGAGAGAGAGAAAAAAAAAAAAUUUCAGAUUUUCAUCCAAACCCUUUUCGAAAUAUUUACAAGUUUGCCACUAAACUACUUUUGGUUGCCAAAUCUUCGUUAUAACUCCGAUUCAAGCCUACCACGUGUCUACGGAUUCGUCUCAAUACAACCUACCCAAAAAUACCAGUCACUGCCCCAAACUCUUUUUGGGUAAGAAAAUGACCAAAAUACCCCUACCCCAAGGGUAAAUUCAUAAUUUCACUUCAAUAAUUUAAUAAAGAAUUAAAUUUGGAGUCGGGGUGUUACAUUAACUACCUGUUUAGUAGGUGUGGGGUUUUAUACAAAAAGCAUCGAUGUUAUUGGGAGUGGAACCACUUAUUAUAAGUUGUGAUUUAUUUAGUCAAGUUUCCUAUGUGGGAUUUUCUAUUCUUCAACAAGCCCCCUCAUGUGGGACCACCACAUAGUGGGCCACAUGUAAAGCUAAGUCCACAUCGGAGUCAAUCAUUCAAGCCCAAUACCUAAACACCACGUAUUGUGUGAGGGGUAGGGGUAAACAUUCAAGCCCAACAUGUGAACCACCAAAUAUUAAGUAAGGGUAAAGGCUCAAUUCAGGCCCAAUCAAUGAACCCAUUAUGAUAUCAUGUUAAAUUUCAGAUAGACGGGACUGUGGCCCACCACUAGCAACAUUGAUAUUGUCCCCAACUUAACUACAUGUUUAGUAGGUGUGGAGUUCUAUACAUAAGGUCUCGAUGUUUUUAGGAGUGGAACCACUUAUUAUAAGUUAUAAUUUAUUUAGUCAAGUUUCCAGUCAACCUGACUUUGAUACCAUGUUAAGAUUUUAAAGGGACGAACUCUUGGCACUAUUAGUAACAUCGACAUUGUCCCCAACUUAACCACCUGUUUAGCAAGUGUGGGGUUUUAUCCUAAAGGCCUCGAUCUUAUUAAGAGUUGAGUCAUUUAUUAUAUGGAACUUUCUAUUUUGUUAACUCUGUGUAUUCUUCAUCAAUGUGAACACCCCUAAACCAAUCAUACCUGAUACGAAUUGAAACACAAGUUUGUUUUUUGCCUUUGGUAGAUGAGUAGCUAGAAAAGCUCAAUGCACUUGCUCUUCUGCUACAUUUCAAUAUAAGAACAAGGUUUGGAAGUCAGGUCAACUCCUCAUAGCUUCCUUGCCUUUGCUUUGACAUGUCUAUGCACUUCUUGGGGAAGUUUGAAUAAUCCAUUGCAGGCCCCAUGACAACUAAGGAACCAACAUUUUGUAGAAGGUUUUGUCUAUACCUUUUGACUAUAAGUAAAAUCUUUUGUAUCUGCUCUUAUGUUUCGGUGAAGUUUCUAUGUGUCCUUUGUGCCGAGUUUCUAUGCGUCCUUUGUUGAACCAAAAAAUGAGGUUGUUUCUUACUAGAUUCAAAUACUUAAAAGAAAAAAAGAAAUUGUUGUUUCUUAAUGGAUUUUAUGAUGAACAAUAUCAAACUCUCCUCUUAUACGUCUGUUGGUAAAUUUUAACAACAAUAUUAAAACCUUGCAAGUGCACAAAUCAAAUGAUAGUAUAGUAAGCAAGCAAGGGUCGAUCCCACGGAGAUUGUGAUCUAAAGAGAUGUUUAUCAAUGUCACGCAAUGAAAAUCAAAACAAAGGACUUCCAAACACACGCCAACACCAAGGGGGGUUUUGAUUUGUUUUUGUGAAUCAAACAAAAUAAGGAAAAGGAAACAAAAGAGAAUUUAAAUUAGAGUUUAAGAGAAAUUGGUUUAAAAUCAAUCAAGAUCAAUAGCUAGGACUUACUAUCCACCUCCAAACAAUCAAUCAAUCCAUAAACAACAAUAGAUAAUCAAUUUCUAGUAAGCACACUACUACAAAAAAGCAAAAAGACGACGGUAAAUCACCGUCGUGUAUUCGGUUUUUCAAUGGUCGUGGAAUCCACCGUCAUCUUUUCCCUCAUAAACCACGACGCUAAAUCACCGUCGUUGUUACAAUAUACAACGUCAUCAACAAAUACAAAACGACGUCUUUGUACUGCAAAAAGAUCUAAAAAAGCAAUCGAUGAUGAGAAAAGACGACCAACUCUCUAAACAAACCGUCGUUAAAAAGAAAAAAUAUGACACAUAUUAACAGAACAUGGCCGCAAGAUAGACAUACAACGACGAAAAUUAAAAUAAGACGCCGUUAAAUAUCAUUUUCACGACAAUAAAAAAUAUGUCGUCUUUAAAUACAUUAGAAGACGACGUUAUUGAUACCUACUACGUCGCCUAUAUAAAAAUAACCGUCGUAAAAUAAAUUUUCCACUUCGAUUUUUCUAUAAAAGAUGACGUGGAAAUAGUUGUCAGUGUCAUUAUUUACGACGUAUGUAUUUAUAGAGUAGACGUUGAACAACGAAACAACGUCGGUUACAAAUAUAUGAGAGUCGUAUUACAAAAUUUAUACGUCCUAUUUUCAGAAACAAACAACGACGAUAAAUAUUAGACGUUGUUAAAUAAAACAACGUCGAAAACAAAUAAAAACAGACGUGUUUAGUCUGCUAAAGUUCUAAAAAAUAGUCGAGGAUGAGAAUAGACGACCAACUCAAACAAAUCACCGUCGUUAAAAAGGAAAAAUAUGACACAUAUUAAAAGAACAAGGCCGCAAGAUAGACAUACAACGACGACAACUAAAACACUACGCCGUCAAAUAUAAUUUUCACGACAAGAAAAAAUAUGACGUCUUUAAAUACAUGAGAAGACGACGUUAUUGAAAUAUACUACGUUUCUUAUUUACAAACAACCGUCGUGAAAUAAAUUUUCCACUUCGAUUUUUCUAAAAAAGAUGAUGUGGAAAUAGUUGUCAGUGUCAUUAUUUACGACGUAUGUAUUUAUAUAGUUGACGUUGAAAUGCGAAACAACGUCGGUGGCAUUUAUAUAGUCGACGUUGUAUUUAUAUGUAUUCAUUACUCACGACGCACUUAUUAAUAUAGACGACGUUGAACUUCUAAACAACGUCGGUUCCAAAUAAAUGAGAGCCGUAUUACAGAAAAUAUAGAUGGCGUUGAUUAUGAUGAGAGCCGUAUUACAAAUAACGUCGUUUAAUUGAUAUUAGACGGCGGUUAUAAUGAAUUACCGUCGGAAUUCAUUUCGUUCCUCUUCGUUUAUAAAAGAACUUGCGACGUGGAAAAUGUAUGAUGACGUCGUAUUUUUUAACGUUCAGAUUAUAUAUCUCGUUUUUUAGACGUCGGUAUUAUGGGAUUGGAGUCGUGUUAUUUUGAAUUACAUGGCGGUUCUUAAUCCUUCCCCGACGUGAUAUCCUGAAUAAUUGCUUCAUAAUAGCGUCGUGGUUCUUCAUUGUUACGUUGCUUUAAGACGUCGGUAAAUAUGCUGAAUAACUGGUUCACAAUAACGUCGUGUUUUAUUUGAACGUAGAAAGUGAAGAAAUCACAUUACAAUAUAUUACAAAAUUAAUGUCAUACACUGCCAAUUACAUAAGCAUCAUUCAAUCCAUAUAUCUUCACACCCAUCUCGAAUAUUUUGACCGCCUAACUCACCCACCAGUUCAUCAAAUGUGUCAACAUUUGGCAUCCCUCUAGUAAAUGGCUCACACUCAAUUAUCACAUCACCUAAGACUUCAUCACCAAUAACAUUAUUAUAUUCUCUAUUAGGCAUUGAUAACACUACCGACCAACCACGAUGCAUCGGGUCGUCAACAAAAAAUAUUUGUUUGACUUGAGAAGCCAAAACAAAUUGGUCAUUCCUAUGUCCAAUUUUACUCAAAUCUACAAGGGUAAAUCCAAGUUCGUCGACUACAAGACCAGAACUAUCUAUCCAAUCACACCUAAAGACUGGGAUUGUAAACUUUUGGUAGUCAAGGUCCCAAAUUUCUUGAAUGACACCAUAGAAACCCAUAUUUGAGAGAAUUGAGUUUUUAUCCUUGGCACUAGCAACUUGCAUGGUAUGUGCAAGUAAAUAAACUCCACUAUUUUGAGUUGUCCGCACAUCAUCUUGUGCCUUGAUAUUGAAUUUAAUACCUUUAAUAAGAUAGCUCCUAUAUAAUGGCACAGCCAUGUUUGGACCAGCUGCUAGCCACCUUAAAUUUUCUGAUACGCCAUGAUUGUCUUCCUCAAGUUCACUUUGAACCUGCAAAUUAAUCAUAUAUCUUAAUGCAAUCUAACAUAGAAAUAAGAAGAAAAUUAAAAGAGAAAUAUGUUAUUCAACAACAUAUACCUUGAAGCGUAGCCAUUGAAUGAAAGUGUUAUUGUGCUUAUCCUGCAGCCACUUUGUGAUUUAAGGUAUGACAAUCAUGUGAUUUAAGGCCAAGAAGUCUUGAAUCUUGUAAAGAUACAAGAUUUUUAAUAUUUGAAGAAUAACCUUCAGGGACCUUCAUACCAUAGAAAGAAUUGCAAACCUCUCUCUUCUCUGCUCUUGACAAAUUCCAAGGCCCAGGAGGCAAACGAGUACGUCUUUCUCCAUACUCGGGUUGCAAAUCAGUUUUGACCCCCAUGUUCAAUAAAUCUAAUCGAGCAGCAAUCCCAUCUUUAUUUUUUCCAGGGAUCUCCAGCAAUGUACCAAUGAUACUAUCGCAAACAUUCUUCUCAAUGUGCAUAACAUCUAGGGCAUGCCUCACAGGAAGGUAUUUCCAAUACUCGAGAUCAAAGAAUAUUGAUUUCUUCUUCCAACAAACUCUGUCACCAUUUUCAACCAUGUGCAGCACUUCUUCUCCGGUUAAUGGCUCGGGAGGUAUGCCAUAUUCAGGUUUCCCAUUAAAAGCUGCACGUUGCCUCCUAUAUGGAUGAUUGAUUGGUAACCAUUUUCUAUGCCCAAUGUAACAAAUUUUGUGGCCAUUUUCAACCUGUGACUAGGUGUAUCAUCGCCGCAUAUUGGACAAGCUUUAUAUCCUUUAACAACACAACCAGAUAAGUUUCCAUAGGCGGGGAAAUCAUUAAUUGUCCACAUUAAUGCAGCUCUGAGUGUAAAGUAUUCUCCAUUAUGUGCAUCAUACACUCCUCUAAUCCCAUCCCACAAAGAUUUUAAAUCAUCAAUCAAAGGCUCCAAGUAGACGUCUAUAUCAUUUUCGGGUUGUUUAGGACCGGAAAUCAAUAAGGUUAACAUCAUGAACUUUCGUUUCAUGCACAGCCAUGGAGGGAGAUUAUAUGUAACUAAGAUAACCGGCCAACAACUAUAUCUGCUACUUAGAGAACUGUGGGGAUUGAAUCCAUCAGAUGAAAGAGCCAAUCUCAAGUUUCUCGGCUCAUUACCAAACUCAGGCCAUUUAUCAUCAAGAAGUUUCCAAGACGGGGAAUCCGCCGGAUGAGACAUCUGACCGUCAAUUGAUUUUCUAGCAGCAUGCCAAGUCAAACUCUUAGCUGUCUCAUGUGAUUGAAACAUCCUUUUAAACCUUGGAAUUGGAGGAAAAUACCACACCACCUUCGCUGGCACAUCCUCUUUCAAGAUUGAAUCUUUGCCUUCCUUCCACCUUGAGAUACCACAAGUAGGACAAUUAGUUGAAUCCUCAUACUCCUUCCUAUACAAGAUGCAAUCAUUGGGGCAUGCGUGCAUUUUCUCAUAACUCAGCCCCAAUGCACACAAAGUCUUUUUUGCCUCAUACAUAGAGGUUGGUAUUGUAUUUCCUUCUGGAAGCAAAUCGCCUUGAAGUAUCAAUAAUUCUGUAAAACAGACAUCACUCAUCCCAUGUUUUGCCUUCAAAUUAUACAACUUCACUAAUGCCGAUAACUUCGUGUACUUUCUACAACCAGGGUACACUGGUUGAUCUCCAUCCCCAAUCACAUUGGCAAACUCAUACGGAUCGGAACCAAAAUCACCAAAAUCAUUAUCAUCCAUAUCAAUUUCUUCAGACACAAAACUGUACCUACUAUGGCCAUCAUCUUCUUCAACAUUUCUACUAGCAUUAGUAGUUGCUUCCCAAGGUUCUCCGUGAAAUGUCCAAUUCUUAUAGCUUUGGUCAAUUCCAUUAAAGUAUAAGUGAUCCCUUAUAAUUCCAACCCCAAACAACUUCAAAUUAACACAUUUAACACAUGGACAACGGAUAUGUGUUGUAGUUAGAAGAUUUUCUACAGCAAAGUUCAAAAAUGCUUCCACCCCAAACUCAUAUGCCUUCGAUCUUCUAUCCGAGUGCAUCCAUGACUUAUUCAUCUCCGACACUAUAACCUAUUAUCUAUAAUAAAGUGAAAAUACAGGCAAUGACCAUCACUAUAGCAGAUUAUACAAAGAUCUAAUAGCAAGUAAUACAUAACAGAGACGACGGGUUUUAAACAAAAACAGACGUAUUUGGCAUAUAUAGACGACGGAUUUUCAACAGACGUCGUCUAAUAUAAGUAAUACAAACGACGGUUUAUGAAAAAACCGUCGUGUAUAAGUAAUACAACGACGGUUUUUUCAUAAACCGUCGUGUAAUCGUCGUCGUAUGCCUAAAAAGGCGUCGUGUCUCAGUUUAUUUUCAAGAACCCAAAACCCAUUAAGAACACAACAUAUAUAUGAAACCAAGCAAGAAACCAACAUAUACAUGAAGCCAAGCAUGAAAACAAUAAAUCCAUUCCCAAUUCAACAUAACAUAGGGUGAUUAAAAGAUCCGACAAAAUUAAAACCAUUCCCAAUUCAACAUAACAGAUAAUGUAAUCCAUGAACCCAUUAAACAGAAAAUCCAUGAACCUAUACCUAUAAGCACAUUAUUAACAGAUCGCAAAGCAUAUACCUAAAACCCUUUAACAAAACAACCUAAUAUCAUUCAAUGAAUUUACAAAGGGAAGAUAGGGUUUGUACUUACAGGUUGGACGAGCUCACAGAUUCGACGAAGCCUGGAGAGUGCAACUUUUAAUUAGAGCAGAAGUGAGAGAGCGAAUGUUAUGUUGCGCGAAAUCUGAAAAUUUUAGGGUUCAGGGUUAGAAGUAUAAGAAUAAGAGCCAAAUAUAAAAAAAUUUAGGGCGCGCGAAAAUUUUUAGAGCGCGCGCUCUUUAAAACGUCGAAAGAAAAACCAUGGCGAAAGUUCUACAAGAACCGACGUAAAUGUAAUAUUCCACGACGAAAACACUUAACGUAACGCCGUUUAUUUUGACGUUCAUUUUUCGGAUUAAUUUUAAAUUUAUUUUGAAUAUUUUGAUAUAAAGACGACUGAAAAACCACGUCGAAGUUAAGAAAUUGAAAACGUUGUAAAUUAUAAUAGACGACUUACAUAUUAAAAUGACGUCGUUUAAAGUGGAAACCAUGUCGGAUAUUUUACUGCACGACGUAACAUAUGUAUUCCACGACUCAACCACCGUCGUUAACAAUUAAUACCCUAAACCCUUAAAACUAAAUUAUAUAAUUUUAAAAAUUAAGUUUAUAAAAGGGUUUAUGGUUUUACAGCCUAAUAUAUACCCUAUACUACCCAAAAAUUAUACUUUAAAAAUAAACCCCAAUAAAUAACAACCCUAAUCUCUAAACCCUAGACUCUAAACCCUAAACCAUAAAACUAGAAGUGAUUUUAUGACUCAUCAAAACAAUUUUGUUUUGGAUGGUCAUUUUAAAUUUUUUUUAUUCAAAAUGAAUUUUUUCAAGGUUUAGGGGGAAGAAAAUAUAUCAAUGACUUCAUAGGAGUUGACUUUUCAUUUUUCUGAUUUAUUUUAAAUUUAUUUUGAAUAUUUUGAUAUAAAAAUAAUAAAAUAUUCUUAUCACAAUAACAAACCACGUCGGUGUUAAUAAAUUUUAGACGUUGUAAAUUGUAAUAGACGACUAAGUUGUUAAAAUGACGUCGUUUAAAUGAGAAACCAUGGCGGAUAUUUAACUAUCCGACAUAAAAUAUAUAUUCCACGACUUAACCGCUGUCGUUACAAAGUACUACCCUGAACCCUUAAGAAAUUGAAGACGUUGUAAACCAUAAACGACUCAAUUGUUCAAAGAACGUCGUCUAAAUAUCCUUUUACGUCGGAUUUGGUUAAAACGAAACAACAAAAAACGACGGCUUUUGACUUUAUUACGUCGUUGGAAAAGUAUUACACGUCGGUUACGCAAUUUGUAUGUUUGUUUUUUUUUUUAAUUUAAGAAAACCUCAACAAAUUUUUACAUUAUAUAUUAUAGACAAAAUUUGUACAUUAUACAUAAAUAUCAAGUGUUCAAUAAUUCCCCUAUUCCAGGUGAAGGCAAACAAACUCUGACCAUUCAUUCCGGACUUCAUCAAUUGCUUCUUGGGGGUAUGGCGCUUCCUGUUUUCCCUUGGCAUACUGCAUAAACAAUGACUAUUAGGGUUUAUAAAUAAAAAGAAAUUCAAUCACAGACGACGAUAUUUUUCAUAACCGACGUACUAUAUCUAUUCAACGACGGUAAUUUUACAUGACCGUCGUUGAUAAUACAAAAAACGACGUAAAAUGUAUGAAGGUAAUUUCUUCUUACCUUCUUCUCAAACCCCAAGGAAGGAUCCAUGAUGAUGUCCCUCAUGAAGCGCAUCACAUAAUACCCGCAUUCGACAUUGCUGGGUUGCUUUGGUGUCCCUGACAGAGUUUUCCAAAUGGCUGCCUUACGGCCUGGUCUGGCUAUGUGAGAAUUAUAAAUUUUUAUAGCACUGUUCACAAUGUUUUUGGCCUCUUCAUCGACCACACGAUUUCCUGGCAGAGGAUCCAGAAAAUAGACGGUUUCUCUCUUUGCUCUUACAAUCAGCAAGAUCCAAUGACGGCUGCACAAAAUUAAUAUAAAAACGACGGUUAUUUACAAUAACGACGUAUUAUAAUGUUUCACACGACGAAAUAAAGUAGCAAUCGACGACAUUUUACAUUUAUCACGACGAUAAAUAACUACCGACGUGGUUAGUAGUUUCAAACGACUCAAUAAAAUAAAACACCGACGUGGUUAGUUUAUACGCUGUAAUUUAUUGAAAAUCAUAAAAACAAAAUCCUGUUAAGGAGACUAACCCUGGAUUGUAAGGCAUCAGGAAAAUCUGUUCACCGUCAGUCUUUUGAAGUCGAGCUGCUAGUAAGCGUGAUCUGUCAGCUAUUGUGCCAGAGUUGGCACUAACUGUAGCAAGGUCGAUAAAGCCAACCAUAUUGCACAUAUUUGCUCGUUUCAAAACAUCGUGCAAGUGCCUAAAUAUAUAAAAUAAUAUAAACAAGUCAGCACAAAAAAACACACGACGGUUAUGUAUAACAAAACGACGUAUUAUAAAAUUUCACACGACGUACUGAAAUAGACAACGACGUUAUAAUAUAUUUAUCACGACGGUAAAUACUAACGACGUGGUUAGUUAGUUAAGACGACGUAAUAAAUAAACCAACGACGUAUUAUUUUAGAAUGACAAACCUCAUAUAUACAAAAAAACACGACGGUUAUGUAUAACAAAACGACGUAUUAUAAAAUUUCACACGACAUACUGAAAUAGACAACGACGUUAUGAUAUACUAACGACGUGGUUAGUUGGUUAAGACGACGCAAUAAAUACACCAACGACGUAUUAUUUUAGAAUGACAAACCUCAUAUAUACAGCAAUGACAGUGGCUCCUAUUUCUUCCAUGCCUGCAAAUUGUGUAAUAUCUUCAGGCAGGAGGAAGGUAUCGCGCUCUAGACCAAACACCUCCUUAUCAAUUGUAAAGUGCAGGGUCUUAUCCUGAGGCACGAGUGUCGUUUCCACAUAACGACAAAGGGAGUUUAAAGAAGAUGGCGCCUCCAUAUUUGAAUAAUCAACAACUUUAAUAACCUGUUUAAAGAAAUAUAAAAAAUGACGUGGUAAUUCAAUAAAAACGACGGUUUAAGGAAUAAAACGUCGUCUGAAAAGAAUUUAAACGUCGUCUGAAGAAACCGUCGUGGUGAAUAAUUUAUUACGUCUUAAAAAAAAUUCCGCCGUCUAAGUUGUAAACAAACGACGGUUUAAAGAAAAAUAUCGACGUCUGGAAUUUUGAAAAACAAAUAAAAAAGGCAAAGUUAUGUGAACAUACCUGGUCGUCAUCUUCUUUCUCCUUUUCAUCAUGUUUUUCUUCUGUCUUCCCUUCAUCUAUUACGUCGAGAAUGACUAACUCCGUCGUCUAAAAACCACAAAGUUUUAAAAUAACGACGUUUAAUGGCGUGUAAAACAAGUAAACUAAAUACGACGUGGUAUUGAAAUACAAACGACGGUUUAUGUUUAAAAUCGUGGUGGUAUGUAUUUCAAACGACGGUUUUAUUAAUAAUAACGACAUCUAAUGGUUUUUAAAAAAACAGAGAAUUCAAAGUUCAGAUAUGUUACCUUUUCUUCCUGAUGUUUCCCAUUUUUGGCAGUAUCAUCCUCAAAAUGCUGGGAUCUCACAUCACCUCCAGAGCAGCUUGCUUUGUCAGACAUUGGAUUUUUGGGACUUUGGCUAAUUCUGGGUUUAAGCAUGCUUGGAUCAAAAUUGGGAAUUAAUUGGGAAAGCUGACUCAGGAAAUGCUCCCUCUCAGCCUCUACCAAUUGUUUCGUUCUAGCCUCCAUCCUUAAAGCCUCUUCCCUUGCCUUAGCUUCCAUCUUUUUAGUCUCUUCUUGAAGGAGAACUCUUAAACUGUCCUUCAAACGGUCGUCAAAGCUCACUCUCUGUGGUUUGGGUAAAUUGAAAUAUUGCCUUGGUGAGAUCCCAGCACCUACUCCUCUCACUCUGCCUGGAUGCUCGGGGCCCAAAGCCAUGGUCAGCACAUCAUUGCUGCCAGAAACAGUGACUUUGCCUUCCGAGACUUGUUUUUGCAAUUCAUCCUAAAACAAAGAUAUAUAAAAAAGUAAGAACAAAAACACACGACGGUUAUUUAUAUACAAACGACGUAUUAUAUAAUUUCACACGACGCAAUAACAUAUAAAUCGACGUUAUUAUAAUUUAUCACGACGGUAGUUUUUAAACCGACGUGGUUAGUUUUUAAAACGACGAAAUGAAUAAACCACCGACGUCUUAUGCUUUAUUUACAGAUAACAGAGGGAUGAUUCAAUAUUCACACCUUUAACGACCUUGUUUAAAAUAUUUCGACGUAGUAAUUCAAUACAAACGACGCGAAAAUGAACCACCGACAUCUUAUGCUAUAAUUACAGAAAACAGAGUAGUGAUUCCUGAUUUAGACCUUUAACGAUGUGGUAAUAUCAUUCACACGACGCAAAAUAUAACAUAAGACGUAAUAAGAAUUAUUCACAGUUUAAUAAAAAUUUAAAACAGAGUGAGUAGGCUUACAAUUAAUUUUGCUUUCUCUGCCACCUUUGGAUCCGGGAUGUUACCAUGUUUGUCCUGUCUAGCUCUCUUCCAUAAGGUAGAUCGAUCAAUUUCUACCCCAGGCAUGGUUUCCUCCAAUUGAUCCUCCAAACCAGCAUAUCCUUUUCGAGACAAUCGAUGAUUGUACUCAAGUUUCUCCCUAAUCUGUGCAUGUUGAGAAUGCACAGACUCAAAAUCUUUGGAUAACCUUGAAGCUACAAAGGCAUCCCAUUGUGCUUUCUCUAUGAAUUUAUAUAUUUCAGGGGGUUGGCUUAAUCUCUCCCUGUCAUUAGUGUAUGGAAGGAUAUAUUGCCUCGUUAGUGUAGACUUGAAAUCCUUCCAUUUCUUGGCAGCAGAAGCUAACACAGAGCUCUUGCCCCCUUGACCUACCACAAAAGCAAUGUCAACUGCUUCCCAAAUCUGCUCCUUUAUAUCCUUGGAGAUUUGAGCCUAUUUCAUGUCCACAAGUGGAACUCUGGAGCGUGCCAACACACCAAUGUAGGACUGCAUCUCACUAUGUGCUUGGCCAAUUCCUUUCCCCCUUUUAUUGUACUCAACAAUUGGCCUCAGUUUCUGAAGUUUUCUCUUCACAACAUGAGGCAUUGUGCUCAUACCUCGACCAGACUUUGAAUCAUCAGAGAUUGUUGUCGUGCUGGUUCGUUCUGUCUCAGCAGAUGAUGAAGCAAACUUCAUCUUCUUCGAAGGCUUCACUUGAGGAGGUACCAUUCCAAGGUCCUUACCUCCAUUUUUCUUGGAGCCAGAAUCCUUACUUUGGUCUUAGUGAGAAACCAUUUUUACAGACAAAACUGCAAGUGAAAAUAUUUCAGGAAAAGAUUAAGAACACAAACGACAGUUAUUAAUAAAAUACGACGUAUGAUAUGAUUUUAAACGACGCAAUGAAAUAAUCUCAGACGUAAUAAAUGUUUAAAACCAAGGUAAUUAAACAACGACGAAAUAAUUAACUAUAAACGACGUGAUAAUUAACUAUAAACGACGAAAUAUUUAUAUAACGUCGUGGUAUUGAUGUUCACACGACGUCAGUCGUAAUAUACCGUCGUCUAUAUAAGGAUCCAAAACCCUUCUUUCUUUCUCUGUGAAUGUUUGAUUGCAGAUUUGAUUUUUCUGAACCAUGGUUUUUGUUUUCUAAUUUGAUAAAAUACAAGGCCAAGAAAGAAAGUUUUGGAAUCUUAUAUAGACGACGGUAUUUUAAUAUGACGUCGUGGUAUUAACAUUCACACGACGUAAAACAAUAAGAUACUGUCGUCUAUAUUAGAUACCAACCCUACUUUCUUUUUCUUUAUAUUUUAUCAAAUUAGGGAAAAACAAAAACCAUUGUUCAGAGAAAUCAAACCUGCAAUUAAACAAGCAAAUAAAAAAAAGACUAUAAUUUUAAAAACAACUUUGUCAAUUUUCAGACGACGCUAGAACGACUGACGAACCGUCGUGGUCUACAUAUUUAACCACGUACAUAAGAAGCUACCGUCGUCUUAUUUAGUUGAGGUAGUUGUCUUCAAAGUUGGAAACUUUCCCUCUUUGUCUGUAUAUUUUAUUGAACUUGGAAAGAAGUAAAAUGAUUUUGGCCAGAAAAAAGGUAAAAAGAUUUUUCAAACAAAAAACGUAUGAGCAUGCAAAACAACAACCAAAAUAGUGAAAAUGAAAGCUUACCUUUUGCGUGCAAUGAAAGCAAGAGGAAGAUUAUGUUUAAGUUCAGAGACGACGAAGAAGAAGAGAGGAAGACGAUGAGAUACUCUGACAGUGCUCUGACAAGGAAAAAAGUCUAAAAGUUUUCUCUGGGAGAUUGAACUUUUUAAUCGGGUUUGAAAACGGCGCAUGUGUAUGUCAGGUAGACGAAAAGUUGCUUACAUAUAAAACCAUUUCAAAAAAAUAAUACGGCGGUUACAUAUAACUACGACGUAUAAAUUACAAAAUACGACGGUACAUUUAACUUCGGACGUGGUAAAUAAAUACGACAGUAGUGUUGUAGGUACCGUCGUAGUAAACUCAAAAAUUAAAGUACAUAAGUAAUAACUCGCGUCAUGGUAGAUUAUUUAACACGUCGUUUUUAUUAAUUUACCGACGUGGAUUUCUGUAAUAUACGUCGAUAAUACCGACGUUGAUUUUACAAUUUAAACGGCGGUUUUUUUGUAAGGACCGCCGUUGGUUUUAAAAAUUUAUUCUAUAAAUUUGUCGCUUUCAUUCAUUUUCGGUUUACAUUUAAGGUUCCAAGUUCUUCCUCUCUCAGUCUCUCACGUCUCAAAGACAAUAAUUUGGAUGUCUUUCUCAAAGAGAAAUUGAGCUUACUCGCAUCAAAUAUAUGUCCACAAGAAGAAGCUUGUCAACUAGCCUUCUCACUUCCUUGAUCAAGCCUGAUAGGACACUUAGUGCUUCUGAAUACUCCUUGCUUUCCAUCAAAAGAGAUGCAAGCCUGGCCUCCACUCGCUGUCGAAGGAAAGUUCGCUUCUCAGGGAAAUCUUCUUGAUUUUCUUGGCUAAGAAGAUCCGUCAGAUUUGUGAUAGCCUCUUCCUUUAUCCGUAGAGCUUCAGAAGAAGAAGAUGGGUUUCAAGAAUGCGAUAAAGAAUAGAAAUGGCUUCAGAUGGCCUCUAAAGCAUGAGCAAUCGAAUCAGUAGUUGUUGGGAGAUAUGAUGAAGACAUUGUCAAUGCUUUGAACUAUACAAGUCCUGCAGAAAGAUAAAGGACCAAACUGUUAAAGAAACUGAAACAAUGGCGGUUUUCUGUUCUACCGUCGUCUUUUCUCGUCGUCUAUAUUAAGGUAAGAUGGCGGUAGAUUUAUAAUUACCGACGUAGAUUAUUUUGUUAAACGUCGUUAAGUGUACUACAACCGACGUGGAUUUUAUUUUUAAAUUAUAAAUAGAGUUUUUUUUCCCCUAUUCUUUCAGUUUUAGUUUUCAAUUACAAAGCGUGAUAAAUAGAUUUUUCUUUCCCGAGGAAAUUUAAAAUGAGGGAAAUUAAUGUUCUAGAAUUUGUAAACUAACACGACGCAAUAUUUGCAAAUCUGUGUCAUCUGUUAAGAUUAUGAUGUGGAACAGAGUUCCAUCUGGUAAGAUUUCGUAACCCUUGGGAUCUCAGACAAAUCUGAUUAUGUCGGCGGUUUUCUAUAUAAAUCGUCGUGGUUAUUUCAAUUCUUGUCAUUAAGUAGAUCUACCGACGUAGGAUAAGAAAAUCAAAGAAAAAAAUUGUUAACAAAAAUUCUUAUUAAGACGACGGUUAAAAUUAAAGGUACGACGUAUAAAAUGAAUAAAUACGACGUUAAAUUUUAUUGUACGAUUUAAAGAUAACGUCGUAGAACUAUAAGAGAAUGACGUCGAUAUAUUUAUAUUUUCCGUCGUUGUACAUUAAUUUAAUACGGCGAUAUUUUGUAUUUUAAAGCCGUGGAUUUGUUUGUAAUUAUACGGCGUCUUAUACGAAAACCUCGUCGUGUUAUUUUAUGAGUAAAAACGGCAGUUUUUAUUGAAAUCGUCGUCUUUACUUUCUACGUCGGUCGAUUCAUAACUUCUGCCGUUCUUUGUUGGCAUUGAUUUUACACUGCGAAAAUCUGUUUCAAAUAGACGUCGGUUGUUUAAUUAUGUACGUUGUUGUUUUUGAACAGCCAUUUGAAUCUCCAUUUUUUAGUUGUCUAAGGUUGUAUUACACGACGGUGUUUUUAGAACCGUCGUCUUUUUAAAAACCACGACGGUUUUCACUUAGACCGUCGUUGUUUUCUGGUCGUCUUUUUCACUUUUUGUAGUAGUGGCAUAUGAUGACGACACUCACAACAAGAUCAUGGCAUUUGACUCGAGUUGUAUGAUUCUCUCUUAAGUGUAUGUAAAGUGUAUGACAUUUACAUCAAUACGUGUAUUCUUAAUUGAAAUCUACUAUGGCAUUUACUCAAAUUAACAAUCAAGAAUCCAUUAAGAUCAAAGAGAAUAUGAGUGUCACAAAAACCCUAAAACAUGGCAUUUGUUAUUAGGAAUUCAAGAAUCGAUUUCUCAUAACUAGUUCUUAACCCAAUUAUUCGUUGCAAAUAAGAACACAUUCAAUAUGGCAAUUGACCUAUGUUCUACAACAAUUUAAUUCCAAUACAUGCUUCUAAGUUAGCUACUCAAAGAAACAAAAUAUCAGAAUUCACAUAACAUAUAGAAACCGAAAACAUCACGCUUGUAGAAACUAAAAAUCCAUUAACCUUGUUUAUAAAAUUGAAAUCAUGUUUAGGGCUUCAAGAUUAAGCCCUAACUAACAAGAAAUUAGUUACUCAUGGUCUUGGAUGAACUCAAAAAUAAAUACAUAAGAACUGAAAAUUAAAGAAGGAAGGAAAAGAAAGAACUCGUUCGCAGCUUUCUCCUCUUGCGCUGUUGAUCUCUUUAGGACGUGAAUCCUUUUUAUCAGCCUUGCCUCGUCUUUUAUAUCACUUAUAUCAGAGUUCUAAACCCUAAAAUUGACUGAAAAGUCGUCCAAGAAGUCUUGGUAAACAAGGAAUCCAAAUAGGAAAGUAAAAAUCACAAUUCCUAACUCCACUGGGAAAUACAGCUCAGCCCAAUGUUCACACGAUUUUGGGAUCUUCGACCUUGUAGAAAAAUCAUUAAAAAUAUAUUUUAGAAAGAUAAAUGUCUUAUCUUUCCAACCAUAUAUAGCACGUAACUUGAAAAAUUCGGAAAGGCUUCCGUUUCUUCACAUUCACGUAGCAUGUACGAAACUGUCCUGUCUGCACGUGGGCUAACUUUACUUGUAAUACUGUACCAAUUGGCUCGGUAGAAAAUUCUAGAAAAAUCAUAGAUUGAACUUCAAGAUGUUAGCUUUCAUCUCCAAUCAGGGGCGGCCUUGGGGAGGUGCAAGUGGCGCCACCGCACAGGGCCCCCGAAAAAAAAAAUAUUUAUAUUAUAUAUAUAUAUUAAUAUUAUAUGAAUCGUAUAUAUAAUAUAGCGUCUGGAUAUUUGCACAACAGCGUGUUCAGGGGAGUUGGAUGGAGCACAUCUCUCUUUGGCAAAAGGGCCCGAGUUCGAUGCUCCUUGAUGUCGUUCUACUGGCUAGCCUUUUGUGAUAUUAUUUUUGCAUUCAAACUUUACAUAAUUAUUGAACCAUUGGAUUAAUAUGCAACGAUGGGUGACCACAAUCUCUUGGACUCCUGUGGUCCAUGAGAUCGGGACUGAUAUUACAUGACUUAUUUUAUUAAAUUAUUAUCAUGUUGAUGAUUGGUUGUAUGAGAAUAUAGUUUGUAGAAAUAUUUAUCUAUUUCUUGUUGGGGUUUUCUUCCAGGUUAUAGGGUUUUGGAAUUUUUCUUUGUAAUCUAAACAUGCCACCUACUAGAAAAUACGUUUAUGGAUAUACAAAACGGCUUAGAAAAAGAAAAUUCGAGGAAUUGACUCAAUCUCAAAGAGGAGCUCUUGAUAGAUUCAUUGUUAGAGAAUCACAUGCUACAAUUGAUGAAAAUAUUUAAAUUUUUAUGAAUUUAAUUUCUGAUUUUCAUUGCAUAUUUAUUGAUGGUGAAUUUUAGUUAUAAAAAAAAAUUGUUUAUGACAUUAAGUUAUGGCAAAUUUUUAUAGUAUUUUCGUAUUAGAUUAUGCAAGGCCCCAAUUUAAGUUUCGCACAGGGCCCUCAAAAUCUCAGGGACGGCCCUGUCUCCAAUUGGUCUUGUGCUAAAAUUCCUCCGAAAAGUUGAUUUUCCCUUAAAAACCUUCUAAGAGUGCAGAAAAGCUGAAAAUCAGAAAAAUAAAGUAAUAAGCCAUUUUUAAAUCUAAUUCUCUUACAAAACCAAAGUAAAAAGAGUACAUAAAUGAGUAUAUUUAUGGACUUAUCAACGUCUUCUUCGUUGGACUUGGGGUUGUUUUCCUUAUAUGUCCCCUAUAUAUAUAUAUGGCCUUUAGUUGAGCCCACAAAUACCUUCAGUUAGUUUUUGGGUUUAGGGGCCUACAGAACCUGCACUAAACAAUAAAAGAAAAUACCUAAUUAGUUUAGUACGAAUUUAUAAUGAAGGCUUUAUUAGGUGAAGUUUUAUUUCUUAAUCGUUAGAUCAAAUUGGUUAGCAUCUGAAGUCGCCCAAAGAUUUGAGAGGGAUUCCACAAACAUAUAAUAUAAAGAAAGAAAGCAAUAGUAGGAGAUGAACCAGUACAAAAAACAAUAUAUAAAUAGUACAUAAUAAUUCCAUAACCUUGUCACAAACGCACUCACAAAUGCUUUCCAUAAACCUUGCCCUAACAUAUAACAAAUAAAGGCAACAUUGCAUAUGAUGCAACCAUGUCCAAAUCUGAUACGUGAUAAAAAAAAAAGGACAUGGCAGCAACAUAUGACUGAAGUAGAUGGGCUCUUUGCAUCUCGUGUUAUCGUAAUUAAAGACAUCAAAAUAUUAAGGUUGAAAUCUUCUAUAGUAGCAAGCAUUAAAAUAGGUUUGAAGCAGAGUUUAAAGAAAAUUCCAAUUCCACUGAUUUGCCUCUGCUCAAAGACGAGAACCAAAAUGGUUACUUCCCUUGCUGAGUAUAUUUGUUAACGUCGGAAACGGUAAUAGAUGACCAAUCAAACCCAAGUACGACGAGUUUUGCAUAGGAUCAGAAGUAGUUGAAUCCAGCUUGCAUCACACGCUUCUUUGACUCCAUUGCAUUAGAUGAGUUUUUGUAUUUUUGAACAGCUACACUCCGAAGUCGUUUGUGUCUACGCUUCAUGCGCUGCAACUUCGCCCUAUCCAGAUUGGCCUGCCUUUUGUCAUCUUCAAUUUGGCCUUCAACAAAUUCCAAACGUGCCCUUGCCCUUUGGAUUUCAUCACCAAGUUGAAGAUGCCUCUCCUUCCAAAAAGCAAGAACUCUUUCAGACUCAAAACUUCCAACAAAAUGGUCAUUCUAUCUAGGAAUGUGACAUUGCUUGUCUGGUGACUCACCUGCGUUUCAAAGGCGGUCUUUGUUUGGAGGGGUGUUUAUUAUGCUCACAUCAAACUUGGUUAGUAAAUCCAUUCUAUGGGGGGAGUGAGUUUCUGUGGAGGAGAGAGUUUCAGUAGAUGGAGACAGAUUCGGUGGAGGAGUGAGAUUUUUGUGGAGGGAGAAUUUCUAUGAAAUGGGUGAUAGUAAUACCAAUAAAAGGGUUCCCGCCAAAAAGUAUUUGGUUGACAAUGUAUAAAUUAAUUUUUGGUCUGAUACAAUCUAAGUUUAAUCCUAACUAGUUUGGUUAGUUUGGUUGAAUUCACUAACUAGAUGUCACUUCCAUUGAGUUUCUUUCAACCACUAUCAGUGGUGUAAGGAGAGUGUGAGGUUGACAUGCUUGAAAAGCAAAACCUAACACCUCUUUUUUUUAAAAUUGAAAGAAAGUACAUAUGUUGACUACACACAAGCUUUGGUAUGUUGGUCUAUAAAGCUAUGUUCCCUUUCUCAAACGAAAUUGCAUAUGCAAUCCUCGUCCUCCCAAAACAAAUAGAAUUAUUCAAGCAUGUCAACCUCUUCAGGCGCCAACAACACAAUCAAAGAUGACAAAUUGGAGUCGCAGGUUCUAUUUCCACAUUGUACUCGCCGACCCCUUCCAUUUUCAACAUCAUUUGGGAGUGAGGGGGACUCCGAUGAUCCAUUAGAGCUAAUACAUGCAGUCAAUAGCAAGCUGGAUUAUAAUUCCAGACUGAUCAAUUCAUGGCGCGAGAAAUAUGUUGAAGACGAAGCCAUUUUGGCUGAUCUUAACAUUAGAGUGAACAAAGCGUUCUCCCAAAAGAACAAGUACUUGAAGCUGAGUCAUAAAAGGAAGCUGAAAGCUGAGGAGUUAGAUACAGUAAUGAAUGAUGAAAUUAAAGGUUGUUUGAUGAAUCAUAUGCGAUGCGAAGAGCACCACAGUGAACUGGAGUUGGCAUUCAACGAAGGAUUCGAAAAAUUACGAGCAUUUGCAGCAACUACUCAUACAAGUUAUAAUUGGGACUAUGUGUCCCCUGAUGUUGUGAGAGAGAUACUAGACGAUGGUGGUGACAUGAAUGAGCAUAAGCACGUCAAAGCUGCUUGGAAGAAGCCGACCGAUACGACUAAGUGAUUGCGGCUACAGUUGUUCAGUUGGUUGAGAGUGAUCGUGGUAUUGCACAAAUUAGAAGUAUAUUCCCAUAAUGUCAUUAUCUAAUUUAAAAUAACACAAAUAUCAGUUUCAUUUGCUUCAUAUUGUAACACCCCGACCCCAAAUUUCCCCAAAAUUUACCCUCAUUUAAUUAAUUAAUUAUUUAAGGGUAUUUUAGUCAUAUUUUUAACCGGAGAGAGUUUGGGACCAUGACUUGUAUUUUUGGAUAGGUCGUACUGAGACGAGUUCAUAGACACGUAGUGGGCUCGAAUCAGAGUUGUAACGAGAGAGAUAUGGUCAAAAGAAACCCAGUGGCACAAUCGUAAAUAUUUCAAAAUGGGAUUUUUAUAAAAAUCUGGUUUUUCUCUCUCUCUCUCUCUCUCUCUCUCUCUCUCCCGCGACUUCUCUCUCUCUCCCGUCGGCUCUCUCUCUUUCUCUCCUUGUAUCUCCGGCCACCGACCACGGCUGUGGGCGGGGCCGGUACCAAACUGACCGGGACGACGUCCCCUUCCUUCCCCGACCAUUCCCCGCCGGCAACGCGGCCGUUGCUGGCCGGAAAAUGCAGAAAACCGCCGGGAGGUCGUCGAAACUUCAACGCCGUCGAUCUCCCUCCUCCGGCCACCAUUUUCGUCGACCCAGGUAUGGAUCUUGAACCUCUCGAGCUGUUCUAGCUGUUUGUUGGUUGGGUUUUGAUCGAUUCGAUCUCUAGAUCACUCGAUUUUCGAAUUGAAAAUUGGCCGAAACUUCGGCCGCCGUGAUCGGCCAUUUUCGGCCACUUUUUGUGGUAGGUCCAAGAACAAAAGUGGCUCCAAAUAGGGUGUUAUACCUAGGGUAGAAGUUUGGAGCCGAGAUGUUGAGAUUUUCCGGCGAAGCGUUAUCGCUUUGGGCACCCACGCGUGCGGCGGCGCGUGGGCACUGUAGAAAAAGUAGAUGUGUUCCGAUGAGAUCCUUAGGUUGUCACGAGUGCGUAGGAUUUGGCGGAUCUCAAUUCGGACGUCGUUUGACUAUCGAACGGAUAAUCGCAUAUUAUGCGUUAUCCGGGUUCGAUAGGUUGAGACCGUCGGAUGGUCCCAAAUUUAAUAUAUGUUGAUCUAGGUAUUUCUAGGAUCGUGUAGGAUUUCACGGAUCGUGAAUCGGAGCCCCGGAUGUUCCGAAUAAUAAUUUAAAGUUUAUAUUUUAUAUUAACCAUCAGAUUAUGCGAUCGUGAGAAAUCCGACCGUCUGAUCUGAACCAAACUGGCAGGAAAAGUGUCCUGUACCUGGUAGAACCCAUAGGGACCUUCGGAUCGGAAAUUGGAGGUCGUGGGUUCCGCAAGUCUGUUUGACCAGGGUUAGAGUAGUUUGACCCUUGGUUGACCGUGAGUCUCCCGGAGUAAUCUCACCCUUCCAGGGGGAAUUAUCGGGAGCUAGACUAUUGUGGAGGGUUACACAAUAUUAGAAUUAUUUAUAUAAUUAUAUAUGGUUGUACAAGGGUACAACAAAGUCUAGAAUGUCAGUUUGGAGUGCUAUACGCACUACUUUAGGUACCUCCUCGGAUUUUGGAUUCGCUACAAGCACCACCAAGUGAAAGUUAGGUCCCGCGUGGCGUAGGUUAUCCGGCGUUGGGACAGACCCCAUACGUGGCGUUGGUUGUACCGGCGUAUGGGGAGAUUUGCAAUAUGAUGUUCAGGUCUCACGUGGCGUAGGUUAUCCGGCGUUGAGACAGGCCCCGUACGUGGCGUUGGUUGUACCAGCGUACGGGGAGAUUAUGUGAUAUGAUGUUGAGGUCCCGCGUGGCGUAGGUUAUCCGGCGUUGGGACAGGCCCCAUACGUGGCGUUGGUUGUACCGGCGUAUGGGGAGUUAUAUGAUAUGAUAGUAUGGCAUGGUCGCACAUGGCGUAGGUUAUCCGGCGUGUUGACAGGCCCCAUACGUGGCGUUGGUUGUAUCGGCGUAUGGGGAGAAUAUGUGAAAUGCAGAGAAAGGAAAUAAGGUAUCACCGAUGUGUGGAAUUGGGUUUUAGGGAAGAACUACGUGUGGCUUGAUCCCUCAAGGAGGGUACGUAGGCAGCCUAAGGUUAUUGGGUGCAGCCGCAGACUAAAUAUUAGUCAUAUUUGGUAUUUGAAUUGUAUGGUAGUUGUUUGAGAAUUAUUGGAAGGCCAAAGGCCAUUUAUGAGAAUUUGCAUGAAAUUAUAUUGUGCAUGCUGCUAGUUGUGGAUAUUAAAUGUGUUUUUAUGCAGGUUGAAAUUUUGGGAAAUGUCCAAUUUAUAGGGGAGACUCUGCUGAAAUUUCGGCAGGAAGUCUCGGUUUUUAGUAAGUGGGCCUGGCAUCGGGGUGAUGUCAGGAAUUCCAAAGGGUUCGUCUCGGGUUUUGAGAAAAUUCGGGGCGGGUCCUUAAACAUAUAUAAUUAUUGGGACUAUGUAUUGCAAGUCAUCAUGUGUUCCUUCUGUCUAACAUUAUAUUUUGCAAAUAUCAAAAUAUUAUUCAAUAAGCAGUCAAUAUCACAGCAAGUUGGGAAUUAGUAAAGCCCCAUUAUCAUGUCCGUUCACAUUAAAGAGCUGGCGUACUUUUUCUCAAAAAACUGACACGUGAGUCAUAAGUAACAUAACAUGUGCUAUACAUUGUUUAGUGAAUGGUUUAUGGUUUAUUUAUAUAUAAUAAAAUUCCAAAUAUUGCUGAAUAUUUGUUUUUUCUAUAUCCCUGGGAACAUGAGUGACCAUAAGCAUGUAAGACCUGUUAAGAAGAAGCUGACUAAUACGACCGAGUGAUUGUGGCUACCGUUGUUUAGUUGGUUGGGGAGAUCGUGGUAUUGCUAAGAGGGAGCACAUAAUGUGCUUUGCAAUCAAAUUUUCUUUUGUGUGUGGAAUUAUGAGUAGUUCAAAUGUUAGUGUACCCUUUAAUAUUCUUCAACCGUUUGAAAUGUGAUUAGCUGCAAUGUACUUUUUUACACGCUGCUUUCUAAUCACUCUGUUCCAACAAAGUGCUUUAAGUAUCCUUCAGUUACAAAUGUUUACAAAAUCGUGCAUCUAAUAACCAGUCGAGCUCAGAUCUUAAUAACAAGUAAAACACUAGAACAUAACAUUCGGAAAAAGUGGGUGCUGCUGGAAAUCAUUACUGGUAAUGGAAGCAAGAGCUGGCUGCUGGAAAUGCUGCAUUAGCCUGUGAUAUAAUCAAUGAAUCUCUGUUAAAACAUAAUUCACCAUAAACUACCCAUUUUACAUGGUAAAAGUCAUUGCUUCUUCACAUAACUCAAAAUUUGAUACUUUAUCAAAUGUCUAUGAAAAUUUCUAAAUAGGGGAAAGACGUAAAAUUAACAUGUGUCCAAAUUUCAUGCAAGAAUGAAACCAAGCAAAUUUUUAUUUCAAUUAUCAGUGGACAUAGUAAGAACUCAUCGGUGGACAUGAACAAAAAAAUAAUAAUAUUAAAAACUGAAUCUAGAAAACUUCACCUGAUCAUUAGUCUUCAUAACAACCGAAUUUCGUCUAAUAGAAACAUAAAUCAUUCAGUUGGUCCGUGCAUCGUGUCAAAUUCAUAGAAUAAUGGGUCACUACGAUCUAUUGGAGUUGAUUCGUCAUUGUUCGACGGUGAUGUCCUGCAUAGACAUCAAACACAAGCACAGAAAAAAUUUACCUAUUCAAAUUUUAGGUGUUAUUAUAAAUAGUGUUAGCAUCUUACGGUGUGUUCAAAUUUCUUGCGCAUUGUCUUCUAUCAUGACCAAUGUGUCCACACUCCAGACAGUGUCUAAUCCCUCGCUUCAUUGCCUUUUCUUUUGCUCCCGUUACUCGUUUCGACCUUCUUUUGCACCUCACUCUCUUAGGGUCUUUCAUAUAUUGUGUUUGAGAGCUGGACCCUCCAACUUCGUUAUUACUUGGUCCAUCCUUCAACAACUUCAACUUCACCUGCAAACUUUUUAGAGUCUCUGACAGUAGCUCACAUCCUUCUUCACUCAUUAAUGCACCCUCAACCACAUCUUAAGCAAGUCGAGACAUUGUACUCCGCCUUAUUAAAAGACCAGGAUCUGCAGAGUCUUUAAUUUCGUUGCCAUUUGCAUCUGACACCAAUUCAGAUUUUGCAGUUUUCUUCCACCUCUUUAAAAUAUAUUUAUCGGGCAUAUAUUCAAUCUGGUCCCUUCUGAACAAUGCUAGGAUGUGCUUGCAAAUAAUUCCAACAAAUUCAAAUCUUUUGCACCCACACGAUGCGUGGUCAGAAUCUUUAACAUAUACGACGUCUGCCACUCUUGUUUCCCAAUUUUUCCUUUUGCUCACGCGAAAGACAACUUUAGAAGCACCCUCUGUUUUGAGCUCUAGGAAACAUGUUGUACUUUGUAUUAGUUCUUGGUCAAACUUUUGAAACAUUGUCCUUGUGUACAAGGUAGCCAUUUGUUUGUUCAUUGGCAUCGGUAGAAUACAUUGAGCCACUUCAAAUGCAUCUACGUGAUCAGCAACUAACUCUUUUUGACGUUGAUGAGAAAGUGCCCUCUCAAAUCGUAUUAUGAAAUCCAUCAACGAAUUUCUCCUUGAUAUGUAUUGCUUGAAAAAACCAUGAGAACCUUCCACUCUUUGGCUGCUUGACAUUCCAGCGGCAAAAAAUUGUUGUGCGUAGGCUGGAACCCAAGAUUCUCUUAAAUCAAACAUUGAACUUAGCCAUGGAUGGUCAGUCAAACCAGCCUUUGUAACCACAAUAUUCCAUUUUGUAACAAACUUAUCCUUAUUGUCAGUAUCCCAUACGGCUUUCUGAAAUUCACGCCAAUACUCCUUAUAAGCAGAAUGUGGUAACUUAACAGAGAACUUUGAUGUGAUGUGCAAUAUGCAAAGUCGAUGAAAUGUAGUCGGGAAGGGUAUUGAAAUCGCUCUGGUCAUUGCCGCAUCUUGAUCUGUAAUGAUCGUUUUAGGUCCGCCACUUGGCAUGGCUUUCUUAAACUCCUCAAACAUCCAAAUAAACGACUCAGUCGUUUCCUUGCUCAAAAAUGCGCAUGCUUAGACAAUUGUCUGACCAUGGUUAUUAACUCCCAACAUUGGUGCAAAUGUCAAGUCGUAUCGAUUCGUGUUGAAUGUGGUAUCGAAUACAACAACAUCUCCAUAAAACCCGUACGCCCAUCUAGAAGUUGCAUCUGCCCAAAAACAUUGACUAAACCUGUCAUGGCCAUCUCUCUCAAUCUUGAAAUAAAAAGCCUCAUUUUUUUUUUCUGUUCAGCCAUAAAAUACUCGGUCACUAGUUCAACAUCGUGGUUCCUCAACUUCCCAUUCACACUACAUUCAAAAUUGUAGAUAUCUUUUUUGAUAAAACCGAUUUUAUCCAUUCCUCCGGAUUGCACCUCGAAAAUACUUACCUUCUGAUGAAUGAGAAUAUUAACCGAACCCAACUGUUUUGUGAGUACUUUUGUAGAAUCUGAACUAUGACGGUGUGAUCUCAAUAAAUGCAUUCUUUCUGAGGGUGUCAUCUUAUGAUUGUGUCCCUCUGCAAAAAGAGAGAUGGUAUACUUCUUGCUCCCAUUUGUCUUCACAACCACAAUCUUAGCUUUGCAAUUGCAUCUACUUAUUCCCCGCUGUCUUUUUCUCUCCCGAGUUUCAUCUCUCCUGUAUUCACCUUGUUUGCAACAUACAAAUUCUUUCCUCAAAAUCUCUUUCUUAUUUCCCCCCCAAAAGCUGGAAUGAAGUCGAAUACCAAAGCCAGCCAAGAAUGCAUAUCUAUUAUAGAAAUUGUAAACGAGGUCAAGCAAGUCGAACUUCAUCCCAACUGCUGGUGUUUCCUCAUUUCUUACUUCAAGAAUGUAAACCCUCCCAUUAGCUGUUACACAGUCAUCACUCUCUGAGCCCCCAGACAUUUUAUCCACGUAUAUUAUUGAUCCACUUCUAUAUUAUUGCAUAGCAAAUAUUAAUUCAUUAAUAAAUCAUUACUGCAUCACAACAUAUCAAUGCAUUCCACUUACACAAAACAUUGCCCAAAUUGACACAAAACACGCAUAGCCUAACUUGUUGGAUUCCGAUUACACAAAACGCAAGCAAAAUUUAAUAAUAGUUACGUCAUCUCUUGUGAAAUAAUCUAGAAAAAAUAACAUUAGAACCAACAUGUUCAACUAAGAACACAAAUGCAAUUCAAACCAGCAAUCACAUAACUUCACCCAAUAUCCUCUCCAAAUGCUUACUCCUAAUGUCAUUAAGCCUAAGUUUAGGAUCUUUUACCUACAUUUCAUAAUUUUUCACCCCCACCAAAAAUAAUCAACUAAGUAUACUGAAUAUUCAUAAGGAAAUGACGCAUUAUUGAUGCCACAAAUGACGAAUUUCCUACCCUCACAAAAAACAAAUCAAACCCAAUUAAAUCAAUCCAGCAAGAGUGAACUUACCUCUCAAAAUCAAUCGGGAGCUCCGAAGUCAGUAAGCUUGAGAGAAUGUGGUGGACAUUAGAGAAGACUCUUUGGUAUUGGAGACUCCAUCUCUACCAAAAUCGAGGAACGAACUGCUGCUACGGCGUCUAGCUACAGAAAAAGAUAUGCUACUUUACUUUCAUCUGGAAUCUUGUUUGCUGAACGAAAAAGAGAAAGGGUUUUCACUUGAGCCAUAGAAUCAAAACAAGGCAACAUCUAGGUAAGAGCCAUUAAUCGUCAUAUCGAGGAUACCAUAGAUCGCAGGCCUCCCAAGGAGCUGAUGACAAUGGAGCGACUAUAGGGUUUGGGAGCUUUGGAUCCUUCUAAUUGUGGGUUUGCGUUACAUUCAAAAAAAGAGGAGUGUGUUGUUGAGUUUUUCACAUAGAGGGAAAGAGGGAAAGAUCUUCAACUGAAGUUGGGUUUCCAACGGGUCAAAUUUCAACCCGGUUCUACAUGCACCCUCUUUUAAAAACUCACCGUUGGAUUUCAUCCAACGGCUCGUACAUACCCCUCAAAAACACCCCUUAUAACUUUCCACUCACUAUAGAAGCUCUCCCCAGGAAAUGCUUCGAGGUAGAUUUUAUGUUUUGGGCCUUGGGACCCAACUUCACAAAAAGAAAACAAAUUUGACCAAAAAACAAAGUUGAAGGACAUUGAUAUUGUACCUGUAGGAUAGGUUAAAACACUAAAAGGAAGGUAAAUAGUACGUUUACAGAGUUUAAGUGUAAUAAAGGAAUAAAAACAUGCCCAGAGAAUUGAUAAGUGAUAUCAAUUCUUGAAUAUAUAGAACGUAAAAUAAAGGAAUACGUAGAAAAUUAUUUUAUGUGGUAAAACUCAAUCUAUGGGGCCACGGGACUUCUUAGUCCAAAAAAAAUCCAUUGAACGAUGAUUACAAGAAGUACUCACACACUUAUCCUAGACACAUUCUAGAUAAUUUUUACUAACAUCUUUGUAACUCAACUUCUGUCAUAGGAUGAUUUUUUGACACUCCUUAUGUUGAACGCAAUACUGGUCACGAUUUCUUCAAGCUCGCAGGAACUCUCCUUAUAUUGAAUAUGAUACUAGUCACGAUAGAUUCAAGCUCAUCGGAGAAAAACAGCCACAACGGUCUUGGUGCCCUCAAUGGUAUGAGUCACUGAACAUGCAAAUAAAUACAAUAUGAAUGAUAAAAGUGUUUGAUAAAUCACCAAGUUAUGGAACACUUGAUGAUUUAUCUCAAAUAAAAACUCAGCUUUCCAAAGUUUAUGAAUUGAAAAUAUGAUCGUUAAAGCUCUCUAAACAAAGAAGACGAAGAUCUUAUUUUAUAGAAUUUUUCUUUAUAAGAAAGAAAACACAUUGAAAACCAAAUCUCCAAGGCUUGACAGAAAAUCACAAAAGUAUCUUUCCUAUUCUAGAGAUUGGUCACAUGUAGUCCAACCAAUAGGACAUGAGAUAUUUAAGAAAUGAAGAUUUUGAUCAAUAUCAAUAUCAAAUGAAUUCUUAUACGCCUAGUCAACUAUUAAGGGUAUCUUGACUCCUUGAUAUUGUGAUAUGAUUGAAACAUGAUUUCCACGUUAGAAAAUUAAGGGGAUGUUAAAACAUGAAAGUAAUAGGAGAAUCAAAUUGAUUUCGGCCAAAAUUGCCUAAAAAGAAAACACUCCUAAAUAAACUCAAUUCACUUUUAAAAACAGUAAAACGUGAUUGAAUUGUUCUUUAAAACAAUUCCCUAAUAUACAUGCAUGAUAAUGACAUCACUUACCUCUGAAUCAAAUGCCUUUCAUAGGUCAAGCCACAAGUCUGUGUUUUGGGGAUUGCUGAGCUGCAUCAAUCCUGCCAAUGUCAAUGCUGCCCCUAUGCUCUCUCAAAGCACGUUUACAACCUAUGCUAACAUAUACCCUAAACCCUAGUAUCAAGAAAAUGCCAACACUAAUUUCGUAACACGUAGAAAUUGUUAGAGAUUGGAAGUUUUUUUUCUUCAAGUCUCUCCACCACUCACUAAUACAGAUUGCUCAUGUGAUGAGUUUACAAAACCUAUUUCUCUACUCUCACAAAGACUAUACUUCUUCUCAAAAGACUAUAUCACUUUACCUCUAUCUCUGUGAAAUGUAAAAAGUUGAAACUUUAAUGUCAAACCUCGACAAAAGAUGAACUUCCAUAAGUUACGUUGAAUUUGGAUUUGUUGAACUUAAGUGGUUUUACUUUUCUGUCAGUGUUUGAUGACUUAAUUUGGUAUUUACUUCUUCUUUUUUUCCUUGGAAAUGUGUUCCACCAACGUGAGGAAGAAAAAUAUGCACAAAUUAAUAUAUUUAAUAGAAGCCCAAGAUUUCGGAAGCACAUAAUUUCUACAAAAUUCUACAAAGUGUUCUACUUUACAAACUUCAUAUGUCUACCAAUUUUUACUAAAAUUAAUUUAUCUGCAGUGCUCAAAUUCAUCAUAUGUGUGUCCUUAAUUUUAGUGAAAAUUGGAAGUUUCCAUUAUUUUUGUUUUACGGGAAUUUUUUGAACCAAGGAAAAUCAAGUAAAAUUAAUAAAGCAUAAAUUGGAAAGGGAAAAUAUCUAGAGGAUGCAUUGUAGGAUUGCUCAUGCCAAUAAUUGUACCCUCUAAAUAUAUAGGGACAUAUUUUUUUUGCUCAUACCACUUGUUGCAGUACACAUUCACCCGUUUUCAAAGAAAGAAAUUCUACCAAUCGAUAAUGUCUCAAAUUUAAUCACAUAUUUUAUGGACCAUCCAGCUAUGAGGUUUUAUCUCAAAAACCUUCGGUACAUUUCUCCCACAUGCCACAAUUGUAUAUUCACAAUUACGUCUGAUACAUCACAUCAUGCCACUUGCCUCAAAUGAAUUUAAGUGAGUGAGGCAGUUGGAAGUAAUUAAGCUCUAUAUUGGUGGGUGGAGUGUUAGUUCUGGGUACCCCUCAUCAUUCGUCUAUAAAAUGGUGAAGCCAGUUGCUACUGUUACCAUAAGAGCCAGCUCCGACUUUCUUUAAUUUCUUGCUUCAUAUCCACUAGCUACAUCUGUUGCUCUUCUCAGUGUAAGCUCUGCAAUUUGAUUAACUUUCCCAUUAUCUCUCACUGUACUCUAUAUAAAGGAAUAAGUGUCGUCCAUUAAUUCUCUCCGAAAGUGUCGUCCUGAUUUUAAUUAGAGUUCGAAUUAAUGUUGCAGCUAGCAGCGGUUGCACUGGCAAACCAUGCUGCUCAACCGGUACCUCAACUUUACUGGAACUCCGUCCUGCCAAACACACAGAUGCCAAGAUCUAUCAGUGAACUUCUGCAUCCUGGUUUGUGUUUGAGCACUUUAGAAUCUUAGAUAUCUCUUCUACCUGCCAUUUUACUAAAAUAUGUUCAACCACAUAUUUAUCAGUUAACUACUGUCAUUACAUGAGUGACACAUAUUCACAAAUCGGCUGAUCACUUAUUUUCCAUUAUGACGUUGAUAUAUAAUGUUGGGAAUGGAAAGCCAAUUGACCACAAGGGAAAACCUGAAAAUACUGUACUACCACAGCUAGCACGAAGCCCAUUUUCUUACAAGAGUGAUGUGGGGACCAAAUCUCAUGUAUCAUAGCUUAACCCAUAUGCCACAACUAAAAGACGUGGGAUGAUCGAACAGCAUACCCACAUGGUCAUGGAUCUCUUCAGAUAAUCAAUAUUAAACAACCCAUAAACUUCUCCCUUUGAAGAACAAAUUAAAACCAAUUUCUAGAGGAAGGUUACAAAACAUUUUAGCCCGUGAAGAACAAAUCAAGACAAUAUAACCCAUUUGAUAACAAAAUCAAAAUGAGAUUUACCAAUACUAGAUGACCACGGCGCCAGUAUAAUGGUACGACGGCGGCGUUAUUGUAACGGUGGAGAAGUGGAUGGUAUGACGACGGUGUUAGUGUGACGGUGGAGGAAACGAUAUUAUGAAGGAGGCGUUGCUAUGUUCGGUGGAGGAGUCGUGUGUUUCACAGUUCAAUAUAUCCUUUUUAGUCAUUUUAUAUUAGGGUAAAUCAGUAAUUCAAUAAAUAAUUUGAUAGUAUGGUGUACUCAGUUAAUAUUAGGGUUCAUUUAACAGCACUCAAAUUAACUAGUGUAGAGUCUAUCUAUAUUAUUAAUACUAAAAAUAAAUAUAUGACUAAAUAACUCAAAAAAAAAAUAAAUCUACAAUCUUUUUUUUAAAAAAUUUUUUUUAUAGAAUUUUAUUAGAUUAAUAGGCACUACUAAAAAAUCUCCUUAUAAACUACAAAUACACGCAUAACUUAUACUAAUGUGAGCUACUGACACCACCUGCCACAUGACAGUUGUCCAAGCAUAGUGUUGUCAUUCAUUAUUCCCCACAGCAACUAACAUCCAAUAAAGGGUUGGGGCCCACCCAUACUCCACCUCUCUGUAUGUAGCUCUUUGAGAAUACAGAAGAAAUAUUUUUUAGGGAAAUAGCUUAAAAUGAUACCCAUUUCAUAAUUUUAAUUAAAAAUACCACCCCUUUCCAAUUUUUGUACAACUAUCACCUAUAAAUAUAAAAUUAUUGUCCACUUAUUGCUGAUUUUUCACAAGUUCAGAAAUUUUGGAAAGAAGAAGCUCACACAGCUCUCUCUCUCUCUCUCUCUCUCUCUCUCUCUCUCUAGCACAACUCUCUUUCUUUGGUAUCUGUCUAUCACAGCUCUCUGUGUCUCUCUUGGCUCUCUCUAUCUUGGCUCUCUCUCUCUCUAGCACAACUCUCUGUCUCUCUCUUUGCUCUCUUUCUCAUAGCGCAGCUGUUUCUCUCUCUAGCUUCGUUAUGUCUCUUUCUCCCCUAUUCGAUCUCUUGCUUUCUGUUUGGAAUCGCGAACCCCUCCCUUUAGCUAUGUCUUCUGAAUAGCUGCUUGCAACCUUGAAGCUCUAGUGGAUUGCCGACCUCGAAAAGGUAGUGUUGAUGGUUAUUUUCUUAAUAUCAGUGGGAUUAUGUGAAAUGGGUUAUAGUUUGAUUGUUUGGGUUUGUGUUAAAUUCGUUUUGGCUUUAAUUUCUUUGGGUUAGGUUUUGUUGAAUAUUCAUACUCAUUCAUCUGGGUUUGUACCAAUUGCAUUUAGAUUGGUCUGGAUAUGUGAAUCUUGAAACUUGGGAUUUUCUAUUUGAUGUAGUAGAUCUGUAUAGUGUGAUUCUGUUGUGUUCCUCUUAUUUUACAGUCGUAUUGCUGUUAUAUUGUCAUUAUAUUGCUUAUAUAUUGCUGUUAUAUUGUGGUUAUAUUGCUAUUGUAUUGUUUGGUUAUUGUGGUUAUAUUGUGUUAAUGAAAUGUUGUUUUGUCAUGGUCAGAAAUGGAGACAAUUGUUAUUCUCGUGUGCUACAAUGGAAAAUGGGUCACCUCGAAGAAGAUGUGCAAAUACGAAGGGGGUGACUCAAAAGGCUUAAUAGUUCCACGGACCAUCAAAUUUGUUGAACUGUUGGACCGUGUGCAUUAGAUUGGUAAUACAAACAGCAGGGAAGACAAGGUUUGCUUAAAAUUCUCAGUUUUGGUGGCCUCGAAUGAGUGGAAGCACAUAAAUAUUGAGGACGAUGAUGAUAUCAAUUUUUUUAUGAAGUACAAUUCCGAGGUAACACCUUCAAAACUAGCUCCCUUACUCGUGAGUAUAGAAGAUAAAGGAUUGACAAAUGAUGUAGUUCAUAGUAUGCAUAUCACGACAGAUAGUAGUCGGAUGGGUCAUUCUUCAGUUGCCAUUGUUGAAAGCAAUGAAGUAACUUGGAAUAAUACGAAUGUCACUGAUGUGGGAGGUGAAGUAGGGACAGAUUUUGUGGAUAUGAUUGAUUUUAGCGAGGUGUAGGAGAUGCAUGGUGGUGAUAAUAGUACUGAAAGAAAUGAAGUGUCAGUGUACUCUGCCCCUCCUAAUUUGGGCUGCUUCAACAUAGCUGCCCAGUUGCCAAUAAUGCGUUUAGGAGGAGAAUCUGAACCCACUCGUCAACAUUAUUGGAGUCAAAUAGGUGAACAAAAUCGGUACAAUGCAGCCGGUGUAAAUGAUGAAGAAGCAUAUUUGGACAGCGGGUUUUCACGAAGUGAUUGGAAUCCGAAAAUUACAGUUGGGCAAAUUUUCUCUAGUAAGAAAGCAUUGUUGACGGAGUUACGGUUGACGGCAUUAAGAGGCCACUUUGAAUUUAAGGUGCAAUUCUCUUGCACUAAAAGGUUGCUUGUGGUUUGUUGUCAACGUCCAUGCCCAUGGCGGGUCCGAGCAUCGAGAAUUGGAGAAUACAGCUUCAUGAUUGUGAGGUGUACAACUGUCCAUGAAUGUGAUUUGAGGUUCGUAAGUGACAAGCAUCGUCAAGCAACCGCAGCACUUGUAGCCACUUCACUUAAAAGGAAGUGACAUUAUGAGAGAUGUGAAACACAACUUUGGUUGCACCAUCCAUUAUUCGAAAGCUUGGAAAGCAAAGGAGUUAGCUCUAUUGUCCAUUAGAGGAUCAGCGGAGGAGGCAUAUUAUAUCCUUCCAGCUUAUUGCUAUGAAUUGGAGCGUAUGAAUCCCGGCACAAAAACACACAUCCAAACUGAUGAGAACAAUCACUUUGUGUAUUUAUUUAUGGCGGUUGGCGCAUGUAUUAGAGGGUUCCGUUCUUCCAUGCGCCCAGUGAUAGCCGUGGAUGCCACUCAUUUAAAAUCCAAGUACAAGGGUGUUAUGUUUGUAGCAAAUGCAUUCGAUGGUAAUUGAAAUAUAUAUCCUCUUGCUUUUGGGAUCGGGGAUUUGGAGACGGAUGCAUCAUGGCAUUGGUUUUUCACUAAACUUCAUGAAGCCAUUGGUGAGUGUCCCAAUCUUGUUAUUAUUUCUGAUCGCAAUGUUAGCAUAGAGAAUGUGUGGAACAAAAUUUUUCCAACUGCACAACGUGGCAUAUGCUUUUAUCAUAUGAAGGGGAACAUGAAACGCACUUGCUAGUUGAAAAAGCGUGAUCACAUACUUAUGCACUUUGAGCAGGCUGCGAAAUCUUAUUCCAUUGCUGAAUUUGAUUGUCAUUUUUGCAAGAUCAAGCGAAAGGAACAUGUUGCUCAAUAUCUUGAAGAGACAGGGUUACAUAAGUGGUCUAGAGCUCACAUGGAUGGACGCCGCUACAAUGUAAUGACAACAAAUAUUGCAGAGUCAAUCAACUCAGUCCUUAGGUUUGCAAGGAUGCUGCCAGUGGUUCAUUUGAUAGGGGAAAUUGUUAAUCUCCUUGUGAAAUGGUUCACCGAACGUUGUGAGUUGGUUUUGAAUUGCACAACAACAUUGUGCCCCAAUUUUGGAGAGAAGAAGUUGAGGAACAGGUUGGAGGAUGCUGCAAGGAUGAAUGUGGUUAAAGUAAAUAAUGCACAGUUUAAUGUUUUGGACGGUGAUAUGGACGGCCUCGUAGAUUUGGCGAACAGCAGUUGUAGUUGUAGAAAGUUUCAGCUUGAGCAGCUACCUUGCAAGCAUGUAGUUGCAGUUUGCCGCUUCUUGAAAGUAAAUGUAUACGCAAAGGCUUCUCGGUAUUACACUCAGAAAACCUGGAUGAUGCUUAUUCGGAUAGCAUCUACCCGGCACAACCUCACGGAAUGUGGGAUAUUCCUGAAGAUGUUCGAAGUCGAGUUGUGCUGCCUCCCAUGGCAAGGGUCAUGCCAGGCAGACGAAAGAAGAUCAGAAUUCCCUCGCAAGGAGAGGGCACCAUUAGAAGAAAGUGCUCAAGGUGCGGUUCCGCAGGCCACAAUAAAAGCACAUGUAAAAACAAUAUUCCAUUGCGCAAUGUAUCUUAGACAAUAUGAUUUGUGUUGCUUUGGUAGGUCAUGUAAACUCUACUUUUAUUUGUGGUGGGUUUCGUGUUAUGUUGAAUGGGAAUUCUUUUAAAUUUGCAUAAUUUGGGUUGCAUUGCUACAGCAUGCUGUAUUGCUGACAGAUUGCUAUUAUAUUGGACUUUUAUUGUACUGGUAUUGCUUCCAGAUUGCUAUUAUAAUUUGAGUGCGAAAUUAAAGGGACUGGAAUGUAAUUCCAAAUGGAUCCAAAUCAUUAAAGUUCUUAGAAUUCCUAUAUUACACAGUUACUGUGAUACUCCGACUAUACCUUCUUUUAUGAUUACAAAUUCGGCCAAUGCAUAGGCCAGAUGUGGGGCAAAUACAAGGUGAAAUGUCCUAUGUGUUUGACUACAUAUACUUGUUGAAGGAGCAUUACGAAUGCUAACCUCAAUAGAUUGCUCAUGUCUUGCCAAGAACACUCUUGAAUUUAUGCAAUGUGCCCAAGCCAGUCCCAAAGCUGGACUCACCCGUCUGCCUGAUGUGUCCAGGGACUCCAAGUUUCCCAACCUCACCUCAUUCACUUUAUCAUGUGGCCCAAUAAAAUCCACCACUUGGUUGGUGACAACCACCGCCAACCCAAACUUAUUUGCUAAACCCUUCAAUGUCCCAGAUAUGUUGAAAAAUAUUUCAAACCGCCAUUUCAAAUCUGCUGGUGUUGUCUGAUACUGUGAUCGGAACAAUGCAGCAAUGGAAUCAAUGACAAUGAGUUUCACAGGUAGGUGGGUGUGAUCAAUGGCAAUAAAUGCUUCUAUGUCUCCAAGGACAUGGAUGAGUUGUUGAGCAUCAUGAACACCAUGAACAUAUAUGUCUUCCAAUGGCUCCAACCUUAUUAAGUUGGGGUAUGAUGCAUGAUAAAGGUUGCCUAGUUGUUGCAAUCGACGAAAUGGGAAGCUGAAUUCUGUGAAUAUGUAGACGGUGGAGCCCUCUAGUCCGCCAUGUGAGGGUGGGAGCUGAGCUGGUACCGUAAGUUGGAGACAAAGUUGCGUCUUCCCAGAACCACUCUCCCCUACCAAUUCUGUUAUAGAGUUGCAGGGUAUCCCACCCCCCAAGCAGUCAUCUAGUAUUGGGCAUCCAAUGGAUAAUUGAGGGGUUGAAAGAGGAAGGAGCAUGAGGUUUUAGGGUGUCAUAUUUGUGUAAUUUAGGGGGGGAUGUGAUGGUGCUACAAGGCAUGCAUUAUAUAUAUAUAUAUAUGUAGAGUUCAUUUUGAAGGUCUGUAUUGUAGGCCAUAUGUCUUUUAAGGGAUGUAUAAUCCAUCCUUUUUUCAGGUUGUAAUUAAUUUUUUGUUUAUUUAUUAGUAUUUUUUUGGACCAAAUAAUUUAAAAAACAUUAUGAUGCAGUACGUACUGUAAUAGGAUCAUAUUGUAACUCUAUCAUCACUCUAUUGUACUCUUAUUGACAUAAUAUUGCCGUUAUAUGCAUGUUUAUUAUAUAGUUAUUACUGCUAUAUCGCCACUGAACUGGACACCGAUAAACUGUAUACGCACAAAUACAAAAAGAGGCUUCAUCAUUCCAUAAAAUCCUAUUUCCAAACUUACAUAAUACAACAACAGGCCACCCCAUCGUUACAUAAUACAAAAAUACGCCACCUCAUAGUUCCAUUUCCCUACUGUUGACAAAUUCGAAGUUGCAUACUCUUCAAGUGCGGUGACCGCGACGCAUGAAAUUCAUGACCCCGGCCACAGUGAUGUUGGCCUAGUUUCCUGCCGGAUCCACUAUUUUUGCAAACUUACGAAAUAGUUCGAAUCCGCUUUCCACUUCUUCUUGCUUCAACUUGGCCGUUGCUUCUGAUUCCUUGAAUACCAUAAUUGCAGUGGUAGGGGCAAUUUCAAUUUUUGCUUUCAUUGUCUUUAUAUGUAGGAGAUGCAUGCGCGCAUGAUAACGAGAGCGAAUUGUGCGGUUUUUUAUGACACCCCAUCUAGUUUGGCCCUCCACAAUUUUGAAACUAUGUCUGCAUGAAGAUUUUUCCAAAACAUGGUAUUGCCUCGACAUUGCUGCAUGCCAUGGACCAAGUCUGCAGGGAGUGAAUUGGGUGACUUGGCUUGUGUUUCAGUCUUCUCUCCUUCAGUAAUUGAAAGUGUUGGGUGUGGUGUGAGGUUAUGGUCCAUGGUCUUCGAUAUUUAUUGUAGCCUAGUGUACAACUUAAUUGGAAAAAAAGGGGACUAAAUGCGAUGGGAGUGAAAUCAGUGGGGAAGGUAGUGGCUGUAAGCAGGAGUUAAUGUGAUGGAAGUUUUCAUUUCAAACAACUGGGUUGAUUAAUAUAGGCAAGUUUUAAUGACCUGGAGUAACUCAGAGAGUUAUUGGUGGGAGGGAUUAGAGGGAGUAAUUGGCGGGAGGGAUUGGCGGGAGUCUUAGGCGGGAUAGUAUUGGGCGGGAGUUAUUACCCAGUUGACUGUAUGCCUUUUUGUAAUAUAUUUGUAUGUUGGACGUUCCAAACUUGGUAAUUUUCCCAUUAUGUAAUUCAAAUAAGGGAUUUGCCUAUUUGCCUAAUUGACCAACUCAUUCAAAUUGACCAAUAUGGUUAUUGUCUUAUUUCUCAUUUCAGCAAUCUCAAUUCGUUUCCAUUUUUCCAUUCUUCAUAUUUUCCUAUUUUCCAUGUGUCAUCCAAUUUUCCAAUUUUCCAAUUUUUCAUUAUUUUUGCCUAUUUUUUCCUAUUCCCUAUUUUCCUAUUGUGCAAUUUCCCAAGUUUCCUUUUGUUGUAUUUCUAGUUUUCCAAUUUUUCAAUGUUCCCAUUUUCCCAUUAUGUAAUUUAAAAAAAGUUGCCUGCUUUGCCUAAUUCAGAAAGUAAUUAAAAUGGUCCAAUAUGGUAAUUGUCUUAUUUUCCAUUUCCACAAUUUCAAUUCGUUUCCAAUUUUCUUAUUUUCCAUGUGUCCCUAUUUCCUAUUUCCAUUUUUCAAAUUUUAAGUUUUUGUCCAAUUAUCCAAUUAUCUUUUUUCCAAUUGGACUAUUUUCUAAGUUUCCUUUUUUUCCUAUUUCCAAUUUUCCAAUUUUUCAAUUUGCUAACUUUCCUUUUGUUCUAUUUCCAAUUUUGCUAUUUUCCAAGUUGCCUUAUUUCCUAUUUUUCAAUUAUCCAGUUAUCCAAUAUUCCAAUUUUCCAAUUAUCCAAUUUUCAAUUUUCCAAUUUGCGAAUUUGCCUAUUUUCCAAGUGUCCUUUUUUCCUAUUUCCUAUUUCAAAUUUUCCAAUUUUCAUGUUUUCAGAGUUUCCUUUUUUUUUCCUAUUUUCCAAGUUUCCUUUUGUCCAAUUUCAAAUUUUCCAAUUUUCCAAGUUGCUUUAUUUUCCAAUUACCCAAAUUUCCUAUUUUCCAAGUGUCCUUUUUUCCUUUUUCCAAUUUUCCAAUUUUCCAAGUGUCAUGUAAUCCUAUUGCCUAGUUUCCUCUUUCCAAUUUUUCCUUUUUUCCUAUUUCCAAUUUUCAAUUUUCCAAAUUUCCCAAAUUUCCAACUUUCCAUUUUUUCGUAUUUCCGAUUUGCCAAUUUUCCUUUUGUUCUAUUUCCAAUUUUCCAAGUUUCCUUAUUUCCCAUUCUCCAAGUUUUCACUUUUCCUAUUUUUCAAUUUCGCUAUUUUCCAAUUUUCUGUUCUGAAAUUCGCAAUAAAUGCUUAGUUACACAGUCCUAUUUUGGGUUGAAAUCCACAAUUUUCAAUUUCCCAUUAAGGUUUGCUUUUUUGUCGUUUGGAAGCCAAUUUUAUUGUUGUUAAUGUAAUGUUGUACUGUUGUAAAUUACAGCCAAUGAGUUAAUGAUGUAGUUUGCAAUCCCAUCAAUUGAAUGCACCAACUAAAUACCCAAUAUACUUCAUAUAAGUUCGUACAUAUAACUCAACCUUCCUAUACAGAACUGCAACAGAGGCACCUUCUUAACGGGAAAGGUAAUUAGUCUUACUAAAACGCAAAUAUUCUCCACUACAGCUAACCAAUUGUCGUUUACAACUGGAGACUGAAUCUACCUUUAUUUGUUUUGUUGCAGGCAACAGCUGUGAAUUGUCCCCGGCAAUACUUAAAGAUGUCGGAUGUACGCCCUCCAAAUGAGCAUGUCACAGUUACCCGGGGGACCAGCCGUGGCAUGUGCCAUUCCCAUCUCCACCUCGGACUCCCAAUCAUGAUCCCACUUCAUCUGGAAGUGAGGCUGAGAGCAAUGAUCCGCUUGACAAAAUCUCUGCCGUCAAGCACCACCUCCAAUAUAUGUCAAAGGCAACGGAUUGGUGGGAGAGUAAGUGCGAUAUUCAUGGCCAAGUUAUGGGAAACUUGGCCAACAAGUUGAACAAAGCAUACGCUGGAGAGGUGAAGCAAACUCUAAAAGCAAAAAGUCGGAGCAAAGAGUUAGAGUCCUUGAAGUUGAAAUUGGAAGAGAGAAAGAAAAAUGCUGUCGAAAAAUUCACACAAUCUGAAGAAUAUAACCAUGAAAUGGUUGAAUGUUUCAACAACGGCUUUGAAAUGUUCCGAGAUUAUGCUUCGGUCAUCUCACCAGACUACAAUUGGAGUGAAAUUGAUGUAGCUGGUGUUUGGCAGGUGCUGAAUAUGGGUGCUGAGGGAAUGGCUCAUCAUAGCCUCGUGCAUGCAGCAAGGAGAAAGGACAAAGACUUGGAUCUUUUGAUGGACCUGUAGUAACAGUGAGUGCUGCUUCAGUUCAACUCACCUGAGUACAUGGAUCUUUUGUUGCCUUCAUUUUCCCUUCGCAGGCUAGUAUUGUUAAGGUUCGGUGGCGAUUUCUUUUGCAUGUGUAAAAUGUUGUCUGUAAUGUGUAUGUAUUGUAUGUAGAUUGACUUAAUAUUGUAGUUCUAUUGUAUGUAUAUUGCCUUAAUAUUGCCUUUGUAUAGCAUAGAUAGUGUAUGCAUAUUGCCACCGUAUUGGAUGUAUAUUGUAAAACUAUUGGUAUCGUAUUGCCCUUAUAUUGCUCUAAUAUUGCCUCUAUAGUGCACCUAUAUUGACCUAAUAUUGCUCUUAUAUCGUAUGUCAAUGGCAUGUGCUCUAAUAAGUCUCCAGUUCGUUGAAAGUAAUCCUGAAUUCAAAUAUGAUGGACAAGACAAUUGUUAUCCAUCCUUAUAUUACCAUGAAUUGAUUUGGACCUUUCAAAUGAUAGUUGGAGUUGCACAUGGAUUCAUAUUCAAAAGGAAAGUAAUUCUCUCCCUCAAUGAAUUGUCGUUCAAAAGAAGGCAGCUAUCAAAUUUUGGGUACAAAAAGGCAACAUCCACGGUAAAUUAAUUGGGCACAAACCACAUAUUACAAAACCAGGAUGAUUUUUGGCAUGCUUCAAAAGAGAAGGGCCAAAUACAACAGAAAAGAAAAUCCAUUCAAGCUUGUACAAUAGAAUGCACAAUAACCCUUUUACAUGUCCUUCCAACACCAGUGUUUUGCCUACUUUAGAGUCGCAGGAGGAGAGCUUAUUGCCAUUGUGCAAUUCGAGGGGGCAGUCAAUUUGGAAUGGUGGCAUAAACAUGUUUACUCCACGGAUCACCUAUAUGGGACAGAGCUUCCUUCUUCCCUUGUCGUCUGUAGGUUUCAACUUCACACUUUUUAUAUACAUGUAUGAGAACUUGUGGCUAUUUAUUUAUGGCCUUCUAACACUUGUUCUGCCAUUCCAAAGUGGGUUGGAGACUUUUUGAGUUGAAUGACUGGAAAGACUUCAGAUGACAGAAACUAGAGAGUUUGAAGAAAAAGGGUUACCAAGAACAGCAGUCAUGCCCACGACAUAAACUAAACAUGCUAUAAGCUCCACAGUAAUAUUUACUUCAUCUCCAUAAUCAGAAUAUUGGGAAAAAAAUACCACGGAGAAAUACGUGAAAUGAAAAACAACUCGGCAGUUACUGUGAGAUUGUGUACAUAAAACUUGGAACAACCAAACCAAUUAAAGCUAAGCCAUCUCAUACGUAUACCUACAUCAAAUAACAGUGUAUGGUCAUCUUGUUUAGAAUAUUGCAAUCAACACUUGGUUGAGACCGACCUGCAAAAACAACUGGGUUAAGUACAGAUGAAGCCAUUUAUGAAGGGCAGUUCCAGAAUUAAGACCUACGUUAAUUUGUAACUGCCACCGAAUCAGUUCAUAGUGCCAAAUGCAUCUACCAAGCACACAGAUAUGACCAGCCAAAAGAAAAAAAAGCAAAGUAAAAAAGAUAAAAGAGGCAUGCCAUAAAUGGGAACCUCAGCAGAAAUCAUCAGAUAUGCAUACAAGCAGAUUGAGUAACAUCUCACUAAGUAGAGGUCAUGUUGGUAAUCGCAUGUUGUGUUUGCACACAGACAUUUGGUUUUUGCAAACACAACAUGCAAUUGCAUUCCAUGAUGUGUGUGUUGUGUUUGCACACAGACAUUUGGUUUUUGCAAACACAACAUGCAAUUGCAUGAUGUGUGUGUUGUGUUUGCACACAGACAUAUGGUUUUUGCAAACACAACAUGCAAUUGCAUAUUGUGUGUGUUGUGUUUGCACACAGACAUAUGGUUUUUGCAAACACAACAUGCAAUUGCAUAUUGUGUGUGUUGUGUUUGCACACAGACAUUUGGUUUUUACACACACGAUAUGUAACAUUUAGUUUUACCCUUUUAUUCUUAUUUUCUUCGUUCAAACAUGGUGGUGAGAAAAGCACCAAACCAUCCCAUCAUAUAAAGCAAAACUCAUACAAUAUUUUAGAUGCAAAAGUUAUAUAUUUUAUAUAAAUGCAUCAUCCGCAUGGCUUGAAAUUACAAAUUCACGUUCACAUAUUACUUUUCACAAGCGCACAGACUAACAAUAAUAAUAAUCAACCAAGUAGUUGCGACAUUCAUCCUAUUACGUCCAUAUUGAUAAUGUCAGAAGUUUCAUCGAUAAGCCUCAUCAAACUACAAGUUUUUUAAUUUGAAUUAUGAAUUCAGAACUAAAAGCUCAUGAUAUGCAGAAAAUGACAUACAUUGUCCACAAUCGACUUUUCGAUAUAUUUCUGCUCUAGCAAUUUAUCGUCCAAAUUCUGGACUCUCUGUGUCAGGUGCUUCUUUGUGUUCUAUCCAGCAUAAGAAUAUUUAAUAGUGUGAUUUCAAUUGUUUAUACAAAUUCUAUAAGUAAUAUUGAUGAGUGCUGUAAAUCUAUUUGAUAUUGGGAACAAACAUGGUCCCACUAACAGAAACUCAAACAAAACAGGAAUUUUUUUUUAUUUUUUUUGGCAUAGACAGCCGAAAAGAAACUUACAGCAAUAGCCUCUGUCACGCUCUCCAGACGUUUAUGCAAUUUUGAAACAGCAGCAUUCAUACUACGCUUUGUCACAUACAGAAGAUCUGAGAAUUUUAGACCCUAACCAUUUGUGAAGAGCAAAUAUUAGAUUUGCUUAAAGAAGACAACAACUCACAGAACCAAUGGAUGAAAUAAUAUGAACAUAAAUAUAUCAUUUGGAUACCUUCCACCACAUGUAACCAUAACCCAAUGCCCCCAAGGUAGCUGUUGGCAUUAUUAGUGAUGUCAAACCUAUUAAAAAAAUCAAAAAAAAAAAUAUAACCAAGUAUAAAAUGUUUCUAUUGCAUUAUGAAAUACAUACGUGUAAGGAAUUAAUCGUUUUACAACUUAACCAAAAAGUCAAGGCAGGAGCAUGCAUUCAUUGAGUGGUUAUAAGCAAGAGGAAAAAGCACAAAGCAUGCUAAGAAUUCAUUUGAACACAGAAGAGAAAGUAAGCUACCUUGGAAUUUGGCUGUCAUUCCCCUUCAGGACGGCUCUCUGUAGUGACGAGUCUAGUUGUCGGACCUCAGCUGCCAGUCGGCGCACCUAAAACAAAGUAACACAGGAAAAUUGAUAUCCAUUACAAAAAACAAAAAUUGAACACGAGAAAGCAUCCUUCGACACUAAAUUUAUAGCAGUUUUUCCAAUACCUGUGAUGCGAUCGCAUAAAAGUCACCUUCUGAUUGUUCUCCGGUUCCAUUGAACAAAGGCUGCAAACAAAACAGAAAUAGACACAAAUCCAUCAAUUUUUUGAGCAACAAGACACAAGCUCCGAAAUAAAUAAACUAUCUAACUGAUCAAAACCCUAGUUUACCAAAUGCAUUACAAAAUUAAAAACUCAUACAAAAAUAACACCAAAUACAAAUGUUCUGCGAGUUCCACUAGCAAAGCAGAGUACAAAUCAUGAAAAUGGUACCUGAAGUUCACCGAUCAAUUCAGAUAAUUGACCAUUCUUACGCAGGAUGGUGCUCGUAUACCCUGUAGAAAGAGAACAAUCACUCAGAUCAAAUGUAGCUAAAUACACAAGGAAACUAAUCCAGUAUGCAAGAUGAAAGAGGAGUGAUUGGUACCUACUCCAGCGAAGAUCAGCAAACACAGUAUGAGGUUCCAAAUUCAAAUAACAACAUAAUGCUAAGCAGAGAAGUAGAAUUGCUGCCGAAAUUAUUUAAAACGAACUAAGUCAAAACUAAAUGGAGAAAUGUUAACAAAGUUGUAUGCUUCAGUAAGUCCAGUAACAGAUUCCCAAAACCACAGAGACAAAAUGUGAACAAUGGCUACAAAAGCAUCCAUAAAGAGCAACUAUGUUUAUAUAUGGAGGUGUACAAAAUAGUUAACCUUCAAAAUCGAAACAGUGUGUGUGCCAUGUAAGGCAAUUAGCCACUGCUUCUAGACUAUACAAUAUUACACCUCACAAUAAUAACUAAACCAACUAGCUCUAGCAAAAAGGCAGGAUGACCAUAUAAAGUACCCCCAGCAAAGCAUCUACGUCUGCAUCUUCAUAUCAAGGAGUUCCUGACAUAAGUAAUGAGCAAAGUGAAUUCCCAAGUCAUAAGUCCAGAAUGAGGUGAAUUCACGGACAUUAAAACAUUUACCUCAUAAAUAUGCCUCCCCCCUUAAACCCUCAAUUGCAAGCCUCAGCCGGUAAUAUUUGAUCUUCAAAGGGUCAACUUUAUCUACCGAAAUCCCAGCACUGAGAUGCUCGAUGAAUUUGACGGUCAUGAUUCCGCAAGACGUACUGUGAGACCAAUAAGUUGGGAAAUUAGAACUGCAGUUAUGUAAGAUUUGGAUAAACUGCACUAAAUUCACAAAGCUUACCCAUCUCGUUGUUGUGGCACAUCUGCAAUGCUGCAAACUGAGAAUGGCGUAAACGUCAACAUCUUCAGCCCCUUUUGCUUAACCUUUUCAACCUCAGAAUCUUCAUAAAAGUGCAUAUCGUACAGCACUCGUGCCAGCGUAUCGCUAAUAGGGUGCAGAAGUGUAACCAGCUUCGAACAUUUGGUAAAAGCAACAUAUGAGUCAUACACAGUUGCAGUAUGUCAGACGAAAUCAAUUUCGAUUGCAACCCAGUAAGACCCUUUAAGAUUAUAUGGAAUAUAGACCUUCCGGACUUUUGUCCAAGCUUGGCCAUACCCGUGUUGCCACGUACCGCGUACAAAGUAAUGUAUAUUCUGCAGCUUGCUGGGUGGAAGGUCAACGGUGUUUGAAGCAACUGCCUUCUUCGAUCCACGUUUCUUGGCAGUCGGUUUGAACGGAUCUAGAAAUUGCUGCAUAAAUUGAAAUGAAGGCAUAUUAGAAAAUCACAACCGAAAGCAAAUGAAGCAGCGAAUGUAACAUGGUAACAUGUUUACCUGCAAGCAACAAUCUGCUGUUGUCCAGUCAGUUCCAAAUACCAACGGAUGAGAGAGUUGCCUUUUCCAGAUAAGAAAGGUUGCCAUGUCCAGGUGCUGAAAGUUGACACACAUAAUAUCAGCACAAUUUCAUACAACUGUACACUUAAAAAAGGUGAGAAAACAAUUUAAUUAUCGCAAUAAAGUAGAGCUUUGUGUAUUCUUACCCUUGAGCUAAUCCAUUCCGUUUCAUCGAUAAGUCUGUAGAAAAAAUCAGCGCCCACUGAAAAUAAUUCCAGCUGCACCUCCGCACUACAAAAGGCAAACUUGCAAUGGUUACUUUUAUAGUCAUCUCAUAAUUCUGACUUUGUUGAUGACAAAAAUACACAUGUAUAUUAAAGCAAACUCUACGUUUUCUCAUUAGUCUAUGACUACAUACUAGAAUAGGAUGAAGAUUGGAAUUCAAAGGUAAAGAAUCCUAACCUGAUAUCGUUUUUCCAGGCAGUACAAAACUCUAUUACUGCCUUCACAUCUUCAAUGGGCACGGAUUUUGAUGGAUCAAAACAUGGCGGGGUUGCAGUCGCAGCCAACACACUCAUCGUCCUCUUCUUCCUCAAAGGAUCAGUAAAUGGGCUCAACAAUGUCUGCGCCGGGCGCUUCUGUCUGCACCCUUUACCUUCCACUUCUUUUUUUUCCACACUCGAACUACCUUCUUCAUCACCAGCCAUACUAACUGUGGGUAGACUUGGAGGAUUCAUCGGACCUCCCGAUGGCAUACUCUUAGUCACUUUCCAAUCUUCUAACAGAGACAACACUUUUUGGCAGAUUUCGUCACACCCGGCCACAUCUUCCGGGGUAGGCAGCUUCUCGGAUUGUGCCUGCUCAGCUGCUUCAUGCACUUGUAAGUGAGGAACUGAAGCGGCCAUUUCUGCCUCUUCGACUACCAUGGCUGCGGAAGGUUCGGCUCCAUCACCGGGAACUUGUGUUUCCAUUACCGCCGGUUCUGUAGGCGGACUAACAUGGUCAUGUAAUGGCGACAAGUGAUUGUCGCCUCCUUCAUUCAUAUGAGGACUACUGAGGUCCUCAUGUCCUUUCCCACCUUCAUUCACCCCACCAUUUCGUUUUUUCAGCUGCUCUAUCUCCACAUUAAAAUAAUGCUCCAUUAAAGCCAGGGUGUUGCGGAAAUCCUCCACACACUUUUUAUUUUUUUCGAACUCUCUUUCAACUUUCAAUGACUCCUUCCGUACCAUGUCUUCCAACUGAUGCACUCUGUUGCGAAGCGCUCGAUUUGAUAUGGCAACUUUGGCCAAUUCAUCCUUUGUCCUUUGAAAGUCACGCUUCAAAGUGCGUAACUCUCUGGACGCGACUGUACCCUGCAUUCAGUUAUAAUGCAAGUGUUACAAUAUUUUCAAAAUAUAUUGCAACAAUACAGCAGUUAUUUUCCUAUUGUAUUAUGACGUAUAUCUUGGAAAAAAAUGUAAUGCUUGCCUUAGAAGACGACGGAAGGCUAGCAGUUUCGUCAAUGUCCUUAUCUUUUUCUUCUACAGAGGCAGAAGUGCUGGUUUUUUGUUCAGCGUCAUCGCCAAACAACUGAACAAGUUCUUCAGUGUCGUCAACACUGUCACCCCAAGUCCAAUACGGCUGCUGCUUGUCGAUUACAGAUGGCCGGAGAAGUUGCACAUCAACCUGCAAUUUACACAUACAAUAUACAUAUCAGUAAACUUAUUAUAUUAUAUUUUCAUAUGCCUAACAUUAUCAUUAAAAACUUAACUAACCUCACGGUUCUCGAAUACUUGGCUCAUUAGCUCAUAAAAACACGGCGAACUAUUGCUCCUCCAAUGUAGUAAACGAGGGAUGUAGGCAUUAUCUUCGUGCACCACCAAAUGUAGUGCAGCCAACGCUGGAAAAACCUCAUAAGCCCAAAUCUGGUUUGAGGAAUAAAACGUGAGUCACUGUAAACAAAUGAAAUUUAACUUCAACAUGAAUGGAAAUUUGCUCACCUGAAGUGCAUAGGCAAAACCUUUGAGGUGGUACUCUCUUGGUCUACCAGUUGCCGUUGUUUUUGCUUUCUUUUCAGAUUUUUUUGUUUUUGCAGCUUUUUUGGGCACUUUCACUCGCUGGUAAUCUGUACAAAGUGCCCUCAGAAGUGACACAAUUGUCUUGGCAUAACACACAGCACCCCAUGGAUACUUCCCAAACUCUUCAAGGUCUUCCACCAACUUCAAAUAUCGCAUGUCAAUCUGGACAUGUUUUUCACUGCCCAACAGCACAAACACAGCAAAGUAUACAAAUCUGAGCUUCAAUACAUCGUCCGCAUCAACGCAUUUGAGGAAGGCCUUUUCUAAUUCCAAAACAUUGACAGUUUUAUAGUUGCCAAAGUACUUCCUUUUCAAUGAGCAGUUCUCAUUAGUGGGAAUCGGAAUAAAGGGAAGGUUUCCAAACCUUAGCCCUGUCACGAUGCAAAAUUGCUGCGCCGUGAAUUGGAUCACCUUAUUGCCAACGAUGAAUUUGAUCCCGUUGAGUUGGGAAACUGUCUUUGGAUCAGCUUUCCUCAGCAGCAAGCCGUGGACAAUUGGCGAAGUCCACUUGAGGUCCUCAAUCAGUAGGAGAUGCCCAAAACAACUCUCUUCAAACCUUUGUAGCUGUUGUUCACUGAAUUUCUCCUUUAUCGUGCUGAUUGCAGUCUUCGUAUGGGAUAGGGACAAUGCUUUUCCUUGGAACUUUUCUUCCUCUGCAAUCAUCAACUUCAUUUGAGCAACCAUCUUUCCCUGCAUGCCAAUAUUAUAAAAAAAAAUUCAGUCCGUUGCAAUCUAGACAAUAACAAGCAAUAAACAAUCAGCACUUAUCUACAGCCUAUUAUAGGAUAUUAAGUGAAAACAAAAAAACAAAAAAUACAGGGCAUAAACAAAACCCCAGCUAUUUACAACUGACCUACUAAUUCAAUAGCUCAAAGCCACAUCCCAAGACACCCAGUACUCUACCACUCUUGCAUAAUAUAAUAUCUAAAGACACAUCUCAACACACCAGAUAAUCAUGACACAGCUUCAGCUAGAAUGGGAAUGUGCGGUAGCACAAGCCUAAUUGAGAACAAUUCAAGACUAACGAUAGAAAUCUAUCUGACUAGAAAGAGUUUUAAAAAAACAAGAAGACAUCGGGAAAGAAUUGAUUGACUUCAAGGUAUAAUGUAAUGGAACAUCCUAUGAAUUAGUGGCAACCAUAAUAAUGACUCCACUAUGGCCCUCCUUUCAAAUGUAAGAAAAUGAAUGAAAUUGGCACCAUCCCUUCAGUUUUUUCUUAACAAAAUAAGAGAUUUGUAUGUAUUCUCUGCUUUAUCGAUAUCAAAGAUAAAUUAAUAAAUAAACCAUCAAAACUGUAUAAAAUGUUUGUUAGACAUGUACAAUUACAAAAUUAUAAGUUCUCCUCAGAAACAAAGUUCUCUAAGUACGCAAACAAGAAAAGCAAAAGCUUAAAGAGUUAGCUUAUAGCAAAAUCAAUGUCCCCAUUUCUCUAAACCACACCUGCUGGUGGUAGGUUCCCAUCUUCACUCAUUUCCCGCUUUCUUUUAAACAGACAAUGAUCAAGCACAAAAGAGCAAACUUUUAAAUAACUCAUAUUACACCACAAAUAGUUCUAAAGAAAACUUAUUCAUAUCCAAUAUGCAACCCCUAAAGUUAGUAAACAGAGUUAUAAAAAAAUAUGUCAAAUUAACAAGCAUUAUUCUCAAACAAAAAGUAUGAUAUGGUUGGGAGUUUACAAGUUCAAAAUGAUAUACACAGGUUAAUUGUCUUAGACUUUAGAUAUCAUCUUCAACAAAGAAAAUAGAUACCGAUUAGACUUGUAAGAAGGUUAAAUGCAAUGGUCAUAAAGACCCAUAGUAAGCCACCAAAUACCAAUCAAUAACUGCUAUAAAAACCAUAAUAAAACCAUAAUAAACUAAAAAUACAACAGCACUAAAAUGCCAACACAACAUCACUACAUUAGCAAUAUAGUAGCAACAAAACCACAAUACGACAUCAAUAGCAACAGCAAAACAACAGCAGUGCAAGCAUCAGUCCACAAAGAACAAACCCAUUCACUGUUUCAAACAAGGAAUCAUCAUACUAAGAUCAUUUCAGAGAAACCCCAAAACCAAUUUCAGUGAAACCCCUAAACCAAUUUCAGAGAAACCCCUAAACCAAUUUCAGAGAAACCCCUAAACCUUCAACCAAUUUCGAACAAAUCCCUGAACCAAUUUCAUAGAAAUGCAUAAACCCUAAACCAACUUCAAAGAAACCCUAAACUGUAAGAAAAUGACGAUGAACAGUACCUGUUCAAGGUGAACGAUGGAGUUGAGCUUCGAUGAACAAAUUUCGCUCGGAGAGGAAGAGAGAAGAGAGAGUCAGAGCUGAGCGACGAGAGAUUAAGGGCUGAGCGACGAGAGAGUGAGAGCUGAUCGACGAGAGAUGAGAGAGUGAGAGCAAAGUGACGACAGAGUGAAGAGAAAUUGAGAGAAGGAGCCAAGAGAGAGAGCUGAGAGAGAACUUCAGCAAAACUGAUAGAGAACUUCAGCAAAAGUGAUAUGUGUACAAUAAGGGGACAAUAAAUAUAUAUUUAUAGGUUAUAGUUCCAAAUUUUUUUAAAAAGAGUGGUAUUUUCAGUUACAAUUAUAAAAAUGGUGGCAUUUUGAGCUAUUUCCUUAUUUUUUAUUCAACAUGGACGCAGAAACUGUUGCUAAACUGCAAACUUCUUAAAAUAUUUGUCUCACUUUCUCAACCCUAUAUUUGUCUAACUUUCUAGAUCCAUGUACUGAGAUUUAUUAGGGAAAUAUUGUAGAAACUGAUUAUUUUGAAAUAUUAAAUGUGAAAAACUGAACAAAAAUUUGAUGGGUUACAUAUUUCAACUCAUUUCAGCAGCUUAGAUUUUGAAGACCUCGGAAGAGGCCAUGCAGUGAGCCUAGCUAGUGCACUGUUGAUCACUUCAGUGUCUACCGAUCUGUAAUUUUUCCAGAUUGGUUAUAUUUUCCUUUACAUAUUCUUAUAUUAUUCCCAGCUGUAAGUGUUUUACACACUUGUCUAUUAGAAAAGGGGAGACUUAUAAAUAAAUCCAAAAUGGGUACAGUAUUUAUAAAGAAUGACAAAAUUAAAGUGUUUGGGCAAUAAUGCCCUUAUUCAUUUUGAGAUUGCCUAAGGAAUAUUUUUUCUGAUUUUCAGAAGAUGCCAAAGGACCGUUGUUUGAUGAUUGCCGUAAGGAGCUAAGAAAACUUGCUUUGAUAGUUUUGGACAGAUGCAUGCUACUGUUGCUGGGAUGAUCUCUUCACGUGAAAUGAGGAUGAUGAUGCUUCUACACUACACAAUCCAACGAAUUCACAUGUCUAUUUCAGAUACAAGUAUAAACUAACAAGGCUUUAAAAUAUGGGCUGAUGCACUGUUGUUGAUGUUGCUGACACUGUUACUGUGUUGUUGAUACUGUCACUGCGUUGCUGUUGGAAAAAGCACAAGGACUUCACAUGUUGCUUUCGUCUUUUGUGGAGGAGAGAGACCUAGGACUUGCAUGUCUUAGAUAUUUAAGAUAAGGGGCUUUCGUUCCAUUUUGAAAAUACUUUGGGUGUUUUUGAAAGGUGAUUGUUUCUUUUGGGUUUCUCACUAAAUUUCGCUUUAGAAGGGAAAAUAAUAAUAAUAAUGUCAAACAAAGUAGGGUAAAUAUUCAGAUAUGCUCAUAUUAUUAUUCUUCUCCAAUAUUGAGGUAUUUAUACAAGUACAAAGAUGUGUUAACCCUAAAUAAAAUAGGAAAUAUAUCUAAAUUAUAAUAGGCAGUAAAUCUCUAUUACAAUAGGACUAAAUAAUAAUUGGUAAGUAACCAAAAUUCUAAUGAAAUAAGGAAUCAAAAUCCUAACUAAGUAAGGACUCGCCAACACUCCCCCUCAAGUUAGGGCAAACAUAUUUCGCAUGCCUAACUUGACAAGCGAGUCAUAGAACACCAUACUUGAGAAGCACCAAUUGUAGAGAAGGUCUUUUCGUCAACCACGAGUGAAACAAGUGACAAACUAAAGCAAAGUUCGCAGCGGAAACACAAGAGCGAAUCCUAAAAAAUAGGGCACAUAGCAGAACACAAAAAUCCUGGAGCACGACAGUAGAUAAGGCAGAACACAGAAACCCUGUUAGCACGGCAAUAGGUAAGGCAGAAAAAGUCAAGAGCAAAGGCAAGGUCAACAGGCGUGACCACAACGAAAACACACCAGCAAAGACAUGAGCAACAAUAUUAGCACCAUAAUAGACAUGAGCAACAAUACUGGUACCAACAACAGCAAUACAAGGCACUGGCACCAGCAAGAGCAACAAGGCAUGGACAUAACAUGCAUAAUCAAUAGUAAUCAACAUUGUCCCCAACAAGAGUCAUAAUAGGCAUGAGCAAUAACAUUGUCCCCACUAAGAGACUUAACAGGUAUGAGUAACAGUACUGGCACCAGCAAAGGGCAUAGUAGUCAGCAGCAAUAACAAUGACAAAUACUUCUAUUAUUGCAGAGACAACUUCUCUUCACUCCCCAUCUCCCCUUGAAGAGAAGGGGUCAUCGGAACCAUAAGAAAAGUGGCACUUAAGAAACAGAAGUUGACUGACGCUCAAAUGUAGAAGAAUCAGCCAUGGCAAAUAGGUAGCUGAAUUGCAGCGGAAUAGAUGAGCAGCGGUGUCACUCCCCCUCAUAUCUGAUAAUGUAUGAGAGUCGAGAUUUGGAGAAAGCAAUAUCGAAAAAUAAAGUUGCAGAACCCAAAUAAAGUUGCAUCUAUCUCCCCAUCAAAUCCGACACUGGUAAAGGGUCGAGAUUUGAAAGAGGAGAAAUUGAAAUAAUAGUAAAGAGACUCAAACAUGCAGUCUCAUGGCAGAAACAAAUGCAAGAGGGGAAGAUGGUAGCAUACGGUUGUCCCAUGAAGAAAAAACUUCAGAAAAGGAGAAUAGUAAGGGAGGAAACCUAGCAAAUCAUGAACAGAGACAAAGACAAAGAUGCUCAAACUGAGAAGCGGAAAGGCAACUCAAGAGAGCAACCGAAGAAGACAGAGGCCCGCAGAACAGUCAAAGUUAAGGCUCGGCGAGUGGUGACGAUGCUCGCGGAGGAAAGCAACGGCUCGGUGAGCGGUGAUGAGGCUCACGGAGUAAAGAGACUUGUUAUGAAGUUUCAAAGAUAGAGAAGCUGAGACAUCAAGAAAGACCAUCUGGCAUACAAAGAUGAAAAAUAAAAAUUUUGGAACAGUAGCAAAGAAGCAUGUGAAGGCUGGUGCGGUGAAAACACAUAUGAAAGGAUGAACAAAAGAAGAUGACUAUACAAGAUGAAGACCCAUGAUGGGUUAGGAAUGAGGAGUGCCAACGACUCUCAAUUUGGCAGAGGUUAUCGCAGGUUAGGAACCUGGCUCUGAUACCAUGUCAAACAAAGUAGGGUAAAUAUUCAGUUAUGCUCAGAUAUGCUCAUAUUAUUAUUUUUCUCCAAUAUGGAGAUAAUUAUACAAGUACAAAGAUGUGUUAACCCUAAAUAAAAUAGAAAAUAUAUCUAAAUUACAAUUGGAAGUAAAUCUAUAUUACAAUAGGACUAAAUAAUAAUUGGUAAGUAACUAAAAUUCUAAUGAAAUAAGGAACCAAAAUCCUAACUAAGUUAGGACUCGCCAACAAAUAAUAGUACAACUCUUAUUAGCAACAGGUUACAAACUUCUUCUACAACACACCAACAUGAAUCUAGCCCUGAUCCACUCUUUUACAUACUUGAAAACAAAACAAAACACGAAAAACAAAAAACAAGAAACAAGAUAGGGAGAAAAUGGCUACGGAGAGACUUCCUGCUAAUCAGGGGCGGCCCUGGGGUGGUGCAAGUGGCGUCACCGCACAGGGCCCCCGAUUCUUAAGGGCCCCCAAAAAAUAAUUCUUUAUAUUAUAUAUAUAUAUAUUAAUAUUAUAUGAAUCGUAUAUAAAGUAUAGCGUCUGGAUGAUAAAGAGACUCAUUAUCAUUAUCUUAGUCAUAAGAUUCAAAAUGAAUUGAUACUUUUGUUAGCUUCUGAGCUCAAAAGUGCAAUCAUUAAAAAGAUUGAAGAAGCUAAAUAUUUUUCUGUGAUUCUUGAUUGUACUCCAGAUGCUAGAAACCAAGAACAAAUGAGUUUGAUAGUAAGAUGUGUGGAUGUCUCUACUAAUUCAAUAAAGGUUGAAGAAUUCUUUUUGGAAUUUUUGAUUGUGAAUGAUACAACAGGACAAGGACUUUUUGAAGAGUUGCAAACGGUGUUGCAAAAACUUAAGCUUGAUAUUGAUAAUGUGAGAGGACAAGGCUAUGACAAUGGAUCAAAUAUGAGUGGGAAAUAUCAAGGUGUCCAAAGAAAAUUUUUGGAUGUAAAUCCUAGAGCAUUGUACACACCUUGUGGUUGUCAUAGUCUUAAUUUAACACUUUGCGAUAUUGCAAACUCUUGUGGAAAAGCAAAAGAUUUUUUUGGAAUCAUACAACGUAUUUAUACAUUGUUUGCUAAUUCUACAAAGCGGUGGAAGAUAUUGAAAGAUAAUGUUAAACACUUAACUCUGAAAUCAUUGUCAGUUACACGUUGGGAAAGUCGUAUUGAAAGUGUGAGAGCAAUAAGAUUCCAAGCUGCAGAUUUAAGAGAAGCUUUACUUCAGUUAGCAGAAAGUGACGGUGACUCCAAAAUAACAAGUGAAGCUAAUUCUUUGGCAACAUAUGAACUUGGAAAUUUUGAGUUCUUAUUGGGCAUGGUUAUUUGGUAUGAUAUAUUAGGUGGUGUCAAUGUAGUGAGCAAAAACUUACAAUCUGAAGACAUGCUUAUUGAUGUUGCUAUUGAUAAAGUGAAAGGGUUGAUUACUUUUUUUUUGAAAAGUAUAGAGAAAAUGGGUUUACAGAAGCUAUGUGUACUGCUAAAAAAAUUGCUACUGACAUGGGAAUUGACCCGGUGUUUCCUGAGAAGCGAAAAAUUCGUAGAAAAAAACAUUUUGAUGAGAAUACUUGUGAGCUAUCCCAAUCAGUUCCUGAAUCAACUGAAGAAAAGUUUAGAAUUGAUUAUUUCUUGUAUUUAGUGGACCAAGCUAUUGGUUCUUUACGAAGAAGGUUUCGACAAUAUCAAGAGUAUGAGAAUUUUUGGGUUUUUGUUUACUUCAGAGAAGUUAAAUUCAUUGGAUGAUUGCGAUUUGAAGAAUAGUUGCAGUCAUCUGGAAAGCAUUUUGAAAAAUGACAAGUUUUCUGAUGUCGAUGGGGAGGAUUUAUUUGUUGAGUUGAAAGUUUUACAAGAGCUUUUACCAAAAGUAAAUACCACAGCUACUGCAAUAUUAAAUUUCUUGAAAAGAUUAAAUUGUUUUCCAAAUGCAUUCAUUGCAUAUAGAAUCCUAUUGACUAUUCCUGUUACUGUUGCAUCUGCGGAAAGAAGUUUUUCAAAAUUAAAAUUGUUAAAAUCAUACUUGAGAUCAACUAUGUCGCAAGAAAGAUUAAAUGGACUAGCUUUGAUUUCAAUUGAAAGUGAACUUCUUGAAAAACUUGAUUAUGAACAUUUGAUUGAUGAUUUCUCUUCUAAAAAUUCAAGAAGAUCAAUUUUCAGACAUUAGUAUUGUACUAGCUGUGUUUUUUUUUUUCUUCUAGGGUAAAAGCUCUCAUAAUAAUUUUAAUUCUUCAAAUAAGACAGCAAAUACAAUGUGAUGAAUUUUGGAUAAUCAGGUAUGUUUUUGUUGUUGCUUUUGUGUUUAAUGCAAUAUAAUCUAAUUUUUUUAAUGACAUUUGUGUGCAACUACUCUUUGAUUUGUGAUUGCCAAUUUUUUUUUCUUUCUAUUAAACACAGAUUGCUUAUUGGAGGCAGCAAGAGACCUUAUAGGGGCACAAGGAGCUUAUUUUUGUACAAAACAUUUAACUUUAUCAAAUGGAAACAUUUAAAUUUUUAUGAAUUUGAUUUCUGAUUGUCAUUGCAUAUUUAUUGAUGGUGAAUUUUAGUUAUAAAAAAAAAAUUGUUUAUGACAUUAAGUUAUGGCAAAUUUUUAUAGUAUUUUCGUAUUAGAUUAUGCGAGGUCCCAAUUUAAGUUUCGCACAGGGCCCUCAAAAUCUCAGGAACGGCCCUGCUGCUAAUACUUGAUCAAUAACAGAGAUAAUAGAGCACACUGUUUGUAUGACAAUGAGUAUCAGAAGAAUAAUAGCUGCAAAGAGAGAAAUAGCUGCCCAAGGUGUGUUGAAAUACUUUUGUCUCAAAUUUGCCUUCCGUCUGUUCGUGGUCUUCUUGCAGUACUCGUUUAGUUUGCCAGCAAGAUCACCAAAAUAGUAGUUUCCGUGGUUCGGAGCAACUUUACUGCAAAGCUUGUUAAUCAUAAUGGAAACCUUAUUGUUGUCACCUAGCGUGUUUACAACAAUUCCAUUGUCAACAAGCAACUCUACAUCCUUUGGGGUGUUUACAAAUUUAUCCAGGAUGAAAACAUAAUCGCUUAUGUAUUUAUCCACGCAAUGGCCUUGUUCAAAGGCAAUGAGAUUUCUAUGUGUAAGCUGUGUAAUCAUGUAUUUCAAUUUUUGGAAUUUCCAAGGUGUUUUUCUUGAACUGUAUAUCGAAUAAGUUCUUGCUUGAUCCCACGUUAAACUUAACUCCGGCCUGGUGUAGUUUUGUCAUGCUGGGUGUACUUUGGAGCCCUCCAUUUUUUUUUCUUUUGGCAGAUGUAAAGUUCUAAUAAAAUCAACAAAAUGUAAAGGUUUUUUAGGAUCAGGAGGCAUAAAAGACUUACGGAAGGCUGGUGAGUUCUCCAAGUUUUCUAAACGCAGUGCCUGUUGGAAGAACUUGUAAGAGAGUUCAAUUAUUGAAGGCUCCCCAGUCUGAGCACCUGUGAGAUUGUAAAGAUCCUCGAGAAUGAAAAAUGGCAGCUGAUUUACGAGCAUAAGCAUGUCAGGCAAUAUAUUUUGUAGCACCCAUGGUUUUUUAAAUAUCCAAGCAUCAUCAUCCUGCAAUUUUUCUUCCUGAAAUUUUUCUUCGGAUUUAUUCCUCAACAAUAGCUCAAUGACAAAGGCGGCAUCAACUAGAAUGAUAUUCACAAAAGUAGCAAUGUUAAACUUCUUAGGGCUAGUUUGGCGGCGUUGUGCUUUUAAAAAAAUAUGCUUCUGCUGUGCUGUGAAAAUAAUUAGCUGUGAAAAAAAGCUACUAGGCGUUUGGUAAACUGUUUUUGAAAAACUGCUGUGAGUAGUCAAAGUGUUUGGUAAAUUUUUAUCAGAAGUACUUUUAGUGUGUAUAAUGACCAAAAAGGACAUGAUGAUGAAAUUGUUUGUUAUUUUCUUCAUUCUUUUUCUACUUUAAAAAAAAAAAAAACCCAAUUUCACUACAUAAAUUUUUAUUCUUUUUUAAUUCACACCUUUUUAUCAAAAAAUUUAAUCUACAAUUAACAUACAUAUUUUACCAUAAAUUAUAAAUUACUAUUAUAACAAAAGUAAUUCUAAAUAUUGUUAUAUUAAUAUGGGCUUCGGACAUGACAAAAAUACAAAAAUUGUUCAAUUUUAAAAUGCCCCAAUAGAUCACUACAAUAUAAAAGAAGCUAAUUAGAUGCAUUCAUUAAACUUGUAGCGAUGCUAUUUCUUAAUGCAUUCAUUAGCUUCUUUUUUUGGUUUCCAAUGGUUCUCUAACAAUUUUAACUAAAAAAACAACCAUAAUGCUUUGUGAACAAUAAAUUCAAGUCCAAAUCUGCUAUUGCCCACACCAUACAUAUAUACAUAAUUGUUCCUUUCAUAAAACUUGAAGAUUCAAUAGUAAUUACACAGUUUACCAAUCUUGAUUCCAACUAUAUCCAUAAAAUUAAACUAUAAUUAGAAAUAGAGGAGCUACAUGUGAUUACUCAUAAAUGCUUCCCACUCUCAUCAUCAUCAUCAUCAUCAUCUUCCUCCUCUGUACUUUGCCUUUCACAAAUGGACAAGACCAGAUGGUAACGUACACGACAUGGUCCACAUAUAGAUAAAUUUUGGGUUCACUGGAGAACAUAAAAGAGUUUUUACACGAAUACAAAGUUAGUUAAGUAGUGAAUAAAGUAAAACUAUUCUGUACAAUUCUAGCUGAUGCAGUCCAAAAAGAAUAUAUGUCUAAUAACUUAAAUAACAAUAAAGAGAAACAAAAGCCUCAUGAAAAAUGCUAGAGUAAAAGUUACAUAACUGAAUCGAUGGACAGAGAACUCCACAGGCAGAGAAACAGCAACAAAAAUUGUCAAAACAGUAGCAAGACCAUGUUGGAGUCAAGGCCAAAGAUCAUAUUUCCUGUGUAUCUUCUUCCAUUCUGAAUUAUUCUCGUAUUCAAAUACUGUAACUCUAUUUCAAGUGCACCCCAAAAUACUUAUCUAAGGCCAGUACAUAGGACUUCAUAAAGGGUGCGAUAAAAAAUAUUGCCCCUUAAUUGAUAAACAGAACCAAGAUCCCAACAGCACACCAAAACUAUACCAACCACACCUACAUAAUAUGGACAGAAAAUCCUGUUGUUCCGAUCUCUAACCACACCAAUGACAUUCAUUAGGAAAAUACAAAAGAUGGGUACCCUGCAUUUCUAACAUUUAAGAUAAAAUUCACUGCCAGCUAAUCACAAAUUUGAAAAGAUGGCAAGAAAAUUGGCUAAGCUUUAACAAAAACCAGAGCAGUCCUUGCAUAGACCUGACUUUUUGCUCCAAGCUUUAGCAGAUCACUUACUGGUAGAGAGCAGAGAACAUGUAUGUGAAUAUCUGAAGUUGGAAGGGUAAGCCAUCACAAACACCAAGAGAUCUGAUUCUCAUCUCUUGUUACAACAACAAAUCACAAACACCAAUACAUCUGAUUCAGAAUCUCAUAAACAAUGGAGGAACAAACACAUAUUCACACACAUAUAAAUCCCUAAACAGAAAAAAUAAAAAAUAAAAAAAAAACCAUGAAAGUCAUAGGAGAAUCAAAUUGAUUUGGGCCAAAAUUGCCUAAAAAGAAAACACUCCUAAAUAAACUUCAAUUCACUUUUAAAAACAGUAAAACAUGAUUGAAUCAUUCUUUAAAACAAUUCCCUAAUAUACAUGCAUGAUAAUGACAUCAUUUACCCCUGAAUCAAAUGCCUUUCACUGGUCAAGCCACAAGUCUGUGUUUUGGGAAUUGCUGAGCUGCAUCAAUCCUGCCAAUGUAAAUUCUGCCCCUAGGCUCUCUCAAAGUGCGUUUACAACCUAUGCUAACAUAUACUAGAGUUUGUUUUAGUAUCUAGAAAAUGCCAACACUAAUUUCGUAACACGUAGAAAUUGUUACAUAUUGGAAGUUUUUAUCAUUUUUUCUUCCAGUCUCUCCACCACUCACUAAUACAGAUUACUCAUGUGAUGAGUUUACAAAACAUAUUUCUCUACUCCCACAAAGACCAUACUUUUUCUCAAAAGACUAUAUCACUUUAUCUCUAUCUUUGUGAAAUGUAAAAAGUUGAAACUUUAAUGUCAAACCUCGACAAAAGAUGAACAUCCAUCAUCAAUUACAUUGAAUUUGAAUUUGUUGAACUUAAGUAGUUUUACUUCUCUGUCAGCGUUUGAUGACUUGAUUUGUUAUUUACUUCUUCUUUUUUCCUUGGAAAUGUGUUCCAUCAACGUGAGGAAGAAAAAUAUGCACAAAUUAAUAUAUUUAAUAGAAGCAAAAAUUAAUAUUUACAAAAAUAUGCACAAAUCAAGUAAAAUUAAUAAAGCAUAAAUUGGAAAGGGAAAAUAUGUAGAGGAUGCAUUGUAGGAUUGCUCAUGCCAAUAAUUGUACCCUCUAAAUAUAUAGGGACAUAUUUUUUUUUGUUUUCAUGACAUGUGGUCCUAAAAUUAUUGUUCUUAGCGGGCUCUCCACCCCUCUCGACUGAAAACCUAUUGUGUAAAUCUUCAAUCCUGAAUGAUGCACCUAAAACUCAUGUUGCAAUACACAUCCACCCAUUCUCAGGCCAAUUAUUACUCCUAGUGGGCUCUCCACCCCCUCUCAAAUUUAAGUGGUCCAUUAUUAUUAACCGUAUAUUUUAUGGACCAGCCAGCUGUGAGGUUUUAUCUCAAAAACCUUUCUCCCACAUGCCACAAUUUAUGUCUGAUACAUCACAUCAUGCCAGUUGUCUCAAAUGAAUUUAAGUGAGUGAGGCAGUGUUACUUCUGGGUACCCCUCAUUAUUCGUCUAUAAAUUGGUGAAGCCAGUUGCUACUGUUACCAUAAGAGCCAGCUCCGACUUUCAAAAUAAAAAUUCCAACAACGGUCUUAGUGCCUUCAAUUGUAUGAGUCAUUGAACAUGCAAAUGAAUAAAAUAUGAAUGAUAAAAGUGUUUGAUAAAUCACCAAGUUAUAGAACACUUGAUGAUUUAUCUCAAAUAAAAAUUCAGCUUUCUAAAGUUUGUGAAUUGAAAAUAUAAUCGUUAAAGCUCUCUAAACAAAGAAGACGAAAGUCUUAUUUUAUAGAAUUUUUCUUUACAAGAAAGAAAACAUGUUGAAAACCAAAUCUCCAAUUUCCAAGGCUUGACAGAAAAUCAAAAAAAUAUCUUUCCUAUUCUAGAGAUUGGUCACAUGUAGUUCAACCAAUAGGAAAUGAGAUAUUUAAGAAAGCAAGAUUUUGAUCAAUACCAAUAUCAAAUGAAUUCUUAUACGCCUAGUCAACUAUUAAGGGUAUCUUGACUCCUUGAUAUUGUGAUAUGAUUGAAACAUGAUUUCCAUGUUAGAAAAUUAAGGGGAUGUUAAAACAUGAAAGUAAUAGGAGAAUCAAAUUGAUUUGGACUAAAAUUGCCUAAAAAGAAAACACUCUUAAAUAAACUUCAAUUCACUUUUAAAAACAGUAAAACAUGAUUGAAUCAUUUUUUAAAACAAUUCCCUAAUAUACAUGCAUGAUAAUGACAUCACUUACCCCUAAAUCAAAUUGUCACGCCCCGGACCUGGGGGUCAGUGGAAACCCCACGUUCGGUGCGUGAGAAAAUAAAAAGUAAAAUAAAAUAAAAAGAAUGCCGAAACAAGGGUUUAAAAUAAACUUCUCUUAUAAAAAUAACUCCAAAAUCUUACAACUUUACAAGAAAUAAAUAAAGCCCUAUCAUUCUUAUCUAAUUCAGCCUCAACUGGUUUAGUCCUUGUCUUGCCCACUAAUUCAUCUAAAAAAUGAAGAGUGUUGCUAAACGAACCCUAAAAUUAAUUGAGUACACCCUACUACCAAACGAUUUAUUGAAUUUGUCACAUCUCGGGAUCAACUCCGCCGUAGCACGAUAUUGUUCGCUUUGGGCCCUCCCUCUCUGGCUCGCAUGGUUUUGUUUCUGGGAACUCACGAGUAACUUCCCAGUGGGUCACCAAUCCUGGGAUUGCUCUAGCCCACAACUCGCUUAACUUCGGAGUUCCUACGACUCCGAAGCCUGUGAGCUCCCAAAAGGUCUCGUGCUAGAUGGAUGCGGGUGUGCACAUAUAAGGCACAUCACCCCCUCUCCGUUGGUUGAUGUGGGAUCUUAUAGAAUUACUAAUUUAUCCUAAUAUAAAAUGACCAAAGAAGAUAAAAUAAUAUUGGUAUCUAUUGCUUUGAAUCCAUGCCUUCAAACAAAUUGACUUAAUUUUUAACAAACAACACGGAGUCCAGGAGAAGUGUAUUGAUCCAAGUUGAUUUUUGUAUGCGUAAAACUUAAACAAUCAAUAACACAAAGCAGUUCAUGCUGAAAUAUUGGAAACCCACACCCAAAGAGUUCUCCGCUGCGAGGUUGAAGGCAGGAGAGAUGGGUGACAGAUUUUACUUCCACUGCGAAGUUGGAGGCUAGGAGAGUCUGUGACUGCCAUGGUUGAGGGAGAAGAUGCGUUCAAAAUGCCUAUUGAUAUUUUACAUUAUUGGCUUUUUUCAAAAGUGAAAGUUUUUUUAUGGGUAAAACCUAAAUUUACUUUUUCUAUACAAGUUAACAGUGUUUGUGUAUUGUGAAAAGGUGGAGAGACGUGUCAAAAUUUUAGACAAAGGACAGGAGGAGAUAGGGAAUUUGGGGACAGCAGAUCUCAACUCCCUUGAGACCCUAUUCUCUACGCCACCCCUCCCCCUCAACAACCCUAGUCACCAUUUCUCCUUCAACUCCAACGGCAACUCAUUAAAACCCAAUUCUCAAAUGCAACAAUCUAAUCCCAAUCCCAAUUCAGAUGUUUCUAAAAAACCCAUUGUCGUGGUGGAGAACUGCAAUUCCAGGUGGUGGUGGUGGUACCACAUGGGAGAGAGAAAAAAGAAGAAGAAGAAGCAGGAGAGAGAGAGUUUUUUAUUUUAUUAUUAUUUUACUGUAAUUUUUUAAUUUAAAUAAUUAAAAAAAUUAAAAGUUAAAGAGGAUGUACCAUGGGUAUUUUUGGUAGUUAAAUAAGGUGUACUUAGGGUCAGUUUGGCAUUGCUGUGCUGUGAAAAUAAUAGCUGUCAGAUUUGCUGUGAGAGAAAUCAGCUGUGAGAGAAAUCAGUUUGGCGUUUGAUAAAAUUUUUGUUAAAAGUGUGUUGAUAUUGAUUUUAUGCUUAAUCCGAAAAUGAUUGCUGCAUAAUCAUUAAACCCAGCGCCUCUUCGAAACUGAUUCCUAUAUAAUCAGAAAAUGAAAGCACCUCAUUAGCUGCUUUCCUUUAUAGCUUUCUCUCACAGCAAUUUUUAACAAUAAGUGAUUUUCUCACAGUUUACCAAACGGGUUGGGCUUCUCAAAAUUUUUUAAAAAUCACUUAUUACCCCAAAUAAGCAAUACCAAACGGGCACUUAGUUAAUUUUACAUUUUAAUUUAAACAUUAGGGUGUACUCAGUUAAUUUUAGGGUUCGUUCAGCAGCACUCAAAAUUAAACAAGGUGAGGGAUGAGCAAGUAGGGACAUGAGACAUUGCCACAGUAGAUUGAUAUAACUAAAUAUUAUUAUAAACAUAGAAAUAUAUAAGUAUUAUUAUAAUAGGAUUCAUAAUAAUUAAUAUAAAAGUAUAACAACAAUAUUUACAUUUAUGUACCAAGAUAAUUACACAUAUAAAUAUAACCAAUAUAUAUUUUUAUAUAUUUUAAAAUAUAAGUCUUUACGUAAAUGCCUUUCACGGGUCAAGCCACAAGUCUGUGUUUUGGGGAUUGCUGAGCUGCAUCAAUCCUGCCAAUGUCAAUUCUGCCCCUGAGCUCUCUCAAAGCACGUUUAAAACCUAUGCUAACAUAUACUAGAGUUUAUGCUGUAUCUAGAAAAUGCCAACACUAAUUUCGUAACACGUAGAAAUUGUUAGAGAUUGGAAGUUUUUAUCAUUUUUUCUUCCAGUCUCUCCACUACUUAUUAAUACAGAUUACUCAUGUGAUGAGUUUACAAAACCUAUUUCUCUACUCUCGCAAAGACUAAACUUCUUCUCAAAAGACUAGAUCACUUUACCUCUAUCUCUGUGAAAUGUAAAAAGUUGAAACUUUAAUGUCAAACCUCGACAAAGUGUUCUACUUUACAAACUUCUUGUGUCUACCAAUUUGUACUAAAAUUAAUUUCUCUACAGUGCUCAGAUUCAUCAUAUGUGUGUCCUUAAUUUUAGUGGAAAUUGGAAGUUUCCAUAAUUUUUGCUUUAAGUCACUCUUCUGAAGGAAGUUGAGGUUCCACUUCAUAAUCCAAAAUGUCAGGUUGACUUAUGGCAAACAAUGUAAAUAUGUAGGAGUACUAUGACCUUUUAUAGCAUUUUUAGUUUGAAUUUGGGUUUUAUACAUAGAUUUCAAAAUUAAUAGGUUGAUGCCUAGGAAAUAGAAAUUGUAAGGGCCUAUAUUAGAGUAGCCCUCUUAAAAAUAAUAUUAAUUAAUGAAUAUUUGUUCUUCUUGUUGUUUUGAAGUAGUGGUGGGAGGCAGACCAACAAAAAAAAAAUAUAGUGAAGGCUUAUAAGAGCAUUUACAAUCAUGCUCCCUAUUUUUUAGUUAAAAUUUAGCUAAAAAUAGAAAAAAAGUUAUUAUAGGAGCUCUUUAUAAAGCUCCUUUAUAAAAUUUGAACUCCAAUCAUACUCCCUAGUUUAGGGAGUCAAAAAUACUAUAGUUAUUUUUUAAUUCAAUUUGAUUUUGGUUAAUCUCUAUAAAUAUGAAAAAAUAGUUAGCAUUAAUUAAAAGUUUAAACUAUGCAUAAAACAAAGAAACAUUAAAUUAUAGGGAGCCACUAUGAGUCAUUACUCUCUCCUCAGAUUUAGGAGCUCCUAAAGGUCUCCCUAUUUUAUGAGGUGGAUAAGGAGCAUGGUUGGAGUUGUAUUUCUUCAAUUUCCUCCCUAAAAUUUGUCUAAGGAUGUGGUUUAGGGAGCCCAUUGUGAAUGCUCUAACUCUGGUAAAACACGAGUGACAUGGACAACAUAUGUUACGUCGUACUGAAGAUUUUUGGGUUUCUUUAAUUGGUUAAGUAGCAUCCACACAGCUUCCUAAAUCAUCUCCUUAGACAAAUUUUAGGGAGGAAUUGGAAAAGUACAACUCCAACUAUGCUCCCUAUCCACCAACUAAAAUAGGGAGACUUCUAGGAGCUCCUAAAUCUGAUGAGAGAGAAAGGACUCUUAAUGACUCCCUAUAAUUUAAUGUUGCUUUAUAUUAUUUUGUAUACAGACGGGUCAAUUAUAUUAAAUUAAAAAAUAAUUAAAGUAUUUAUGACUCUCUAAACUAGUGAGCAUAAUUGUAGAUCAUCUUAUAUACCUUAAUUUGAAGAUUCUUUAUUUGGGUUUCUUUCAAGACUUAUCACCUUAGCCACGCCACCUACACGUCUGCAAGCUUUCCUAACAAGGAAGGGGAGGCUGCGCAAUACUUAUCACCUUAGCCACACUACACCAAAUUGACGUCUGCAAGCUUUCGUAAUCUAACAAGGAAGGGGAGGCUGCGCAAUACUUAUCACCUUAGCCACACCAACACCACAAGACCAAUAUGUGUAGUCCAGGAGGCUUUCCCAUUUUAAUAUAUAUUAUCAAAUAAAAUAAAAAUCAAUCUAUUAUCAUAUAUAUUAUAAAAUAAAGAUUAUUGCUCCAUCCUCCAUGCACUUGCAUGCCUCUUACAAAGUGUGAAGUAGAUUUUGUGUGCUCCAAGUCAUUGACGAGAGCUGUAACAUGGUUAGCUGGAUUUAUAAGAUCUUUUCUUUUCUGGGAAUUUUCUGAAUCAAGAAAAAUUAAGUAAAAUUAAUAAAGCAUAAAUUAGAAAGGAAAAAUAUCUAGAGGAUGCAUUGUAGGAUUGCACAUGCCAAUAAUUGUAUCCUCUAAAUAUAUAGGGACAUAUUUUUUUGUUUUCAUGACAUGUGGCCCUAAAAUUAUUGUUCCUAGCGGGCUCUCCACCCCCUCUCGAUUGAAAACUAAUUGUGUAAAUCUUCAAUCUUGAAUGAUGCACCUAAAACUCAAGUGUCCCAGGCCAAUUAUUGCUCUCAUACCACUUGUUGUAAUAAACAUCCAUCCAUUCUAAAGGAAAGAUAACCAUCGAUAUUAUCUCAAAUUUAACCACUUAAGUUCAUUAUGAUUAACUAUGUAUCUUAUGGACCAAUCCAAUCAUGAGGUUUUAUACCCAAUUAGAUCGACUAAUACAAAGUUCACACGUGGAUUGAAAAGCGCUAUCAGUAGGGGAGUGUUCGGCACCCUUUACUGCCGAACGCAACACAAGACCCCUUGCAUGCCUUCACUAAGUUGAGCCUAUCUAUUUUUUAGCAUUAACAAUAUAUAUAGAUUGAAAAAAUAAAAUAAAAAUCAAUCUAUUAUCAUAUAAAAUAAAUAUUAUUGCUCCAUCCUCCAUACACUUGCAUGCCCUCUUACAAAGUGUGAAGUAGAUUUUUUGUGCUCCAACUCAUUGACUAGGGCUGAAACAUGGUUAGUUGGAUUUAUAAGAUCUUUUCUUUUCUGGGAAUUUUCUGAAGCACGGAAAAUCAAAUAAAAUUAAUAAAGCAGAAACUGUACCCUUUAAUUAUAUAUGGACGUAUGUUUUUUUGUUUUCAAGUCUUAGAUGACAUGGGGACCUAAAAUUAUUGCUCCUAGUGGACUCUCGACCCCUCUCAAAUUUAAGUGGUCCAUUAUUAUUAACCACAUAUUUUAUGGACCAUGCAGCUGUGAGGUUUUAUCUCAAAAACCUUCGGUACAUUUCUCCCACAUGCCACAAUUGUAUAUUCACAAUUACGGCUGUUACGUCACAUCAUGCCACUUGCCUCACAUGCAACAAGUCUGUGUUUUGGGGAUUGCCGAGCUGCAUCAAUUCUGCCAAUGUCAAUUCUGCCCCUGGACUCUCUCAAAGCACAUUUAAAACCUAUGCGAACAUAUAUUAGAGUUUAUGAUGUAUGUAUCUAGAAAAUGCCAACACUAAUUUCGUAACAUGUAAAAAUUAUUAGAGAUUGGAAGUUUUUAUCAUUUUUUCUUCCAGUCUCUCCACCACUUAUUAAUACAGAUUACUCAUGUGAUGAGUUUACAAAACCUAUUUCUCUACUCUCGCAAAGACUAAACUUCUUCUCAAAAGACUAGAUCACUUUACCUCUAUCUCUGUGAAAUGUAAAAAGUUGAAACUUUAAUGUCAAACCUCGACAAAGUGUUCUACUUUACAAACUUCUUGUGUCUACCAAUUUGUACUAAAAUUAAUUUAUCUACGGUGCUCAGCUUCAUCGUAUGUGUGUCCUUAAUUUUAGUGGAAAUUGGAAGUUUCCAUAAUUUUUGCUUUAAGUCACUCUUCUGAAGGAAGUUGAGGUUCCACUCCAUAAUCCCAAAUGUCAGGUUGACUUAUGGCAAACAAUGUAAAUAUGUAGGAGUACUAUGACCUUUUAUAGCAUUUUUAGUUUGAAUUUGGGUUUUAUACAUAGAUUUCAAAAUUAAUAGGUUGAUGCCUAGGAAAUAGAAAUUGUAAGGGCCUAUAUUAGAGUAGCCCUCUUAAAAAUAAUAUUAAUUAAUGAAUAUUUGUUCUUCUUGUUGUUUUGAAGUAGUGGUGGGAGGCAGACCAACAAAAAAAAUAUAGUGAAGGCUUAUAAGAGCAUUUACAAUCAUGCUCCCUAUUUUUUAGUUAAAAUUUAGCUAAAAAUAGAAAAAAGUUAUUAUAGGAGCUCUUUAUAAAAUUUGAAUUCCAAUCGUACUCCCUAAUUUAGGGAGUCAUAAAUAUUAUAGUUAUUUUUUAAUUCAAUUUGAUUUUGGUUAAUCUCUAUAAAUAAAUAAAAAUAUGAAAAAAUAGUUAGCAUUAAUUAAAAGUUUAAACUAUGCAUAAAACAAAGAAACAUUAAAUUAUAGGGAGCCACUAUGCCAAUAAUUGUAUCCUCUAAAUAUAUAGGGACAUAUUUUUUUUGUUUUCAUGACAUGUGGCCCUAAAAUUAUUGUUCCUAGCGGGCUCUCCAACCCCUCUCGAUUGAAAACCAAUUGUGUAAAUCUUCAAUCUUGAAUGAUGCACCUAAAACUCAAGUGUCCCAGGCCAAUUAUUGCUCUCAUACCACGUGUUGUAAUAAACAUCCAUCCAUUCUAAAGGAAAGAUAACCAUCGAUAUUAUCUCAAAUUUAACCACUUAAGUUCAUUAUGAUUAACUAUGUAUCUUAUGAACCAAUCCAAUCGUGAGGUUUUAUACCCAAUUAGAUCGACCAAUACAAAGUUCACACGUGGAUUGAAAAGCACUAUCAAUAGGGGAGUGUUCGGCACCCUUUACUGCCGAGCGCAACACAAGAUCCCUUGCAUGCCCUCACUAAGUUGAGCCCAACUAUUUUUUAGCAUUAACAAUAUAUAUAGAUUGAAAAAAUAAAAUAAAAAUCAAUCUAUUAUCAUAUAUUUUAUAAAAUACAUAUUAUUGCUCCAUCCUCCAUACACUUGCAUGCCCUCUUACAAAGUGUGAAGUAGAUUUUUUGUGCUCCAACUCAUUGACUAGGGCUGAAACAUGGUUAGUUAGAUUUAUAAGAUCUUUUGUUUUUUGGGAAUUUUCUGAAGCAAGGAAAAUCAAAUAAAAUUAAUAAAGCAGAAACUGUACCCUUUAAUUAUAUAUGGACAUAUGUUUUUUUGUUUUUUUGCUCUCGACCCCUCUCAAAUUUAAGUGGUCCAUUAUUGUUAACCACAUAUUUUAUGGACCAUCCAGCUUCGGUACAUUUCAAAAAGCUUCGGUACAUUUCUCCCACAUGACACAAUUGUAUAUUCACAAUUACUUCUGGGUACCCCUCAUCAGUCGUCUAUAAAAUGGUGAAGCCAGUUGCUACUGUUACCAUAAGAGCCAGCUCCGACUUUCUUUAAUUUCUUGCUACAUCUGUUGCUAAGUUAAUUUCAGUCCUAAUGGGGUUUCAUCUCCCACUCAUCUUUGCUAUUCUCAGUGUAAGCUCUGCAAUUUGAUUAACUUUUCCAUUCUCUCUCAUUGUACUCUAUAUAUAUAAAUGAAAGUUUUGUGUUCCUAUAAUUCUCUCCGAUUUUAUUUAGUACGUACUUAAGUGUCGUCCACUAAUUAAUUACACUUUGUGAGAUUUGAUUUUAAUUAGAGUUCGAAUUAAUGUUGCAGCUAGCAGCGGUUGCACUGGCAAACAAUGCUGCUCAACCAGCACCUCAACUUUACUGGAACUCCGUCCUGCCAAACACACAGAUGCCAAGAUCUAUCAGUGAACUUCUGCAUCCUGGUUUGUGUUCAGCUCUUUAUAAUCUUAGAUAUCUCUUCUACCUGCCAUUUUACUAAAAUAUGUUCGACCACAUAUUUAUCAGCUAACUACUGUGAUUACAAGAAUGACACUUAUUUUCCAAUAUAAUUUGCAGACUCCACAAAUGAAGAAAAGAGCAAACCUGAAAUUUUCCCAUUGCAGGGCAAUAGAGUUUACACUCAAAGCCAUUAUAAAAAACGUCCUCCUCCUCCAUCUGACGAGGGCAAACCUGAAACUUUCCCAUUGGGCAAUAGCCAUUACACUCAAACCCGUUAUAAAAAACGUCCUCCUCCUCCAUCUGACGAGGGCAAACCUGAAAAUUUCCCAUUGGGCAAUAGCCAUUACACUCAAACCCGUUAUAAAAAACGUCCUCCUCCUCCAUCCGACGAGGGCAAACCUGAAAAUUUCCCAUUGGCCAAUAGCUUUUACACUCAAACCCGUUAUAAAAAACGUCCUCCUCCUCCAUCUGACGAGGGCAAACCUGAAAAUUUCCCAUUGGCCAAUAGCUUUUACACUCAAAGCCAUUAUAAAAAACGUCCUCCUCCUCCAUCUGACGAGGGCAAACCUGAAAAUUUCCCAUUGGCACGUUCUCCUCCAUCUGACAGUCAACUAAAGCAUUACAAAGACUUAGCUAUUUUCUUCUUCGAGAAGGACAUGCGCCCGGGCACAACUAUGAAGUUCCAAUUCCCUAGAAAUUCAAACACGGCUACUUUCCUGCCACGCGAAAGUGCUCAAUCGAUCCCCUUCUCCUCUAAGAAACUACCAGAAAUUUUCAACCAUUUUUCAGUGAAGCCAACAUCUGAGGAAGCCAAAACAAUUAAGCAAACAAUCGAAGAGUGUGAAGCUCCAGGCCUUAAGGGAGAGGAAAAAUAUUGCGCCACAUCUUUAGAAUCAAUGGUUGAUUUUAGCACUUCGAAGCUUGGAACAAGAAACGUUGAAGCAAUCUCAACGGAGGUAUUGGAAGAAGGAGCCACCAAGUACAUGCACAACUAUACAACAAUGCCGGGACUGAAGAAGUUGGAAGGUGACAAAGUCGUUGUGUGUCAUAAGGAGAACUAUCCCUAUGCUGUGUUUCUCUGCCAUGCAAUAAAACAAACAGAAGCUUAUGUUCUCUCCCUGAAAGCCGAUGAUGGGAUGAAGGUGAAAGCAGUAACCAUCUGCCAUCUAGACACAUCAGAAUGGGACCCAGAGCAUUUGUCCUUCCAAAUCCUCAACGUUAAGCCCGGAACCACUCCCAUCUGCCAUUUCCUUACCACUGAUGCUAUUGCCUGGGUUCCAAAACACAAAUCUGCAUGAUCAUCACUUAGCACUGUACGUGUAAUAAGCUUGGUCGGGUUGCACCCUAGGCCUGCAUAAUUAUCUCCCUACUUAUUUCUGCCUCUUCAUCAUGCGGUGUAAGAUAUAUGAUGAGAUGAAGUUUUCUCUUGUAACUAUGUAGACUACUUCAACUUGUACUCAUAAUAAAGCACGCUGUUGGGGGGUUCUACUUAAUUUCGUUCUCUCCAAUGUUUGAGUGUUGAAUUGUUACGUUGGAAUAGGCUGCUAAUGCAUGUAGUUAGAGAAGCCUUCAUUUAUAUCAAAGUCCUCAAACUAUCAAGAAUUAAUGUAUCCAGAAACAUAUACCAAGACGCAAAACAACAUAUUUUCCAUUCUCUGUCUGUAACACCAAAGCAAACUUCCUUUAUCACAUCAUUUAAAGGAUCAAAUUCCAGUACUAAUCUAAUCCAUCAUGUAAAGCAUACAAGUGCCUACCUAAAUUUGUCCAUUGGAUAUAUAUGUCACUUUUUAUUUUUUGAUAGAGAUAUAAAUGUUGAAAAAAUUAGAGUACACAACUCUUAUAGACACUACUACGAUUUACUAUUUGCGCGACGGAAGUUUGCGCGACGAACAUUGUUUCGUCGCGCAAAAAGCACUAUUGCGACGAAAAAAAAAUACCGUAGCGCAAACAACAUAACACAAGCGCGACAAACAGUUUCGUCGCGCAAACAAUCUAUGCGCGACCAAUAUUAAUUUCGUCGCGCAAAGGUAGGGGAAAAAAACCCGGUUUUUUUUUUUUGGCGCCAUAAUCUUGCGCGACAACAACAAUCGUCGCGCAUGACAAUAUUGCGCGACAAUUCAAAGAAUUCGUCAGGUAAAGAUGGACAGAAAAUUGUCUCAUUUUUUUGGCGGUAAAAAACUUUGCGCGACGAAAUUUUUCGUCUCAAAAGACAACUUAGCGCGACGGAAAUAUGUACCGUCGCGUAAAAAAACGAGGGAUACUUAUUUUUGGCGCCAAAAUGCAGGGUGGAUAAAAAAAAUUUUGCGCGACGGAAUUACCUUCGUCGCGUAAAGUGUAAUGCCGGUGCUUUCUUGCGCGACGAAAUAAAUAAUUUGCGCGACGUAAUUUAAACCUUGCGCGACGAAAAGUAUUAUUUGCGCGACGAAAUUUUGUGCGACGAAUAAUAUGUUUCGUCGCACAAAAAAGCAGAUGUCGACAGGUAAUUGCGCGACGGAAAUGUUGUUUUGUGCGAUGGAAAAGUGGGUUUUCGCGACGGCAUUUUGCGCGACGGAUAUUGGUGUUCGUCGCGCAAAGUCCUUCUUCUUCAUAUUAGUAUCUGCCAUUGCAGAGGCAGAAUGCAGAAAUUGCAUUCUGCCUCUCUCUCACUCUCCCUGCCGCUGCUCUGCUGUGAAUUCAAUACGUUCAUUGGGUAUGUAUUUUUUGUCGUUAGUUUAAAUGUAUUAAUGUAAAUUCGUAGUAACGCUAUUAAUUUUGUUAUCGUUAGGGAUAUUUGUGAUUAGUGAUUGGUGGAGAACGAUUGAGAAGGUAUGUUAUUGUAAAAGUUUGUUUGUUAUGUUUGUAAUUUUUUUGUGAAGUUAUAUGUAUAUAAUGUUGUGAAAUUGUGCGUGACAUAGCACAAUGUGUUGUGAUGUACGAAGUUAAUUGAAAUUAACUUCGUACUUUUAUUUUUAUGUUUAGUAACACGUAGUUUCCCGUUCGAGAUUAGUUGGAUUUCGUGCAUGGAUGAGUAAUGCAUGACUGCGGUCCAAUUAAUUCUUGAAUUGUCCCAUUAUUUGGACAGUUUGGUAAUGCAUAGUGUUGUCACAUAAUCUUCGGCUACAGGAUUAGGUUUCGAUUGUGGAGAUUUCGGUGUCAUCUCGGUACGUUCUUCGAGUGGUACGUAGGUAUUUAUACCUAUGCCCACUUCAAGAACUGUGUCGAGAUGCUGCCGAAAUUAAUCCACGUCGAAAUCUAAUCUCAUGUAGCCGUAGGUUACGUGACAGGACUAUGCAUUCCCGAAUGGGAUAGGGCCCUUACCGGAGGCAUAAGGUGACAUUAUAACUUCGUAUGAAGUUGUUGUGAUUGUUGUGUCGUGAUUGUGGUUUCAUGAAUUAUGAGCAGAAGGUGGAUACAUAACCCGAAUAGAUGCGCAGACGAAUACUUGGAUGGAAUCGAGGAUUUUAUUGAGUUUGCACAUAGACACAACCCGGGUGCAAGUAGAAUCCGUUGUCCUUGUAGGAGGUGUAACAACACGUUGUGGGAGACAAUUGAAAAUGUUGGAUUUCAUUUAGUAAGGAAUGGAAUGAUUGAAACAUAUAGCAUUUGGAACCUUCACGGCGAACAUGUAGGCCAUGCUUCGUCUUCAAAUGCCCCAAGAGUGGACAAUGUUGAACCUAUUGUGGAUCCUAAUGAUCAAGUCAUGGGUAUUAUACAGGAUGCUUUUCCAUUCGCAUCGACCAACAUCAAUCAGGAAGGGGAAGAUAACGUGCCUACACCAAUAGACAGUGCGGAGUUUGAACAGUAUGAAAAACUGUUAAAAAAUGCCAACCAAGAGUUAUACCCGGGGUACGAGAGCUUUUCCGUUCUCACUUCUAUUGUGGAGCUAAUGCACGGAAAAAUAAAGUAUCGUAUGUCGAACUUGUGUUUCGAUUACUUUUUGGGGGUUUUCAAGAGAAUGCUUCCGACGGAUAAUUAUUUGCCGAAAGACCAGAAACAUGCACAGAAGGUGUUGCAUGGUCUUGGAUUGGGUUAUGAAAAAAUCCACGCUUGCAAAAACAAUUGCAUGUUAUUCUACAAAGAGCAUGAAACGUUGGAUACAUGCCCUAUAUGCAAUGAGUCGAGGUUCAAAAUGACAUCCCAGAAUAGAACGACUAAGAUACCACAAAAAGUCAUGCGUUAUCUGCCCCUUAAACCUGGGUUGCAGCGAUUGUAUAUGUCGACGCAUACUGCCACAGACAUGAGAUGGCAUAAGGAAAAACGGGUAGACGAUGAUGUGAUGCGGCAUCCUGCAGAUGGGGAGGCAUGGAAAGAGUUCGAUCGAACGUUCCCCGAGUUUGCUGCUGAUCCCCGAAAUGUAAGAUUGGGACUUGCCACUGACGGAUUCAAUCCGUAUGGGGUUCUAAACCAACACCACAGCACUUGGCCGAUUUUCGCAUUCCCAUAUAAUUUGCCGCCUUGGAAAUGCAUGAAAAAAGAAUACAUGAUGAUGACUGUUUUGAUAACUGAGGAUCCUGGCAGGUCAAUUGAUGUGUACUUAAGGCCUCUGGUUGAUGAGCUGAAAGAUUUAUGGACAAACGGUGUUCGCACGUACGAUAAAUCAACUGGGAGGAUGUUCACUUUGCGAGCAGCAAUUAUGUGGACUGUGAAUGAUUUUCCAGCAUAUGCAAUGGUUUCUGGGUGGAGCACAAAAGGUUAUAUGGCAUGUCAUGUAUGCAAGGAAGAUGUAACUUCUGGUUGGCACGCGGGAAAAGUUUGUUACCUUGGUCAUCGGAGAUGGUUGCCAUGGGACCACGAGUGGCGAGAAAAAGAUAAAGAGUUCAACGGGAACACAGAGCGUCGCCUCAGACCUGGAGAAUGGUCCGGUGAUGAGAUCUUGGAACAGCUGAACCGUUUGGAUUUUGGUCCGUUCGGAAAAACAAUUAGUCGGACCAGACCUUCUACACAUUUGAACUGGACGCACAAGCCUAUGUUUUUUGAGCUCCCAUAUUGGUCGAAACUGAAAUUGAGGCACAAUCUAGAUGUGAUGCAUGUUGAGAAAAAUGUAUUCGACACAUUGGUGGGCACGAUUCUAGAUAUCGAGGGGAAGACGAAGGACACGAUCAAAGCUCGUCUUGAUUUGGAAAGAAUGGGCAUACGAAGGGGUUUAUGGAUGAAUAGGGACAGUGAUAAAGCUAGAAGGGAUCUUGCAUUCUUUUCUAUGAAACCGAAUGACAAAAAGGAGUUUCUAAAGUUUGUAUCGUCUGUCAAAUUUCCCGAUGGGUAUGCUUCUAAUAUCGCACGUUGCGUGAAUGUCGAUGGGGGUAAAUUUACUGGACUUAAGAGCCAUGACUGCCAUGUUCCUGUGGGUAUUCGACACCUACUGCCGGAAGAUGUGGUGAAGCCAAUCAUGUUGUUAUCCAGAUUUUUUUCCCAACUGACGGCAAAAACAUUGCGAAGGACAGACAUGUUUCAGUUGCGCCAUGACAUUGUCCAAGUCCUAUGCAAGUUUGAGAUGAUAUUUCCUCCGGCUUUCUUUACAAGUAUGAUGCACGUAAUGGUUCACUUGCCAGAAGAGGCAUUGCUUGCUGGUCCUGUCAACUAUCGCUGGAUGUAUCCAAUAGAAAGGUAUAUAAUCUUUAUCAUUUGUGUAUGCAUCAUUAUCGACACUUUGCUAAUUUGUAUCAUAUCGUUUUAUUUUGGCAGGCUUCUCGGAGAGCUGAAAAAAAGUGUACGCAACAGGGCAAAGCCCGAAGGAUUAAUUAUAGAGGCUUGGGUUCAAUAUGAGUCGCUUACUUUCUGUGGAAUGUAUUUAAAAGAUGUGGAGACGGUUUUCAAUCGUCCUCAACGCAAUAAUGACGGAGGUAUGAGAAAUGAAAAACUUUUUGUUUUUGCCCAAAGCGCAUGACCAUUUGGAGAUCCUGGACGAGGAGAGUCGUUUUCUAGAAAUGACAUGGAGGUAGCGCAUUGGUUCGUACUGAACAAUUGUGAUGAGAUAAUGGCCUACUUAGAUGAGCAUGAACAGAUGAUGAAGCGAGAACAUCCAUCACAUUUGGUUGCCCGGAAACAUCGUGAAUUAUUUCCACAAUGGUUUUUGGAUUCUGUAAGUUAUAACUGUUUUGUAAUUGACAAAUAUAAAUUGUAGUAUUUAAUUUUGUCAGACUAACAUGUAAAUGAUUUUGUAUACUAUUAGGUGAAUAAAUUGAAAUCAUCGAAUUCCCCCACUUACAGUGAUGAGUUAUAUAACUUGGCGUUCGGCCCAAUUCGUGCUGAGUUGUUCUCGGGUUGUAAUGUUAACGGCGUCAAAUUUUUGGGGGCCGCACGAGAUGACAAGUUGUGUAUGCAAAACAGCGGUGUCCAUGUCCCAGGUGGAGGCGAAAGUACGGACAUUGAUUUCUAUGGCAAACUGACAACUGUCGUGCAAUUGCUUUAGAAAGAUCGAUACCAAGUCAUCAUGUUUAAGUGUCGAUGGUUCGAUACCAACCCAAAUAGGGCGGGAAGUGUUAAAAUCGACCAUGGAGUACUGUUUGUGAACAUGGCGUCCCAAAUUGUGUAUCUAGAUGACCCUAAAGCCGGGAGCGGGUGAAAAGUUGUGCAGAAGAUGGAUCAUAGGAACGUGUAUGAUAUACCAGAACUAGACCCAAGUGACAACGACGUCGACAAUGUGGCUGACCAACGUUUAGAAUCUUCAAUGGAAAAUGAUGCGGAAACACUUCGAGAUACAAAUGUUAUACAAGAACCGUUUCAAAUAGAAGGAGUGUCUUCAGUAGAAAUACCGAUUCAGUCAAUUACAAUUGACCUCGGUGAUCUUCCCCGAUACGAUGUUGCAGUGGGUCCUAGCAACGCCGAUGAUGCAGUUAUAGAGGAGGAGGAGGAAGAAGAUUGGGAGACCGAGAGUGAUGAUAGCGA
rnacentral:lncRNA from 1 species